AUUGUAUCCUAGAGCCCUAUUUAGUGCACAAAUUCAGCAACUCACUAUUCCAACAACACAGAGCAUGCUUCAAGCUUAAGACCCAUGCCCAGAUAUCAAAGCACUUCACCAGCUUUUGAAAUCCAUUAGAAGUACACUAAAAUAGCUUCUGACGUAUACAGCCUGCUGAUCAGUAAAAAUGUCCUGGACUCUUUUAACUAAUAGUCUUAAAAGCAGCAAACUCAUUCAUACAAAAUUUGAACACAAGCUUUUAACACUGAAUGUUAUUUGACAGUGGGGAAGAUAGGUUCAACUCUUAAUAUCUCAUUGGUGUAUAUUCAAGGACAGGAAAAGAAAAUAACCACAUGCAAUGGAAGAUGAGAGUAAAAAGUCAGGAAGAAAGCCACAUAUGACACAAAGGUUUAGGACAUCACUUCCAAGACAAGAUGCAUAAAAAAUUCACCAAUGAAUAACUUAAAUAACUCCUUCAUGGAUGGCCUAACAAACCUGGUUAUGUGUACAAUAGCACAUGCAAUAUGUACCGGGCUUCAGCACAGCCCUGGGGACCAGAAUAUCUUAUGACAGGAAGUUGAGGUGACGAAUCCCAACAUUUCAAUUAAAAGCCCUUCCAUCAAACUCAAUGAAUAAGCCUAUGGUCUCAAACAACGGCCGAAGUGUCCUUCACUGUCAGUUUACCCAAUACCCAUAACACGUAAAAUACCCUUAAGCUACUAAAGCACCAUAAAUUUUAAGUCUACUGAAAUAUGUAGAAUUUAAAUUUUUAAUAAAUACUCGAGAUCCUAAAAAGAUUACGCAUUCUUCAAAGUGGGUAAAUUGGAUCUUCAGCCAAGUUCCCAAGAAUAUUAAAAUUUACUCUUCUCUUAAACUCUUCAUUGGUUGCAUCAGUCGUGAAUAUUGAUGGCAUUCAUAAAAAAAGAAUGGAACACAUAAUGUAUGUAUCAAUAUAUCAACAUCAGUUUGAAGCCCUACGAAAACAUUCAGCACACACAGCUUUUAUAAAAACUCAGUGAAGUCAAAAGAAUAGAAUCUUGCAAGCACCAGAUGCACACCUCCCCAUUCUCCAAGUUGGUUCAUUAUUUGUCUUCCCUUUGCAACAAGAGAGUUCCAAGAAAUAAAAAUGAUACAAGCUUUGGAGAGGACUUCAAAUAUAACUGAAAGUCAUUCAUUUCUUUCACAUAGGGAUGAGCCUCGGCAACACUUGGCUUCUGGUGUAAAUAUAUCCAAAAACAAUUCCAAACAAGUUGUCUGCCACAAGAUUUUAAGCUAAUUCUAAAUUUUCCACUUAUUAUUUGGGCCCUAGAAGAGUGCAACAUCUCAUGCCUAUACAAGUCCCUUUAUGUAUGAGUGAAAGACAAUUAUCUAAAGCUGCUCCAAUGAAGAAUGCCUUUUUAAUGUUAAGAGCAAACUGAAGCUUGUAUAUCUAUUUCUUGAGAACUCAAAAUAGAUGAUUGACAAUCAGCUAUAUAUUUCAUGCAUAUAAUAUCUGAGGUCUCAAAUGCCUAACAAAAUCGGACUAAUGGUCUUCUCCUUCCAGAAAUAUGAUCGCUUAAGACCCUGUCAUUCUUUAGAGAAAUAGAACGAUACACUUAUUAAAUUGCUUUUAUAUUUAAAAUUUUUUCUUAUGGCAGAAAAUAUUGCAUAUCUUUGAUCUAUUGUUUCUGAUUUAUUUUCAAAGAAAACAAUGCAAAGGUUCAGUAUUAGUAAGGUGAAUUUGUGCCUAACCUGUAUGAGUUAUGUGCUCAAGCUUAAGCUAAGGUUACUAUGUAUCCAUAACCCUCUUCAAAUUCAAGGAAAUUGGUAACUCAUAUAUAUAUAUACUGGAAAGCUGUGAGUGAUAAAGAAUUUAACCAGUGAUGCAUUUUGGAUGUCGAAUCUUGUCAUUUACUCAAGAAGGCACAGCAGAAUUAAGCAGUCACUCAAUUGAACCAAGUAACAAAUGAAAGAGUGUAAGCAAAAAAAGUUGAAUACGACUUGUAAACAAGGACUAAACCAUACUAAUAUGUGACCUAAAACUGCACUGGCUACAAAUAAAUGGAUGAAGAGGAAGAUCAUAUGCAAAAAAAUUUGAAACCAGCUACUAGACUCAUAUGUUAAUAACCUACUGGCAGGAUAAUUGACAUCUUAUCCUUCUCUUUGUCUGCAAACGGAAAUCUUAAUCAAGUUUAGAACCCAAAAAUCAUAAACGUUUUUCCUAGACUAAGUUCAACAGAUGCAAAUAGUGUUGCGUGCAUAAUUUUGCCAUUAUUCUCGCAAAUGAAGACCAUUAGCAUUACUCUUCAUUUCCAAAAAUUUAUCAUGUUUAAAACGGUAAACAACUUUGGUUUGUUUGUUUUUCCCCCCUUAAUACCUAAUGCAUUUGAACAACACAACAUGCCUGUGCCUAUCUUCUGCAUAGCUCACCCAGUUCUCCAAACCUCAUCAGUUUUAUCAAUUAGUCGCCAUCCCAUUCGCUGUUUACUUAUGCUUAAUCAUUCAAACAUCUCUUUCAUUAGAAACCAAUUCCAUAACAAUGCUACUCUUCAUCUUAAACCAAAACAAUUACAGCAGCAAACACAUUAUACCAGUAAUUCAAGUCCGCUAUACCCUUGUUCACUUACAAAUACCUCAAGUUCCCAACCUUGCCUAGAAUUUAAGAAUCCCAUAAAACCAAGUUCACUAAACCAAUUUAACCGUCCUGAUUCGCAAGUCAGCAUGAAUUUUCUUUAUAUCUAAAAUUUCCUUAUUUUGAAAUCAUUCCAGAGAACUGACAAGAGACAAAACCAGCAGAAUUCAUUACUUUUUCAAGAAUUGACAUGGCUUCUUUUGUUGCACUCUUCUCCCUCUCUACAUAACAAAGGAAGUAUUUUUAUCAAUCACCACACUGCCCAGACUAUCCCAAACAAUCAAAUUGAAAAUUUUCAAAAACCCAGAUGCAAAUUACAUAAAUAAAUGCCAAUAAAGUACAAAAAUAACAAAAAAAAAAGAACAUAACUUUCUGGACAGAAGAGAUGGGAUGAGAGGCCUUACUGAUGGGACAGGUGACGAGGAAUCCGGAGUGGGAAAGACUGAGGAGAGAAGAAGGGGCGUUGUAGUCAAAACGAGGAAUGGUGAUGACAGCAGAGUGUUGCUCCCAGGGCUUCAGCUCCUCCUUGGUUUUCAGUCCCACUUUCAUUGCUUCUUUUUCCAAUACUUUUGCUCUUUCUUCUGUUUUUGCUGUCCCAUGUUUCAUUUCCAGUAUUAUUGAGUUAAUGGAUUGCAAUUUGUUUGGCAGAUGAGAUUUAUAUUUAUAUUUCGCCCCCUCUUUUGUAUGGCAAAUGUGUUUUUUUACCCUAGUUCUUCCACUUUACUAAUAAAAUGUGAUUUAUUCUAAAUGUUUUAGACCCUCUUUGAUAUCCCAAUUCAGUAUUUAAACUUAAUGGAUUUAGAUUUGAAUGUCUUCAGACGCAUUGAUAAUAAAAAAUAGAAUGUCUAAAUUAAUUAAGUGACAUUGAAUUUCUUAGGCGAAACUUGCUCUCAAAAUAAAAUAUUAAAUAUGAAGUUUGAAUCCAUUAAGUUAUUAAAUUGUUAAGUAUUAAAUGUGAUACAUCUGAGUGUAUAUCACAUUAAGUAAUAAAUGAAUAACUUAUCACUUAUUUUUUGGAACAAGUUUUGGCUAAAAAUCGGUGUCAUUUUAUUUUUUGAAGCAAAUUUUGGCUAAAAUAUUCAGUGUCAUUUAAUUAAUUCAGAUGUGUAAUUUUUUGUUAUCAAAUGCGUUUAAAUAUGUUAAUAUCUGAAUCCAUUAACUUUAAAUGUUGAAUUGAGUUAAAACAGUGCUUAAUACUUCACAAUUCAACAACUUAACUUAAUGGAAUUCAAAUUUUAAACUUCAAUUUUCAAACUUUAAUUUUAUCAAACGCACCCUCCUAUUACCCAAAUUCUACCAAACAAAUUUUUUCUACAUAUUACCACCCUCACAAUUCACAAAGUCAUUUUAAUAAUUGAAUCUAUUAACUGAUGUCAGUCGGUUUGGAUCAUUUUGCGAUAUCAAAGGUGAAAAAAAUCGCAUGUGUGCACAAAUAAAAAACCAAAAAAAGGUGUUGAUUUUUCUUCUGGAAAAAUGGAGAGUUGUAGUUGUAGUCUCCAAUUUUUAACAUACGCACUGAAAUAAUCUCUAAUGUUUUGAUCAAAAUAAAUUUGGUUCUCAAAGUUUUUGGUAGUAGGUACAUUCAACAAUGGCGAAAACUCAACAAUGACUAACGGUAAAAAUUUAAUUACUGUUAUUUAACAAUUUUGACUUUGUACUUUUGGACCCUAAUGUUUGAAAUUUUAAUCAUUUUAGUUGCUUAAAUUUUCAAUAGUGAUAUCCAGGGUAUUAGGAUAAAACAAGAUGCGAAUUACAACAAAAUUGUCUUAAAUUGGUACUAGCAAUUCUAAUUAAACUUUUUUAUUUUUACUGCAUUUAUUCAUGCCACUAAUGUCUCAUAUACUUCUUCCCUUUGGUAUAAUUGGUCACAAAUUUGGUAUUAUAUAUGUGAUUAUUGAUUUAUACAAGUAGUAAUUAACUGAUAAUUCACCCAUAAUGAGUAAAAGCACUUCAUAUUAGUUUUUAUGUUUGCUAGUGUUUAUCUUUACAAUUCCUAACUAUAACAAUUUAAGGCCUAUAUGUACAAGUCAUGCAAGAACUAGCAAAAAAUGAUAAUAAAUUUUAUAUUAAUACUAGAAUUUUCCUUUUUAUUUUAUAUAUUAUGUGACGCCCCACUUCUCCCUAAGGCGAACCAAAGGGUAUCCGCGGGACGCCUGCCUAGCUCUCGCCAGGACUCAAGCAAUUCCAUUCAAGCUUAUUAUCGAUCUACACAACAUACGAAAAACUUAAAUACAGUAAAUGCGGAAGCGUUCAAGCUUAACAAUAGUUGUCCAUUAUCCAGCCCGCACGUCGAGUGUUCAAAGUACAUCAUAAUUUCCAAAUAUACAUCACGCCCCAAAAGUUACCUUCCAAUUCCAAAAGUACAAUCCAAAACCAAGGUAUAGCCAAAACAUAAUAUAAAUCCUAGACAAAAGUACAUCAGGAGGGUUUUUCCGAGUACACCUCCGAGUUCCACCUUGUUAAGGAAAACAAAUCUACAGGGUGAGCAAAAUGCUCGUGAGGCCAAGAACACACAUGCAUGCACAUAGUUCAGGUAACAAGCCCAAGUAAUGAUUCAAGUAAUAGCUUGCAAGUAAUUAAUAAUGCCCACCAAAAAUGUAACCAGAAACAAUUCAAGGAUAUGGUAGCUCUCAGGAGCUAAGUUCCACUUGCUUUGCCCGUUCAUUAGUAUAUCUUCCCGUGAUGACUCUCCGUCAACCGGGUUGAUAUUUCCAAACCGUAGACCACCACUUACUUCUUAUCCGUCCACCAUACACCGCUUCAGACCCGCACGACAUUUAUGAGGCGAUACUCCACGAGUAUGCCAAGCAAGAUCUCUCCAAUAGAUCAAGUUUAUCAUGUGAAUCUCGUGGCUCACCGAGGUUCCCGACCGAACCCAUGCCGGCUCGGGUUCCAAGGUCGGCCUAUGAGUUUGGGCGUCCCCCAUGUAUCAUGUAAGUGUCGAGGAGAUUCACUCCAUCGACGUAUGCAAUCAUAGCAUACCAUGUCAUGUAUUCAAGCAUUUGAUAGGUUUAAACAUGUAUUUCAGGUCAUGUAAAUCAGGCAAACCAUGUUAAAUACGAGUCAUUUGUUCCAAAGGAGAACGAGUGCGAUAAAGUACACACUCGACUCCAUUUUUCAAAAUCAGGUAGGCUAAACAUGUAAUCAGGUAAACCAAGCACGGAUCAAAUCCAUAGAGUUCAAAUAGUCAUACACUUGACACUCACCGAGUAUUAAGUGCAAGUAGGGUUAAGGAAAGUUCAAGCGUCCACCGUAGGAUCCUCUUGAAGGUCCUCGUGUGCGCCUGAGCAAAUAAUAAUAUAUUAUCAUUCACAUAACCCAAUUAUCGAGAAAUAAUUCAUGCCCUAUAACAAUCUAGGAAAUUUCGUGAAAAGGAACCUUAAUUACUUGUAAAUCGAGGUUCGAGUGGCGUUUCAUAAAGUACAGGAGCAUUUGGAUUUUUAUCUUGAAAAUCGAGGUUAAAACGUUUGCAUAAUGUCGAAAGAAUAAAGAGUUCUUGGAAAACUCUAUUUCCUUGAAAGUUGGAAAAUUUUCAGUUUUGAUAUGGAUAUUUGAAAAAUCGUAUCUCACUCGAUACAAGUCUAAAAUUGGAAAAAUUUAUACCGUUGGAAACCUCUUGGAAAGUACUAAAAGUUCUUCGAAAACACUUUUCCACGAAUCUAAGUGGAAGGUAUUCAAAAAUGAGCUUAAAGUUGCUGUUCCAGAACACCCAGGAUUGAGCCGGGGUUGGUUUUUCGCUAACUUUGGAAAUUCGGUAGAAUUCACUCGUUGCAAACCAGCCCUUGAAAUUUAUAACUCAAUUAGAGGUGCAAGUAAGGUUUAGGACAGAACAAGCGGAUCGAGACUCGGAGUUUCGAGCACCCAGAUAUGGUAGCUCAAAUUUGAGAAAAAUUCAAGACUGUUGAACAAAUUUCCAGAUUUGGGUUUUCGACUUUGGACCUUUAGUUAAGUGUCGAAACAGACUUGGAUUGGUACCAAAUUUUGCAGUAGAGUACUCCUAUAUGUAGGGUGUCUCUCUAUCAAAUUUCGUAGAAAAAUACCUUCGGAAAGGUGGUUAACCAAUCAACCGAAGUUUUGAAUUUACUAAGGCAAAACUGCCUUCAACUCCAUUUCUCUCCGUUUCCAAACAUUCGGCUAAAGAAAACCUCCAAACAUGGUUCAUUUGUGCAAGAAAUGUCUAAGGAACAUACAUAGUACAUUUGGUAGGUGUUUAGCACCAAGAAAUUCAUUUAGUAAGACCACAACAAGUCUUACAUCAAAUCUGUCCAAAUCCAAGGGUUUUCAAGAACAGGGCAGUCACCGUAUUUUGAUCAUAACUCACUCAAUUUAACUCGGAAUUGAGCAUGGUUGAUAGUGUUGGAAAAUACAUUCAUAGGGAUAUAAUUUCACCGAAGAAAUCUUUUUAAGUUUCAGAAUGCAACUGGCUCAAAAUUAAGCCUAAAGUUGCAGCAUCAUAAAAUCAUUUCAGCAGAACAGAGAAACAGGGUAGCCUUCUUAAAACUAUUGGUUUGGCUCACACACUUGGAACCAAAACGUAUAUUUUAUACUGUUGGAAAGGUGUGGAUGUCUAGUUUUAAAUGCCACUGACGGUACUCGAUUUCGACGUCGGAGGACAAAGUUACGGCCGAAACACUAUCACUGGACAGAGCUACACGGGAACAGUUUUCCAGCUAGACUAGUUUCACAAAGAAAUUCAUUUGCCCAACCAAACCUUAAUAUUUUCAAAUGAAAAUUUUUACACAACUAAUACAACAUAUAAACAUCAUAUUCAAGCCAUUAGAUCAUAAAAAAUUGGCCUUAAAAUAACCGAACAGGGCAGGGGCAAAAUCAGAAAUUUCUAUUCCAUGAGUUCCUUGAGAUUUCUGCUAAUUAUACUCCAUUAAUCCACCAUUUCAAACACUAAACCAACAUUAUAAAUAGCAUCAAUCACCAUAUCAGCCAUCAAGACAGAGGUGGGAGUUCAUAGAGCCCACCUUCCAUUUUUUUUUUCAACAACAACAACAGCCCAUAGGAAAUUAAGAGCUAAAAGGUAUACUAGAACUUCCAAAAACUGAAAUUAGAAAGCUUGAUCAUGACUUGCUCUAGUUGAUGAACAACUUAGAAAUUUCGGUCCUUCCUUGCUCCUAAGUGAGCCGUGAAAAGUCCCCCCUUUUUAGCUAGAUAUGAACUCCAAGUCUUAGGCUAAGUAGUGUUAAAAUUUGAGAGAAUUUGGUAGAGAUUUGAGUAAGAUUUGUAGAGGGAAAUGUUGAAGAGUUUUGGUUGUUUCUUUGCAGCUGCUAGCCGGCCAUGGAAGCUUGGAGAAAUGAGAUGUUUGGUUUGACUCUUUGGCGUACAAAGAAAGCUUAACGUCUAAUAGUUUAGGUGCGCAAAACUCAACCGCAAAUAGUGCGCAUACGCGCGCGUUUUGUGCUCGAUUUCUCUUAAGUUUGUUGCACUAGUGCACUAAACCUCUAAGGCACUUACAUUCAUAUAAAUAUUAUUCAUUCUUAAUUUUCCCAAAAUAAUGGUCCAAAGUCCCUCAACUAAGCGUGCGCGUGAAAACGCGUAUUUUUAAUUUAGGCGCGAUAAAAUGAAACCUUCGAGAAAUUCUUAUAACGAUCAUACUACUAACUAUCACUUGAGUGUUUAAACCUAAAAUUGCCUAUUUUAGGACCAUUGUACAUGUCUCCAAAUUUUCGAACUUAUUGUACUUCCAAUUGGCUAAAGUUUCAAACACGUUUUCACUUUUCCACUAAUCAAACUUUUAAGAAAAUAAUUUUUGAAACGAGACACUUUAAAAAUAUAACGAAACUAUAAAACCAUGUACUUAGGUCUAAUAAGGCUAGAAAACAUUAUUCGUGGCAAAAAUCCAAAUAAAUAAUUAAUUAAGCCAAAAUUAGGGAUUUUAAAAUAAUGGAUUUUCGAGUCCUCACAUAUUAUGUGUCGCACCCCAUUUUUUGCGAUGGGAAAAUAAAAGGAGAGUGUUUAGAAAAAAUGUGAUUUUAUUUUAAAAUAAGUGAAAGGGACCUAAAAUGGGACUUUAAAAAUGCGAUAAUUUGGGUCCAAAAUUUAGUCUAAAAAGGGUUUUUAAGAAAAAAUUAGGAGUCGCCACUUGGUAUUGAGUUUUGGUACACCAAGUCACCCAAAAAUAUUUCUAAAUAAAAUAAAAUAAAACCCUUUUCGACAACUCCAGGUCUUUGAAAACAGAGAAAAUGAGUUCGGGAGUCAUGAUUGAAGAAAGGGAAGGCAAAUGUUCGAUUAACUCAAACCUAAAGCACCCUUUCAACCUAAUCUAAGCUAGUUGCGUGGUUUAGUCAAAAUUUUCUUAAUCUAACCCUUAAAUUUAUCACAUUUGGAUGUUUCCUACAUGGAUACAAACCUAAAAUAUCGAAAGAGACAAAAUAUUCAUUCAAGGGUUUAAUUGAUACCAAUCGCAUUAAUUGCGAAAGCCAAAAUAAUUCCUUGAAGGGGUCACGAGUAUGCGAAUGAUGAAAUCAAAAGAAAAGAAAAGAAAAUUAAAUUAUAUACAUAAGGUAUAAGUGAUCAAAGAAAAAGGAAUGCAACAUAAUGGAUACGGGAGGCGAAAACUCGUGACAUAAUUCUCUUAUACAAGGAUUAAUGGGGUAUUUAAACUAAAGAAUUAUAAUCACCCAUAUCCAUGAUCAAAGAAUAAUUCUCCUAAUAUGAACAAGCAAAUGAACUAACUUAUUCCAUAAUUUCUUAAAUGAAAUACAAUUCUAAAUGAUAUGAUUAACACAUAUAGAGGGUAGGGGUAAAGGAUAAUAUAAUAAAAAAUAUCAUACAAAUGAGAAAAUAUCCUAAAAUAAAAAUAUGCAUGAAAAUGUAAUGGAUAUCAUACAAAAGAUGAAUCUAAUGCGUGAAUGAUCUAAGGGUCUAGUAUUGGACUAACCUAUUCCUAGAAAAAAACCUCACUAGCGUUGGACUAGUGCGGUGACAUCAUGCAUUUAUAUAAUCAAAUAAAUCAUAUAAAAUAUAAUAAAAACAAAUAAACACAUAAAUCACAUAUAACAUAUAGCACAUAAGUAUGAUAUCUAGAUGCAAGGGCCCUAAGGAAAGCGAGGAAAUAUGUAAACAUACAAGCAUGCAAGCACACAAACAAAUAAAAAUAAAUAGAGACUUAACUAUUACAUUCGGGGGGCCCUAACUACAAUCUAAAGGGAUAACGAAUAAAAAAUAAUAAUAAUCUAACUAUUACAAUUUGGCAUUUAAAUGCCUCUCAAAUAAUCAAAAAUUAAAUUAAAGUAAAUAUACAAAAUUUAAAAAAAAUAAAAUGAAUAACUAAAUAAAAUAAAAUAAAAUAAAAAACAUUCAAAAACAUGCAAUUACACACAUAAAAUCACAUAGGAGCACAUAGAAGGAUUUAAAAAUAAAACAAGAAAAUACCUCCCUUGAAGUAGUAAUUAAUGAGAAAUUGGAUUUGCCCUAUUUACCUCCAAAAUUAACAAAAUCAUCAAGGCACCAAUUUAAUUAACAAAUAAUAAUAACGAAUGGAAAUAAACAUGAAAUCAAUCAAUUGAAACACUUAAAUGAAAUGUAAUCAAUAAUUAUAGAAGAAAAGCAACUUCUAUUUAAGCAAUCAAAUCUGUUAGGGAUCUAAUUGCAAAAAAUAAACAAAGUUUUAGGGAUCAAAUUAUAUUACCACAAAAAUAUAGGGUCUAAAUCAAAGAAAAAUAAAGUUUAGAGACCUAUUUGCAAUUAAUUAAGGACCUAAUUGAAACAAAUUUAAAAUGUUCUGGGCUGUAGUGAAACCACUCCAAAUAUCAGGGGCUAAAGUGCAAAUUUCGGUUUCUGAUUUGGGCAAGAAAAAGGCCAUCGGGCCAUCAUUUUAUUUCUUUGGUCCGAAGGCCAUCCGGCCCAACCGAAAGUCCAGAGAAGCGAGCAGGCCAACCCGUCUUCUUAUCACUCAAACCCAACCAAAAAAUCAUGGGCUCUGACCUCCUAGCCCAACCGAAAAUAAGAAACAAGCCCACAAAAUAAAUAAAAAUUAGCCCAACCCACUUUUUUUUUUCUUUUCUUUUUCUUCUUCUUCGGCUAGCUGAAGAAGCUUCAGCUGGCAGCCAUGGCAGCUGCCGGUGGUGCCGCCGCCGGCCACCGGCGAAUUUUCCGAUCGUCCAAAAUUGCCAAAAUACACCCCCUCACUCCAUUUUUCGCGUAGAUUCCAUUUUCGGAGUUAUUUUUUAUAGAAAAUGAUCCGAAAGUGGUCAAAUGGCCAAAAAUAGUCGCGAUUUUUAUUUUUUUAUUUUUAUUUAUUUUUUAAAAUAUCAUAUCCUUCACCAAAAAUCAUAAAAAUUAUACUAUAACACUCCUUACAACUUCUACAAUACAACUAUGAUUUAAUCUGACAAGAAAACAACAUAAAAAAAACUAAAAUAAGGCAAAACAGCCCCUUAAAAUUUUUUUUUGUUAUUUUGGCAUUUUUCAAACAAUUAACAUGCAUUCACCGAAAUCAUUUUUUUUCUUAAUGUUUAUUCAUGGCUUCCCCAAAAAUUCAACAACAUCAGUAGCAACAACAAACGAAGCCAAGGGACAAACAAAAUCAAAUCAUGUAUUUAAUUUAAUAAAUUAAAGAAAGGAAAAAGCUGGAAAAAAGAUAAAAAGAAUAAAUACCUCAAUGAAGAUUGUAGUCUCUUGAUUAAAAUUUGAUGAAAUUACAAGCUCCAAUCAUUUUUAUUGGCCUUGCCCUGUCCAAGAGAAAAUCUGAGAGUGAGUGUUUUAUUUGCUAAAAAUGAGAGGGAGAAUCUGAGAGAGAGAGCCGAGAGAUUUUUUUUCUUCCCUUUCUUCUGCACCCGAGGCCUGAGAGAGGGAGCAAAUGAGGGGGUUUCUUGCAAUUUUCUUCUUCUGCUUCUUUGUCCGAGAGAAUCCAGAGAGAGAAGUUGAGAGAGUGGAGACCGAGAGGAGCCAGGGAUCCCUCUUUUCGUCCGUUUGUUGAGAGCCAGGGGCCUCCGCUGCAAAAAUUUCUUUCCUUCUCUCUUGUUCUGUUGCUCCACCGAGAGAGAAUGAGGCAGGGACCUCCUGAGCAAUUUUUCCUUCCGCCCCUUUUUCUGUCCAGGUCCGAGAGAGAAUUGAGAGAGUUUUUUUUUUCUUUUCGGUCCAGAGCUCCCAAUGAGAAAGAGAGAGAGAAGUGGAGUCCAGGGAGUUUUCUGCAAAAAUUUCUUAGCCUUCUUUUUUUUCGUCCGUUGGCAGCCUUGGUCAAAAAGAAAAGAAAGAAAAUCAUCAUGGGAGGCAUCAUGACGACCAAGGUCAUCAUGAUGUCUCCACUAUCUUUUUUUAUUAUUUUUAAAAAAAAACUGAUUUUGUUUUUCUUUUCUGUUUUUUUUUUAAAUAAACCUGCAAAUAUAAGAAAAAAUUUGCAUUAAAAUGUUAGAAAAUAAAUAAUCCAUUAAAUAGAAAAAUUCAAGAAAAUAUUAAAAAUUGAAAAAAUUUUGGUGUCUACACCUUGCCCCUCUUUGUCUCGCGUUUCGAAGAAAUUCAAGAUAAAGACGUAGACACCAAGUUACUUACCUGUGUCUUCUAACUGCACCUGAACUAAAACAACAAGCCAACAAUUGGCUGAAAUUAUUGAACAAAAUGAUGCAAUGAAAUUUCAAAACACGUGACCGAACUCAUGUAGAGUUGCCUACGUAUCCCGCCAUGGGAAUCAGGUCAAACGUAAUUCGAAUACCAAUGAACUAUAAUCAAACAAGUGCAUUGACCAUAUGUGAUCUUUGCGAAGUCAAAGAAGUCUGAGCUCUCAGAACUUCUUAACAUGAAACACAAAAAUGAAUGAGAAAGCACAAAAGUAAAUUGUCAUAACUAAAAAAAGAUGCGUGAAGGGACGCGGUUACGCUCCAACAGGAAAUUAAAUGCGAAUUUUUUUUUUUGAAAAAUAUGUGCGGAGGGACGCAGUUACGCUCCAACAGAAAAUUAAAUUUAUCAAGAAGAGAGGUAGAAGGGUGCGCGGUAGACGCUGAGACUCACCAACAGAAAAUUAAAUUUGAUCUUCUGAUUUGCCAAGAAGGGGAGAUAGAAGGGUGCGCGGUGGACGCUGAUACUCACCAACAGGAAUUUAAAUUGUCAAGAAGGGCGAUAGAGGGGUGCGCGGUGGACGUUGAGCCUCACCAACAGAAAAUUAAAUUUGAUCUUCUGAUUUGCCAAGAAGGGGAGAUAGAAGGGUGCGCGAUGGACGCUGAAACUCACUAACAGGAAUUUAAAUUUGAUUUUCUGAUUUGCCAAGAAGGAGAGAUAGAAGAGUGCGCGGAGGACGCUGAGACUCACCAACAGGAAUUUAAAUUGUCAAGAAGGGAGGUAGAAAAGUCCGCGGUGGACGCUGAAACUCACCAACAGAAAUUUAAAUUGUCAAGAAGGGGGAUAGAGGGGUGCGCGGUGGACGCUGAGGCUCACCAACAGAAAAUUAAAUUUGAUCUUCUGAUUUGCCAAGAAGGGGAGAUAGAAAGGUGCGCGGUGGAUGCUGAGACUCACCCACAGAAAUUUAAAUUUGAUCUUCUGAUUUGCCAAGAAGGGGAGAUAGAAGGGUGCGCGGUGGAUGCUGAGACUCACCAAUAGGAAUUUAAAUUGUGAAGAAGGGAGGUAGAAGGGUGCGCGGUGGAUGCUGAGACUCACCAACAGGAAUUAAAUUUUGAUCAUCGAGAAAUAAUAGAUUGGUGGGAUAUGAUCCGAACCUAAUUAAUAGAUUGGUAGGAUACGAUUCGAGCCCAAUUAAAAUAACAUAUUGGUGGAAUAUGCCCCGAACCCAAUUGAUAGAUUGGUGGGGUACGUUCCGAACCCAAUUGAAUGAUACAUUGGUGGGAUAAGUCCCGAUCCCAAUUGAAAUGAAAUAUUUUCAAAUGAAAUUUGAUUGUCAAGCAGGGGGAUAGAAGGGUGUGCGGUGGACGCUGAGACUCACCAACAGGAAUUUAAAUUUGAUUUUCUAGAAAAAGAUACGCGGAAGGACGCAAUUACGCUCCAACAGGAAAUCAAAUUGUCAAGAAAGGGAGAUAGAAGGGUGCGCGGUGGACGCUGAGACUCACCAACAGGAAUUUAAAUUGUAGAGAAGAGAGAUAGAAGGGUGCGCGGUGGAUGCUGAAACUCACCAACAGAAAAUUAAAUUUGAUUUUUGUCAAGGAUCUAGGUAGUUCAAUGGGACUGAAUUCAAAACCAGAUGCCUAUCAAGAGAAUGAAAAUAUGCUCGAAACUUGGUGGACUUACAAUCUCUUUAUGAUUUUCGAACAAGAAAGGAAAUAGUGAUUUUUUCUUUUCUUUCUUUGAAAAUGCACAGCGAAACUUGAGCUCAAUCCUUCUAUCGUUUGCCCCAGUGUGAAUCAUGCUCAACUAAACCAAUAUUGUGUCACAUAAUUUUUCCUGUAAAAAGGAAAAAAAAGAAAAGAAACAACUGUGAUAGAAAAGUGCCACCACCAUGUGAUCCAUUUGCCUUGAGUGCCGUGUAAACAUGAGUUUCAAUAUCAACAAAUUGCUCUCUUAGAUUUGGUCCACAACCUCUUUAGAGUCUUUGCAACCUUCUAAUAUCAGUUAUCCAAACUUUAUUAUCAUAGCACCUUCAAUUUCCUGACUCCUUUGGGAUAAACUAUAGGGGAUUGUCUUUUGAAUAAGAUCCAAUCAAUGAGAAAAAAAAAUGUAUUAUGCAUCAUGCGAUAAUGUUGAUAUGAAAUAAAUAAUGGUACCUAAUAAAUACAAUAGUAAAAAAAAUAAAAUAAAAUUGUUAGAUUUAUAAACACGGGUCCAAAGAUCAAAAGUUGGACACAUAUUUAGAGGACAGCCUUUGAUGAAGAUAAGUGCUCCAUCUGACCUCUUCGACGUCAUCCAUUUUGGAAUUCAUUGUCGGCAAAAGAACAACAGUAUGAAAGAGACCCAAAUCAACAUAGUCACCAGCUCUCAGACGUCAGUAUCUUUUUCUUCAUUGAUGAUUCUCUUGUGUUCCAAAACCUUACUUCAGCGCCCUUUCGGGUUUUCACUAAGGUUACCCCCACCUAUUUUCUUUUUCUUCUUUUUUUCUUCUUUUUUUUCCUUUUUUUUUCUUUUUUUUUCUUUUUUUCAAAGGUGUCUUUUCAAGUUUUAACCUUGAGACAUAGACAAGAACAUUUUAACCCCAACUGUAUCAAUCCAGUCAUGCUUUGAUAAUUUGUGGCAUCAGUAAGACAAGCAUCUCUGACAUAUUUCAGAAAAGUUGUAUUUACAUCAUUUGCCAAUUGAUUAAGAAAUUUUUUUUCUCAAAAUACUGCAAAAGAUGAAAGUAGACAACUUUGAGCUCUUGUAACUAGGAUUGGAUGAAAUAGUGAAGGAAAUGUUGAGACUUGAAUGUGGAUCUUAUGAUGGGUUUGCAAUCAUUUGAAAUAGCAUUCUUUCGAAAACUUGCUCCGAUCUAGGGUUGAAAGAUAUAAAAUUUGCCUCAGUUUAAUUAUAAUCCAAUUUUUCUAUUUUUCUUUUCUUUUUCUUUUUGCUUUUUUUUUCUUUCUUUUCCUUUUUUUUUCAAAGAAACAAAAUUGCCCCGGUAUGGGGGUUAGUGAUCUUAAGGGGCUGCCAAGUGAGAACAAAAAAUGGUGCUGAAAAGUCAAAAAUGGGAGAAAUUAGAAAUAGGAUAUCGAAAUGAAAAAAAAAAAAAAUGAAAGGAAGUAUGCCUUGAAUCCGUCUCUUGCAGUAUUUUUAAAAGAAAAUUUUUAUAAUCAAAUGAAAAACUUUUUGCACAUGUCUGCAUUGAUUGGUUGGAGAAAAACUUGACCGUCCAUUUCCAUAAGGAUAAGCACUCCUUCGGAUAGCCCUUUCUUAACAAUGAAUGGUCCUUGUCAAUUGGGAGCAAACUUCCCUUUAGCCUCAUCUUGCAUUGGAAGAAUCCGUUUCAAAACCUUAUCUCCAACUUCAAACAAACAGGGCCUGACUUUUUUGUUGUAAACCCGAGCCAUUCGUUGCUGAUAACAUUGUCCAUGACAGACGGCAUUCAAUCUCUUUUCAUCAAUCAGAGACAACUGCUCCUGACAUUCUCUGACCCAUUCAGCUUCUUCUAUCUGAGCUUCUAUCAGAAUGCGUAAGGAAGGAAUUUCAACCUCUGCAGGCAGGACUGCUUCCAUUCCAUACAUAAGAGAGUAAGAAGUUGCACCAGUAGAAGUUUUGAUGGUAGUUCUGUACGCCAUUAGUGCAUAAGGCAGCUUCUCAUGCCAAUCCCGGUGUGCUUCAGUCAUCUUACGAAUAAUCUUUUUCAAAUUCUUAUUUGCAGCUUCGACAGCUCCAUUCAUCUGAGGCCUGUAAAUGGCAGAAUUUUGAUGCUUAAUAUUGAACUGUUCACAUAAUCCAUCUACCAUAUCAUUGUUGAGGUUCUUGGCAUUAUCAGUGAUUAAUGUUUCCGGUACCCCAAAACGACAGAUGAUAUUAUUUUUCAAGAAAUCCGACACCACUUUCUUAAUCACAUGCUUAUAGGACGCGGCCUCAACCCAUUUGGUGAAAUAUUCAAUGGCCACUAGAAUGAAUCGAUGCCUAUUCGAAGUAGGAGGAUCAAUUGCUCCAAUCACAUCCAUUCCCUAGAUCGAACAUGGCCAUGGAGCAGUCAUGCUAUGCAGUUCUGUAGGAGGAGCACGUAUAACAUCACCAUGCAUUUGACACUUGACACAUUUUCUGACAAAAUCUAUACAAUCAUGCUCCAUAGUAAACCAAAAAUAUCCUGAUCUCAUGAUCUUUUUAGCCAGUAGAUGCCCAUUCAUGUGUGGGUCGCAAACCCCACUAUGCACUUCUUUCAUUAUAUAAUUAGCUUCCUCUUCAUCAAUGCAUCUCAAAAGGCCCAAAUCUGAUAUUUUCUUGUAUAGCACUUCUCCAUUUAAGAAGAAUCUCGAGGACACUCUGCAUAAGAAACCUUUUGUAACAGAAUCGGCAUCAGGAGGGUAGGAUCUCGUUUUUAUGAAUUCCUUAAUGUUAUUGUACCAAGAGCGACCAUCGGUGACCCUUUCCGUAACCAGACAGUGCGCCGGCCUAUUCUGAAGUUGAAUCUGUAUAGGUUCAAUCACCAAUUCAUCUGGAUGUUAGAUCAUCGAAGACAGAGUAGCUAAAGCAUUAGCAAAGGCAUUACGAAUGCGGGGAAUAUGUCUGAGCUCCAAAUUCCUGAAUUUGCUGGCCAAACUAAGUAAGUUACAAUGAUGCAGCAUAAUUUUUGAAUCUCGAGUUACCCACUGCUUAAGCGUCUGGUGCACAAGUAAAUCGGAAUCACUGAAUGCUAUCAGAUCCUUGAUCUCCAUGUCCAAUGCCAUUUUCAAUCCAAAAAUACAAGCUUCAUACUCGGCCAUGUUGUUGGUACAAGGAAAUCGUAAUUUGGCAGUAGCAGGAUAGUGUUUCCCUUCAGGCGACACUAAAACUGCUCCAAUUCCAGCUCCGAAAGAAUUUGACACGCCGUUGAAAAAUAACCUCCAUCUAGGAUACUGCUCACUCAUGUCCUCAACUAUUCCAACGAACAGAAUUUUUUCAUCAGGAAAGUAGGUAUAUAAUGGCUGGUAAUCAUCAUCUCUUGGAUUUUCUGCCAAAUGAUCUGCUAUGGCUUGACCCUUGACUGCCUUUUGUGUUGUGAAGAUAAUGUCGAACUCGGAAAGGAUCAUUUGCCACUUAGCCAUACGUCCCGUGGGCAUCGACUUUUCCAACAGGUAUUUUAGAGGAUCAGAACGAGAAAUCAAGUAAGUGGUAUAAUCGAGCAAAUAAUGUCUCAACUUCUGAGCUGCCCAUGCUAAAGUACAACAACUCCUUUCAAGAAAAGAAUAGUUAGUCUCAUAUGCGGUAAAUUUCUUACUCAGAUAGUAGAUGGCUUGUUCCUUUCUCCCAGACUCAUCAUGCUGUCCCAGAACGCAUCCAACAGCCUCAUCAAGAACAGACAAAUACAUAAUCAGAGGUUUCACUGGAUGAGGUGGCACUAAGACCGGAGGAUUUAACAAGUAAUUCUUGAUCUUAUCAAAAGCUUGCUGACAAUCUUCAUUCCACUCCAUCGACGCAUUAUUUUUCAACAGUUUGAACAAAGGCUCACAGGUAGAGAUUAAUUGUGCAAUGAAUCGGCCAAUGAAAUUGAUCUUUCCAAGAAAACUCUUCACAUCUUUUUGAUUUUUUGGAAUGGGCAUAUCUCGAAUUGCUUUUAUUUUUGCAGGAUCUAUCUCUAUACCCUUUUUGCUGACAAUAAAACCCAAUAAUUUGCUAGUUGGGGCUCCAAAAGCACAUUUUGCAGGAUUCAACUUCAAAUUAUAUCUUCUCAAUCUUUCAAACAGUUUCUUUAAAUCAACUAGAUGGUCUUCGACCUUGUUGGAUUUAAUUAUGAUAUCAUCCACAUAAACCUCCAUCUCUUUGUGAAUCAUGUCAUGGAACAGGGUAGUCAUGGUUCUCUGAUAAGUGGCUCCAGCAUUCUUCAACCCGAAAGGCAUCACUCGAUAACAAAAGGUUCCCCAUUGGGUGAUAAAAGAAGUUUUCUCCCUAUCUUCUUCUGCCAUUAAGAUUUGAUGAUACCCAACAAAACAAUCACCAAAAGAUUCAAUUUCGUGUCCAGCAGUAUUGUCCAAAAGAACAUGAAUAUUUGGCAACGAAAAAUCAUCUUUCGGACUGGCCUUAUUCAAAUCUCUAUAAUCAACACAUACUCGCACCUUCCCAGAUUUUUUAAGCACUGGCACAGGAUUCGAGAGCCAGAUGAGGUAAUGAGACACCACGAUUAUCUUGGCAUUGAGCUAUUUCACAAUUUAUUCUUUUAUCUUGAAACUCAUUUCUGGUUUGAAUUUACGUGGCUUCUGCUUCAUAGGUAAAACAUUUGGAUCAGUUGACAAUCCGUGAACCACUAUAUCCGUAGAGAUCCCUGGCAUAUCAUCAUAUGACCAUGUAAACACGUCUUGAAAUAGCAUUAAGAAUUCGAUCAUUUCCUCCUUCUACUUCUUUUUCAAAUGAAUGCUGACUUUAACUUCUUUAACCUCCGUUUUAGUGCCAAUAUUGAUGAUUUCUGUUUCUUCUAAGUUGGGCUUGGGUUUCUCUUCAUACUGUUCUAAAUCCCUUGAAAUGGACUCAAAUUCCUCCUCAGUAUCGCUCUCAUUUUGAAUUUCAGAUUGCAUGAUUUCAAAUUCAUGAGAGAUAUUGAGAUUGCAGCCAUCGAAUUCCAAAAUGGUGACAUCCAAAGAGUCAAAGGGUUUUAUUUGUGGCUAUCUAAAAAUAAAAUAGAACAUACGUAAUAAAUAAAUAGAAAAUACAAGAGAAAUCUUCCAUUUUAUUAAAUUCAAAAUGCAUCGAGGCUUCACAAAAAGACAAAUACACAGACACGAUUGCCAUUUAAAGACAUAUCCAACUCAAACCUUUAUUUUCGUUUCAACAAUUUUCUUGAACAAAACAAGCUAUAUUAACUGAAAUGAGAAUAAAGCUUCAGAAAGUAAAAGCAAUUUAUUUUAACAAAAGAUCCGGAUUACCGUCCAAUCUAGAUAUGAAACUAGACAAAAGACAAUCCCCUUAAAUUUACCGAAAUUCCCUUCGAGAGGGAAGAUAAUCAGCAAUCCAAUUUUGAAUAGCUCCUUCAGUAAUUGGCAAAAAUUUUGAAUUCUCUGAUGGUUCCUCCUCACAAGUUGCCCCGACAAAUAAUUGAGAUAGGUCCAUUUCAAUCUCCUCCACAGGAUUUUUCGUUUCUGGCAUGAUCACCUCUGAUGGUCGAGAAAAAGUGUGAUGUAGCGGUGGGACAUUUAAGGCAAUUUGCUUACCCUUCAUUUCAGCUUGUUUUCGAGCUUGCAUUUCUUUUCUAUCCUUAGCAGUUGGAUGAAAUCCCAGUCCAAAUAUAUUCUUUUGCGUCGGGAUCUUUAUUGGCUCCAAAAUUCCUUGCAAUUCCCGCCCAAGACCUUUUCCUAUUUCAUAUCCGCCUCGGAUCAUCUCCUUAGCCAUCAUGAUACUGGCCUCUGGCAAAUCUGAUUUAGUCAGCGACUUAUCUCUGGAUAUCCAUUUCACAGAGACGAUGUCAGCAACAUGAUGAGAUGAAAUUGGAGUCCCUUUUCUGUCUUUCCCUUUGAAUUUUGCAUCAACGAUCAUGGUACAGUCAUCCUCAGCAAACACAGUAAUGAGCUGAUCAUUCAUAAUAAAUCUCAACAUUUGAUGCAGAGAAGAUGGUACUGAAUUGGAAGCAUGUAUCCAGGGUCUUCCAAGCAAAAUAUUGUAAACACUGGAGAAAUCCAUCACUUGGCAAGUAACUUGGAAUUGAGCAGGGCCUAUCUCCAGAACCAGAUCUGCUUCACCCAUAGAUUCCCUCCUCGAACCAUCAAAUCCUCGAACCACAGUUGCAGAUGGACGGAGUUUAAUGUCAAGAAAUCCAAGCUUGGUGAGAGUGUUCCAUGGACAGAUAUUCAACGCUGACCCAUUAUCUACUAAAACCCUUGGCAACAGCUUUCCAUUGCAGCGGACUGAUAUAUACAAGGCUCUGUUAUGCCCGAUCCCUUCUGCAGUCAGAGCAUCACCGGAGAAGGCAAUAUGAUUAGCAGCAAGUACAUUCCCUACAAUGUUAGAAAAUUUAUCCACCGGAAUAUCUUUAGAGACUUGAGUUUCAUUCAGGAUUUUGAGUAAUGCAUCUCUGUGUAGCUCGGAAGUCAAGAGAAGAUUCAGAAAAGAAAUCUACGCAGGCAUCCUAUCCAACUGCUCUACUAUUUUGUAUCCACUUCUCUUCAGCAUCUUUAAGAAAUCCACAGCUUCAUUUUCAGGCACAAGAGACUUGGGCGUCGGAGAUUUAACCUUGGCCUUGGAUUGAACGUCUACUUCGGAGUUUCCCACGAUUCUCUCAGACGUGGUAAUAGUAGAUACCUCUUCCUUUAAGUAUUUUUUUAUCUCCGAUCAACAAAAUAGACUCCUCGUAGUUCCACGGUACCUCUUGCAAAUUAUUGACAGGUAUUUGUUCCGAAAAUUCAAGAACGACAGGCUCUGAUAUAUCCCAUUCAAAAGAUGGUAAAUCCAGAAUAAAAGGAACUUUGUCAAGCUCGGAAACUCCCCCUUCUGCUAUAAAUGGCUCCUCUUUUUCAAAUACAAAAGAUUUCAAUUUUUCCUCAACAUCAUCAUUAGUCAUGAACUUCUCAGCAGAUAGCGAUUUUCUCAUUCUCGCAUGAUCAGUUUCCAUUACACCAAACAUCUCAGUUUCAUCUACAAUGUAUUGGGUGGAAUCGAUAAAAUCUUCAUCAGUCAUGAUAACUCCUACAGUGCUUCCAUGCUCAGGUAAAGGAUUCUUACUGACAUUGGGUCCUUGUUUUCCCUUUCUUCUAAGAACAAUGUCUCUAGAAUCAAUAAUGUCCUGGAUCUUAUGUUUUAAAUCCCAACAAUUGCCAAUGGUAUGACCUGGACUUUCAGAAUGAUAGGCACAGAUUGCUUGUGGAUCAUAACCGUCAAGAGGACCUCUGGGAUAGAGUUUGGGAGGAACAGUGCUAAUUUUUCCAGCUGCUCAGACAAUUGAUCAAUGGGUCGGCCCAAAUUGGUAAAGGUUCGGAAUUGCCUUUGAUUUUGAACUCCCUUGGUUUGAAAAGGAUUUUGAGAAUGGUUAUUAUUUUGCAGGGUUAGUCUGGAAUGAUAAUUGGGAUGGGAGUGAUUUUGAAAGAUGGGUUGUGGAGUUGGAGGUGACGGUGAGAUAUUCAAAUGGCUUGGUCAGGAAUGAUGGAGUUGGGUAGUAGUGUGGUAGACUGGCUGAGGGUUGGUAUAUUACGAGUAAGGAACAGAAUAGGUGGGAUGGUUUCUGGGUCUGAAAGACGGGCCUUGAUCUCAUAUAAAAGUAGUUUCUCCUUCUUUCUUCUUGAAUUGGGACUCUUUUCAAUGUUGCUUUGAUUCUGUAGAGCAUCCAAUUACAACUUCAAUGCCGAUACAUUAACAAUCUUCCCUGCCUUGACAAACUCAUCGUAUUCCUCCAACUUGUUAAUAAUAGCAGCAAACGAACUUCCAGUCAUGCGAAAGAUCUCUUCAAAGUAGGGUGGAUCAUGAGCCUUGAUGAAAGGACGAACAAUCUCCUCCUCAGUCAUAGGUGGCUCCACUUUGGCAGCUAACUUUCUCCACCACUUUGCAUAGGUCUUGUGAUCUUCCGAUGGCUUUCUUUUUGUACCCUCCAGUCUUGUUCGUGUCGGUGCCAACUCACAAUUAAACUCAUAUUGCUUCACAAAAGCUGUUGACAAAUUCAACCAGGUUUUAACCUCUCCAGAUUUCAAAUUUGAAUACCAAUCUAGAGCAUCUCCCUCUAAACUUUUCGGAAAUAGACGCAUAGGCAAAUGUUUAUCAUCCAUAGGCUUAUCCAACUUGUUGGCAAACAUCUUGAGAUGCGUUUUAGGAUUUCCAACUCCAUCAUACUUACUGAAUUUGGGAGUUUUGAAUCCCAAUGGUAGCUGAAUAUUUGGGAAAAGACACAAUUCAUCGUAGUCCAACCCACCAUGUCUGCUCAAUCCAUGAUUCUUCUUCAUAAAAUCAUCGAAUUGAUCCAACCUACUCAACAUAUCCUUGUCAAUAGGUGCAGGUUGUUCUUCUAUCGCCGCCUUCCCUUGAGAUGCAGUAUCCAACACAAAAGGCGCUGCAACGUGGUGGUGGGGUUCCUGAGGGUUAGGGGGAACAUUCAGAUUGGUUUGUGGAUGGGUUUGAGGGAUCUGGUUACUGGUUGGGUUAAUCAAUAUAUAAUUUGGAUACAUAUGGGAAAGGUCUGAGUUUAGUCGGGUAAAGGUAUUUUCAAGGGGAUUAGCGAAGGGAGGAAGGAAAGUUGUUUGGACAUUGGAUGUGUGAGGUGGUUGAUGGUCUUGUGCAGAUGGAUGAUUAUCGACUGGUUCUUGGUCGUUCAGGACACCACCACUAUUGCUUGCGAUCAACUGAUCAAUUACACGCCUUUGUGUGGCCAUUUCAGUACUUAACUCAUUGAACUUGCCAAGUACCUCAUUUAACUGAGCUCCCAAUGCUGUGAAGUCCGGUGAUGCAACCAUAACAGAUCUUUCAGAAGUUUCUGGUACUGAAUUCAUGUUUACAGGCUGUCUCAAAGCUCUACUUCGAGAUCUGGUGAUGAUGGGGUUUCUUCGGGUAGCUAUUGUGUGAAAUACCUAAUAGUGGAGAAAAGAAACUAAUUUAGGAGUGGAUUUUCUGUCAAAUUGCUGUAAUUUAUUCAAGAAAAAGAAGAAAAAUGAAGAAAGAAAAAAAAAUGAGUUAGCAAAUAUUUAAAUAAUUCGGAUGCAUGUCCUAUGGGGGAACCCUUUUCUGCCAAGGGUAGGCCUAAUAUAAUGCAACACCUUUGAAGUGAGGCCUGUUUACCAAACCUGUGUUUUGAAAAUAACCUUGCAGAAGAUAAAGAUCAUUUCAUUGAUGAAUUUCUAAAUCUCAUACAUCAUCUACAUCAUUUUUUGAAGUUGAUUUCGUACAAGAUCAUUAAACUUUUUCAAUCUAUCUAUCACAGCAUCUUUUGACUCUCUGGAAUAGGGAUUCUGCAUGUGUUCAGCUUGAUCAUACAACUUGCCACACUUUCUUUUCAAUUCCUGGUGUUUUUCUUGCAUUUCUCCACACAAUUUUUUAUUCUUCUCUACCAAACCUUUAUUCACUUCCACAGAUUGCCUUAAUUGCGUAUUUUCUCUGUCCUUCGCCUCAAUGAUAGCCAUUAAUUUCUUGACUUCCUCGGAUUGUUCCAUCAGUGGUUGCUCAGCAUUAGAUUCUCUGAGCCACUCCUCGUAUUGAGGAGUAACUAAGGCCAUCUGCUUAAGUUGUGGAGCAUAAGCGAUCUCCUCAUCAUUGGACAAUGUUCCCCAGGCUUCGACAAUGGAUAUUUUCAUCGGAAUUUUAUCCGGACAGAUCCCUUUGUCAUAACUGAUGAUGAAAUCAGUCAAAUCAGGUUUAAGUGGUACUCCUUGAACGCGUCCUAACUGUCUGAGAAACCUUUUUGGAGUGUAUGCCAUGAUGCCUUGAGUUCCCAAAAGCGGUAUAAAAUCUGAUGAUUUGACGCGCAGAACAGGGUUGAAACAGUUGGUCCAGUCUAGUACCCAUCUAAUCUUUUGAUCUGGCAAUACCCUCAGAAAGUCCAACCAUUCAGAUGCAUUUCUUGGCAAAUUGCUUUUGUCAACUCUCUUAUGAUGGGUAGUUAUCCAAUUAUACCCAAUCAACGGUAGACUAUCAGGAGCAAACAACUGUCUCCGAAAGUGUUCCAUGGCCCAUAUAUGCAAGAUCCAAUUUGACCCAUAAAAGAACUUUGACCCUUUUUGACAAUUAGUACAUGCAACAAGAAUAUCAGCCAACACAGUCGGGUACUAUAGAGGCUUGUCGACCCUUAAUCCCAAAAAAUAAGUCAGAUAGGAGCUUAGUGAUUUUUAAACCAAUUUUCUUAUCUUUUCUAGGAAACAAAUAAAUCCCUGCCAUCACAAGUCCAUACACCAGUGGCCUCUUACAUUCCCAUGUUGCCUUAGAUGUAAAUGAAAAAUCUUUCGAAUGCUUAUCAAAUCCAUCUUUUAUUGCAAAUCUAUCAAACAAAAAUUUUACAUCUAUACUUUGAUCUGAUUCUCGUACUACAGACUCUUUUAAUCCAGUAAAAUGACAGAAUUCGAUCUUGCCAGAAGCAAUCGGAAAUAUCACUGUUGUACCUUUUACUGGCAAAUUCAGAAGGCCGGCUACCUCUUCAAUUGUUAGAGUCAGCUCCUUGUUUCCUAUCCUAAAUGUUGAACCGUUGGAAUCCCACAGUUGAAUUAAAGAUUCUACCAAAUACCCAUCUGAUUCAAUGUCUUUGAAAUCUCCAAUUGGCCCGAGGUGAGAGGCAACCAGAUUGAUCUCGCUAAAUGAGAGAAGCCCCGGCCAUCUUCGAACCUCCAUUGGAACGGCUAACAGCUGACUGAUUCGUUGAGGUUUGUCCAUUUGAAGCACGUAGCCUCGAUUAAAUACCUUACCUACAGGCCUCACUUCUUCAGUUUUACAAAAAAUUUAAACAUGAAUAUCCCAUAGAGGGUUAGUUACCCUGGGAAAACAAGGUUGGUACAUUCCUAAAAUGGGAUUUCCUAAAUGGCAUUUCCUCUAGGGUUAAUGCAUGAUGUCAAUUUAUUAAAGUGAGUAAACAUGCAAUACGGUAAUUGAAACAUGAUCUAAGGGUGUCCCAUUUAAAUGUCGGGGUAAGCUUAAAAUGAUAUGCAAUACAUACGCAUAUUAUUAAUGCAAUUAACUAAAAUUUAAACGUGCUUAAUAUAAAAGACGGUCUUGUCCUAAACGAGUACCAUGCUAUGACUCUUAUUUCUAAACCUUAUGAAUGCAAUGGAGACAAAAACCAAGAAAAGUUAGUUCAAUCAGAUAAAUACACAUAACACAUUGUAGCAAAGCAAUACAAAGAAAUAAAGCAAUAAAAGGAAAAGAGGGGUUGGAUCCCUCCCCUUGUGAAUAGUGUCCCAAAUAGGGUAAGGCAGACUCUACCCUAGGUCAACUAUCAUGGAUGCAUGAGGUAUUGGCUCACUAAUGCAUCUAGACUCGAUAAGCUCAGGUCCCCAAGCCUUCAGACUCGUGGCCAAGGGUCAUCAAUUCCAAGGCCCUUUGUCGGUGGCUGGAGCGAUUCCCCAAACACCGCUACGCAUACAUCGUGUCACGGCUACUUGUUUGAGUGCAUCUAUCAAAUAAUUCUCAACCUUCGACCAUAAGCAGAAGGCUAUCAACCCAAAGUUUAAAGCGAAAAAUUGAGUGACCCCUCGGAUCAUGCUACGCACACAUCGUGUCACGAUCACAUGUCCAAGUAAGUCGCCUAAUCCUAAUAGGGUGGAGUGGUGUGACAACCACUAAAAAGAAAAUAAGAUGUAGGGUUGUAAAUAAAUAGCGUAUGCACGUAUGAAGCGCUCCUUUGAGGGGAGGGAUUAACAUUAAACGCACGUGCAGGCUCUAAGGUAAUAUUUCCUACCCCAAAUGCAAAGCGCGAUACAAAUAAGUAAACAAACAAAAGUACAUAAAUAAACCAUUCAUCACAUACACGAGGAACGAUGAACAUUCGUGAAGUGCAAAACAUCCUAAAAAAGAAAAAUGCAACCUAAAACAUCUAAAUAUGAUAAAUAAAAGGGUUAAAAAGAGAAAAGACAACUAAACCAAGUGCUUGGACUCUCUAGCAUCCCCAGUGGAGUCGCCAAGCUGUCGCGCUCCAUUUUUCGCGAUGGGAAAAUAAAAGGAGAGUGUUUAGAAAAGAUGUGAUUUUAUUUUAAAAUAAGUGAAAAGAGACCUAAAAUGGGACUUUAAAAUGCCACAAUUUGGGUCCAAAAUUUAGUUUAAAAAGGAUUUUUAAGAAAAAAUUAGGAGUCGCCACUUGGUAUUGAGUUUUGGUAUACCAAGUCACCCAAAAAUAUUUUUAAAUAAAAUAAAAUAAAACCCUUUUCGACAACUCCAGGUCAUUGAAAACAAAGAAAAUGAGUUCGAGAGUCACGGUUGAAGAAAUGGAAGGCAAAGGUUCGAUUAAUUCAAACCUAAGGCACCCUUUCAACCUAAUCUAAGCUAGUUGCAUGGUUUAGUCAAAAUUUUCUUAAUCUAACCUUUAAAUUUAUCACAUUUGGAUGUUUCCUAUAUGGAUACAAACCUAAAAUAUCGAAAGGGACAAAAUAUUCAUUCAAGGGUUUAAUUGAUACCAAUCACAUUACUUGCGAAGGCCAAAAUAAUUCCUUGAAGGGGUCACGAGUAUGCGAAUGGUAAAAUCAAAAGAAAAGAAAAGAAAAUUAAAUUAUAUACAUAAGGUAUAAGUGAUCAAAGAAAAAGGAAUGCAACAUAAUGGAUACGGGAGGUAAAAACUCGUGACAUAAUUCUCUUAUACAAGGAUUAAUGGGGUAUUUAAACUAAAGAGUUAUAAUCACCCAUAUCCAUGAUCAAAAAAUAAUUCUCCUAAUAUGAACAAGCAAAUGAACUAACUUAUUCCAUAAUUUCUUAAAUGAAAUACAAUUCUAAAUGAUAUGAUUAACACAUAUAGAGGAUAGGGGUAGAGGAUAAUAUAAUAAAAAAUAUCAUGCAAAUGAGAAAAUAUCCUAAAAUAAAAAUAUGCAUGAAAAUGUAAUUGAUAUCAUACAAAAGAUGAAUCUAAUGUGUGAACGAUCUAAGGGUCUAGCAUUGGACUAACCCAUUCCUAAAAAAAAAACCUCACUAGCGUUGGACUAGCAAGUAAAUGAAGGGCGAAGCCACAACUAGCGUUGGACUAGUGCGGUGACGUCAUGCAUUUAUUAUAAUCAAAUAAAUUAUAUAAAAUAUAAUAAAAACAAAUAAACACAUAAAUCACAUAUAACAUAUAGCACAUAAGCAAGAUAUCUAGAUGCAAUGGCCCUGAGGAAAGCGAGGAAAUAUGUAAACAUACAAGCAUGCAAGCACACAAACAAAUAAAAACAAAUAGAGAUUUAACUAUUACAUUCGGGGGGCCCUAACUACAAUCGAAAGGUAUAACGAAUAAAAAAUAACAAUAAUCUAAUUAUUACAAUUUGGCAUUUAAAUGCCUCUCAAAUAAUCAAAAAUUAAAUUAAAGUAAAUAUACAAAAUUUUAAAAAAAAUAAAAUGAAUAACUAAAUAAAAUAAAAUAAAAUAAAAAACAUUCAAAAACAUGCAAUUACACACAUAAAAUCACAUAGGAGCACAUAGGAGGAUUUAAAAAUAAAACAAGAAGAUACCUCCCUUGAAGUAGUAAUUAAUGAGAAAUUGGAUUUGCCCUAUUUACCUCCAAAAUUAACAAAAUCAUCAAGGCACCAAUUUAAUUAACAAAUAAAUCAUAACGAAUGGAAAUAAACAUGAAAUCAAUCAAUUGAAACACUUAAAUGAAGUGUAAUCAAUAAUUAUAGAAGAAAAGCAACUUCUAUUUAAGCAAUCAAAUCUGUUAGGGAUCUAAUACCAAAAUAAACAAAGUUUUAGGGAUCAAAUUAUAUUACCACAAAAAUCUAGGGUCUAAAUUAAAUAAAAAUAAAGUUUAGGGACCUAUUUAUAAUUAAUUAAGGACCUAAUUGAAACAAAUUUAAAAUGUUCUGGGCUGCAGUUAAACUACUCUAAAUAUCAGGGGCUAAAGUGCAAAUUUCGGUUUCUGAUUUGGGCAAGAAAAAGGCCAUCGGGCUAUCAUUUUAUUUCUUUGAGCCGAAGGCCAUCCGGCCCAACCGAAAGUCCAGAGAAGCGAGCAGGCCAGCCCGUCUUCUUAUCACUCAAACCCAACCAAAAAAUCAUGGGCUCUGACCUUCUAGUCCAACCGAAAAUAAGAAACAAGCCCACAAAAUAAAUAAAAAUUAGCCCAGCCCACUUUUCUUUUUUUCUUUUCUUUUUCUUCUUCUUCGGCCAGCUGAAGCAGCUGCCGGUGCCGCCGUCGGCCACCGGCGAAUUUUCCGGUCGCCCAAAAUUGCCAAAAUACACCCCCUCACUCCAUUUUUCGCGUAGAUUCCAUUUUCGGAGUUAUUUUUUACAGAAAAUGAUCCGAAAGUGGUCAAAUGGCCAAAAAGAGUCACGAUUUUUAUUUUUUUAUUUUCAUUUAUUUUUUUAAAACAUCAUAUCCUUCACCAAAAAUCAUAAAAAUUAUACUAUAACACUCCUUACAACUUCUACAAUACAACUAUGAUUUAAUCUGACAAGAAGACAACAUAAAAAAACUAAAAUAAGGCAAAACAGCCCCCUAAAAUUCUUUUUUUGUUUUUUUUGGCAUUUUUCAAACAAUUAACAUGCAUUCACAGAAAUCGUUUUUUUCUUAAUGUUUAUUCAUGGCUUCCCCAAAAAUUCAACAACAUCAGUAGCAACAACAAACGAAGCCAAGGGACAAACAAAAUCAAAUCAUGUAUUUAAUUUAAUAAAUUAAAGAAAGGAAAAAGCUGGAAAAAAGAUAAAAAGAAAAAUACCUCAAUGAAGAUUGUAGUCUCUUGAUUAAAAUUUGAUGAAAUUACAAGCUCCAAUCAUUUUUAUCGGCCUUGCCCUGUCCAAGAGAAAAUCUGAGAGUGAGUGUUUUAUUUGCUAAAAAUGAGAGGGAGAAUCUGAGAGAGAGAGCCGAGAGAUUUUUUUUUCUUCCCUGUCUUCUGCACCCGAGGCCUGAGAGAGGGAGCAAAUGAGGGGGUUUCUUGCAAUUUUUCUUCUUCUGCUUCUUUGUCCGAGAGAAUCCAGAGAGAGAAGUUGAGAGAGUAGAGACCGAGAGGAGCCAGGGAUCCCUCUUUUCGUCCGUUUGUUGAGAGCCAGAGGCCUCCGCUGCAAAAAUUUCUUUCCUUCUCUCUUGUUCUGUUGCUCCACCGAGAGAGAAUGAGGCAGGGACCUCCUGAGCAAUUUUUCCUUCCACCCCAUUUUCUGUCCAGGUCCGAGAGAGAAUUGAGAGAGUUUUUUUUUUCUUUUCGGCCCAGAGCUCCCAAUGAGAAAGAGAGAGAGAAGUGGAGUCCAGGGAGUUUUCUGCAAAAAUUUCUUAGCCUUCUUUUUUUUCGUCCGUUGGCAGCCUUGGUCAAAAAGAAAAGAAAGAAAAUCAUCAUGGAGGCAUCAUGAUGACCAAGGUGUCUCCACUAUCUUUUUUUAUUAUUUUUUUUUAAAAAAACUGAUUUUUUUUCUUUUCUUUUUUUUUAAAUAAACCUGCAAAUAUAAGAAAAAAUUUGCAUUAAAAUGUUAGAAAAUAAAUAAUCCAUUAAAUAGAAAAAUUCAAGAAAAUAUUAAAAAUUGACAAAAUUUUGAUGUCUACAUUAUGUAUAUAUUGCCAUUUGAUUGUGACUUAUUCAAAAAAAAAUCUUUAAGUUCAACGAUGUUAUUAUGUUGCUAUAAAGUGUUUUUAUGAAAUUUUAUAGGAAUUUUGGAUGACAUUUGUCAUAUAUUUAAUUCAAUUCACACCUGUUUUUUCAUUUUAAAACCCCUAACUAUAACUAGAAACUUAAGAGACCAUAUUGAUUGAAACUUCAAACAUUGGGGACUAAAAAUGUAAAGUUAAAAUCAGAAAAUUUAGAGACCAAAUUUGUUUUGGCUGAUAUAUUAUGGACCAGUUUGAUAUAUGGGUCAAACAUUGAGAGUCAAAUUUGUGUCUCUCUUUGGAAAAUUUUGAGAAGUAGUAAUAGAAAGAUUUAAAAUUCAGUAUAAGUUUUAGCAAAUUCACAUAUUCCUAAUAUCUAAUAAAACACAUGUCAUAAUCAAAAUUACCAAAUUAACCUAUCCAACCAAGCAAGCUCCCACUCUAAUCAUCUGAUCCCCAAAUUCCCUUUCUUACUCAUUUUGGGAGGGAAAUGAAUUAGCACAAAAAUCUGAGGCAAUCCUUCUAGGACUAUGAAUGGGGCGAGGUCAGCUUGAACUUGGCUCCAAGAAAAUGUCUAAUGAGCCUGACCUUUCAUUGAGUUGGAUUGAAAUUGGGUCUGAAUAUUAGUUCGAAAUUAAAUGUGAACAGAGUUUGGACACUAUUAAGGUCAAACCCGAUAUAGGUUCAACCCUUUAAUAUGCAUAUAUAUAUAAUAUUCAUAUUUUGAUAUAUAUAAUUAUAUAUCUAAAUUUAUAAUACUAAUACUUAUGAGUUAUUUGUCAAAAUAUAUUAAUAUAUAUAAGGAAUAUUAAAUAUACAAAAUUAUGUCAAAAGAUUUUUAAGGACAAAUCUUAGUACAAGCAAAUUGAGGACCUUUGAAGAUAUAUUGACUGUUAAUCAUAUUUUAUUACUAUUUUCCAUGUGCAUUGAAUUAAUUGGAUACAUUAUUGUUGAAAAUUUCUUGGUUUAUAUAUUUUUUAAUGAACUGUUACUGGUUCUUGUAUAGUUUUAAUGUUGUGGUCUUGUGGAUAUUAAAUUAGUUUAAAACUUAAUAAUUAUAGUAAUUAUAUUAAGGAAAUUAAGGAAUUAUAAGUGAUCUUAAGUUAGGUCUGAAUUAAACUCACAAUUUGAAUAUUUUGUGAGUCAAAUAUGAGUUUCACAUUUACUAAUCCAAAACUUAUAAUUCGAAACCCGAAAGUGAUACUACUAUAAAAGCGGAACCUAAGUUUGUUAAACCUCGCUUCAAAUGGCCCAACUGACAGGCCUAAAUACUUCCCUUCUUUUGAUUUAAAUGAAAUUAAAUUUAAACCUAUAGUUUAGUACUCAUAUUCUUUUGUACCCAAACAGCCUUUUGACCUUUUUUUUUGGUAUUAACCACAGGUGUUCGCAUCCGUUUUACGGUCUGCGACUAAUCCUGUUCGAGCCGCGUCGGGUCCUUUGUAGGGGAAAGCUCUCUCAACGUUGUUUUUUCCAUCCCCAUGGGUUUCGAACCCAAUAUCUCAUGGUUAAGGGAUGCAAGCCCCCACUUGUACCAACAGCCAUUGGUGCCUUUUGACCUUUGAAAAACAUUACCCGAAAUACUACAAAUUAUCUUUACCUUGAUUAGAAUUAUUUCAAGCAAUCAUGAAAGUCAAUUCACAUAAUCAAUUUUGUUGUCUAGGUUCUAUUUUUAUUUUUUAGUUUUUUUAUUCUAACUGUAAAAAAACGUUCAUAAUCGCAAUACUACUAUGAUUGAUCAUGGAAGUAUAUUGUUUGGUUGCAUUUUUUGGAAGGGUAUAUUGUAAAACUUUUUCAGAUGUGAUGUAUAUGAAAUAAAAAAAAUCAUUGAAAAUGUGUCAAGGAAAUAUUUUCGAAAAACAUGAGAUUUUUGUCCUGAGAAUGGCAAUCCAAAAAACGCCACUAUAUUUGCAUACUACUGCAAAUUGACCUCUUUUCUACAAAUAUAUUAUUUUUUAUAACUUAAGCUAUCCAAAAAAAAAAAAAGAUCUCUAAUCAAAAUAUUGAAUUGUUAUGUACAAACCUGUAACAUAUAUGCUUCUAAUAAAACAAAAAAAAUAAUGAAAAAGAUCAAUCUUUAAAAAUAUUACCUAUGGAAGAUAGAAGCAAUUGAUAAAAUUCAGGAAUUCUUCCAGACUUGUGGUUUUCAAAUAUCAUUGAUUUCCUCCAGUUUCACGUGAUCUAGUAGGCCUUUGCAAUUUUAAUCUUUUGCCAUUGGUAGAAAAUGUACAAUGGUAGGGAAAGAAUGGUUUUAGUAGUGAAGAAAAAGGCAAAGGAACUCUUUUAUAGCAAUCGUGAAGCCUUAGAGCAAUUGCAGUAGUUGACGAAUAAACACAACCUAUAAAUGGGCAAUAUUGCCUUUUUAUGCAAUAACAAGAAAAGAAAGAGUGCGUGAGACUUUUUUUUUUGUGGGAAUGUUAAUAUUAUUUGCCUUUUGCAAAAUCCAAUUUUGGGAAAGAAUGGUAUCAACUUUCCUUCUCUCAUUUGUUAAUAUUGAGAGAACUCCAACAGGCACCGCUUUGUUACACAAUAUGAAGGGUUGUUUUAGAUUCUUCUUAUUGUUUGCACUGUAAGUAUUGAACCUAUAGUUAACUAAAGUUAAUUUCUAUAGAUAGUGGUAAGCAGGGUCGAAUCCACAGGAAUUGGGUGUAACUAUUUCUUUUCAAAUUCACAGUAACAAAGGGGGUAUUUUUGUGCAGAAGGUGACAAUCAAAGAAAUUCAAAUAAAAUCUAAGAAGCUACUAAAAACUAAAUAACAAAUUACUAAAAUCAAAUGGGUGAUAAUUAAGGAUCUAGCCAAGAAAUAACUUCAGCAAUGGUGCACCUAAUCGAUCAUUGAAACAAAGGCAAUUCCAAUUAUUUAUCAAUAAAUAGGUUAUAACUACCAAACAAGUGAUGGCAGUCAACCCCUCCUUACUAUGUCGGGAUUAAGGUACGCCCGUUAAUCACUACUCUAAUUAGAAAAUAAUCCUAGGUAUGCCCGUAAGAUUUAAUUUCCCAAUUGCCUUAUGUAUUAGAGGAGCCCUAUUCUAAACAAAUAACACACUACCAGGGUUAUUUCAAAUUAGCCUGCGUAUUCCCCUGAAACAAACCCAAUCAUGCUAGUUGUUACUAUUUCAAGGCAAUUAAAUAAUUACGGAUUUAAUGCCCUAAUUGACGAUAAAUUAUCAAGUUAACUAAUUAUCCGGAUCCAAGACAAUCAAUUAAUUAAACAAUCAUAAGCACUAUAACUAGGGAAUAUGCGAAUACCAAUAAAUAAAAGAAAAAGGUAAAAUUAAAUCGAUCUCACAAUUUUUAGGCGAACCAAAACAUCCAUUGCUCCUUGACUAGAAAAAGGGGUUUAGCUCAUUCUUGAUGAAAAAAUCCCAUGCAAGACUGUAUAAAUAGUUGCGACAUACAUUCUCCCAAUUAGGGAGCAAGAAACGGUGGAAAACCGAAUAAUGGAAGAAAAGACUCCUCUGUCAAAAAAAGAUGAUGACCCCUUAUUUCUACCCUAAGUGUAACAUACGUGGACUCAAAACCACUAAAGGACGAAAUUGUCCAAAGCCCAAGAGAAGUCUUCUGCUACUCCCCGUACCUAUUGAAUUACUAAUCUAUUCUAAUGCUUGGCUUUCAUGUGCGGCGGCCCACCAGGAGAGAAACGACUCCAGCCUUUUGUGCUUCUUUUUGAAUGUUGUCUUCUGCAAAUUAUCAAAAAGGACUUGUGUCUCCUUGUUCCAAAAAUACCCCUGAAGACCUUCCAUUUGAAUUCUUUCCCGAUGACUGUCAAAUUGGCUUUGAUUGUGAUAUUUUUGUUCUACUCCCUGAAAUAAAUGUAAAUUACGAAAAGUGAGUAGAAUCUAAUAAUUAAUCCACAUCAGGUCAGGUAAUAGGAAAAAUUAAUAAUAAAAUAAAUAAUGAAAUUGUAACCGAUCAAUUCCGUCCACACCUAAACCAUGCUUAUCCUCAAGCAUGAGAACAACAAACAAACACCAAUAUUUGAUAGUGGCUAUUGCUCUAUCCGCCAAAUUGCCAAGAUAUCAAGAAAAAGAAUAAUCAAGCAUCAAUGGUCAAGUCCAAGAAACAUCACUCCGGUUAGCUUCUAAACCAUAAACUCUGCCAAUUUCAAGUUAACUAAUCUAAGAAAAAGGAGUGGUCGCUCAACAUUUAUCGGCGAAUGGUCCAACUAUUAACCAAAAUCUCAACAUUGAAUCCAUAAAUCGGCAAGCUGACUUUUAUCACACAUUAACACAACCAUCACAUUUUUUUCAUUUUUUUCAUUUUUUUUUCAUUUUUUUUCAAUAGUAACACAAGACUUAGUCUUAUAGCCAUGGAAGCCUUUCGACGCGAACUCUGACAUUUGUCAGAUGAAAGAGUCCGGUUACUCAGCUUCUAUCGUCACGUGACCACGUACUCAUAGCAUUUACUACUUUUUAACGCGAGAAUCGACACUUUAGGUAAAGAUCCUCGAUUACUCAAUAGUAACAACUAGCGGAGCACAGUCAACUCUUAUUUAUACUCAUAUAGCACGAUAACUAAAAACAACACAAAAGUAAUAGCAGCCAGCCUCAAAUUUUCAAACAUGGAGAACUAAAGUUAAUAACCGGACCAAUUCACAUGAAAAAGCCAAAAAUUGUUCCCUAUGCCUAGAAUAGUUAACCAAAAAGUAAAAGAGUCAAGCAAUUACUGAUAUUCACCAAAGAGAAGUCCCUGAACUAAACCACAUUAACUUGAUACCCUUUUAUUAUUAAAACUUGGCAAUAGCAGAAUUAGAGACAACAAUCCAACAUCAAACUUUGGUAUUUAUUAAAAAAAAAAGUAAACAAAGACUAGGCAAAUAACAAACUAAAAAUAAAAGAAGAACAUCUGAAAACUAAAAACUAGAAAAAACUAGCACAGCUGUCCCCCCCCCACACUUAGAUCCUACAUUGUCCUCAAUGGAGGGAUUAAAGCAAUUAAAGCGAAGAGGACAACGAAACUUCCCUCUCGAGUGGCUACGAGGUAGGCGGGGACGGUGGAGGGAAACCGAUGUAGUGGAAGUACGCGCCCAAGUUCUGAGACAUCAUAACUCAAUUCAACCAGCAAAAGCAAGACUCUGCACACCCAAAAUCUCAACAAAUGGCUCCAGUUGGCCAGUUAAUGCCUUAACUCAGAAUCAACAAUUUCAACAAUGACAACUUAGAUAUUUGACAAUAAUAACUCAUCCAACCAAAUAGAGGUACCCAAUUGAUGUCCAAUUACCCCACCAGUACCACUGGUGCAAAUCACAAUCCAAAACCAAAGAAAUUGCUAGAGCAGAGCAAAGCAGUAGUAGAGCAAUAGCGCCAAGUAUGUAGUCACCCACCAGCAAAGAAAGAAUACCUAAAGAAAAAUACCAACAAGAUAUGUACUCAAUCCUGGCCACUGAAGUCAACAAUCGGCCAAAGAAGGACUUCGAGCAGCUUGACAACCACAUGCACAAAUAAAACGAUCGAAAGCAUAGACAAUGGUCCCCAAAUUAGCAAUAUGAACCAAUCGCCAGAAUGUCCCCAAUAAUGCAAUUAGUGAUGACCAAUCUCACAAAGUAAAUCACGAGGCACAGGGCCUCAAUUCAAUAGGCAAUAUCAGAAAUAAUUGAAUCAAAACCUCAGUAAUCGAAACACUGGCAGAGAUGCCUUCCAAUGAUCAAUUGACAAAUGCAAAAUUUCAACCCACCCAAAAUUUCAUCAAAUGACUCUAGUUGGACAGUUAAUCGCACAAGCAAUACACCAAACAAUAUCAAAGACUUGGAAUUGGAGUUCGAGCAACUCCGCCAUUGAAAGCUGCCAAAUAAUCGCUAUGACAGAGAAUGAUGUCGGCGGCCAAAGGACAGCUAAUGGUGGCAGCGUACGUGCGAGGGUGGGAUUGACGGCGACGACUUGACUAGGUGGCCACGUGGGUGGCGCGCGGCGAGGUUGAGCGUGAGAGAGAGAGAGCCGUGAGCGGGAAAGAACGGGUGGCACGCGCGGGCUAGGUGGGCAAAGAGAGAGAGAGAGAUGCAGCGAUGUGGGUCGAAGAAGCGGCGGUCAAACGGAGAGUGGCGGCGCACGGCAACAGAGGAGAUGGUGGCGGAUCGAUGGGUGAGGCGGACAGAGGUUUUGCGUUGAGCAAGAGGAAGAAACAAGAGAGAAGAGAGAAAGGAGAAAGGAGAAAGAAAAAGAAAGAAGAAGAAAGAAAGAAAGGAAAAGAAAGAAAAAGAAAGAAAAGAAGAAAAAGAAAAAGAAAGAGAAAUUGUUUUUUUUUCUUUUUCUUUUUCUUUAGUUAUAAAAAAAUUUAUACUUUGAAAAUCUAAGCUACGGUGAAACAAAAAUUUAAAAUUUUUUUUUAUUUUUUAAAAUUUUUUUUUCAAAAUUUUUUCUCAUUGGCAAAUUUUAUUUUCGAGAUUCAAAAGCGGAGAUUAACCGACAAUCAACAACCGUUCUUGAGUUUUUUAAAUACUUAUCUCUCCCGCAAACGUGACGUGGGCACGCCAUGAAGGCACGGAAGGAAGAGCUUUCCAGGUGACUGGACGCGGGCACGUCAUGAGGGUAAGAACCCUUCUGACCGUGAGCUCUCCAUGUGACUUGACACGGGCACGUCAAGGGGAUCGGAACCCUUUUUACCAAGCACCAGGAGAUCGCAAUGUGUCACGCGCCCAGUUGGCACGGGCGUGUCAUGUCAAAGAGAUACCUAUGAAUCAUCAAAAACGAAAAUUGAAGCCACAAAUCAGUCAAAUUCAAGGAAAACAUAUUUAAAUUAACAAACAAAAAUGAACAAAUGACUAAAUGAAAUUGGGUUGCCUCCCAAUGAGCGCCUUUCUUUAAUGUCUUUGGCUAGACAUUAUCAUGUUUUGUUCAUGGAGGAUAAAAUCCUGUGGCUCGUCUUAAUGUUUCAUUCUCUAUAUAGUCCUGAUAGCUCUCGUAAAUAGAGUAAUCCUUGGACACACGAGCUACAGGCUUCCAUGGACUAGUAAAUGGCGCCAAACAAGUCAACGAUAAUUUGUAUUCUCCAUUCACUCCCCCCUCACGUGCAUUUAUUGGUCCAAGAUAUCUUGUUAUUGCUACUCUUAAUUUAUUCCUGUUAUGAAAUUUAAAAUUUUCUGGUAUAAUAAAGUCAAUUUCAUUAACAGAAAUUAAAGAAUAAGAAUCAAGAGAGUAUUGAUUAAAGACUGGAGGAGAUGUCACCGCAUUUGGAGAUUGUAUACUGGAUUCAUUCACUUGGACGAAUUGAUAUUGGGGGUCUCAUUUCUUGCACUUUAGCUUUCUUUUCAACUGCAUCUUUAGAUCCGUUUCCUUGAAACUCUUGCAGUUCCAUGUCAUUUGGCUGGAUAAUUGCACUUUCAUCUUCCUCAAGGUUGAUGUUGGUCUGUGAGGGCAAUUCUUCACACAUGUGAGAAGCUAAUUGCGUUAUCUUGGAUGUCAAUAGAUGCACUUGAUCCGCCAUCCCGGAUGUCAAUUGAUGCACUUGAUCCGCCAGGUUACUAAUGCUCGCUUGUGUCUCCUGAUGAAAUCGAUAUGUAUUAGCAGCUAGUAAUUCAAUCAUUUCUUCAAGAGACAUACCUGACAUGGAUGAUGGUUGUUGAGACUCCUGCUGUUGAAAAUCCAUUGGCCCGGUCACAUAAUUAAAAUUGAAAUUAUCCCACCAUCCUUGAUCAUACCCGUUUGAAUAAGGGUCAUACCACGUUUGAUAUUGAGGUGAGGAAUCUCCAAAAGUAUCGAUUGAAGCACUUAGGCCAUCUUGAAAUGUGGGGUAUGUGUCGAUUGAAUAACUUGAAGCAAAAUAAGUCCCACAAUUUGCAACAGCCAAUUGAUCAUUAAGAAAAGCACGAGUCUUAUAGUCCCAUUCAGGAAUAAAUUCUAGUCUAUCACCAAAAUACGGAAUGUUAGCAGCCAUAAACUAUAUAUUAAAAAAAAUAAGAGAAAAAAAGAAAGAAAACAAGAUGAACUCAAAAAGAAACAAAUUAAUCUGGCACCAGUCCCCGACAAUGGCGCCAAAAAUUGACAGGUGUCGGGUCUGUGUAAUAAUAAAAACCUGCUCAACUAAAGUUAAUUUCUGUAGAUAGUGGUAAGUAGGGUCGAAUCUACAGGGACUGUGUGUAACUGUUUCUUUUCAAAUUCACAGUAACAAAGGGGAUAUUUUUGUGCAGAAGGUGACAAUCAAAGAAAUUCAAAUAAAAUCUAAGAAGCUACUAAAAACUAAUUAACAAAUUACUAAAAUCAAAUGGGUGAUAAUUAAGGAUCUAGCCAAGAAAUAACUUCAGCAAUAGUGCACCUAAUCAAUCAUGGAAACAAAGGAAAUUCCAAUUAUUUAUCAAUAAAUAGGUUAUAACUACCAAACAAGCGAUGGCAGUCAACCCCUCCUUACUAUGUCGGUGAUUAAGGUACGCCCGUUAAUCACUACUCUAAUUAGAAAAUAAUCCUAGGUACGCCCGUAAGAUUUAAUUUUCCAAUUGCCUUACGUAUUAGAGGAGGCCUAUUCUAAACAAAUAAUACACUACCAGGGUUAUUUCAGAUUAGCCCGCGUAUUCCCCUGACACAAACCCAAUCAUGCUAGUUGUCACUAUUUCAAGGCAAUUAAAUAAUUACGAAUUAAUGCCCUAAUUGACGAUAAAUUAUCAAGUUAACUAAUUAUCCGGAUCCAAGACAAUCAAUUAAUUAAACAAUCAUAAGGACUGUAACCAGGGAAUAUGUGAAUACCAAUAAAUAAAAGAAAAAGAUAAAAUUAAAUCGAUCUCAUAAUUUUUAGGCGAACCAAAGCAUCCGUUGCUUCUUGACUAAAAAAAGGGGUUUAGCUCAUUCUUGAUAAAAAAAUCCCAUGCAAGACUGCAUAAAUAGUUGCGACAUACAUUCUCCCAAUUAGGGAGGAAGAAACGGUGGAAGACCGAAUAAUGGAAGAAAAGACUCCUCUGUCAAAAAAAGAUGAUGACCCCUUAUUUCUACCCUAAGUGUAACAUACGUGGACUCAAAACCACUAAAGGACGAAAUUGUCCAAAGCCCAAGAGAAGUCUUCUGCUACUCCCCGUACCUAUUGAAUUACUAAUCUAUUCUAAUGCUUGGCUUUCAUGUGCGGCGGCCCACCAGGAGAGAAACGACUCCAGCCUUUUGUGCUUCUUUUUGAAUGUUGUCUUCUGCAAAUUAUCAAAAAGGACUUGUGUCUCCUUGUUCCAAAAAUACCCCUGAAGACCUUCCAUUUGAAUUCUUUCCCGAUGACUGUCAAAUUGACCUUGAUUGUGAUAUUUUUGUUCUACUCCCUGAAAUAAAUGUAAAUUAUGAAAAGUGAGUAGAAUCUAAUAAUUAAUCCACAUCAGGUUAGGUAAUAGGGAAAAUUAAUAAUAAAAUAAAUAAUGAAAUUGUAACCGAUCAGAGACUAGAACCAGCAAUACCCAAUAAGAAUUGAGAAUACUUGGGUACUGCGACGGAGUCCCAUGAGACCCAAUCUUUUGAGUCUUUAUGACAAAUAAUUUUAUUUCCACAAAAUUUUUCCUGAAUAAUCACAUUUUUAAAUUAUAUGUUUAAUGUACGUGAACUUCCGUGGUACAACACUAGCUCUUUUCCUCCAUUUUUUUCCUGUACUUUUUGCAUCUUUAAUCCAUGUGUUUUUGCUUAAGCGAAUUUUUUUUAAGCAAAUGAGGAGCAUUCAGUGUGACGAUGUAAAAUUCACUCGGAACUUUAUUUAUGCAAGAUAAAUUCUUAAUAACUAAUAUAUAGCAUUUUGUACAAAGUUCUUGUUCGUUAGAAAAAAUUAUUGUUAUGUUAAUCUUGAUUGUAGGUGAUUAUGAUAAAAAUUUAUUCCACUCAGUAUGAUGAAAUGCCUUGUAAUUUUUCUUUUAGCUUGAUGAAAUGCUUAGUAGACAAAAAUUUGAAAUUUAGAAUAUGGAUUUCUUUGGUAGGUUUUACAAGUGGUGCGGAUAUUUUAUUGUAUUCUACGAUUAUUAACCAUUUUAGUUAUAUCCAAAACAAUUCAUUUGAGCAACUAGUGGAAAAAUAGAAAAAAAAUAGGGGUAGGGUAUUUGUCUGAAUUGAUUCUUCCAGUGGAGAAUGCUUCAAGAAAGUCGGGAUGUAAAAUGGCUAAAUUAUUUGAAGUAUUAGUUCGUUCCUAUUGUUUUCUCUUAUCCUAGCUCGUAUAUACUAAUAUUAUACUCGUAGAAUAUACAUUCUUACAUAUCAUUCCAAAAAACAUUUGUAUUUCCUGCAUUUCAAAAAUAUUUUGAAAAAUACUUAUACUUUUCAAUUAACCCUACAAAACACGUAAUAAACUUUUAUAAUGUAUCAUUUUCGCAAAUUAUACUUCAAUUUAAAAAAUUUUAAAAUUUGAGUAAUGAUAAUGACAUGUUUAUGAGUUAUAUACAAAUAAGAGUCACACAUAACAUAAUAACUGUAGAUUAUACAUAUUUAAGCAAUAUGGUAACAAAAUUAAUAAAUAUAACAUCUCAUACACGAAAAUAAUUUUAAGAUUGGUAUAAGGGAGCAGCAUAUUCUUUGAAAACUAUAGUAAAUCUAGAGCAAAUUAUCCGGAUGGUCACUAAACUUUUGCAAUCGUCGAGUUCUGGUCACUCAACUAUUAAAAGUCUGGUUUUGGUCACUAAAAUGUAUAAAGUUAAGGUUCCAGGCCAUUCUGUUAGAUUUAGUCGUUAAGUUUGCUGAUCCAUUUAUCCGCACGAUUUCCAAGACAAAAAAAAGGGUCAAUUUAGGAAGUUCAACAUGCAUCUUCUUCUUCUUCUUAUUGUGAAGCACCCGGCUUAUGGAUUCGAUUAGUCCGACGGGUUCGACUCCAUACCCAAUCCGAUUGUCCUCCACAUCUUCAACAAAAUCUCCGACAUCAAAACACUAAUCCAUUGCUGCUCCGUUUCCAAAAGGUUUAAUUCACUGGUUCCUCAAGCUGACUCACUCCUCCUCCGAGUUGACCGAGUCAUCUCUAUGAUCGAUUCUGACGACGACGAUGGCGAAGCCUUCUUUCUCGCCUUCCUUCGAUCCAUCGUUAAAUCCCUCCAUAAUUUCAUUUCCAUAAACAAGCAUACCCAUUUUGGCAGCCUGACUAGGACUCAGAACUCUCCCACUCAGAUCCUCCGCGGGUUCGAGAACAUCCGGAGUCUCUAAAUCGAGCUCCACUCCGGCGACCUGAGGUUGGAAAAAGGCACCACGAUGAUGGGAGUUUAACAUGCCUUUUCAACCUACUUGCAGGAAAAUUUGCAGCUUGGUAUACUUCUCUGGCUAAGUGUAUCGUUGACAAUUCAGCAAAUUAAUGGCCUCUCCGCACUUCUUAUUUUCUAUAAAGAAAGGAAACCUCAAUCAUCCUCCUUCUCAACAGCACUUUCCUCCAUGGCAUCCAUCAAUAAGAAAAUAGUAUUAGCAUCAACCAGAAUUCUUCAGAGAUUUUAAUGACCUUCGAAUCCAGUGAAACUCUUUCAUCAGCCGAAGAAUCAUAAAAAAGGGUUGGUUUGGCUAUGGUUGGAAUGCCGUAGUUUAGAAUUACAGCAGCGAAGAAGAGAUUCUUAGCAGAGCUUUUGGGUGGUUGACAUACGAGGCACGGAUGGAGAAGAAGAAGAAGAUGCAUGUUGAACUUCCUAAAUUGACCCUUUCUUUUGUCUUGGAAAUCGUGCGGAUAAACGGAUAAGCAAACUUAAUGACUAAAUCUAACAGAAUGGCCUGGAGCCUUAACUUUAUACAUUUUAGUGGCCAAAACCAGACUUUUGAUAGUUGAGUUACCAAAACUCGACGAUUGCAAAAGUUUCGUGGUUAUCCGGAUAAUUUGCUCGUAAAUCUAUCCAUAUUUUUAGUUUUGUAACUUUCAAAUAUGUUCAUACUAUUUAUGCACGAAUUUAUAUGAGUAAUUUUCCCGAACACGUAUUUUAUGUUGAAUUUUAAUCAUACUUUUGAGAAAAAAAAACUCGUCUAAUAUGUAUACAGAUAGCAUCUCGUAUUAUAUCUGUCCUGUAUUUUAUCAACUAUGCUCUUAGUGCUGUAAGUAAAAUGUGUUGGGACUUAAAUGAACGAUAAAAUAAGUCUAGUUGGUAUUAGAGAUGAAAACGAGCCGAGUCGAGGUUGAGUAGUGCUAUACUCAAACUCUACUGAAUCUUCAACUCGAUAGGUGAUACUAGUACUUGAACUCGAGUUCAAACUCGUUUGAGCAACUAAUUUAUGGCUUGAGCUCGACUUGUGAGGAAAUUGUUUAAGCUCGAACUUGAUUCGAUAAGGCUGGAGUACUUAUUAAGCCAAAUCGAGCCUUAUCAAGCUUGAGUACUCACAGAAAGAACGAGUCUCCAUGUGACAGCCCCACCUCCCCCUAAGGCGAACCAGAGGGUUCGGCGGGCCGCCUGCCCAACUCUCGCCGGGACUCAGUCGUUCACUACAAUCCUCAAAUGAAUUACAAGAAUAAACCUCACAUAUUACAAUAUAAAUCUCCCAUAUACAUCAAAUUCUCCAAAAAUUACAUGUCAUAAGCGAAGCGGAAACAAUUCCCCAAACUAUACAUAAAAUGAUUUCCAAAUCCAAAUUAUACAAAACAUUGGCCAUCCAGUCACGUGCACAAGUACUACAAGUCCUUCCUUCGCCUUGAGCCCUGUGGAGGGGAAUAAAAUAUUUUUGGGGUGAGCUAGAAGCUCAGCGAGUAACCAGUAAAAUCAUUAAACAAAUAUAUUUCACAAUGUUGCAUUUCGAUCAUUUCGAUGAUGUCAUGAUUCAGAGAUCAAAUGUUCGUUUAGUGCUCUCGUGAGCCAGGGAAAUCAUAGCACUUGAACACCCAACGCUCAAAUAGAUCAUUUAACAUUAACAUUAACAUUAAGAGGGAGCCCCUUCUUGAGCUCCAGAUAAACAUGAACAUGAACCAUAAACAGAGUGGAGACGUUGGUGUCCAGCACAAGACUUUCCCAGAACUCAUUGAAGCCAAAUCAUGUCAUGAACUCACAUGCAAGCACGCAUGAUAUGCAAUCGAGUACAUAAUGCAAGAAACAUUUCAAAAGUACUUUGGAAAUAGUUUAGGGUCACUCACCUCCAUGGCUCAGAAACCAUCCAUCAUAUAUCAUUGCCUUGCUCAAAUCCAAGUCUUAGAUCACAAACUCAAUGCAAACAAGUCCCUUCAAAGUUCGGUCAGCACUUCCCCUGAAUUUGCUAACUUUUCCAGCCAUCAUGGCUUCAUUAUUUUGCUCAUUCAAACCCAAAGGUACACACACAACAACAAGUUCAUCCAAUAGCCAUUCAGCAAGCUCCAAGUAGUACUAGUACAAGUCAAGCUAGGGAAAAGUCCGAAAAUGAAAGUUAAGCUCAAAACCAGAAAAAUAGGUUUUGACGUCAUUUUGCGGUAAUGGUACCAAAGGUGGUAUGAUUGUCGGAUGAAGGUGAAAGACCCACCGUUUCGAAGCCAAGAGAUAGGGCUACAAUAUUACAGAAGGUCACUCAACCCAGUUUCGAGUGUAACCAGGUCAAAAAUGCAAGAUACCAUACCAGAAUCACAAAAACAGAUUCACAGAACGCAUUCUAGCGGAAACAUCAUAACUCAGGCUCUCCAAGUCCAAAUCCAGAAAUUCCAAAACCAGCUGAAAGCUAAGAAACAGGGAUAAAUUUCAUCAGAAGACCUCAACAACCAAUUCGGAAGCAAUUCCAGCCAAAACAACCAAUUACAGGCGCAAUUCUUACAUUCGGGUAAAACCAGAACAGCAAUAGUAAUUUUGACUUUUCUCAUUCUACACUACUCCGAUUGACCCGAAAUUUUGUAGGCACCUCUAAAAUAUCAUUCCCUACAACUUUUAUGUUUUAAGCCAAGGCCAAUUCGGCCUCUAACCAUGAGAUAUAAAACCGGCCAGAAUUGGGGAUAUAAAACCCUAACUUUCUCAAAUUCCUUCCAAAUCCAAAAUUGGUUACAAUUAUCUAUCAUAUACACCUACUAGAGUCAUUAAACAUCAAUUCCCAUCAUCAAGGAUAGCCACAACAUCACAUUCAUAUGAAACCAGAAAAUUCAUCAAUAAAUUGAAAACUUCACCAAUUCAUCUCAAACCAAGAAAUAAACCACAAAUUUCAGCACUUUAGCUACCACUAAGCACAACUUAAGCUUCAUUAGGUGUAGGAGGAAGUUCAAUCACCACUUACCUAGAACACAAGAGAGGGAGAGUUGUAGGACACCUUAGCUUCCUUGGACACUUCCACAAAAACACUUACUAGCACCAAAUGGAGGGAUUUUAUGGAGUAGAAACAAAUUUAAGCACUUGGUUUGGAUGAUUUGCACUAGAUGGAGAGUUUUUCUUUGAAGAGUUUUUCUUUCUUCCUUGCUAGAGAGGGCCGGCCACAAUGGUGAAGAAAUGGUGAUUUUUGUGGUAAUUUUGAGAUAUUUAAUCAAUGGGUCAAUUAAGUCAAAAAAAUGAAUAGUUGUCAUCCACUCUUCAAGUGACAAUUGUCACUUCAUUUAAAGCAUUUCUAUCCUUUUGUUUCCUCUCACAUCAAUCACAUCACAUCCUCUACUUAUCUCUUAACACCCGGUAAAGUUCAACCAGUAUCCGAAACUUAACCUUAUUGGCCGAAUUUUUCCGAACUUUUCGCACUAGUGGGUCCCACGUCCAUUAUAUAUUCUUAAUUUUUCAAAAACUAUCCAAUACUAGAAAAAUCAUCUAAAAACUAUAAUUCCUCAUAAAAUCCACCAAGAAAAUUUUUCCUAAGCCAGAAAAUGCAGAAAACAUGCCAUUAAAGGGAAAAACCCUAGGAAAAAAUAUUAGGGGAAAUACGGGUUCUCACACUCUCUUCCCCUUAAAAGAAUUUCGUCCUCGAAAUUCCUUAUCAUUGGCUACUCCGGGGUACAAAAAUUUUAAUACUUCCUUCUCCUGAUUAAAUUGAGCAUCAUACUUAGCUAACAGAUCUGUACCCCUUCACUGGCCAGGUUCAUUAAAUUCUUACCUUCCACGUCCCCGACCACUCCGUGUACCUUCCAUGAGUUUUACUUGGUCUAGGCAAUAAUACUAAACCAAAAUAAGCAAGAUGCAUGUGAGUAACACUCAAAACUUUUAUAAUAACACACAUUUAUACAUUCCAAACAAGAUCAAAACAUAUAUAUACAAGCCGGUCAAAAUUAAGCCACACACAUAUAUACAGCCAGUUAAGUCAAGUACAAACAUAGACGAUCCACCGAGGAAUGGCCUUUCUAGUUCACCAAAUCCUUUCUAACCUAGGCCCUCAUAUCUUUCGUAUCCGGGCGCAAGAAUCCCAUCUAAGAUAAUUCACAACUCGAGCCGGCCGGUCCCAAGAGUAAACCAUCUUUAUUAAAGAUUCCUACCCGACAUAUAUACCUAGCUUCCUCGAGUCCCAUGAUAAUGAUUCGCACAUUUAUCACAUGCCCGGUUCAUAACUUAUGCUCAAACGAGCACUUAGACAUAUUCAUGAAAUUAGGACCACAACACCACUUGGCCCAGUCUCACUCCGCGCAGAGACCACGCGAAGUGGCUCUGAUACCAACUGUGACAGCCCCACCUCCCCCUAAGGCGAACCAGAGGGUUUGGCGGGCCGCCUGCCCAGCUCUCGCCGGGACUCAGUCGUUCACUACAAUCCUCAAAUGAAUUACAAGAAUAAACCUCACAUAUUACAAUAUAAAUCUCCCAUAUACAUCAAAUUCUCCAAAAAUUACAUGUCAUAAGCGAAGCGGAAACAAUUCCCCAAACUAUACAUAAAAUGAUUUCCAAAUCCAAAUUAUACAAAACAUUGGCCAUCCAGUCACGUGCACAAGUACUACAAGUCCUUCCUUCGCCUUGAGCCCUGUGGAGGGGAAUAAAAUAUUUUUGGGGUGAGCUAGAAGCUCAGCGAGUAACCAGUAAAAUCAUUAAACAAUUAUAUUUCACAAUGUUGCAUUUCGAUCAUUUCGAUGAUGUCAUGAUUCAGAGAUCAAAUGUUCGUUUAGUGCUCUCGUGAGCCAGGGAAAUCAUAGCACUUGAACACCCAACGCUCAAAUAGAUCAUUUAACAUUAACAUUAACAUUAAGAGAGAGCCCUUCUUGAGCUCCAGAUAAACAUGAACAUGAACCAUAAACAGAGUGGAGACGUUGGUGUCCAGCACAAGACUUUCCCAGAACUCAUUGAAGCCAAAUCAUGUCAUGAACUCACAUGCAAGCACGCAUGAUAUGCAAUCGAGUACAUAAUGCAAGAAACAUUUCAAAAGUACUUUGGAAAUAGUUUAGGUCACUCACCUCCAUGGCUCAGAAACCAUCCAUCAUAUAUCAUUGCCUUUGCUCAAAUCCAAGUCUUAGAUCACAAACUCAAUGCAAACAAGUCCCUUCAAAGUUCGGACAGCACUUCCCCUGAAUUUGCUAACUUUUUCAGGCCAUCAUGGCUUCAUUAUUUUGCUCAUUCAAACCCAAAGGUACACACACAAAACAAGUUCAUCCAAUAGCCAUUCAGCAAGCUCCAAGUAGUACUAGUACAAGUCAAGCUAGGGAAAAGUCUGGAAAUGAAAGUUAAGCUCAAAACCAGAAAAAUAGGUUUUGACGUCAUUUUGCGGUAAUGGUACCAAAGGCGGUACGAUUGUCGGAUGAAGGUGCAAGAUCCACCGUUUCGAAGCCAAGAGAUAGGGCUACAAUAUUACACAAGGUCACUCAACCCAGUUUCGAGUGUAACCAGGUCAAAAAUGCAAGAUACCAUACCAGAAUCACAAAAACAGAUUCACAGAACGCAUUCUAGCGGAAACAUCAUAACUCAGGCUCUCCAAGUCCAAAUCCAGAAAUUCCAAAACCAGCUGAAAGCUAAGAAACAGGGAUAACGUCACGCCCUAGAACACGCAAACAAGUACAAUGAGACUCGAUAACGAGUCAUAAAGCCCUGCCAAUCACAACCCCAAUAGGGUUUCAUAUGCAUAUAUAAGCAUUAUAGCAAACCAGAAAAUCAGGAAAUGUAACUAACUUGGCCCUAACAACAAAAACAGUUUUGUCCUCAUUAUGCGGUAAUGGCACAAAUUGUGCUACGCUUAUUGGAUGAGGGUACAAGACCCACCAUCUCGAAGCUAAAAAACAGGGCUACAACAAUGUAGAAGGCCACUCAGUCCAAAUCCUAGCACAACUAGGUCAAAUAUGCAAAAUACCAAACCAGAACCUUAAUUGCAGGUUUACAAAUUACACUAUGCUGUAAUUAGUCCAACUCAGUCUGUACAAGUCCAAAUUCAUUGAUUCCAAAGGCAGGCGGUAGCUAAAAAAUCAAGCUACAUUUCAUCAGAAGAUCUCAACAACCAAAUCCAAAGAAAUUCUAGUCAAAACAGCCGAUUACAGGCGCAGUUCGGCCAUCCUGAUGAACCCAGAACAGCAAUAGUAAUUUCGACAUUUCUCACUCUACACUACUCCAAAUGACCUGAAAUUUUGUAGGCACCUCAAACACAUCAAUACCUACAACUUUCAUGUUUUAAGCAAAGGCCAAUUCGGCCUCUAACCAUGAGAUAUAAAACCAGCCAGAAUUGGGGAUAUAAAACCCUAACUUUCUCAAAUUCCUUCCAAAUCCAAAAUUGGUUACAAUUAUCUAUCAUAUACACCUACUAGAGUCAUUAAACAACAAUUCCCAUCAUCAAGGAUAGCCACAACAUCACAUUCAUAUGAAACCAGAAAAUUCAUCAAUAAAUUGAAAACUUCACCAAUUCAUCUCAAACCAAGAAAUAAACCACAAAUUUCAGCACUUUAGCUACCACUAAGCACAACUUAAGCUUCAUUAGGUGUAGGAGGAAGUUCAAUCACCACUUACCUAGAACACAAGAGAGGGAGAGUUGUAGGACACCUUAGCUUCCUUGGACACUUCCACAAAAACACUUACUAGCACCAAAUGGAGGGAUUUUAUGGAGUAGAAACAAAUUUAAGCACUUGGUUUGGAUGAUUUGCACUAGAUGGAGAGUUUUUCUUUGAAGAGUUUUUCUUUCUUCCUUGCUAGAGAGGGCCGGCCACAAUGGUGAAGAAAUGGUGAUUUUUGUGGUAAUUUUGAGAUAUUUAAUCAAUGGGUCAAUUAAGUCAAAAAAAUGAAUAGUUGUCAUCCACUCUUCAAGUGACACUUGUCACUUCAUUUAAAGCAUUUCUAUCCUUUUGUUUCCUCUCACAUCAAUCACAUCACAUCCUCUACUUAUCUCUUAACACCCGAUAAAGUUCAACCAGUAUCCGAAACUUAACCUUAUUGGCCGAAUUUUUCCGAACUUUUCGCACUAGUGGGUCCCACGUCCAUUAUAUAUUCUUAAUUUUUCAAAAACUAUCCAAUACUAGAAAAAUCAUCUAAAAACUAUAAUUCCUCAUAAAAUCCACCAAGAAAAUUUUUCCUAAGCCAGAAAAUGCAGAAAACAUGCCAUUAAAUGGAAAAACCCUAGGAAAAAAUAUUAGGGGAAAUACGGGUUCUCACACUCUCUUCCCCUUAAAAGAAUUUCGUCCUCGAAAUUCCUUAUCAUUGGCUACUCCGGGAUACAAAUAUUUUAAUACUUCCUUCUCCUGAUUAAAUUGAGCAUCAUACUUAGCUAACAGAUCUGUACCCCUUCACUGGCCAGGUUCAUUAAAUUCUUACCUUCCACGUCCCCGACCACUCCGUGUACCUUCCAUGAGUUUUACUUGGUCUAGGCAAUAAUACUAAACCAAAAUAAGCAUGAUGCAUGUGAGUAACACUCAAAACUUUUAUAAUAACACACAUUUAUACAUUCCAAACAAGAUCAAAACAUAUAUAUACAAGCCGGUCAAAAUUAAGCCACACACAUAUAUACAGCCAGUUAAGUCAAGUACAAACAUAGACGAUCCACCGAGGAAUGGCCUUUCUAGUUCACCAAAUCCUUUCUAACCUAGGCCCUCAUAUCUUUCGUAUCCGGGCGCAAGAAUCCCAUCUAAGAUAAUUCACAACUCGAGCCGGCCGGUCCCAAGAGUAAACCAUCUUUAUUAAAGAUUCCUACCCGACAUAUAUACCUAGCUUCCUCGAGUCCCAUGAUAAUGAUUCGCACAUUUAUCACAUGCCCGGUUCAUAACUUAUGCUCAAACGAGCACUUAGACAUAUUCAUGAAAUUAGGACCACAACACCACUUGGCCCAGUCUCACUCCGCGCAGAGACCACGCGAAGUGGCUCUGAUACCAACUGUGACAGCCCCACCUCCCCCUAAGGCGAACCAGAGGGUUUGGCGGGCCGCCUGCCCAGCUCUCGCCGGGACUCAGUCGUUCACUACAAUCCUCAAAUGAAUUACAAGAAUAAACCUCACAUAUUACAAUAUAAAUCUCCCAUAUACAUCAAAUUCUCCAAAAAUUACAUGUCAUAAGCGAAGCGGAAACAAUUCCCCAAACUAUACAUAAAAUGAUUUCCAAAUCCAAAUUAUACAAAACAUUGGCCAUCCAGUCACGUGCACAAGUACUACAAGUCCUUCCUUCGCCUUGAGCCCUGUGGAGGGGAAUAAAAUAUUUUUGGGGUGAGCUAGAAGCUCAGCGAGUAACCAGUAAAAUCAUUAAACAAAUAUAUUUCACAAUGUUGCAUUUCGAUCAUUUCGAUGAUGUCAUGAUUCAGAGAUCAAAUGUUCGUUUAGUGCUCUCGUGAGCCAGGGAAAUCAUAGCACUUGAACACCCAACGCUCAAAUAGAUCAUUUAACAUUAACAUUAACAUUAAGAGAGAGCCCCUUCUUGAGCUCCAGAUAAACAUGAACAUGAACCAUAAACAGAGUGGAGACGUUGGUGUCCAGCACAAGACUUUCCCAGAACUCAUUGAAGCCAAAUCAUGUCAUGAACUCACAUGCAAGCACGCAUGAUAUGCAAUCGAGUACAUAAUGCAAGAAACAUUUCAAAAGUACUUUGGAAAUAGUUUAGGGUCACUCACCUCCAUGGCUCAGAAACCAUCCAUCAUAUAUCAUUGCCUUGCUCAAAUCCAAGUCUUAGAUCACAAACUCAAUGCAAACAAGUCCCUUCAAAGUUCGGACAGCACUUCCCCUGAAUUUGCUAACUUUUUCAGCCAUCAUGGCUUCAUUAUUUUGCUCAUUCAAACCCAAAGGUACACACACAACAACAAGUUCAUCCAAUAGCCAUUCAGCAAGCUCCAAGUAGUACUAGUACAAGUCAAGCUAGGGAAAAGUCUGGAAAUGAAAGUUAAGCUCAAAACCAAAAAAAUAGGUUUUGACGUCAUUUUGCGGUAAUGGUACCAAAGGCGGUACGAUUGUCGGAUGAAGGUGCAAGAUCCACCGUUUCGAAGCCAAGAGAUAGGGUUACAAUAUUACACAAGGUCACUCAACCCAGUUUCGAGUGUAACCAGGUCAAAAAUGCAAGAUACCAUACCAGAAUCACAAAAACAGAUUCACAGAACGCAUUCUAGCGGAAACAUCAUAACUCAGGCUCUCCAAGUCCAAAUCCAGAAAUUCCAAAACCAGCUGAAAGCUAAGAAACAGGGAUAACGUCACGCCCUAGAACACGCAAACAAGUACAAUGAGACUCGAUAACGAGUCAUAAAGCAAUGCCAAUCACAACCCCAAUAGGGUUUCAUAAGCAUGUACAAGCAUCAUAGGUAACCAGAAAUUUCGGAAAUGUAACUAACUUGGCCCUAAAACAAAAACAGUUUUGUCCACAUUUUGCGGUAAUGGCACAAAUUGCGCUACGCUUAUCGGAUGAGGGUGAAAGACCCACCAUCUCGAAGCUAAAAGACAGGGCUACAACAAUGUAGAAGGCCACUCAGUCCAAAUCCUAGCACAACUAGGUCAAAUAUGCAAAAUACCAAACCAGAACCUUAAUUGCAGGUUUACAAAUUACACUAUGCUGUAAUUAGUCCAACUCAGUCUAUACAAGUCCAAAUUCAUUGAUUCCAAAGGCAUAUGGUACAUAAGACAUCAAGCUACAUUUCAUCAGAAGACCUCAACAACCAAUUCGGAAGCAAUUCCAGCCAAAACAACCAAUUACAGGCACAAUUCUUACAUUCGGGUAAAACCAGAACAGCAAUAGUAAUAUUGACUUUUCUCAUUCUACACUACUCCGAUUGACCUGAAAUUUUUGUAGGCACCUCUAAAAUAUCAUUCCCUACAACUUUCAUGUUUUAAGCAAAGGCCAAUUCGGCCUCUAACCAUGAGAUAUAAAACCAGCCAGAAUUGGGGAUAUAAAACCCUAACUUUCUCAAAUUCCUUCCAAAUCCAAAAUUGGUUACAAUUAUCUAUCAUAUACACCUACUAGAGUCAUUAAACAACAAUUCCCAUCAUCAAGGAUAGCCACAACAUCACAUUCAUAUGAAACCAGAAAAUUCAUCAAUAAAUUGAAAACUUCACCAAUUCAUCUCAAACCAAGAAAUAAACCACAAAUUUCAGCACUUUAGCUACCACUAAGCACAACUUAAGCUUCAUUAGGUGUAGGAGGAAGUUCAAUCACCACUUACCUAGAACACAAGAGAGGGAGAGUUGUAGGACACCUUAGCUUCCUUGGACACUUCCACAAAAACACUUACUAGCACCAAAUGGAGGGAUUUUAUGGAGUAGAAACAAAUUUAAGCACUUGGUUUGGAUGAUUUGCACUAGAUGGAGAGUUUUUCUUUGAAGAGUUUUUCUUUCUUCCUUGCUAGAGAGGGCCGGCCACAAUGGUGAAGAAAUGGUGAUUUUUGUGGUAAUUUUGAGAUAUUUAAUCAAUGGGUCAAUUAAGUCAAAAAAAUGAAUAGUUGUCAUCCACUCUUCAAGUGACAAUUGUCACUUCAUUUAAAGCAUUUCUAUCCUUUUGUUUCCUCUCACAUCAAUCACAUCACAUCCUCUACUUAUCUCUUAACACCCGGUAAAGUUCAACCAGUAUCCGAAACUUAACCUUAUUGGCCGAAUUUUUCCGAACUUUUCGCACUAGUGGGUCCCACGUCCAUUAUAUAUUCUUAAUUUUUCAAAAACUAUCCAAUACUAGAAAAAUCAUCUAAAAACUAUAAUUCCUCAUAAAAUCCACCAAGAAAAUUUUUCCUAAGCCAGAAAAUGCAGAAAACAUGCCAUUAAAGGGAAAAACCCUAGGAAAAAAUAUUAGGGGAAAUACGGGUUCUCACACUCCAAGCUGAAGAAUCUUGGAAAAACAAUCAGUUAAUAACAUAGCCUGAUUCAAUAUGAAAUUUGUGAACUGAUCCUAGAAAAUCUCUUAUCACCAAAAGAACAAGUUUCUAAACUCAAAAAUCCUAGAAAAACAAUCUAUCUAUAACAUAGCCUGAUGCAAUAUAAAACUUUUGAAUCGAUCGUACAAAAUCUCUUACAUAUAUCUAUAGGAUUUAAGUUUGGGUUUGGGUUUAAGUAUGGAUCAUAUAAAAUCAGACCCUACUCAAAUGUAUAAUUCUUUUAUAGGGUAUGGCUCUGAGUAGGGUAUGAAUUUAAAAACUUAAAUCCAAGCCCAAAAUAAAUAUGGUGGAUCUGGAUUGGAACUGAAUAAUAUCCGACUCAUUGACAUGUCUGAUAAAAAAUUUCUGUAGAACAAUAAAUUAGAAAGACACGCCUGGAAGCUGUGAGAAGUUCAUUCCCAAUGAAUCCUCUACGGGGUUCGAAUAUAUAUCAUUAAAAAUUAACUAUAUAUCUUCGGUUGAGGGUCUAGCUUCAAAAAUCACAUUGUUCAUAGGUUAGGAUAUGCCCAAGCAGUAUAUAUGAAUUCUCGGCAUGGAUCAUAGGCAGACUAAAUGGGAGAGUAGUGGAAGCUCAAUUGCAUUAACAGAAAGAAUUUCUAUAGAAAGAAUCAAAUAGCUUUUUAUGCUAUUUAGAUGGAAUCAAAAGAGGAAACCAAACAAUAGUUAUACCUUCCAUUUGAUCAGAGGGUUGGUACACCGGUGCAAGAGAAGAAGAACUCUUAUGCUGAGAUUCUGCAUUAUCCUUAGAUGUUGAAGCAAAUCGAAAACACAGGCUAUCUAAUGUAGAAGCUACAUUAUGAGACAGUGUUCUAUGUAGAUUCUGAUUAUGGAGUUGAAGUUUGUCAACGCCUACUAUAUUACCACCGUGACUAUGAGUGGCAAGUAGUUCAGAACCAGGCGUCCAAACACCUGUUUCAAUGUGACCUAAUUGUGUCUUAGUAAUAUAACGUUGCCGCUUUCUUUUUACUUUCUAAUCUGUGCUACAACUGAAGAACCUGAGUUUUCAACCUACUUGGCUUGCUUUUUUAGAUCAUAGGAUUCUCUACACAAAAUGAAUCACACACAAACAAAAUAAACCCGCAGCCACUAAAAGUGCGAUACUUUAAUCUCCAACAGGACAUGAUAUAAUUACCACUAUCAAUUAAAAAGACUAAAUCUUAUAUAUACGGACGUUAUAUGCAUUAUCACUAUUGGAUUUAUGAUACAUGUAUAAAAGUUGAAUUUCAAAUUCAAAUUUUGCACAACUAUUAUUUGUCCAAAACUAACAGUAUACACAUUAUCAGUGUAAAAGAGAUUAAUCCAAAAAAAUAUGCAAACAAGCCUCACACUUCUAGCUUUCUUCACUCAACCAAAAUGGCAAAACAAAAACUCACGUGCAAACCAUAACCAAAUGGAGGACGACGAAAAUCACUAGAAAAGUUCCUUAGCCACUUUGUAUAUAUGUACAUGUCUCUGUGUGUGUGUAUAUAUAAUAAAUAAUUGAAAGUUCUAUGUAUGGCUAAUGAUGUGUACACUUGUCAAUUAUUUGAGUUCUAUAAUAUGUCAAACAUUUGUUGUUAACAUUUACAAUUUGUCGUUUAAGCAUUAACAUCCUACUUAAUUAUUGGAGGAAUAAGCUUGUACACAGAGAGCCGUUGGUUCGUGCAUGACUUUUCCUUAGCCGUUUGUUCGUGCAUGACUUUUCCUUAAGUUAAUAUUUGCCCCUUGCUUUAUAAAAUUAUUUCUGGUAGCUGAAAUUUGAAAAAGAAAAAACAAAGGUAUGUUUGUUUGGUAUUAGAGGAUGAAUAGAACGAAUAUGGCGAGACUUGAGUCAAUUACGGGUGUCAGAUACUUUUGAGAAUCUCCUCUUUUUUGUUUUUCUGUUUUCAAAAACUAACAUUUAUUAAAAUUUAUUAAUAAUAGUAUAUCUUCAUAGAAUUGGGAGUACCAUUCCAAUAAUAAAUUGUGAAUAUAGGACAUUUGAACAUUGAGAAGCUUGUCAUAUAUCCGCAGAUUUUGUGAUUAUAGUGACAAUGUCUAUGGAUCAAAACAUGGCUAGCGCAAGGGAGUGCCAAGGAAGGAUGGAAGGGUUCAGUCAUUAUUUCCGAUGGUAUAUUCAUGUAUCGAUUGAAAAGGAAUUGAAAGACAGAAGAUAGUGGUAAUGGGGGAAGUGCAACGUGAAUUAAUCAAUUUUUUUAAAAGAAUUUGAACUGCUAAGUGAAUUGGAGGAAAAUUUUAUGUCGAUCAUGCCUAAUAAUUGUUUCUGAACCAAUGAAAAAGUUCCAUGAGAACAUACAAGGGUUCUACUUGAUUUUAUAUAACAUGCCAAGUGGAUUCCACUUAACAUGUAAAUUAGUAAAUAAGGUCCUCAUAUAUCCGCUUGGAACUUUUCUAUUGUUCCUGGAUCAUGCCUAGUAGUUGUUUCGAGCAGAUAUAAAAUUCCUCGUGAAGCAAAUGAUAAGUUUUUGGUUUACUAUUCAACUCCAGUUCAAACAUUUAAUUGUAAAAGAGAAAAGAAAAAUAGUAAAUCAGUUCCAGAGUUUGGAUUUUAUUGGUUGUGGCCGGUUUGAUAAACUCUAUGAAUCAUCCGAUAUAUUAACCACUAAGGUGCUAAAAAUAGGAAAGAGAUGCCAAAAUAGUAGUUGAAAAAGCAGCCAGCUUGAAGUUAUAGCGUCGACUAAGUAGAAGUUAAUUGUCAAAUGAGCAUAUGAAUCAACUUGGCCAUAGCAAACAUAUACAAAAGCUCUAAGAGCAACUAUUAGUAGGAAAUAUUGAUCUUUGACGGGCAAAUUAAACUUUACCCUCCCGUGGUAUAGCUAAUUUUUACAUAAUUCCCUAUAGUUUUAAAAACUAUAUAUAAUCCCUUAUAAUUUGGAUUAAAGUGUCAAAGUGACGGAAAUGAUCAUCCGUAACGGAACCUAUAAAAAUGUCAAAAUUAUUUUUAUUUAAAAACUAAAAUAGCUGGAGUCACCAAAAUAUAUAAAUAUAAUAUGCAUGACACUCUAACCUCGUAUGAUUUUUAUAUUUUAGCAUAUAACCCUUUUAUGAUUUAGUAUUUUACCAUAUAACCCUCUUAUGAUUUUCAGUAUAUAUACAUAACCCCCUGUGGUUAAUAAAUAAUUUUCAACUUUACACAGGGAUAUUUUUGAUAUUUCAGUUGACUCCAUUAUGAUUGUAAAUUCCGUCAUUUUGACACUUUAAUCCAAACUAUGAUGGGACUAUAUAUAGUUUUUAAAAUCAUAGGAGAGUUAUGUAAAAUAAUAAUAAUAAUAAAUCACAGGGGAAUAAAGCGUAAUUUGCCCAUCUUUGACACUAAAACUAAUGAUUCACUACACUCGUGGCAUGAGUCUCUUCCAAUUGUUAUGUACCACUUUUGUAUAUAUCUCAUUUUUCAGUCAUUUAAAGAAAUAUGGGCACAUUUAAUUUUAAUCACUUUUCCAGUGAUAUAUUGUCCCUUUUCAAUGCCAACAUUUUUUUAAAAAAAAAAAUUCACAAACAAUUAUGAAAAUUUGUUAAAAAGAGUAAAUUGAUUUGAUUUUCACUUUUUUCUUUUCCAUUGGACAACCAUGUCAUGUCCAGCUAAUUUCUGACCUUACAAGAUAAUUUCUGACCUUAAGAUAAUUUCUGACCUUACAUGACCUUACAAGAUAUUAUCUUGUAAGGUCAGAAAUUAGUAUUAUAUCUUGUAAGGUCAUGUAAGGUCGGAAAUUAUCUUGUAAGAUAAUAUCUUGUAAGAUCAGAAAUUAGCUGGUCAUGACCUUACAAGACAUUGUAGAACCAAGAAUCGAAAGUUGAAUGUGACUUUUUUGUUUUUUCCUUUCAAAGCCAACUUCAGUGGGCUAAUUUCUUAGAAUAUAGGUAAAAAAAAAAAAAUUGUCCGCCAAAUGUAGUUCUUGUGACGGCCCCACCUCCCCCUAGGGCGUACCCCAAGGUUCGGCGGGUCGCCUGCCCAACUCUCGCCAGGACUCACUCACUCACUACAGUCCUCCAAUGAAGUAUAAGAUAAAUCUCAAAUAUUAUAUCCAAUUCUCCAGAAUUACAUAGACUAGUACAUCAAGUCGUACAUACCACGAGUACCAGAAAAUAAACCCUAGAAAAGUUGAUAACUACAACCACCACGACAACUACAUACAUCUUGCUAGUCAACUUAAAACAAGUACAAGUUCACUCGUCUAUAAUCAAAACACUAAACACCUUCCCGAGCGAUUCCCGCGUCGGCCCCCUGCUAAGGAAAACAAAUGGAAUGGGGUAAGCUAUAUGCUUAGUGAGUAAUCAGGGGGAAAUGUAAACUCACAUUCAAACAAACAAGUAAUCAGGAUAUUUCACAUCAAUACAGAAAAUUAACGUCACAAGGGUAGGAUACGGGUGGCUCCAAAGCCAGUUCAAUUCCCCGAGCUUGAAUGCCUGUUGACACUCCGUCAACCAAAAUACUCAUGGUCCGUAGACACCACUGAAACUUCCCCGUUCACCUUAUCAACCCCCGCUGGCCAGUCAACAGCACACAGCAGCUCGAGCGAAAUAAAGUAACUUAGCUUUCGUCAAAGCUUUAACAAGGAACUAAAUCCCAAGUUUAGUAUGGAACUAUCUUCGACCAAGCCUCGGCUGGCUCGAAUAGUUCGUCUAACCCUUGGAACCGGGCUGGAACCAAGCCCUGAGAUAUCCGAUCUCUCAAUAGAUGGUAUCUCUCAACAAGUGCACAACAAGAUACUUACCCCAAACAGCACACAGCAAAUGGGGUUUAAUUCAAGUCACGAGAUCACCCCUAUCAGCACACAGCAAAAGGGUGAUACUCAAGUCAUGUAAUUCCCCUCCUCAGCACACAGCAAGAGGGUGAUACUCAACAUAAAGCAUGUAUUCUCACAUAGGAAAUCAAAACAAAGGAUGGGCUUAGGUCGAGUGAGAUAAAGUACACCCUCGCCUACGUACCCAUUUAACAUGUACAAAGCACUUUAACAAUUUCACAUCAAUAACCACCCAAUUACUCACUUGAUACAACUUGGCACGAAAAAUGAUACAAUUCACGGAGCUUGACCGUCACCGUCAAAAGCCUCAAGAUCUGUAUGGGCAGAUUAUAUACACACAUGAGUGAAACGGCCAUACAACAGCAAUUUAAAACUGAAACGAUCGAAUACAGUUGAAAACGGUCAAAAUAAUCAAAACGGUUACACGAUCUUGUCCAUAACGGGAGCUAGGGUUAUCGGAUCAAAAUGUACUAGAUAGUGUCUCGAACCUUAGACAAAAGGUUACAACUUCCAUGAAGAUAACUCAAUCCAUUUUUCAGUGUAUCCAAGUUAAAUUUGCAACAUAUAAAACUAGGACUCCGAAGACUAGUUUAUCUUUCUCGUGAAAAUUCGGCGGCAUGCCCCUUGUGUUUACCCAUUUUCCAGCCAUUUAUGGCUUCAAUAUUUUACUCAAUCCAACCCAAAGUUAUACAUAUCAUAGAUUCAAGUAAUAGCCGUUCCAUAGGCUCAUAACAACAUUAGAACAAAAAUCAAAGUGAUAACAAGUGUGGAAAUGUAACCUAGCAAAAGACAGAUUUGACGUGUGGUUGCGGAAAGAACACAUUCGAGGCUACGCUUAUCGGAUUGAGGCGCAAAUUAUACCGUUUCGAAGCUAAGACACAGGGCUACAAUUUUCAUGAAGCUCACUUAGUCCCGUUUCCAAUGCAACCUAGUCAAAUCCCCAAUUUACAGAACCAAAAUCCAACUAGUCGGCUAAUAAACCGCACUACUUUUAAAUGACUAUAUCACAGGUUACCAAGGUCCGAUUAAGGUGUUCUUGGAGGAGUUUAAAAGCUAAGACAGAAUACUAAAACUUUUAUGUUUUGUCAACAGGCUAAAUCCCCACGGAUUAUAGUGAAUAAACACAACCAAAUAGACUAAACUGUCCACGCGGAACUCUGGAAUGUAACCUAGAACAGCGAGGGUAUUUUCAUCUUUUCACAAGUUACAUAGCUCCGAUUGGGCUGAAAUUUUGUAGGCACCUAUAAAAUACCAUUCCAUACAACUUUCAUGUUUUAGGCCAAGCCUGAUUCGGCCUCUAACUGAUAAGAGUUUAUUUUACGUAUUUUUAAGUGCAUUUUAUUAGUUAAUUUUGAGUUGAUUAUUUAGUUUUAUAAUUAAAAUAAAGAGGUUUUUGGUAAAAUUAUAUAUUUUUGGUAAAAGUGGAUAAUAUUGCAUUUCUAUUGAUUUUAAUAGUAAAAACUUCAUUUUUAUGCAGGAAUAAUGAAUCAAUCACCAAAGGAGGUCAAUUGAGGUGAAAAAUAGAGAUUUGGUGAUGAAUUUAAGUGGCAACAAGAAGAAUGAAGUGAAAAACGUUCAAGUGAGGAAAUGCAAUACAAGUCAGUUUUGACACUUUUCAGUAUUUUGACCAUAUCUGGAGCUACACAUAUCGGAUUGAGGUGAUCUUUAUACCAUUUUAAAGCUAAGAAAGAGACCUACAAUUCGUAUGAAGACAUCGAAAUCCAUUUCUGCCAUCUUCAUGGACAAAAAGCUGGAAUACAGAAGCUGCACCCUGUGGUCGGAAGUUAAAACAGAGGUUUGAACAGGUGACAGUAUUUCGAUCAUAUCUCAGGCUACAAAGCUCCGAUUUGGAUGAUUCUUGAAGCAUUGAAAAGCUAACUCAAAGGGCUACAACUUUUGUGUUUUGCACAAAAGCUAGUUCGGCCUUUAUGAUAGAGAAAAUCGCAGAUGAAUUAAGGCCAAAGUGAAUACGCGAGUACACAAAACGUGACUUGUAACCGCGUUUUGUGUAGGCGCGUUUUAUAGCCGAAAUUCUGCAAUUUGACUCAGCCAAUUCUCUUGUGUUCAUACCACUUUCCAGCUAUAAGAUGCAAGGGAAUUCGGUGCACAUGCUUCAGAAGACAAAAGGGCAAGAAAAGUGGCUUAUUUUCAAGUCAAAAAUAUUGGUUUUUGACUAUGCUAACAAAGUGGAGAUUUGGGAAUCAAAGGAUAGAAUUUGACUUGGAAAAAUGGAGCAUUUGAGUGUUUUUUUAUGCAGAGAUAUGGGGAGAGAUCUGGGAACCAUUCGUAGCUUAGUUUCUGACAGAAAAACAUAGUCUCUCUAGCUAGGUACUUGCAAGGGACAAUUGAGGUUUCAUCUUGUAAUCAUCUAAGUUCAAGACAAGGAGAUUUUUGGAAGGCUUCACCAUAUCUUGGCUAAGACUUUCUUUACUCUUUUUGUAUUUGUAAAUUUAUGAUGAUUUGCAUUAAUGAAGUUAUGAGUGUUUCAUCAUUCAUGAGUAGCUAAUUUCCUUUAUCUAGGGAGUAGAUGAAGCUUAUGGCCAAAUGAUAUGAAGUGAUUGUGAUUUAUGCUUGUUAUGUCUUGUAUUAACUUAUCUACUUGUGUAUGUUGGAUUACUUGUUGUUGCUUGAUCACCAAUGGCAGGUUUAUAGUUGUUUUUACUCAUUGAGAAAUGGUAAAAAUAAUGGAAUGACACAAGUAGAACUUGAGUUGUAUAUUCAUGAGAAUAGAAAUACAUUCAAGUGGAUGAAAUCUGCAUUUCAUGUGUAAAUAAGAACAUAUUUAGUAUUUACCAAGAGAUUAGGAAAAACUAAUCUGUUUUAACCCAUUAUCAUCAUGAGAAUGUGAUUUUGGUAUUUCUGGAAAUGAAUUCUUGGUUAAACAAGAGCAGUAACAAGUGUUGAAUUAAUUCAUUUUAGAUCUUUUGAAUCAUAAGUGGAAUCUACAUCCCUAGAUCUUAAUAUUUAGUGAAUUCUAUUCCUUUUGUGAAAUUGCAUUUAUCUAGUUAAGAAUUUUUGUAGUUGAAUUACAUUCUGAAAUUUCUGCUCAAAUUAAUUGUAAGUCUAAAUAAUAGAGUAAAUUAGUAUCUAAUAAUUGUUUUAAUUGCUCCUCGUGGGAUCGACCCGAUACACAUCUUGUACUACAAUUACGACCUGUAUACUUGCAGUCCAACGGGUGUAAAAUCAGAAUUAAACUUGCAUUGAUAAAAAAAAAUCCCGUCAAGUUUUUGGCGCCGUAGCCGGGGAGCGGCAAUAUUAGAGCCUAAUCAUCUUUAUUAAUUUAGACAGCUUUAUUUUUUAGAUUAUUUUUAAUCUUAUAUUGUAAUCAGUUUUUUUUUUUUUUACCAUUGAAGUUGCAUAAUAUCCCUUAUUUCUGUUUGUAGUGUAUGCACCGGGAGUCUCGAAAAGUCGCACCUUUCGAUCCAGAAAUUGAGAGGACACUACGUAGACAAAGGAGGCACACACAACAGCAAGAGGAACAAGAGAUUUGGCAACCAAUAGAGGAAAUUUUGAUAGAACUACCAUUUGAAGAAGAAAUGGCCGAAAACGAAGCAAAUAGGCGAGUUCUACGAGAUUUUGCUCUACCGGGAACACAAGGAUCUCAAACAAGUAUAGUAAGGCCUACGGUAAAUGCUAACAAUUUCGAGAUUAAACCAUCACUUAUCCAGAUGGUUCAACAAUCUCAAUUUGGAGGUAAUGCAGUAGAAGAUCCUAAUACACACUUAGCUACAUUCUUGGAAAUUUGUGAUACAAUUAAAAUGAAUGGAGUUAGUGAUGAUGCUAUAAGACUAAGGUUGUUCCCAUUUUCAUUGAGAGAUAAGGCCAAACUUUGGCUACACUCUCAUGCUCCUAAUACUUUCACUGGAUGGGAUGAACUAUCAAGAGCAUUCUUAAAUAAGUAUUUUCCACCAGGUAAGACUGCUAAGUUUAGAAUGGAUAUCACUAGUUUUAGCCAAUUGGAAGGUGAAUCAUUAUAUGAGGCAUGGGAAAGAUUUAGAGAUUUGCUUCGGAAAUGUCCACAUCAUGGACUGCCGGAAUGGUUAAUCAUACAAACCUUCUAUAAUGGUUUAGUUUUUUCUACUAAAACUAUGAUCGAUGCAGCUGCAGGUGGAGCUUUAAUGGGUAAAUCACCCCAAGAAGCUCAGAAUUUGAUAGAAGAAAUGGCCGCAAAUAACUACCAAUGGGCCAAUGAAAGAGGUAAUACGAUACGUCACACAGGUAUGAUCGAAAUGGACACUCUCAAUAUGUUGAGUGCCCAAAUGAAUAACGUGAUGAAGUUAUUGAGUAGACAAGGUGGAGUUAGCCCAAGUUCAUCUAAUGCUCACGUAGCUUGUUGCUCUUUCUGUGGAGGUGAACAUGAUAUUAAUGAGUGUGUUGAUUCUGAGCAGGUACAAUUUGUCAAUAAUUACAACCGAAAUGCUCCAAAUAAUCCCUACUCGAAUACUUACAAUCCGGGGUGGAGAAAUCAUCCAAACUUUGGAUGGAAAGAUCAAGGCAAUCAACAAAGGCCAACCAAUCCGCCGGGAUUUCAACCAAGGCAACCACAGGCUGAAACUAAACCAAGUUGGGAGAUCGCGGUGGAAAAACUUGCUAAGGUGACUUCGGACAGAUUUGAACGAGUAGAAGGGAGACUGGAUCAACUCACUACAAUGUACAGGAAUGUGGAGGUUCAAAUUGGUCAAAUUGCCAAUGUGAUCAACAAUAGAAACCCUGGUGAAUUACCAAGUAAAACCGAAGUGAAUCCGAGAGAGCAUGUCAAUGCAAUCAUUCUUAGAAGCGGUAAAACGGUUGAGGGAUUCGAUUUUGAAAAUUCAGGUGGUGAAAAAGACAAGAAGCAAGCAAUUGAAGGGGAGCAAGAAAGUCAAAAUGAUCAUGUUAUCAUUGAUAUUGAUGCACUUCAUCCCAAAUUAAAUUCUAAUGUGAUACCUUUUCCUCACAGGUUGAAGAAAGAUGGACAGGAUCGGGAGUUUGAAAAGUUCUUCAAAAUGUUUAAACAAUUGCACAUUAACAUUCCUUUCAUUGAUGCUAUAACACAGAUUCCCUCUUAUGCACGUUUCUUGAAAGACAUCAUGUCAAAGAAGAGGAAAAUUGUGGAUAAUGAGAUGAUAGCAUUAACGGAAGAGUGUAGUGCAUUGAUUAAGAAUAAACUCCCUCCUAAAUUGAAAGAUCCGAGAAGUUUUUCUAUUCCUUGCACUAUUGGUCAAUUGCAUUUUUCUAAUGCUUUAUGUGAUUUAGGUGCAAGUGUGUCACUUAUGCCGUUAUCGGUUGCCCGGAGAUUGGGACUUCAAGAGCUAAAAGCUACCAAUAUUAUAUUGCAAUUGGCGGAUCGGUCAAUCACACAUCCCAUGGGUAUUUUGGAAAAUGUACUCAUAAAGGUAAGACAAUCUAUAAUACCUGUGGAUUUUGUUGUCUUAGAUAUUGAAGAAGAUGUGAGAAUGCCAAUUAUUCUAGGACGACCGUUUUUAGCCACUGCACGAACUAUAAUUGAUGUAGAAAAAGGUAAGCUUAUAUUACGGGUUAAUGGUGAGGAAUUGGAAUUCAAUUUGGAUAAUAAAGAAGGGAGUAUAGAGCCUACUGCUCUUGUGUCUAAUAUGCCAUAUGAUGAAAAGGUUAACCAAGAAAGGACCGAAGAAGUUAAAUUUAUAAAUGUCCUUGGUACUAACUUUCAUGGUGUAGGAACAAAGGAGGAGAAGAUAAGGAUGGAAGUUGGCUUAAUAAAUUCGCCAUUCCAUGAAGAAAAUGGUGAAAAGUUGAGCCAAUUCAGAAAAGACAAGCAAAAUCCACUCCAAGGUGAAGUUGAGCCUCUCUAUGACAAGUCUAAUAUUCCUCCUUGGCAUUUGAGGAAAUUGGACUAUGAAGAUCAAUGCAUGGUUCACCACAUGGUGGAUUGGCUCGGGAGUUUCGACCCAUGGGGAGAAAAUCUCUCUCUAAUGCUCUAAAGUGAUUCAACUUUUUCAGUCGAGCCAACGACUAUAAACAAAAGCGCUAAUUGGGAGGCAACCCAAUAUUUAGGUUAUAUUUGUUAACUUGGUGUGAUUUUGUGGUUUGAAUCAAUGUUUUAGCUAAAUUGUUGUUUUUGUAAUGUAGGGUUGGCAAUUGAAGGCAAGGAUGACCAAUUGAGUACAAAAAAGGCGAACUUUGAUCAAACAACUCAACCCCUCGAUUUGCGUUAAAGGUGUUUUUGAUUCAUUAUAAAGGGGUAAAAUGCAUGUUUUUAAUGUUUUACAUUUGUUCCAGCCAUUAAAAUUGGCAAACAAAUGAUCUAUGAUGCAUUUUGAGUCAUUGGGGUACCUUUUGUAAUUUUUCAAAAGUUGAAAUUCUGCUAAAAAUCGAAGCAGAAAACGCGUUUUCAAAGAAAACGCGACUAAAAGUCACGUUUCUAGGAAUCGCGUUUUCAAUUCUGCACCUGCAGAACAGAAAACGCGACUUCAGAAACGCGACUCGAAGUCGCGUUUUCCAUCACAGUCGCGUUUUCAUUCCUGCAAGAUUUGUGCAGGAAACGCGACUUUAAAAACGCGAGUUGAAGGCGCGUUUUUAGUCGCGUUUUCCGUAUCUGAAUAUAGCCUUCAGAAACGCGAUUUCAGCCUUUCUUCUUCACUUCUCCAAUUUUUCCAGCCGCGUUUUUCCCUCUUCCUUCUACCCAACUCACAAAUUUUCAUUUAUACUCCAUAAUCUUGCUAGAAAUCAUCACCCCAACACCUUUUGAGCUUCAUACAACCUUUUUAACCGAUUAAAAUCCAAGAAAAACACCUAAAAUCAGGUUUUUGAGGGAUUGAAGGUUAGGGUUCUUAAACUCUAAUUUCUUCAAUUGGAGGUCAAUUGGAGGUUGUUUCAUAGGGCUUUUUGCAUUUUUAGCAUCACCAAACAUCCUUCUAUGUGAUUGAGGUAAGUUUCUUCAUCAAAUCUUUUGAUUUUAGAAGUUCAUAUUUUUUAUCCUGAGCUAUCUGACAUCUUUUAAUUUCGAAAAUUUGAUGAGGUUCAUGGCUAUUUUUGAUUUUAUUCAUGAUUAUUAUGAUUGUUUAAGCAUGUUUAAAUGUUUAAAUGUAGCAAUUUAUUGGUUUUCAAGUACUUUAAAAUUCACAAUUGCUAUAUUUAGAUGAAAUUGGAAAAAGGAACUAGGAUGUUUUCGAGCCAUUGGUGAUGUUAAAUUAUGGUUAAAAAUGGUUAGUUGAUGAUGUUUAAGCAUGUGCAUUGUGUAUAGUGAGUAAUUUGGUUGAUUUGGGGAGUUAAUUAGUUUAAUUUUUGCCUAAACAUGAUUAUAGCUAAAAGCAUAUUAUUAUUGUUAAUUCUAAAUAGUUAUAAUCAUAAUUGUUCCUAUUUUCACUAAUUAAAUUAUAAUUGAUACAUAUCUUGUGUAAUUUGGUGAUUUUGGGCAACUUUAGGCAGAAAAUAUGUCUUGUACGAUCAUUGAAUGAUUAGAACUUGAGCAAUUGUAUUUGAGGUUAUUUGGAUUAAUGCUGAACUUUUGUUGCCAAAAAAAUGAGUUGUAGUACAUGUGAAUAAUUGAAAUAUUUUUUAGGUACUAUGCCAAGAGGAAGAAGAGCGGUACUUUCAUCCUCUAGUAGUGAGGAGAGGGAGGUUAAUGAAGAGAUGGAGGUGACUGAAGAGGAGAAUUCACCUUCUCCUUCACCAAUUAACCGUCGACCUGGUGAGGGCACCUCCCGUGGAGCGGGAAGAUCGGUAUUUGACAGUGCUAGGUUCAACACUCGCAGGAAUCAGGAGUGGCAUGAGGCGCGUGCUAAUUUGGAGUUUUUAUUUGAGAUGCACGUCAGUCCACCAGUUGAGAUGAUGUACAACAUCUCAGAAGCUUUUGCUCAGCUAGGAUGGGCUCCGAUUCUCACCCUUCCAAACCAUUACUACCCAGACCUGGUGCGCGAGUUUUACGCCAACAUUGAAAGUAAGGCGCGCCAUAGUGGAGAAAUAAUUGAGUCCUGGGUGCGUGGAAGACGAAUCACCUUGUCACGGCAAGAUUUGGCUGCUAUUUUGGGGUGUAUGGAUGACGGACGUCCAGUAGACUUGAAGAAGGAGUUUGUUCCCCCGAAUAGGAGGUGGGAUCCAUCAUUGGCCAUGGCUAGGUUUGGUCUCGAGUACCAACCUUUUCGCUCUACCAGAAAGGAGACUAUAUUGGCAAAUGUAUUCGAACCUCGUCAUCGGCUUAUCAUUUACAUGAUGGCUCACAAUGUCAUCCCAAAGAAGACGGGGCACACGGAGGUUCGCAAGAGCGAUAUUUACUUCCUUGAUUACAUGUUCCACAACCGAACUUCCCCGUAUGCUCGAAUUUCAUUGCCGAACAUCAUCAUCAGGCACAUUAGGUCUACGGCGAGGCGUAAGACAACUUCUUUCAAACUUUCAUUUCCUCGUCUACUGACUUUAAUCUUCCCCCGUUUUGAAGUUCCCUUGGAAGGCAUGCGGCGGGAGUAUGUUCCACCACGUGCUGAGAUGACUAUCACUACUCUUCGCCGCCUUGGUAUUGGCACGGGAGACAUUCCACGCCCUGUUCAGGAGCGGAGACAAAAGGCUAGACAUGGUCGCGAUGGAGCUGGACCAUCUACUGCAGCACCACCUCCUCCUCCGCCACAGACCAACUGGCAGCGGCUUUUCGGUCGCUUGGACGACAUCGACCAUCAUUUAGCCAGAAUGGAUACUCGCCUGGACCGAAUUGAAGAUCAUUUAGGCACACGCCCACCUCCCAUCGAUGAUGAUGAAGAUGACGAUGAAGAGGAUGAUUGAGGCUGCCCUUUGGCUGGCUUUUCUUUUGUUUGCUUGUUAUUUUUAUCUUUUGUUUGAAAAAUGUUAACUUACAUUCCUUAUUUUGAAUAUUGGAACUUGUGGCAGUAACUAGUAGAUCGUUGACUGUGGAUGGUUGAGCGGUCGAUGACUCAUGAUUCAAGGCUUCACUGGACUGCAGUCAUCUCACUUGGGGAGUCACUUGUUCCUUUCUUUUGUUUCUUUUCUUUUCUUUCCCUACACAUUGAGGACAAUGUGUAUUCUAAGUGUGGGGGAAGAAAUGUGUGGUACUUGUGAUUUUAGUUGUGUUUGAUAUAAUUCUUGUGCUUAAAUGGUGUUUCUUGUGGUUGCUGGCAGGGAGAUUUAGUCCACUUUUAAGGGGAGACUCUGUCAAAAUUUUUCCAAAACCUUAUACAUAUAUAUGUUAUUAACUAUAAUAAAUAAAUAAAAUUUUGUCACUUAUCCUUUUGAAAUAAAUAUAUGCGGUUUUGAUACUUCUUUUCUCAUAAAAUUUGGAAAUGAUUUUUAUGUGAUUAUAAUUUUUACAUCUAUAGGAAAGUAUAUCUAGUAAAGUGGAGAAAAUUAUGCCUACAUUUUGUAUAUUUGAUGAAAAUUCUUCUUUUUAUCUAAUUUUAUAAGAUAAGAAAUUAAUAUGGUUAAUAAGUGUCAUACUCUUCUCAUGAUUACUCUUAGAGGGAAUUUUAUUAUAUAUUGUUAAAAAAAAAAAAAAAUGGUUAUUCUACUCCAAUGAUUCUCGUACCGAGUAACCGGGGGUUGGCAUCUACAAAUGUCGACAUUCGCGUAAAAAGGUACUUGAAUUAAGAGUAUGCAAAGCAACUUGAGUAUGUGAAAUGUUGAGUAACCGGGGAUCUGCAUCUAAAAAUGUUGAUCUUCGCGUCAAAAGGCAUUUUUCACAACUUAAGCAAUAUUUAACCCUUAAAAUAUCAAAAAAAAAAAAAAAAGAAGUAAAUUAAAUCCCUCUUUAAGAAAAAUAAGAAGUUGAUCAUGAGAUUAGUUAGCAUCUUUAUUGACUAUAGGAGUUGCUUGCUUGCGAAAUUAGAUAAAAAUAAGAAGUUGAGUUGAAUUGGUAAAAUUAUGGUAUACUUGGCUCUUCUUUGCUUGAUAUUAUGAGUACUUGAACUUAAUGGAAAGAUCACAUAAGGGUUAUUUACCUUGAUUCAAGGAAAUGGAGUUGAAAUACUACAUAUGUUUAUUUCAAAUUUUUGGAUCAUUGAUGGUUGGAAUUUUAUAUUGCUUGAGGACAAGCAAUGAUUCAAGUGUGGGGGUAUUUGAUAAGAGUUUAUUUUACGUAUUUUUAAGUGCAUUUUAUUAGUUAAUUUUGAGUUGAUUAUUUAGUUUUAUAAUUAAAAUAAAGAGGUUUUUGGUAAAAUUAUAUAUUUUUGGUAAAAGUGGAUAAUAUUGCAUUUCUAUUGAUUUUAAUAGUAAAAACUUCAUUUUUAUGCAGGAAUAAUGAAUCAAUCACCAAAGGAGGUCAAUUGAGGUGAAAAAUAGAGAUUUGGUGAUGAAUUUAAGUGGCAACAAGAAGAAUGAAGUGAAAAACGUUCAAGUGAGGAAAUGCAAUACAAGUCAGUUUUGACACUUUUCAGUAUUUUGACCAUAUCUGGAGCUACACAUAUCGGAUUGAGGUGAUCUUUAUACCAUUUUAAAGCUAAGAAAGAGACCUACAAUUCGUAUGAAGACAUCGAAAUCCAUUUCUGCCAUCUUCAUGGACAAAAAGCUGGAAUACAGAAGCUGCACCCUGUGGUCGGAAGUUAAAACAGAGGUUUGAACAGGUGACAGUAUUUCGAUCAUAUCUCAGGCUACAAAGCUCCGAUUUGGAUGAUUCUUGAAGCAUUGAAAAGCUAACUCAAAGGGCUACAACUUUUGUGUUUUGCACAAAAGCUAGUUCGGCCUUUAUGAUAGAGAAAAUCGCAGAUGAAUUAAGGCCAAAGUGAAUACGCGAGUACACAAAACGUGACUUGUAACCGCGUUUUGUGUAGGCGCGUUUUAUAGCCGAAAUUCUGCAAUUUGACUCAGCCAAUUCUCUUGUGUUCAUACCACUUUCCAGCUAUAAGAUGCAAGGGAAUUCGGUGCACAUGCUUCAGAAGACAAAAGGGCAAGAAAAGUGGCUUAUUUUCAAGUCAAAAAUAUUGGUUUUUGACUAUGCUAACAAAGUGGAGAUUUGGGAAUCAAAGGAUAGAAUUUGACUUGGAAAAAUGGAGCAUUUGAGUGUUUUUUUAUGCAGAGAUAUGGGGAGAGAUCUGGGAACCAUUCGUAGCUUAGUUUCUGACAGAAAAACAUAGUCUCUCUAGCUAGGUACUUGCAAGGGACAAUUGAGGUUUCAUCUUGUAAUCAUCUAAGUUCAAGACAAGGAGAUUUUUGGAAGGCUUCACCAUAUCUUGGCUAAGACUUUCUUUACUCUUUUUGUAUUUGUAAAUUUAUGAUGAUUUGCAUUAAUGAAGUUAUGAGUGUUUCAUCAUUCAUGAGUAGCUAAUUUCCUUUAUCUAGGGAGUAGAUGAAGCUUAUGGCCAAAUGAUAUGAAGUGAUUGUGAUUUAUGCUUGUUAUGUCUUGUAUUAACUUAUCUACUUGUGUAUGUUGGAUUACUUGUUGUUGCUUGAUCACCAAUGGCAGGUUUAUAGUUGUUUUUACUCAUUGAGAAAUGGUAAAAAUAAUGGAAUGACACAAGUAGAACUUGAGUUGUAUAUUCAUGAGAAUAGAAAUACAUUCAAGUGGAUGAAAUCUGCAUUUCAUGUGUAAAUAAGAACAUAUUUAGUAUUUACCAAGAGAUUAGGAAAAACUAAUCUGUUUUAACCCAUUAUCAUCAUGAGAAUGUGAUUUUGGUAUUUCUGGAAAUGAAUUCUUGGUUAAACAAGAGCAGUAACAAGUGUUGAAUUAAUUCAUUUUAGAUCUUUUGAAUCAUAAGUGGAAUCUACAUCCCUAGAUCUUAAUAUUUAGUGAAUUCUAUUCCUUUUGUGAAAUUGCAUUUAUCUAGUUAAGAAUUUUUGUAGUUGAAUUACAUUCUGAAAUUUCUGCUCAAAUUAAUUGUAAGUCUAAAUAAUAGAGUAAAUUAGUAUCUAAUAAUUGUUUUAAUUGCUCCUCGUGGGAUCGACCCGAUACACAUCUUGUACUACAAUUACGACCUGUAUACUUGCAGUCCAACGGGUGUAAAAUCGGAAUUAAACUUGCAUUGAUAAAAAAAAAUCCCGUCACUAACUAUGAGUACUAAAACCGGGCAGAAUGUAAACUUAAAAUUCCAGAAAUCUGGAAUUUUUGGGAUUUCAUGACAAUCUAUUUAUUUCCUUGCUUCCAACACUACCAAAGCCCCUUAUAUAAUCUUAUAUACAACAUAUACCCACUAUACAACAAGUCUAGGCAGAAAUUUAUUAAACCCUAACUUGCAUAUAUCAUCCAAAAUCAUCACAACAACUUGCAUAUCUUGUAAUCAAGCCAAAACAUGAACUAGAUAACAUCUUAAAUCAAAAUUUAAAAGAACAAGAACCAUGAUCAGAUCUUAUACCUCAAAGACAAAGCUUGGAAGAGUGAUACUCCACCUCCUUUGGAAAUUUUUAGUUCCCCUAGCUUCCCAACUCCACAACUCACUCUUUAAUCGGUUUAGUUUUCUUUCUUCUCACUUGGAUGGCUAGAUUUCAAGAGGAAUUGAUGAACUCUCCCUUGGGUUUUUCUUCCUCUCUCUCUCAGCCAAGAAGUAGAAAAAAUGAAGAAGAAAGGCUGCCCAAGGUGAUAAGAAGGUAAGACAAAUUGUCUUGGUCAAGAGACCCUUAAUGGUGUGACACUUGUCACUACCAAUACCAAGCAAAAUUUUCUUUUUCUUUCUUGCAUUUUCAGCCCCAAAAUUCGCUCAAGGCUAGCUGGAAAUUAAGGAGAUAUUUUGCUCAAAUAUUAAUGAGCUCAUGUGGUGGUCAAGUGGUGCGUUCAAUCGGUAGUAUGCGGUACUCGUCGGUUCGCGCCGUUUUUUCUUAAAAACACAUGUACUAGGGUUUUUACUUUCUAUUUGCUACCCAUGUAUCAUUGCUCCUAAUCACAUAUUAUUUCUCACUUAAAAGUCACUUUUAAUCACCAAAUUUGAUCCUUGCUCCGUACCGAAAAAUCAUCCGGCGAAAAAAAUCGCGAAAACCCUAAUUUGCUCCAAUCUUGAAAACAAAAAGUGAAACCCUACUUUCUAGGUUCAUUUGCACUUAUUAUGGGGUGCUUGAGUAGUAGGGCCAUAAAAAAUGAAUAAUUUCCAAAUAAAAGGAAUUUUAAGAAAAAUGUGAUGAAUUUUAUAAUUCCAUAGAAUAAAAUUAGGGUUUUGAGUUAAAUAUGAGGGAUUUAAACAUUGUCACAAGUAAACUAGGGUUUUUGAUUAAAAUUUUAGGGUUUCUAGUCUUUUAAAACAAAAUAAGGUUUUAAAUCAAACCCAAAGAAAUAACUUUAGUAUCUUCCCUGAAACAAAAUAAUGUUUUAAAAUAAAAUGAACUAAAGAAACCGUAAAACAAUAGCAUCUUAAAAGUUGGGGUGUCACAAUCUCCCCUCCUUAAAAGAAUUUCGUCCUCGAAAUUCCAAUCAACGAACUAAAGGGUUGGAAUACUCAAAUACCUCAAUACGAUGGAAAAUAGGGAAGGUACCUUCGGUGAUUGUUAAUGGGUCUGUCACCUCUUGGCUUUCUAUUGCAUAGGUCCUUGCCGGCACUUUCGGUCGAUUACCCGUGGCAUUAGUCUUCUUAGACGUGUUCCCUUCUGCCCUUGGCAAAUUUCCUUCUUUUGGUAGGUGAGGGCACUGAGCAAUCAGAUGCUCAGCACUACCACAUCGAUAGCAUUUCCGUACUUGUCCUUUCUUCCAACAAUUAUCUUCUAUGUGAUUAGCAGCUCCACAAAAUCCGCAUGUCAUUCUAGGUCCUGACGUCGGACCUCCUCGUGAGGUACCCCUUUGGGUCUCUCUUCCUACCUGAUUUUUCUCAACAUUUCCUUGAUUUGGGAUCCCAGUGGAUCACGGUCCACCUAUUCCUCGACUCUUCUUAAGUGGUGGCUCGCUCCCCGAGCUCUGUCCCUCAAUAUAACUGCUUGUAUCUGGGUACCUUCUUUUCUUAUCAUGAAAGGCCUUUACUUGACUCUUAGUACUUUCAAUUCUUUGUGCCUUUUCAAUCGCUUGACUAUAAGUCUCCAAUUGAGCAGCUGCCAAUGCCUCUUGAAUUUCCACGUUCAAACCCUGAACAAACCGACGAAUUCUCCUUUGGUCUGUCAGUACUAAUUCUGGAGCAAAACGAGAGAGUUUGGUAAACUGUGUCUCGUACUCCGCCACACUCAUAGUCCCUUGACGUAGGCGUAUGAACUCAUCCUCUCGCCUUUCCUGAACAAGUGGCGGUAAGUACUUCUCAUUAAACUCACGAGUAAAAUUCACCCAUGUCCAUGGGGUUUGCUCUCUAUCCCAUUUGGCUCGAAUCACAUUCCAUCAGGCACGAGCCGCUCCCUCAAAUUGAAAAACGGCGAAAGCUAUCUGCCGUUCCUCUGAGUAUUCUAACGCAGUAAAAAUGUCUAACAUUCGCUCCAACCAACUCUCCGCUAUAUCAGGGCUAGGUCCACCCAAGAAUUUUGGCGGUAGAAAUUUUUGGAACCAUUCUAAGGCACGGUCCUCUCCUUCAUGAUUGCCAGGAUGCUGUACUUGGCCUUGACCCUGUUGGUUGACCAUUCGUUCUAGUAAAUCAGCCAUUCGCUGUAUGGCUAUAGCUACCUGGGUUUCGGCUUGCGUAUUCACAUUUUCAUUAGUUACCCCUUCGGUUCCUUGUCCUCGUCCUCUACCCCCACCACGAGUCUCCAUUUGAUGGUUUUAUAGUUUCUUUAAUUGGGACACAAUAUGGUUCAAGAUCAAUGUGUGUACGUAUAUAUACAAGUCACGCAAAAUAUACACAAUAUAAUGCACCAUAUACACCAAGGGACAUUUCAGGUUAGACAAAGUCAAGUGCAGUAAGUACUAUAUAUGUAGGCAUUAACAUACCAUAAGUAAAUGACAUGUAGAAACAAUGCAAGUGCAAAAUGAAAGAAACGCGACUUGUCGUCCCACACUCAGUGAAAAUCACCCCCGUCUGAUUUCUUACUCCACUUCCCAAGGUGCCCGUUAAUUUCUUGUACUCACUCUAGCCAGACAAAGCCUGUUCAUGUUCUCAAAAUGCAAGUUUCAAGUCAAAAAUUUCUCAAGUCGAAAAUUUUACCCGUGGCGGUGCUUGGAAACACAACAAGCUAGCACAACGGCUAUACUUCACCAGUGAGUCUUAAUUCAAGAAAUUCAUCCCUGGCGGUGUUUGGAAACACAACAGGCAAUGCCUCACCAGAGAGUUUUAGUUCAACCGCUACAGAGGAAUAGUAGCCGGUCUACAACCACACGAGUACAAAUAAGUUCAAAACAAGGUCGAAGCAGGGUUCAAACAUAUAAAUUCAAAAAUAGAGUCAAUUACUUCAAGUUCAAGGAGCACAGGUACGAAUAAGAACUCACUCGGCUAGCCUAUACCCAGCAAUUCACAUUCUCAAACAGUCACCGAAUUAAAGUCCAAAUAUAGGUCACAUUACUCAUGCGUAAUAUCAAAUCAGGUCCAUUACAUGUACGUAAGAGCACACGAUAUGGUACCCAAGUACAAGAAUUCACAAUAAGACAAUUCACAACUCGAGCCGGCCGGUCCCAAGAGUAAAUCAUCCAUAUUAGAGAUUCCUACCUGGCAUACCUAACCAUUGUCCCCAAAGUACCAUGAUAAGGGUUCAAACCUAGAACGUUUCAUGAUUCGUAACUUAAGCUUCAAAAAAAAGUCCUUAAUCCUUAAUUCUCAUUCACGAAAUUAGGACCAUAACACCACUUGGCCCAAGCUCACUCCGGGCAGAGACCACGCGAAGCAGGCUCUAGCUUUUAUCCCUCAAUCGCUUAACUUUUGAAUCAAAUCGAAUUCCACAGUCCGGCAUCCUAAACUUUAGCCUAGGAUACACUACAGAGAUCUGAAGCCUAAACUCUGAUACCACCUGUGACGGCCCCACCUCCCCCUAGGGCGUACCCCAAGGUUCGGCGGGUCGCCUGCCCAACUCUCGCCGGGACUCACUCACUCACUACAGUCCUCCAAUGAAGUAUAAGAUAAAUCUCAAAUAUUACAUCCAAUUCUCCAGAAUUACAUAAACUAGUACAUCAAGUCGUACAUACCACGAGUACCAGAAAAUAAACCCUAGAAAAGCUGAUAACUACAACCACCACGACAACUACAUACACCUUGUUAGUCAACUUAAAACAAGUACAAGUUCACUCGUCUAUAAUCAAAACACUAAACACCUUCCCGAGCGAUCCCCGCGUCGGCCCCCUGCUAAGGAAAACAAAUGGAAUGGGGUAAGCUAUAUGCUUAGUGAGUAAUCAGGGGGAAAUGUAAACUCACAUUCAAACAAACAAGUAAUCAGGAUAUUUCACAUCAAUACAGAAAAUUAACAUCACAAGGGUAGGAUACGGGUGGCUCCAAAGCCAGUUCAAUUCCCCGAGCUUGAAUGCCUAUUGACACUCCGUCAACUUUUAAAACAUUAUUUUAAGAUGCUACUGUGACACCCCAACUUUUAAGAUGCUAUUGUUUUACGGUUUCUUUAGUUCAUUUUAUUUUAAAACAUUAUUUUGUUUCAGGGAAGAUACUAAAGUUAUUUCUUUGGGUUUGAUUUAAAACCUUAUUUUGUUUUAAAAGACUAGAAACCCUAAAAUUUUAAUCAAAAACCCUAGUUUACUUGUGACUAUGUUUAAAUCCGUCAUAUUUAACUCAAAACCCUAAUUUUAUUCUAUGGAAUUGUAAAAUUCAUCACAUUUUUCUUAAAAUUCCUUUUAUUUGGAAAUUAUUCAUUUUUUAUGGCCCUACUACUCAAGCACCCCAUAAUAAGUGCAAAUGAACCUAGAAAGUAGGGUUUCACUUUUUGUUUUCAAGAUUGGAGCAAAUUAGGGUUUCACAAUUUUUUUCGCCGGAUGAUUUUUCGGUACGUAGCAAGGAUCAAAUUUGGUGAUUAAAAGUGACUUUUAAGUGAGAAAUAAUAUGUGAUUAGGAGCAAUGAUACAAGGGUAGCAAAUAGGAAGUAAAAACCCUAGUACAUGUGUUUUUAAGAAAAAAAGGCGCGAACCGACGAGUACCGCGCACUACCGAUUGAACGCACCACUUGACCACCACAUGAGCUCAUUAAUAUUUGAGCAAAAUAUCUCCUUAAUUUCCAGCUAGCCUUGAGCGAAUUUUGGGGCUGAAAAUGCAAGAAAGAAAAAGAAAAUUUUGCUUGGUAUUGGUAGUGACAAGUGUCACACCAUUAAGGGUCUCUUGACCAAGACAAUUUGUCUUACCUUCUUAUCACCUUGGGCAGCCUUUCUUCUUCAUUUUUUCUACUUCUUGGCUGAGAGAGAGAGGAAGAAAAACCCAAGGGAGAGUUCAUCAAUUCCUCUUGAAAUCUAGCCAUCCAAGUGAGAAGAAAGAAAACUAAACCGAUUAAAGAGUGAGUUGUGGAGUUGGGAAGCCAGGGGAACUAAAAAUUUCCAAAGGAGGUGGAGUAUCACUCUUCCAAGCUUUGUCUUUGAGGUAUAAGAUCUGAUCAUGGUUCUUGUUCUUUUAAAUUUUGAUUUAAUAUGUUAUCUAGUUCAUGUUUUGGCUUGAUUACAAGAUAUGCAAGUUGUUGUGAUGAUUUUGGAUGAUAUAUGCAAGUUAGGGUUUAAUAAAUUUCUACCUAGACUUGUUGUAUAGUGGGUAUAUGUUGUAUAUAAGAUUAUAUAAGGGGCUUUGGUAGUGUUGGAAGCAAGGAAAUAAAUAGAUUGUCAUGAAAUCCCAAAAAUUCCAGAUUUCUGGAAUUUUAAGUUUACAUUCUGCCCGGUUUUAGUACUCAUAGUUAGAGGCCGAAUCAGGCUUGUCCUAAAACAUGAAAGUUGUAUGGAAUGGUAUUUUAUAGGUGCCUACAAAAUUUCAGCCCAAUCGGAGCUAUGUAACUUGUGAAAAGAUGAAAAUACCCUCGCUGUUCUAGGUUACAUUCCAGAGUUCCGCGUGGACAGUUUAGUCUAUUUGGUUGUGUUUAUUCACUAUAAUCCGUGGGGAUUUAGCCUGUUGACAAAACAUAAAAGUUUUAUUAUUCUGUCUUAGCUUUUAAACGCCUCCAAGAACACCUUAAUCGGACCUUGGUAACCUGAGAUAUAGUCAUUUAAAAGUAGUGCGGUUUAUUAGCCGACUAGUUGGAUUUUGGUUCUGUAAAUUGGAGAUUUGACUAGGUUCCAUUGGAAACGGGACUAAGUGAGCUUCAUGAAAAUUGUAGCCCUGUGUCUUAGCUUCGAAACGGUAUAAGUUGCGCCUCAAUCCGAUAAGCGUAGCCUCGAAUGUGUUCUUUCCGCAACCACAAGUCAAAUCUGUCUUUUGCUAGGUUACAUUUCCGCACUUGUUAUCACUUUGAUUUUUGUUCUUAUGUUGUUAUGAGCCUAUGGAACGGCUAUUACUUGAAUCUAUGAUAUGUAUAACUUUGGGUUGGAUUGAGUAAAAUAUUGAAGCCAUAAAUGGCUGAAAAAUGGGUAAACACAAGGGGCAUGCCGCCGAAUUUCACGAGAAAGAUAAACUAGUCUUCGGAGUCCUAGUUUUAUAUGUUGCAAAUUUAACUUGGAUACACUGAAAAAUGGAUUGAGUUAUCUUCAUGAAAGUUGUAACCUUUUGCCUAAGGUUCGAGACACUAUCUAGUACAUUUUGAUCCGAUAACCCUAGCUUCCGUUAUGGACAAGAUCGUGUAACCGUUUUGAUUAUUUUGACCGUUUUCAACUGUAUUUGAUCUUUUCAGUUAUAAAUUGCUGUUGUAUGGCCGUUUCACUCAUGUAUGUAUAUAAUCUGCCCCUACAAAUCUUGAGGCUUUUGACGGUGACGGUCAAGCUCCGUGAAUUGUAUCAUUUUUCGUGCCAAGUUGUAUCAAGUGAGUAAUUGGGUGGUUAUUGAUGUGAAAUUGUUAAAGUGCUUUGUACAUGUUAAAUGGGUACGUAGGCGAGGGUGUACUUUAUCUCACUCGACCUAAGUCCAUCAUUUGUUUUGAUUUCCUAUGUGAGAAUACAUGCUUUAUGUUGAGUAUCACCCUCUUGCUGUGUGCUGAGGAGGGGAAUUACAUGACUUGAGUAUCACCCUUUUGCUGUGUGCUGAUAGGGGUGAUCUCGUGACUUGAAUUAAACCCCAUUUGCUGUGUGCUGUUUGGGGUAAGUAUCUUGUUGUGCACUUGUUGAGAGAUACCAUCUAUUGAGAGAUCGGAUAUCUCAGGGCUUGGUUCCAGCCCGGUUCCAAGGGUUAGACAAACUAUUCGAGCCAGCCGGGGCUUGGUCGAAGAUAGUUCCAUGCUAAACUUGGGAUUUAGUUCCUUGUUAAAGCUUUGACGAAAGCCAAGUUACUUUAUUUCGCUCGAGCUGCUGUGUGCUGUUGACUGGCCAGCGGGGGUUGAUAAGGUGAACGGGGAAGUUUCAGUGGUGUCUACGGACCAUGAGUAUUUUGGUUGACGGAGUGUCAACAGGCAUUCAAGCUCGGGGAAUUGAACUGGCUUUGGAGCCACCCGUAUCCUACCCUUGUGAUGUUAAUUUUCUGUAUUGAUGUGAAAUAUCCUGAUUACUUGUUUGUUUGAAUGUGAGUUUACAUUUCCCCUGAUUACUCACUAAGCAUAUAGCUUACCCCAUUCCAUUUGUUUUCCUUAGCAGGGGGCCGACGCGGGGAUCGCUCGGGAAGGUGUUUAGUGUUUUGAUUAUAGACGAGUGAACUUGUACUUGUUUUAAGUUGACUAGCAAGAUGUAUGUAGUUGUCGUGGUGGUUGUAGUUAUCAGCUUUUCUAGGGUUUAUUUUCUGGUACUCAUGGUAUGUACAACUUGAUGUACUAGUUUAUGUAAUUCUGGAGAAUUGGAUGUAAUAUUUGAGAUUUAUCUUAUACUUCAUUGGAGGACUGUAGUGAGUGAGUGAGUCCCGGCGAGAGUUGGGCAGGCGACCCGCCGAACCUUGGGGUACGCCCUAGGGGGAGGUGGGGCCGUCACAGUUCUGACAUUCUCUUGGUACAAAACUAUAGCUACUGUACCUAAUCAAUACAGUAGCAAAUAUAUUUUUUUUAAAGUGUCAGGCUAUCAUGCUGAUUGUGCACGGGAGCCCACGGGUGAUUUUUUUUUUUUCAAACCAUCUACCGUGCACAAUCAACAUGAUAGCAGGCAGCAGACAAUUUAUUUUUAAAAGUGUCAGGCUACCCUGUAGCGAAAUUGAUGAUUCGGUUGUACAUAUUAUUAGGGGUGGUAAUUCUUGACACGACUCGAAAAUACGACACGAAUCUAACACGAAAUUAAUGGGUUUGGGAAGUUCAGGUCAGAAUUGGGUCGAACCCAAUGAACCUGAAAAGAAAACAGGUCGAUUUCGGGUCAACCCUUGGUGACCCGAUAUGACCCGUUUACAAAUUAAAAAUAAUUUAAUACACAUAAAAAUUAUUUGAUCUAACUAAACUAAAUCAUUCUUUUUUUUCAAAGGCAUUAAAUCAUUAAUUACUUAAUCCUAAAUGAAUUUAUUUAACUUGUGUAAAGUUGAAAUUAUUAUAUUUAGACAAAUAAUAUAUUAUAUUAUUUUUUACUUUUAUGCUAUUUUAAUUUAUUUUAUAUUUGGUUUGGAAUAAAACACUUUUACGGUGUUUAAUUUAUUUUAGAUUUGGUUUGAAAUUAUUUAUUUAAAUUUUUAUUACUUGAUGAUGUAAUUAAUUUUGUAAGAAAUUGAUUUUAUUAGAAAUUACAGUGAUAAAUUAAUAAAUUAAAAUUAAGUUUCGAGUCAUUUCGGGUUGACCCGUCAACCUGAAAUUUUCAGAUUCGUGUCAAGCAUCCUGACCCGUUUCGGAUUGGCAGGUCAAGUUCGGGUCAGCGGGUUUUUUGUUAUACUUGGACCUCAACCCGACUCGCCAACCCGAAGCCGACCUGAUUGCCACCCCUACAUAUUAUGCUACUCGGUAAAAUUUUUCAAUCAUUUCCUCCAAAUAAAGAAAAAGGAAAAAAACAUUCAAUCAAUUAAAUUGUUCUCCACUCACGGGACGUGGUCAUUAUUGACGGUUGGCUUGGGCGUUUAACGUCAUUAAUAACUUCGUUGAAGGUGGCCCCUACUGCUCUCCCUUCCCUGAACGUGGUCUUGCUUUGGGCAUCUACCGUCAUUAAGGAACUUGUCUUUCCUACACUCAAAUCUUCUUUUUUUUUUUUUUAUAACCCGGAACAUGUCUCGAUUCAAAUUCUUAGAAUCCGAGCCGACACACCAAAUCGAAAGAGUGUGUCACGGUCCCACGCAGCGACCCCAGACGAGUUAUAGGGGUUCAAGUCCAUGAUAAGAAAUCUUUUCUUUACCUAGUUAAAGAAUGAAAUUAUAUGAUUCUAAGUUGAGAAACGACAGACCCAGACCUCACAAAUUAAGUCCUAUCCAGUUGAACUCCAUUCAUGUAAUUCCUAUGAUUAUUAGUGUUACUCCUUGAAUGUAAAUUUGAAUUUGUCAACUAGUAGAACUAAGUUGAUGAUUGUACAAAAACUGUAUGAAUUUAGUAAUAAGAAUUAUAGGAAUCUAUUUGAACUGGAUAGAAUUUAACUUUUAAAACUCCUAGUCUACUGAAAGUUAAUCAAAUUCUCUCUCUUGUUCUCUCUCAUAGUCUACAACAUCUUAACCAUUUUUAUUAGUAUUUUUCCUCAUAAAAAUUCAAAAAUCCUCAUGAAAUUAAAGAAUACCUCCAGAAUCCAAAUAUUUUGCCAAACAAAAUCCAAGAAAAAAACCUUGAUCAGAAAAUUCAAAUAAAAUUUAUAAUGUCCGGAUAGGUCAUAAUUUGUUGCUAAAUUUAUAAUUAUUCUCCCCUUGAUUUUAGCCAAAUAUUAUUUUAAUUGUCGGAUUCUACUUUUAUUUGGUAUUUUGUGCUUAUUUCAGGAAUGGGAAUGAAAAGUGCUUAAAUGAAGAUUUUAUAGUGAAAAACAUCUGAUGGUUGCACGGGGGCGUGCCUAAGUUCACCGCUCAAAGCCGAAAAGUCGGGAUUGAUACUGGGCAAUCUCCAAAUCUGAAUCAAUUUCCUAAUUUGAUAGCUAUCAGGACCUUCUUGAUUUCACGAGAUCAUUCUCAAGUGAUUGGGAGAGUUUUUAGGAAAUUAAAUUGUAAUAGGAAACUCCUUAAGAAUCUGAUUGGUACUAGGAAACCAAUCAUUUGAAAAGUCAGCAAGUAGAAUCCGUGGGAGAGACCCAUCUGUGGCAACAUAGGAAUUUCUUGUCUUUUCUUUCCUUUGCACGGAUUGAGGAGGAGCAAAAAGCCGGAUCCCGCGUGAUUAAGAGUCGGCCAGCAACAAAUUCGGGGAGUCUUGGUUUUCUUAGGAAGCUACAAAAUAGGAAUUGAGGGGACGGCAGCCGCGGGGGGCUCUCUUCUCCUCUGAGUAGUUUCUUUCUAUUGUCAAACAUUGACGCAAUUUCCUUUAAUGGAAUUGCAUGAGUUACUCUCAAUGGAGAGUAACUAAUCUUGUUUUCUAGUCAAGGGGACAACUGAAGAUUUGGUUCGAUAAAUACUAUAUGUCACGCCCCAUUUUUUUGAAAAAAAAUAAAAAUUAAAUGUUUUAGAAAACAUGAAUUUUUUAUUUAUUUGAUUAAAAAAUGAGUUUUUGAUUUUUGAUGAAAAUGAAUGAGGAAAAAUGAAAUGGGGCCUAAAUGGGGUUUAAAAGUGCGACGAUUUGGGCCCAAAUUAUAGUUUAAAAAGGGUUUUUGAAAAAAAAUCGGAGUCGCCACUUGGUAUUGAGUUAAGGUGUACCAAGUCACCUAAAAAUGAAUUUUUCAAAGAAAAAAGUAGAAAACCCUUUUUAAAGACUCCUAGUCGACGAAAAUCAAAGAAAAAGGUUCGGGAGUCACAUUUGAAGAAAGAGAAGGCAAGGAUAAAAAUUCGAGACACCCUUUCGACCUAGCCAAGGCUAGUUACGUGAUUUAGCCAAAGAUUUUUUUAUUUUUAUCAUAUUUGGAUGUACUAUAUGAAUGCAAACUCUAGACCUAAGAGGGUAUCGGAGGGUCAAAAUAUCUCUUCAAAGCUUAAUUGAUGCCAAUCACAUUAAUUGUGAUGCCCAAUAAGGAUUCUUUGAAGAGGUCACGCAUAAUGCAAAAAUAUGAGACUCUAAGAAAAGAAAAGGAAUAAAAUAAUUAUAUAAAUACAAAUAUACAUGACCUAAAGGAAUGCAUCAUGUCGGGUACGGGGAACUAAUGUUCGUGACUCAAUUUUCCCUUUAAUAGAGGGAAUACGAACAUGCUAAGGUUAGAGAGCCAAACUCGUCCAUAUCUCAUACUCAAGGGGUAAUUUCCCUAUCUAAUCAAGCAAACGUACUACCCUAAUUCUAAUUUUCCCUAUAUGAAAUGCAAAUCUAAUGUCAUGUCUCAUGCAUAGGAUUAUAUAAAGGAAAAUAUAAAAUAGGGGAUAUGGAUAUAAGAGGGAAUAUGGGAUAAGGGAUGUGUGUGUAAAGGGAAUAUGGGAAAAAUUACGUAUAUAUAAAGGGAAGUAUGGGAUAAAGGUUAUAUUAUAAAGGGAACAUGGAAAAAAAUUGAUAAAAGACCCUAGAAAAUGAAAAAUAUGAAAUGAAAUGAUUUUAUCAUACAAUCAUGAUCUAACGCUCGAAGGGCUCCUAAGGGUCUAGCGUUGGACUAGCCUAUAUUUCUACUUCCUCACUAGCGUUGGACUACUGAAAAAUCGAACAAGGAAACCACAACUAGCGUUGAACUAGUAUAGCAUCGGGAAAUGAAUCACUACUAGCGUUGGACUAGUGUGAUAUUACAUCAUACAUUAAUUAUAACUAAACCAAUAAUAUAAAGCAAGUAAACACAUAAUAUCACAUAAACAUAUAACACGUAAUCAUGAUAUCUAAAUGCGAGACCCUAAGAAAGCGGAUAACACGUAACACAUAAGCAUGCAAGACAUACUAGGCAAAUAAAGCAAACAAGCCCUAACUAUUAUAUUGGGAAGGGCCCUACUACAAUCUAAAAAGGGAAAUAAAAUAAAUAAUUAAAAGAAAUACCUACCUAUUACAAUUGUGGCAUUUAAUUGCCUUCCCAAAUAAUUACAAAUUAAAAUUAAAUAAAUAUUAAAAAAAUUGGAAUAAAUAAAGCAUAUAAAGAAAUGAAAUAAAACAUUCAAAAGGCAUGUAAUUAAACACAUAAUGUCACAUAAGUGCACAUAGGGUCAAGUAAAUUAGAAAUAAGGGAUAGAGUGUACCUCCCUUGAGUUGGGGCCUUAAUGACACGAAUUUACUAUUUACCCUCCAAAAUAACAAAAAGGGUCAAGGCACCACUUUAAUUAACAAUAAAUGAAAUAAAAACUAAACACGAAAUGAAAAUUUAAACACAAAAUGGAAUCACUUAAGGUAUUCACAUAAAAUAAACCAUUCAAGUAUUAAAGCAAACAAAGUCCUAAGUAGAAAGUUUUAAAAGUUAAAAAUGAAAUACUAAAAUUGAUGGCUUAAGAUGAGACUUAUCAAAAUCAAAUGCUAAAAUUCACGAAAAUAAAUCAAAAAUCACUUGUUGCAAUUAAACAACAAAAUACUCAAAAAUUUCACUAAAACCCAAAUCAAAAUCAUAAAUCCCUCAAAAAUUAUUAAACCUCAAAAUUUCAUUCUAAAAUCCACUAAGAAAUUUAUCCAAACGGUAUGUUAAAAUGUACUAAAGGAAAAUUGGAAUUCAAAAGGACAAGGUUGAUCAAAUUUCGAAUUAUUUUGGUCAUGAUAACAUCACUUUAAGACAACAGGGAGCAAAGUGCAAUUCUUGGAAGGUUUUCAUGCAACAUGCAUGCAAAUGCUACGAAGGAAACAAGUUUCUGCAACAAAAAACUUUCAACUACUCAUGAAGCUUUCGGCAAUGUUCUGCUGCAUAUCUGCAGCAUCAAACCACGCGAAUGAAUUGCCCAAAAAAUGCACAAAAACUCAUUUUUUAUCAACCUAACUCACACACACGUCUCCACUCAUCCAUCAACUGAGAAGAUCCAGGCCAGGAAAGCGAGGAAACACAAGAAAUGCAACAAAACACUUAGCAGCUUUUCGCACCGAGAGUCUCCAGAAAUAAUCCAAGUACAAACCGAAAGGACAUGAAAUCCAAGCCAAAUUUGUGCAGCUGAUGCCUUUUUUAUUUCGAAAACUAACGCCCAAGAUACACAAGACAGAAAAAAGGCAAGAGAAUCAUCAAAGAGCAAACAUGAUAAAGCUGUGGAACAAGCUCAGCAAACCAGCGGCCAAAAGGUUUGACAGUUCAUGCAUCUUCUUAGCAGGAACUUCCUUUUCUUUCGCUGGUUUCUUGAGCUACAAUUUCUGGGUUUUUGAAUGCAAUCAUUUCCAUCUAAACAUUGCUAACGACUCAACCAACAACAGCUUGGGCCAAAGUAACAAAUUCACCAAGCAUUCUCUCCACUUUGUGACCCCAAAAACUGAAAAUUUCAUAGAAGAAAAAACAGGCAUGCGAAAUCUGGAAAUUUCUGCAACUUUCAACCAUGGCAUUCUUCCAUUUCAUCACGCAAACAAGUCCAACGAAUAUCAAAAUUUUGGGUCAAAACAAACGAACGAUACAAGUCUCAAUCAUCAUCUAAACCAAAUACUAUGUUUUGUUGCAGGAUUAAAGCAGAAAACCUGGGUUGACCGACAGUAAAAGAAAGAGAAAAAAAUGCAGCAGUUUUAACAAGAAAUCCAAUCCCAAGUACUUGUCAAAUUCCUAAACCCAUCACCAAGAUGUGGUGCUAAACAUCUAAAAGGAAAAAUCUGAAUUGAGGGACUUGCAGGAACCCAGAUUCAUUCAUUGGUUUCAAGUUCUGGGUUUUCAUGUCAAAAUCAAACAAGCACCAAACUCUCAAGACAAAACAACAAUCAAACCCAAAUCUUGUACUUUGCCCGCCUUAGAAUUCGUCAGACCCAAAUUACACACACAAACGAGAACCAAAAUGCAACCUUUAGUUUAUUAACUAUACAUACUUCAUAUACACAAGAAGUGAGAUGAUUGCAUAUGCUGAUUACUAAACACAAGAGAUGUUCAUGACUUCUAAAUUGGAUUCACAGUUUCGGAUACUCGUUAAAUGGACAAAGAAGCCGACACCAAGCCUAUCAAUUAGCGCAACAACAUCACAAAGUAUAAUCACAGUCAUUGUCAACCACAGUCAUGAUCAUUCAUUCGAAAAAAAUGCAGCCUAGACGAAGCUUUUUCUGCUGCAAUUUUCUGAGUUCUUUCUUCCGCAACUUCAUCAUUCGACUGGGAUGUCUAUGCGAAAUAAAUCAAACCAAGCCCACUGAUUCAUUUAACCAAACCCAAAUGCUAUAAUCUCAAACCCACAUUGUUAACUUCACCCAAAAUACGAUUGCCCAUUCCCAGCAGAUUCAAUGGUGCAACUGAACAUGAAAGCGCAGCAAAGACAGAAAGAAAGAAUCUUGCGCUAGACAUGUACAUGGAAAACCAGUCAAACAACAAACAAAUCACGAAAUUCAAGCAACCCAAGAGCUCAAGCAACCCAAAAAGAAAAAUGACCCCUUCGACAUGGCUGUAACUCUGGAUAAACAAACAGAGGAGAUUUGGAUAUAAAAAAAACAAAAGAAACUGGUUCUGCCUUUUGAAAGCAAAGGACCGGACCUGGAGAUUAACAACUGUGUAGCCAUGACAUCAAGAUCUAACCUCUAACCAUGUCUAAUGCUCUUUUAAUAUAUCUUUUAGCCAUUAAUACACAGAUCUUUGAAUCAAAAGAGAUCAGGAAAAGGAGCUAACAGAUAAAAUAUGAGUUGGCUAGAUCAAGAUGCAUUUGUUACCUCCUGAGUCUUCUCUCUCGGCUUGUUCCAGAGUCUUCCUCCCCAAGCUCUCCUUUUUCUCAGCUUUUCCGUUUCUCAGCCCGUAGCUCUCUGUUUCCUUUCCCGCCGCCACUCUCAACUGCUCUCUUUCCUUCCCAAGUUCUUAUCAUGUUCCGCCCGUAACCUUUCUUGCUCUCCACAACUUUCUCUUCCUCCCUCGUUUCUUUCUUUUCCAGCUUGGCCGCUCUCUCUCUCCCGCUUAGGUUCUCUCUCAGAAACCCCCCCGUCACUUUUCCUUCCUUCGUUCUCUCUUUCUUCUCAGUUUCGUCCCUCAGCCACCACUCCUCUUACUUCUCCAAAAUUUUUUAGCCGUCACACACUAUCCCCUCUUCUAAAACCCUUAGUUUUCUAUUUAUACCAGAUUCAAACCCUUAAAACUUCAUCUCGAUGGUUCAUAAACAAUCUCAGCUCACCGCCUCUCUCUUAGCCCUUGAUUUUGUUUCAUUUCUAGAUUCUUCUUGGUUGUUAGAUGGAAGCCAAGUAGAAUGAGGUUAGCAUGAUCCAACGGUGAAGGAAAAUCAAUGGAAAAAAGGAUGGAAAAUGGGAAGGAACUGAGCGCUGCAUUUUCUGUACUUCUCGCAUGCUGCUGUUUGGAAAAUGUUUGUUUUGUUUGCAGCUCACGCGCCUCCUCUUUUUUUUUUUUUUAAUUAACAACAAUAAUAAGGAAACAACAAAUCGAAAUAAAACAAGAACAACAAAAGUCAAAUAAAAGCUAAAAAAGAAAUUUUUUGAAUUUAAUUGAUGAUUUUUCCUUUUAUUUUACUAAUCUUCACUUAAUUUAGAUAAACGAAUAAUAAACUUUUUCUUAAAUUGAGUCUAAAAGAAAUAAAACAUAUUUUUUGUCAACAAUUUUCUUCUUCUUUUUUUUUGAAUAAAUUUUAAUGCUAAAAUGUCUCAAAUAAAAAUUAAGAGACUCAUGAGCGAAAAUGAAUAAUAAUUAUCAUUUAAAAAAUAAAAAUAAAUAAAUAAAUAAAGCUAAAUUAAAAAUUUGGUAUCUAAAAUGCUAAAAUGUCUAAAACAAAAUCAUGAGAUUAAUAAGUAAAAAUAGCUAACAAUUAUCAAUAAAGAUAAAAAUAAAUUAAAAUAAAAUGAAAUAAAUUAAAAUUUGGUGUCUACACUAUGAGAUCUAAAUUAUUUUAAUUGUUUUUUCCAUUUAUUGAUAUUUAUAUGUUUUCUACUUUUAAUUGUUAUAGCUCUUGUGUAUGAUUGAUUAGUGCGUAAUAAUUAAUUAUUCACAUAGGCUAUUGUGCUAAUUAGGGGUAAUUGAAUCCGUAAUUGUUCGAUUAUCUCCAUCCCAGUAGCAACUGGCGUAAUUGGGUUUAUGUCAGGAAAACAUACUAUUUAACUUAAACAAACUCUCGUAGCAUGUUUGUUAGUUAGGAUUGGGCCUUUCUAAAUCUUAAUGCAAACCAGAAAUUAAAUCAUAUGGUCGUACCUAGGGUUGUUUCCGGGUUAGAGAAAUAGUUAACGGUCAUAUCUUAACUAUCGAGAAAUUAAGGAAGGGUUGGUUGUUUAUCGCGUGCAUGACAACUAUAACCAAUCUAUUAAUAAAUGUUGGAAUUAUCUGUGAAUCGAUGAUCAGUGCAUGAACCAUUUCUGAAGUGUACCCUUGACUAGAGUUCUCACAAUUAUUUCUUUUAAUUAAUUAUUUUCUGCAUUUACUUUAUUUAGUUAGCAUUUAAUCUUGAAAACCCCCAUUUGUCUUGACUCGGAAGGAAAUAAAUUUUUCUCCAGUCCCUGAGGAGACGACCCUGCUUGCCAUUGUCUACUAGUUAGUGAAUUUAGUCAGAUAAUUAAUUCAGGUAUAUCGGAUUAAACAAACUCUUCGAAAACAGGGUGAAUCAAGUAACCCAUUGCAUACCUAGAGUCCCUGCUCCAGUACUUAGAAUUGAUUAUUGACUGCUUUUGGUGGUAGUUAGGUUUUAUUUAUUAUUAUUGCACAGGUUGGGUACUUGUCAAUUUUUGGCGCCAUUGUCGGGGACUAGUGCCUAAUUAAUUUGUUUCUUUUUUAUUUCAUCUUGUUUUCAUUUUUUUUAUUUUUCUCUUAAUUUUUUUUAUAUAUAGUUUAUGGCUGCUAAUAUUCCGUAUUUUGGUGAUAGAUUGGAUUUUAUUUCUAGAAGGGGUUAUGAGACUCGUACUUUUUCUAAUGAUCAAUAGGCUGUUGCAAAUUGUGGAACUUAUUUUGCCUCAGAUCAUUCAACCGACAUAUGCCAUACAUUUCAAGAUGGUCUAAGUGCUCAAAUCGAUAUUUUUGGAGAUUUUCCACCUCAAUAUCAAACGUGGUAUGACCCUUAUUCAAACGAGUAUGAACAAGGAUGGUGGGAUGAUUCCAAUUUAAUUAUGAACAAAGGCCAAUAGAUUUUCAACAGCUAGAGUCUCAAGAACCGUCAUCCAUGUCAGGUAUGUCUCUUGAAGAAAUAGUUGAAUUAAUAGCUACUAACACAUAUCAACUUCAACAGGAGACACAUCAACUUCAAUAGGAGACACAUUAAUUUCAACAGGAGAUACAUCAAUUUCAACAGGAGACACAAAGGUUGAUUAAAGAGAUGGAAGAUGGAAGGCGUGAAUUGGCAUCUACAAUAAGCAAAUUGGUUUCUCCAUUUUAUGAAGAAUUACCCUCACAAACCAACAUCGAUUUUAAAGAAGAUGAGAAUAUAAUUAUCCUGACAAGUGACAUGAAAUUGCAAGAGUCUCAAGAAGAAGAAUCUAAAGAUAAAGUUGAAAAGGAAAUUAAAGUACAAGAAAUGGAACCCCAAUAUCAAAUGGUUCAAGCGAAUGAAUCCAAUGAACAAUCUCCAAAUGCGGUAACAUCUCCUCCAUUUCUUAAUCAAUACUUUCAUAACUCUUAUUCUUCAAUUCUUGUUAGUGAGAUUGACUUUAUUAUACCAGAAGAUUUUGAAUUUCAUGACAGGAAUAAGUUAAGAGUUGCGAUGGUAAAAUAUCUCGAACCAAUAAGUGCUCGUGAUGGAGGAGUGAGUGAAGAAUUAAGGUCAUUACUUGCUUGUUUGGUGCCAUCUACUAGUCCAUUGAAAACCGUACCUCGUGUGCUCAAUGAUUACUCUAUUUACGAGGGAUAUCAGGACUACAUAAAAGAUGAAGCACUGAAACGAGCUACACGAUUUUAUCCUCCGUGAACAAGCAUGGCAACGUCUAGCCAAAGACGUUAAACAAAGACGCUGCUUGGGAGGCAACCCAAGGCCUUUGUUUUAGUUUUCUUAUGUUUUUAGAGUUUUUGUUAAGUGUUUGUUGCAUUUAGUGAUUUAUUGCUUUUGUUGUAGGGAGCUGGCAGUUAGACGUGCCCACGCCAAGUGGUCACGUUUAAGGAAGGAGGUUUUAAUUUGGCGGACAGAAGACUACUUAGUAGUUAGAUGUGCCCACGGCAAGUGGUCACGCCUAAGGAAGGCAAUUUGCAUUUGCGGGCAGAAGACUCUCCGUUGCCGUUGCCGAAAUGUUAGGAAAAAAUGUGCUAAUAGUGAAAAAUAUGGAAGUGUUUGAAUGAAUUAUUAGUCCGCUGAUUCAUGAAUUUUAAUGUUGAGAUUUUGCUUAAUAGUUGAACCAUUUGCUUAUGGAUGCUGGUUGAAUAUUUUAUAUUCUUAGAUUAGUUUGUUAUAAAUUAAAAUAGUUCUUGAUCUUAAAAGCUAACUGGAGAGAUAUUUCUUGAAAAUUGCCACUAAUACUUGACAUAUGUUUUAAUUGCAUCUUGACAAUAGAAAAUUUGAGUAAUAGCCAUUGUUUGAAUUUGAUUGCUUAAUUUGUUAUUCUCAUGCUUGAGGACAAGCAUGGUUUAGGUAUGGAGGGAAUUGAUAGGGUAUAAUUUGUUAUUAAUUUUAUGGUUAAUUUUUCUCUUUGUCCUUGCCAAAUAUUGUUUUAAUUGUCGAAAUAUACUUAUAUUUGGUAUUUGGACCUAAUUACAGGUAAUGGAGCAGAAAAGUACUAAAAAGGAUGAUUUUCUUGAGAAAAUCCCGUGCACGUGGGAAGCCUUGAGAAUCCUUGCAAAUCCGGCUCCAAGAUGUGCUAAACCAACGUCUUUCCUUUCGUGACUAGUAGUUUACUAGCAUUAGGAAACAAGAAAGAAGGAAACUUCAGUAGUUGCCUUAUCUCUUUGUUUUCCUUAUUUGGUGGAAAAACCGACAAGAUGAGAGACUAGUCAUUGUUUAGAUUGAGGAGACUUGUUUUGGGGUCUUAGUAGUUUUCUUCUCCUAUUAGGUAUCUAUCAUGUGCGCCGCAAAGGCCAUAGAGGGGAACAUUUAAUUAUCCCUUUGGCUUGGUAGUUUGAGGAAUAAUUCUUAUUCCAUCGAGUUUUCUUCCUUCGAAUUUGGAGAAGAAUGCCAUCAACUAAUAUUUCUGAAUUUUCGCAUGGAUUGUUCUCCAUUGAUGGAGAACGAACUUCUUAUUUCUAAUCAAGGGGGCAACUAAUGAUUUGGUUCGGCAAUCACUGUGAGAUCUAAACCAUUUUUAAUUGUUUCCUUCAUUUAUUGGUAUUUAUAUGUUUCCUACUUUUAAUUGUUAUAGCUCUUGUGUAUGAUUGAUUAGUGCACAAUAAUUGAUUAUUCAUAUAGGCUAUUUUGCUAAUUAGGGAUAAUUGAAUCCGUAAUUGUUCAAUUACCUCCAUCUCAGUAGCAACUGGCGUAAUUGGGUUUAUGUCAGGGAAACAUACGAUCUAAUUUAAACAAACCCUCGUAACGUGUUUAUUAGUUAGGAGUGGGCCUUUCUAAUUAUUAAUGCAAUCUAGAAAUUAAAUCCUACGGUCGUACCUAGGGUUGCUUCUGGGUUAGAGAAAUAGUUAACGGUCGUACCUUAACUAUCAAGAAAUUAAGGAAAUGUUGGUUGUUUAUCGCGUGCAUGACAACUAUAACCAAUCUAUUAAUAAAUGUUGGAAUUAUCUGUGAAUCGAUGAUCAGUGCAUGAACCAUUUUUGAAGUGUACCCUUGGCUAGAGUUCUCACAAUUAUUUCUUUUAAUUAAUUAUUUUUUGCAUUUACUUUAUUUAGUUAGCAUUUAAUCUUGAAAACCCCCAUUUGUCUUGACUCGGAAGGAAAUAAAUUUUUCUCCAGUCUCUGAGGAGACGACCCUGCUUGCCACUGUCUACUAGUUAGUGAAUUUAGUCAGAUAAUUAAUUCAGAUAUAUCGGAUUAAACAAACCCUUCGGGAACAGGGUGAAUCAAGUAACCCAUUGCAUACCUAGAGUCCCUGAUCUAGUACCUAAAAUUGAUUAUUGACUACUUUUGGUGGUAGUUAGGUUUAUUUAUUUAUUAUUAUUGCACAAGUUUGGUACCUGUCAAUAUGCACAAAGAUAGACAAAAAUUGGAUAAAAUUCGACAAAGUCAAACAAAAAAUUCCAACAAAAAUGUCUACACUUACACUUUUUCAAUAUAAUACCACUAUACUACUCCCCCCCGUCCCCCCACCUAAAUCUUAUAUUGUCCCCAAUGUAAGUAAUAAAGAAUAAAAUACAAAGCAAAAAGGGACAACGAAACUUCCCUGAUCGUCAAAGGGGGGUCUCGAGCAGCUAUGACAUAGGUGAGAUUGGUAGUGUGAAGCCAACAUGGUGGAUAUUUACUGCACCCAAACCAAAAUAGGAGAUGCACAUAGAUAGUGAAAAUGGAGAUGAUCAUGGGAGGUGGCUAGCAGCGGCAACAUGGUGUGGUAGCAAUGGUGACGAGCAGAAACGGCGCGAGCAGCGGAGUUUGAGGUCCUAAGGUUGUGGUCCUGCGAUUGGAAAAGGAAAGAAAGGAAGAAAAAGGAAAGGGAGAGAAGAAGAAAAGAGAAAUAAAGAAGAAAGAAAGAGAAGAGAGAAAGAAAGAAAGAAAAAGAAAUGAAAUGAAAUUUUUUUUUGAACCACUACGUUAGAUGUGGGCACGCCUAGCUGCCCUUGAGUCUUCUAACCAACCCAUAGAAAUUAAGAUAUUUCCCCACACCUAAAUCAUGCUUGUCCUCAAGCAUGAGAACAGCAAAUCAAGCAAUCAAAUUCAAACAAUAGCUAUUAUUCAAAUAUUCUAUUGCCAAGAUACAAUUAAAACAUAUGUCAAGUAUUAGUGGUAAUUUUCAAGAAAUAUCUCUCUAGUUAGCUUUCAAGAUCAAGGACUCUUUCAAUUUAUGACUAACUAAUUUAAGGAUAUAAAAUAUUCAACCACCAUCCAUAAGUAAAUGGUUCGACUACUAAGCAAAAUUUCAACAUUAAAAUUCAUGAAUCAACGGAUUAACAAUUCAUCCAAACACUUCCACAUUUUUCACUAUUAACACAUUUUUUUCUAAAAUAUCCCCACACUUAAUUGAUUUUUUUUUUCAGGGGGACUGCUUAGUUUUUAGCCAUUCAAGCGUUUUGACGCGAACUCCGACAUUGGCCACAUGAAAGAGCCCGGUUACUCAGUCAUUAUCGUUUAAAAACCACAUACUCAUAGCUAUCAUCGUUUUUUGACGCGAAAGUCGACACUUAUGGUGAAGACCUCCUGUUACUAAGCAAGAAUACUAGCGGAGUAUAGCCGAAUACUAUUCAUAAAUAAGCACCAAAUUUAAAUUAAAAAUCGCACAAACCCGCUUCAUUUCUUAAAUAUGGAGAACUAAAAUUAAUAGUUGAACCAAUUUGCAUAAAAAAUGCUGGACAAAUAUUUACCAUACUUAGAGAAGUUAACCAAAAGGCGCAAAAGUUACAAAAUCUCAAAUAUUCACCAAAAUAGAUACCCUUAAAUUUAACCAUGUCAUACUUAACACCUUAGAGUGUAAAAUCUUAGCAAUAAAAAAUUUUGAGACAUCUAACCAUCGUUAAUCAGGAACAAUCACACAUAUGCACAAAGAUAGGCAAAAAUUGGAUAAAAUUCGACAAAGUCAAACAAAAAAUUCCAACAAAAAUGUCUACACUUACACUUUUUCAAUAAAAUACCACUAUACUAUGUCCCCUAUAAACUUUUUGAAAUCUAAUUAAACCCAUUUCGGAGAGAUAUCCAUCUAUCAAUCAAAAUUAAAAUGGGUACAAAUGACAAGUUUGGGAGAUGUAAUAUCUCCAUUUACCAAUGAUCUUCGUCUUUCCAUAUCUCACUCCCUAAAAUCUUCCUCAUUAUUCCUCAUCUUCUUCACCAAAAUCCCAAAAUAAGGAAAAAGAGGAGGCCUGGGGGUUUUGCAGGAAUGGUGUUGGUGAAUGGGUAGUGAAGACCAUAGGUUAAUAAAUCCAUAGUUAAUAAAUAUAAUGAAGAUUUCGACUAAUGUUUUUAUUGAGAUAUAUGUUAGAACAAGGCCUUAUUCAUUAGAAGAGUUAGACAGAGAGCAAAAGGGGACAAAAGUAGGCCUGUCAACGGGUCGGGUCUAGACCCGGAUCCGGACCGGAUCCGUGAAAUUUUUGCGAGUAUGGGUAGAGAUUUAAUUCCGUUUCCCGGAUCCGGAUCCGUUUUGUCAAACAAAAAAACGGGUCGGAUACGGAAUAUAGUAUUCCGACCCGUUUUAGACCCGGAUCCGGAUAUAAAUGAAUUAAUAAUUUUAAAUAUAUAUAUUUAUCAAUAUAAUUUGAUUAGGGUGAUGUAUUUUAAUAAAGUUAAUUUGAUUUCUUUUCUUAUUUGAUUUUUUCUUUGCAUUAGUUAGAAAUUAGUUUACAAAUGUAUUUUUUUUCUCAUUUUUAUUAGAAAUUAUAAAUUUUGGUAAAUUUGUUCGGGUAGACCCGGAUCCGGAUCCGGAUCCGGGACCCGCCGAAUCCGGAUCCGGAACAUAGAAUAAAAGACCCAUCUGGUAAACGGGUCGGAUCCGGAAGACAAAAGGCAGGACAAAGGAGCAAUUUAGCUUCUUAGACAGAGACUGAAUGGAACACAUAAGGAUUGGCUGUCCGAACAUCAGUCAGAAAUGAUCAAAAGAUCUUAGUCUUCUUUUUUUUCUUUUUUCCUUUCCUUUUUACGGACAGCACGGUAGCAGCCGGUCUUUUGAAAAAAAAAAAAUUGGCAUGAGGCUACCGUGCACCUGACACUUUUAAAAAUAAAUUAUUUGCUGCCUUACAGCAUAGUAGCAGGAGGCCUUUUCUAAAAAAAAAAUUCGCCUGCAGGCUAUAAUUUUGUACCAAGACAAUGGUAGAGUUACAUUUGGCGGAUAAUUUUUUUUUUUUUUUUACCUAUCCUAAGAAAUUAGCCACUUCAGUGUGAUGAUGAGGAAACGUGUGUGUGAAAUAAUGUCUCUUGUUCAAUGUGGCCAUGCAACCAUUCCUUUGGUUUACAUUUGCCACUUGCAAUUUUUAUUAUAAAUGACAGGGCGUCAGCCUGUGCAAUAAUAAAAAUAAAACCUAACUACCACUAAAAACAAUCAAUAAUUAAUCCUAGGUAUUGGAGCAGGGACUCUAGGUGUGCAUUGGGUUACUUGAUUCACCCUGUUCCCGAAGAGUUUGCUUAAUCCGAUAUACCAGAAUUAAUUAAUUGACGAAAUUUACUAAAUAGCAAACAGUGGUAAGCAGGGUCGUCUCCUCAGGGACUGGGGAUAAUUUGUUUCUUCUAGAGUUCAGUGCAUGGGGGAUUUUUAGAGAAUAUAAAAUAAUUGAUUAACUAACUAAUAAAACAACGAAUAGAAAUUAAUAGAAAUUAAUCAAUAACCAAUACGACUCUAACCAAAGGUACAACUUUUCAGACACGGUCCAUUCACUUGAUCAUCGAUGCAAAGAUAAUCCAAUUACUCAUUACUAGAUUGGUUAUAGUUGUCACACACGCGAUGAACAACCAGCCUUUCCUUAAUUUCUCGAUAGUUAAGGUACGCCCGUUAACUAUUUCCCUAACCAAGAAAUAACCCUAGGUACGGCCAUAGGAUUUAAUUACCCGAUUGCAUUAAUAAUUAGAAAAGCCCAACCCUAACCAACAAACACGCUACGAGGGUUUGUUUAAGUUAGAUCAUACGUUUCCCUAACAUGAAACCAAUCACGCUAGUCGCCACUGGUAUUAAUCAAUUGAACAAUUACGGAUUCAAUCAAUUAAUUUGGCAUUAGAUCAUUAGGUUAAUUCGAAUAUCGGGCCCUUGACAUUCAAAUAACAUAACAGACAUAAGCAAUUAAAUCAGGAAACGUACAAAUACCAAUGAAUAAAAGAAAUAAAUAAAAUUAAUUCGAUCUCACAGAUAUUUGGAACCGCGCCUUCAAAUUGGCCUUCAACUAGAUGAGAAGCUUAGCCACGCCUCAUGAGAAAAUCUCCAAGUAAUUUUACUAAGGUCCAGGCCAUCAAAGGAACUAAGAAAGAAAAAAACUAAACUAUGCUAAAAGCUAUUGAUCAGCACCCCUAGCCUCUGUACGAUUCUCCUUUUUAAAGCCGAAAGGAAGAUGACUAAUGCUUUCCUUUAUCCCAUGGUCCCCGCACGAAUUGAGAGUCCAAUUCCAUUUCACAAGCCUUUGUACGUUUCCUUUCCAAGAGCCCAAAUGAGCUUCUUAUCUCCGUGGUCCCAACGAGAUUCCCCUAUCAAAGUACGAAAAGGUAAGGCCUCUUAAUGUUUCCUCUUUUCUCGCUUCUCAUUGCUCCUAGGACUCCUAGGAUUCAAGACACUCCUCAUCAGCAAAAGAAAUGCAGUCCGUCUCUUCCUCUUCUUGUGGGCCAGGUCGAUGGAGCCUUCUUGAAGUCUCCCACUUAUGGAGCAAGUCCCUCUUUUUUUGUAGUUUCUUGCUCUAAUCCCUGAAAUUAAGUCCAAAUACCAAAUAUAAGUAAAUAUUACUAAUUAAAACAAUAUUUGGCAAGAACAAAGAGGAAAUUAAUAAUAAAAUUACUAAUAAUUAACACCCUAUCAAUAAAACAUGAAUAUUACUCUAGCUUUUGGAACCUGAAGCAAUUAUAAUAGAACGACUUUGGCCAAGAACACUGACAAUUGUAGUUGACACUCAGAAUUUUUUUUAAAAAAAACAAACAGCAUAUGAAUUUAUAAGGAAAUAGAAUAUGAUGCUUCAAGAGUUUGAUUGAGCAUUUAUUUGGGACCGUAGGCAUCCAAUGACUGAGUCGUCCAAUUGAAGAUCAAUAUGCUUGUACAGGGAAAUCUACUUGCAAAAAUUAAUGGGAAACUUUUGACCACGGAGUCUAUUUCAUUGUCCCUUGCAUUAUUGGAAGAUACAGCAUCACAACCAUUCCUUUUUCCAUUGACCAUUUGCCACUGUGAAGUCUUGGCCUGUUGGCUUAGGAUAAGAAUCCAAGACCUCCAAUGGUUGGUUAAAAGAAAUCCAUGAAAUAUUUAUUUCUCUUGUUAUAUUAGGAAUUGGUUAGUACAAAGAUUAUUCUUAUUUGAAAAGAUAUGAAGGGGACAGUUUUAUGACUCAUUACAUAAUUGAUCAAUGACCAAUAGUGAAAAAAUAUACAAAGAAAACAAAAAAUUGCCCUUUUCAUUAAUUGAUAAUCCACAAGAAUUUAGUAGCUUAAAGUGUCUUCGGUCUGUGGUAAUAUUUGUGGUAAUAUUUGGGUAUGAAAAGAUCCUCUCACAGCUACAUUUUUAUCCAAGUUCUUAAGUGGUGAUCCCAAGUUGCUAAAGGUGUUGAAAUUGGAUGGAGCUGAAUUGGACAACAUCCCAAAGCAUGUCUUCAAACUAUUUCAUCUCAAGUAUCUUAAUCUCAAGGGAACUAGAGUUAAAAUUAUUCCAAAAUCUAUUGGGAAGCUUCAAAACCUUGAACUUAUAAAUCUGACAAGAACCAAUGUAACAGAGUUGCCUGUGGAAAUUCUAAAGCUAAGAAAACUCCGUUCUCUUUUGAUAGGCGGAUUGGGAGAUUAUUCAAAUGAGUAUGCAAUUUGGGGCUGUAAAUGUCCACUUGGAAUUGGAAAGCUUAUUUGCUUGGAAAAUCUGACUAAUAUAGAAGCAGAUAGUGAUAAAAUAGUAAGGGAGAUUGGAAACCUCAUGCAGCUGCAGCGAUUAUGGAUCACAAAGCUGAGAAGAGAAAAUGGAAAAGAGUUGCUCUCGUCCCUCUUGAGGCUGACCAACCUUCAAGAAUUGGUCAUCUCCUGUAUUGAAGAAGAUGAGACCCUUGAUCUCCAACAUUCCAUCUCUCCAAAGCUUGAAUUCCUCACAUCUCUGAGAUUGAAGGGGCGUUUAGAGAGAGUACCGCAAUGGGUGACAUCACUUCAAUCCUUGAGAACCUUACGGUUGGACAAUAGUAGGUUGAGAGAAGAUGAGAAUGUAAUAGGCUCCCUCGGACAUUUGUCCAAUCUGAUAACACUUACUCUCCGUUGUGCUUAUGAAGGGGAGACAAUAUGUUUCAAGGUUGGAGGAUUUCAAAAACUCCAGCGCUUAGAGUUUGUGCAAUUAACAAGACUGAAAUGGGUGAGAGUGGAAGAGGAAUCAAUGCCUAGUCUGAGAAAUCUGCAAUUAAUUGGUUGUAAACUGAUGCAGGAGUUGCCUACGGGCAUCCAAAACUUGACCGGACUUCAAUUUCUUGGGUUCUUUGAUAUGUCUGAUGAGCUAAUGCACAAAGUACAGAUUUGGAUAAACAAAGUGCAGAUUAUCAGAUAAUUUCUCAUAUCCCCGAAGUUUGCACUGGUUACUGGAUUGAUGGUCGGUGGGAACCCAAGUUCCUCUAAGAGAAGAGACAACUCUUGCAGUUCUCAGCGCUAUCUGAUAUGCAGUUAACUCAUCUCUUCAAAGUACGAAGUCGCUUACUAGCUUUCCCUUCUGUUUCGUUGAGUUCCCGUUUGCUUUUUCCCUUCCACUGCUUGUCAUACUUGUAUCAAAUCAUAUCAUGAAAUAUCAAUUCCUCAAAAAUGUGUAUGUGUACAUAUAUAGAUUUAGAUAUUUACCAAAAAAAGAAAAAAAUAGAUUUAGAUUUUCUUUUCAAAGUUACUUCCAUCAAACAUAGAGCAGGUCUUUAUUCCAAGUCCUAUAUAAUGCGCUGUUGGAAUAGUUUACUUAUAAUAGUUAGGGAAGAGCCAGAGAAGAGUUUUUAGAGUUUUUUCCGUUGAAUUUAAUUCAGGUUCUGAAUCGUGAGUAUUAUAAUUGGGACUGUUUAUUCAUAAAUUUGCAUGUAGUUUUUUGGUACUUAGAGUUGGAUUUAUUUAGAGUAAAGUGUUAGUUUAAAGUAAAAAUCUCUAGUAUGAUGAUGAUGGAUUGUAUUACGCCUCAGUUGUACAGCUGAGCAAAGCCCUGUGGGGUUAAGUUCCCACAUCGCUUGGGGGGGUUUGGGGGGUUUAGUAGUUAAGUGCUGCGGAGCACUUCAAAAGUUGCCGGCUUUUGAAGUGUCUUCGCAGAGUCCAUUUAUCGAAACACUCAUACAAAAAACUGUGAGUUAUGAAAGGGAAAAACCUGUCUCGGGGAGUCUGGGGGGUCUUUAUCUCUUAGCAGCGGGGCACCCUGUGGGGUUCAGUUCCCACAUCGCUUGGGGGGGUUUGGGGGGUUUAGUAGUUAAGUGCUGCGGAGCACUUCAAAAGUUCCGGCUUUUGAAGUGUCUUCGCAGAGUCCAUUUAUCGAAACACUCAUACAAAAAACUGUGAGUUAUGAAAGGGUACAGCUGAGCAAAGGAGCAAAAAGAGGGAAAGAUACCGUGAAGGACGGGUGUAUGGAAAGGGGGUCCCACACCAUGUGACUGAUGUGUAGGCUUCUGUUUAUCUCGGCCGUUGGAUUGGAUGAAAACUGGGGUCUGCGUCACAUCCAAGGGUCCAACUGUAAAGUUUUUAAAGAAACGAGUAAUUGAUUGUUUUGUUGAUGAUGGAUGCUGGUGCUCUUUCUAAUUUCUAUAGCUUUUUCUUGCCGACACAUAAUGGUAGAUCUGGUUAUUUGAUCGGCUUCGGCUGUCAAUUUUCUUCAUUUUCAUUUUAGAAAUUUUCCUCUCCAAGAUUUGAAACCAAAACUUUUUGCCAGAAAGUCACUACUAGUAGUUAGUUUUGUUCUUGUCCUAAAUGUGGGAUGGUCUCUCAAGUUUUGAUAAGUCAAAAAGAGAGUAGUAAAUAAAUAAUAAAUCGAAACACUAUAUUCAUCUCCUACAUCAAACUAUUUAAGCACAAAAAAUUAAACCUCUAUUUUUAAGUUCAAUAUAUGAUUGGGAUUGAUACACAUACAUCUCGCAUAUCUUAUAAAUUACUUCUUUGUUUUUGGGUCAAUCCACAUUUUUGUUUCUUCUGUCUUUUGCAAGUGUGGUCCAAGUAGGGCGAGUCAAGUAGUACUAAUUUUUGUACUAUAUUAGCCAAUAAUGAAAAUCAUGUAACUGAGUUUAAAGAUCAUGAAAAAUCAUAUAAUUGAGUAACUUUAACCACUAAAUUUGGGUUAAAGAACUGGGGUAAGUAAAAGGGCGGCUUGCAGGGAUGGGAUAGGCUUAGCCUCUUAUAUUGGCCAAAGAUAACCGAUAGUCUUAUAACUCAUACGGUGACACAGAUGAUCGGCAAGUAGUGAUAUAGAUAAUCUAUGAUGAUCUACAAGUAGUGACAUAGAUGAUCUACGAGUACCAAGCAAAUAUUUAAGUAUUAAUCUGUCUAACGGGGGCUCAUAGUGUACUCGUUAAGUUAUGAUAAGAUACAUUUCAGGUGUUAUAUUUUUGAUAAUAUAAUAUUAAUUUGGAAAAACAAAUAAAUAUAAGGGGUAGUAGGCAAGAUUAAAUAGAAAAAUUAUAUAAAUAUAAAAGAGAAUAAUAAUUGUUAGUAUAUAUAUAUAUAUAUAUGGUAGUUUAGGUGGAUGCUACGUGUCGUUCGAAAAACCCUAAUAUAGGACUUGGAAUAAACGAAAUAGAGCAGGUCUUUAUUAAGAGGGCAGUCUUCAUUAAGUUAAUACUGAAGUGUACGAAGCAUAAUAGAUGGAGUUAAUGAAAUUAGUGAAGCUUCGAUAACACCUUUUCAAAGUCCAAACUUGAAGGUUCAGUUGCAUUUUUUUUCCCUUCUAAAUUCUGGUUGUAUGCAUAUUUUUCACAAAUGCUUGACUGUAGAAUAUAUAUGAUUUUAUUCUUCAGCAAGUUUCUCAAUUGUGGAUUUGCAAAUGAAACAAUUUUUCAAAAAAAAUAAGGGAUAUGUCAAUAGAAAACAUGCAAAAUAAUAUCAUAAAACUGUUUAAACUUAUUUACAACUUAUUCCUUUCUAAUGAAGUAAAAUUACAGUCACCUUACUCAAAGGAAAUUAUAAUACUUUUCUCUAUCACACAAAAAGUUGCAAUCAAGAAACAUAAUAAUAAAAUAAUAAUAAGACCACCGACUUGAAAAGAGAAAUAUAGAAAACAAAACAAAACAAAACCCAAAGGGAAAAAAGAAGGAAGAAAGUGAAGGGUUUCAGGUAGACGAUCAUGUUCUUGUAUCAAAUUUUGCCAUGAUUUAUCCAUUUUUUGUUGGCAAUUUAAAUGUAGUAUGAUGUGCUUGUUAUCAUAUGCCAAAUUCGUACACUUCAAGAUUGUAAGAAUUUGAUUGUCAUUCUCAUGACAAUCUCAAGAUUGUCUUUCCAUGCCAACUUUCUCCUCUGCCGCUGGUUUUAUUUAGCCUCAUAGCUAUAAAUUUUAGAGACAAUUAAUUGGAACAACACAAAAUGGAAUUCUAAAUUACCCAAGAAUGUAUUGUUGGAUUGUCUGUGAAAGAUACCUUUUUUUUUCCCAACUUAGUAAACCAAAAUUUCAUCUAUGUCAUUCAAAGCAUAAAUGGAUAUUUAUUCUUAUUUAGAAAAUGCACGCGCGCGCUCGAAACUUGUCUGAAUUAUGAUCAACUAAGAUUAGCUAUUUUGAUUUUAUGAAAUCAAAGUAUAAUGAAUAAAUAAUAACAUUACAAUUAAAAAAAAAGCAAAUUUCAUGGAAUUAAAAGAUGAUAAACCAAAAUUGAUGGAUUGACAUUGCCCGAACUAAGGUUUGAUUGAGUAAGGUGUCCUCAUGGCUUCUACUUUUUAAUCCUCCUAACAAUUAUUGCUACAUUUUAAUUGUCAUCGAGGAUUUUUCUUAGUUAUUUUAUGAAAUGUAAGGGAUAAAAAAAUUCAUUUUAUUAAAUGUGAAGGACUAUCAAUUAGAUUAUGUGAAAUAUGAUUUGACAAUUUUUUCCCUCAAACAUGAUCACGUGCAGGGCACGUGGUGAAUUCCGAAAAAAAAUUAGUUGGAAACCUAGGUAGGGACAAAAUUUAACUGAUAUGAAUUUAUAAAAGACGUAAAAUUACUUUUUUAGAAUGAGAGACGGAAAAAAUCAUUUUACAAAAAUGUGAGUAACGAUUUCAACGAUUUUCCGUAUCAAUUAUAUUAAUUGCAUUGCCCGGAUUCGUUGUACCCAAAUGCCUAUGAGUACAAGCUUCUACCAGUAUACGAUGAAUAUAUAAAAAGAAAAAUAAUGUUGUUCUUUUCAUUUUUUUCCUAGCACAUUGUAAUGUUUCCUAUAUAUAUAAAAAGGAGUUUGUAAGUGAUUGUUGAAAAAUUUUCAUCUGUUAUCUUUAGAGAUAAUUUAGGUAGGAAAAAAAUCAAAUACAAGUGAUUAAGCCAAACGUGCAACAUUAUAAUGUAUAGUUGAGUUGGGUUUGACUAUUGUGUCCUCCCAUUUACAAUUGGCUUAUAUUCCACGUGAUUAUCAAGCAUUUAAGUGGUGUUUAAACCACUUACAAAUGUAAUUGCAAUCCUCUCCAUCUUCUUUUAUAAUUGUUGGGUAACUUUUAUAACUACAAUAAUAGAGGGUCUUAAUGCUAAAGAUGGUUGGUUCAGGAAGCACUUAAUAAUCAACAUGAUUGAUUUUGGUUCAUAUUUUCAAUCCAUUACAAGUAUAAUUGUAGUGCUCUUCAACUUGAUAAUAAUUGAGGCUUUAAAUACUGAAGAAUGUUGCUUCAAGUGCAUGUGCUCAAUUUUUUGUUGCGGGUGUUUAGAUAGGUAUGCUCAUUUACUUUUUCUCUUUCUGGAGUUUUGGUUGUUUAGCUAAUAUAAUAAAAACUGUGAGUUUUCUACUGCAAUAUUUUCUCAAUAGCUAUUGUGUGAAUAUGGAAAUUUCUUUAUGGAAUACUUGAUACAUACAUAUGAAUAUCCAUAGGAAACUUUUUAUAUCUUUUAACUAUAUUUCCAAAAUCCGAUGUUCGUGGCUGUAGGUGGUUAAACUGUGACUAAAGAUUAUCUAUUGACUACAAUUUUAUGACCAAGGUAGGACCUAAAUUUAACCUUAUAGUUUAAGUAUGUUAAUUGUUGAUUGAAUAUGGCUAUGAUUAUGUUAUAAUGGUAUAGGGACAAGGAUAAUGAUAUUUUUGUUAUUGUUAUUAUGGUAUGGUGUGAUUAUCUACUACAAUCCUAUUUCUUUUACUUAUAAAUUUUUUUCCUUUAUAAGUUUGUUGAUUUGGCCAAUUUACUUAUAAUUUCAUGCACUUCAAUUGAUUCAAUUAAACUAAUUAGCAUGCAGUUCUAAUUAAAUCAAUUAUCGCAUAGGUCAAAACUCCUAUGCUUAGCGCGGCUUUCCCCCUAGUAGUACUAAGCAUAGUUAUUGAACCCGGCCAGCCCGGCGAUCGAACCGGUGAACCGGACAUUGCACCGGAUUUCGUAUAAAAAUUUUAUUCCUUUGCUGGAACUUGAACCAUUUUAUUCCUUUGCUGGAACUUAAACCUUGGACCUUUGGUCCUUGCAGCAAGGCGCACACCACCAAGCUACUUCACCAUUUGUUGAUUAAGUAGCUUACUCAUAAUAUAUAAACGUUUUGUCAACUUUAUCUUUUUUUUUAUUUCUCUAAAACAAAUUUAUUUGGAAUCUUUUAAUAAAAAUUUAUGACCCCCAAACUCUAUAAGUUAUAAAAUGGACUUAAAAAAUGACAUAUUACAUAAUUCAUUUUAAAGACAAAUAUUAUUUUUAAUAAUUUUUUGCACUUAAAAUUCAUAAAUAAGUUAGAUAAUUACACUAAACAUAGAUAAAAUUUUAUACUUGAAAUUUGGUAUAUUACUAAAUAACUUAAUAUUGUAUUGAUUCUUAUAUGAAUUAAUUAUUUUAUAGCAAAUUAAAUUAUAUGAGCAUUUGCUAUGACAUUAUUUCUUAUAAUUUAUAUCAUAUAUCUUAUAUCAAAAAUUAUAAAAUAUAAUAUUUAAAUAUAUUUAGUGAUCCACCGGUACAACCACUCACCCACUGGUUAAACUAGUAAUCCGUUGACCCACCUCGUUCGCCGAGUUCCCUCCUGGGUUGGGUUUAAUAACUAUGGUACUAAGUUUAUGCUCUUCUUUUUUUUUUGUCUUAACGGCACAUGUCUAACCUACUCCUACUCUUAUGGAGCGGGAGAGAGGGGAAUCUACUCUAUGGGAAGGCCCAACUGAGCCAGGGGAACCUGACGGGAACUGAACCACUAUUAGAUCAGACGGGUGCUGUGACGACCCCACUUCCCCCUAAGGCGAACCAAAGGGUUUGGCGGGCCGCCUGCCCAACUCUCGCCGGGACUCACGACAAAACUCAAGCAUGAAUAUAAUCGAUGGUUCUUAAAAGCUCAAACGGAGUAUAAUAUAUCCACCAGUCCAACAUACCAAAGUACAAGUCCAAUACUUCAUCUAAAUUUUCAUAAUAAUAACUUAAGUACAAUCCUUAUGUUUGUAAUUCAAAUCAUUCUUACAAAAGUAUAAUCCCCAAAAUAUCAUGAGACUUACAUUCACUUCAACCACAAGUACAUUAUACCAUAAAGUUCACAAAUCUUUCGAAAUAACCAUUACAUUCCACAAAGAAAAUUAAUCACAACCCAGAUAAAGGAUAAUCCACGGUACUCCAAAUCCUUGUGCUUGAGUAACUACCCUUCUCGAGCCUUGCAUAGAACUAAAAUGUUUUUGGGGGUGAGCUAAAGCUCAAUGAGGUUUCAAAAGGGAAAAUCAAAUAUUUAUAAACCAGUGCGUAAUUGCUACUUUGAAAUCAUGUGUAGAAGUAGUACUUUUGCUGGUAACUUUACUAUGAGUACAGCUCAUAAAUCAUUUAAAUCACUAACGUACAUUUGGAAUGCAUGACCAUAUAAAUAUAUUUUCAUGAAUUUUAGUCAAACAAAUAGUGGCUCGUCCGACUAGAAGAGCAUUACAAGGAUUGCUUUGUCUCAGAGAUUAAUGCUCAUGAGGAGUCUUACCCGAGAAAUGUCAACUAGGAGAGCAAUAAUAGUAUUAAUAGUAAAGCAAACACAAAAGGAUACAAUACUCGGUCCACUUCCUGCCCUUAUAACUCCCAUCAGUAACUCCUUCAGUUGACUGGCCAUCACCUUAUCCCUCCAGUGGUAAUACUCGAGUAUACCAAAAUACAGUGCCCAGGGUUAUCAACCUAUCCGACCGAGUCCGCUUCUGGCUCGAAUAGGUGAUAACGAAGGGAAAAGGCCUUGUUCAGCCAAUGUGAUAAAGUACACAUGGCCUACAGCAUACGCAAAUAAUAUAUAAACAAUGAAAUAUUGAACAGUUAAGCGAUAUAGCAAUAGUUAGGUCGAAAGCGAUAAAGUACACACUCGCCUAGAAAUAAGCACUUUUCAUUCAAGUGAACAAGAUUCAUCAAGUAUUUGACCACUUAGGCAUGAAAGAAGCACUUAUCAAGUCACAUCACGUAUAUAUAUAUAUAUAUAUGCAAUUAUACAAACAGUGGUUAUAAAAGUUCGAGAAGCAAUUUUGUGCAAAACAGUUUGGAAUCCCUCACCGUAAUCUGGAGCAAAGCAAGAGCAAAAGCAGGAAAUUAAAAGAGCUUUUCGGUGUCCUCUGAACCACCUGAGAUUAAUCACCAUCACAAAUUACCUAGAUGCUCGAUUAAGGCGAAUAAAAGAAAACCUCUUAGAAUUAAAACUAGUAAAAGUGAUAAAAUAUUUCGUAUGGUUUCUUUAAAGAUACUUUUCUUUCUAGAGGUGCAACUAGAACUAAUACACUUCAUAUAAAUUUUCUUGCCGAGCAAGUCUUCUACACUUUUCAUUUAAAAUUAUUAAAAUCUAGUGUUUUUAACAAUUUUUCUCUAAAACAACUAGCCAGGAAUAAUUUCACGAAAAACUUAAAGUUUGGAUAAAGUUAGUGUAAGCAAAGAAAAGAAUCAACAAGUUAGCAAGGGUUUAAAAGUCCUGUCAUUUAAGUUUUAAUAUUAACGUGCUAUUCUCAAUCUCUAUAACUUGAUAGUAAGAUAAAAUAAUUCCACAGAGCUUGAUUUAAAAGUACUCAAAUUCAACAGACCAAAACGGGUUUCACGAUUUCAAAUCAUUUGCACAUUGUAUUCCCGGUUGCCAAAAUAGCAAAAUCACAAUUCAAACAUCAAUUUCACUAGGGCUUCAUCAAUCAUUAGCCCUAGGUCUCAACAGAUUCAAUUCCAAAUAAAAUUCAACAAAGGAAGUUCAAGGUAUCAAAGCAAUUCCAGAUCACAACCCAUGGGUCUUCCACGUACAUUUCAGCCAACCACUUGAACAAAUUCACCAAAACUUAAACUCUUGCAAAAAUUACUCAAAUGGCCAAGAGCUUCAUCAAUCAUUAGCUCUUGGCAUCAAACAAAUAUUUCUUGCAACAAAUCAACUAGAAAUUUAACUCAAACAUGAAAGAAAAUCACGGUUAGCUUACUCACAAAUAACUCUAGAAUUUCAGAUUCCUUUUCUUGUUUCGAUAGUCAAGAAAAAUCCAGCAAUUGCCAAUUCAAGACACCCAUUAAAUCUCCAUCUUUUACUUGCUAGAACCCCUAAACAUAUAGCUUAUAAUCUGACCGACCUUACUAAAACAAGUAAUACACAAAACCAGAGAAUAAUCUCACCAAAAGUCCCAAUUAAUUCGGCCAGCAAUCUUGAACAAAAUCCAGCAAUAUAACAGUUUGAUUAUAGUGCUUUGCCCCUAAUUUCCUUCAAUUUUUACUUCAACUCAGCGUGCAAAAAGUGAUUAACAAGCUACAAGUAAAUCUUAAGCAUCCAAUAUGAAAAUCUCAGCUACACAUUCGAAGAAAAACUAACCAAAUGUUCAACCCUUUCUCUCGGCCGCAAAUUUCAGAUUCCUUUUCUUUUCCCCUUUUUUUUUCUAUCCACGACUCACAUCAGCUUCAUGCAUGAUUAAAAUAAUUAGCUAUCUAUCAUUUUUGAUCCAAACCAAGUGCGGACAACAUCAACAACUUAUCAUUCAACCAGAAAUUUAUUCAAUCCCACUCGGUUAGCUUGCAUGCAAGCAGAUUCAGUUUUCCUUCAAUUUUCUGAUUUACUCACAUCCAAAUAUUCUCAUGCAAGGCUUAAUCAUCCAGUGUUUGGUUAGCUAAACACACCACCAAGUGAGAAUCAAGCACUUUCCAGCGAAUUUUAUACCAAAAUAUCCAUACAACUCCCAAAAUAACUCCAUCGGCUAAGCUGGAAAAUUGGUUCAGCAGUCAACCAACUUCCAAUAAAAAUUUCCAGCCAUACAACUUAAUUUCCGGCCAUACAAUUCACAUGCAACACCAAAUAAUUAACUAUCUAUCAGUUUUUAACUAGCUAAACCCACAAUUAAACUCAGAUCAUCACAAAUUCACAGAUUAAAGCUGAAAUUUCCAGAUCAAGCUCUCGACAAUUCCAAUUCCUUCACAACCAGAUUUCUUGUAACUUAAUUUUGUCAUCCAACCGCACAAACCCCACAUGCAUGCAUACAAAUAGCUUCAUCAACCCAUACUCAACUAGUUUAAGUCUAGAAAUUACCUCAGCUUGGAGCUCAACACACACGACUAGUGGCUGAAAAUCUUCCUCUCCUCUCGGCCUUGCUCACGCACGCGAGAAUGGUUGGUCUGAGUUCAGUAGUUGCAGCUGUGGUGAUUGUGAUUGAAUCGAUCACGGCUGAUUGAGGGUGAGGAAUGAAAUAGCAGCUCUCGGUGGUGAUGGAGGAAAUAAUAAAGCUCACACGGUUAUCUCCUGCUCUCACGGACUCUCAGACAGCUCAAGGUCUGCAACUCGCACAGUUCUCUCUCUGGUUUUCUCUCGUCAAUGGUACCAAGGCAGGGAGUAAAGUGAAAUGGAAUGAUGUUGUGAAAUGUUGGAGUUGCUGAAAUGGAAAGCUAAGCCGCGUAUGAGGAAGGUGGAAUGUAUUUAUUGAGGUGUUGUGAGUGGAGUUGAGUCGGCAAUAGCAAUGGAAGGUGCUGGUUUGAGAAGUGGAAAAUGGUAGUUGUUGUAGUGGAGCUGAGUCGAUUUUAUAAUGGCGGAAAUGCUGAAAUGAAACAUGGAGCCGACAUGUUGAAAUUGUAUGCAAUUGAAGACUGUUCCAGAAGACUCCAUGACUGCAUGGUGGAUUCGAAAUGAAGGAAGGCUAUUUCGGUCUUUUAGCAACUUAUUCGGACUUCCAUUUAAGCUCUCAUUAAUAAACUAACUUCAAAAUUUCACCCUAAAUGAAAUUUGAUAGCUUACUAAUAUACUAGUCCCGAAAGAAAAUUAAACUAUCGAGAUUCACGCCCUAAGCAUAAUUAUAAAAAGUUUUGACUCAAAACGACUUCAUCUUAAUUCUAGUUUCCCCUUAACACCUAACGCUAAUAACACUUAAAAUUAGCUGUUGAAAUUCAAGGAAUUAAUAUUAAAGCAAUAAGAUACUCUACAUCAUGAAAUAUUAAUUUAACUUAGCAAGAUUCAAGUAACUUAAUAUUUUCACAAUUAACUUAUUUAUAUAUAAAAAAUUAUGGUCACAUACUUAUUUAAGAACCAACAAUAAUAAAAUUUAUUAAAAGUCAAAGAUGCAAAUGCGACAAGUAUAUAUAACAAUCAAAAGCACCAUAAAUAAUUCAACUCGAAUAAAUUUGGUCAUUAAAAUAAUAAUUGUUUAAAGAACCAAUUGUUUAGACUCAUUUUUGAGAAAUUCAUGCAAUUUGGGAAAACUUGACACUACAAGAAAAAAGGUCAUUAGUGACAACAUUUCUUUGUGACGACAAAAAGUUGUCACAAAUGAGGUUGUUUAGUCACGACUUUGAAGGUUGUCACAAUUGACUCAAAGCAACUGAGUUUUCAGUGACAACCUUUAAUUGUCGUCACAAAACUAUUUCGCGCCAUAGGCCUUGGAUGGCGCGAGAUUUGCGAUAGUGACGACUUGAUAAAUGUUGUCAGUAAUUCUACCGCUUUUUUGGACAACUUUUCAUUGUUGUCACUGUUUAUGUUUACUGACGACAAAUUUUUGUCAGUAAAACUAUAGCGUAGUUAGUGACAACAUAAGUAUUAUCACUAACUUGAACAUCUCUAAUGCAUUUAUUUAAUUGUGAGCCUCAAUAUUAAUUUAAUUUUUAUAAAAUUUGAUGAUUUAUUAACUAUGACUUUAUUUAAUUGUGAGCCUCAAUAUUAAUUUAAUUUUUUUUAAAAUUUGAUGAUUUAUUAAACUAGUCAUAGUUACUUAAAUAUUAAUUUAAUUUUUUAAAAAUUUGAUGAUUUAUUAAACUAGUCAUAGUUACUCAAUAGGUUUUUAACUGAAAAAAAUUAAUGAAAGUUUCUAGUUAGAACAACUAUAUAAACUAUUACAACUUGAGAAAGAAUAUAUUUACUAGUUCUUUGAAUUUAGCAAAAAUUUUUCAUCCAUUAUAAUUUUUUGAUAAAUAUGUUAAGAAGUAGUGAUUAGAAAUACAUUAGUAAAUUUAAUUAAAAUUUGAAGCUAAAAAUUCACUUGUAAUAUUAAUAUCGGAUCAACUGUUUGAUGUCAUAAAAAAUUAACUAUUUGAAGCAGAUCCAAGGUGCAUUUACCGCUUGUAAUAUUUCAACAUAAUUUUCUCAUCCAUUAUGAAUAUUUUUACAAAAAUAUUUAAAAGUAGCAAGUAAUAUUAUAUUAGUAAAAUAUUAAUUCAACUAAAAUGUUGGAAACUAAAAAACGUUGAUUGAAAUUUUGGUACUGAACAAGGGGGAAAUCUAAGGAAUUGAAAUUUCAUUCAAAGUCAAUAUUUUGAGGAGAGGCGCGGAAACACUUAGAACACUUAGAACGAAAUAGCCAACACUACCAGUAUCCUAAAGCCAACACUACCAGUAUCACCGAACAAAACACACACUAUCAGUAUCCUAAAGCCAACAGCUAACACUUAGAACCAACCGUAGCACACUACUCCUCGCCAUCUCCUCGCCGAAACAUCUCCUCGCCCGUCUCCUCGCCAUCUCCUAAUUGAUCUUGGCUCGGAAAUGAUCAAAUAGAAGACCACAUUUAGCAGCAACUCUCUACCAAAAAAGGUAUGCCGAUUCUCUUUUUCCUCCCUAAUUUUCCCCCAAAUGUUUUGCCCUAAUUUUUUUUUUUGCCAAAAAUUUCAGUCCAGUUUUUUGGGUUUCAUUUGAUUUAUGGAUGGAGUCAUCUCCUCCUUUUGGAUUCUACUUACUUGUGGGUUUUACCCUUGUUAAUUUUUUGUCAACAUUUUAUUUCGGGUAUGUAUGGGUUCAUAACAGCCUCCUAACAUACAGGCUGUGGCUACACAGAUUUAGCCCUUUCCUGAUCCCUUGAAUUCCUCAACAAUUGUGGCUACAUAGGUUGUGGCUAAUUGAGAUUGUAGACGAGUUUUUGUUUUGCAUUGCACACAGUAGAUUGAUAUAUAGCUAUCAUGCUAAUUGAGCUUGUAGACGAGGCUGUGUUUUGCAUUUUAAUUCCUAUUCGCAAGAGUAUAUUGAAACAAUAAAAGUUCUUGAUAUAUAGCUAUCAUGCUCUGUCCAUGGCAUGGGGCCUGAAGAAAAUUGAUAGAGAUGCUUUGAAUGUAUUUUGGACUUUCCUUCUUGUCCAGAUGGUAAAUAACAAUUUAUGGAUACUCGCACCAAGAAAAGGAAAAAGAAAGAAAAAAUGUCUUAUGUCUAGGACCCAUAAUAACUCAAUCACAGCAAAUGCUGGAUGAAGACUGUCCUUAUUGAGGAAAUAUUUCACUCGUUUUCUUCUUAUUUUUAUCUUGGAUUUGUGUAUCAAUUUGCUUUCAAAGCAAAUCCAGAUUAAAAAAAAUGGGAUGUUGACUUGUGGAAAAUGUGAACCAAUUAAUGUUGAAUAUUGAUUUGAGUCCCAUUUCGGAUGGUUUUGUUCCUAUCCAUUUAUUAUCAUCACUUUUUUUUUGGAAUAAAGCAAAGUGGUCAUAUUGUUGUGCUCACAUUAUAGUAUUAUACUUAACAAAUUUGAAAAUUAGAUAACCUUCAUUGAAGAUUUUAUAAAGUGGCUUUAUGGAAAAUUCUUAACAUUUAUAACUGCUAAAUGUUGUGGUGUCGUGAAGGCACCAAGUUACCACGUUACAACUGGUAAGUUUACUUAUGUAAGAUGUAAAUUCUGUUAAGAUAGUAGAUGAAUUUUCGAUAUCUUACCAUUAGUAUGGCGAGAUUUAGUACUUACAUACAUUUCAAAGGGUGCACAAUACAACUCUCACUGAAAAUUAAUCAAAACUGCUAAUCAUCUGACUGCAAAUUUUGGACCCAAAAGUAAAAUUGUAGACAACCUCAAACACGAGAGAAGAACAGAUAAGCAUGAAAACAUUAAGCGGGAACAAAAGAAAAAGAAAAAAAGAACUAGACAAACUACUAUCAAACUUUUGACUGGGGUAAAAACUUUAAUGGUGCCUUUUCCCUAAUUGGUCUUUCCAGGGCCUUAGAUAACAAUGGCCACUGAUUGCGCUAGUUUGUUAAUGUGAUCUUAGUGCUGUCCCCAAAAACCUCAACUGAGAUCUCACAAGGAGCUAAACUUGCCUAAUUAAAGUAAGGGUUAUUUAUUCAUUAGAUACUCAUUAAGAAAUAAUUCAAGUGUUAAAUUUUAGAAAAUUAAAGUUAAACAGAAAAAUGCAUAAAUAUAAAAGAAAAUAAUAAUUGCGAAUAUGUAUAUUCAGAUGAUAAAUAACAUGUGAUUAAAAUAUUUUAACUAGUGUUGAAUGAGAUAAGAACACCUUUUAAAAUAUUCUACCUAGACUUAAUUAAGAACUAAUAACUUUAGAGGGAUACCCUUUUUAAAAUUUUUAUACUGCUCCAGGUAAUGAUAGCCAUUGAUUGAACUAGUUGUUUGUUACUGUGAUCUCAGUGCCGUCCCAGGAAAUCUCCACUGAGAUCUAAUAAUUAAAUUUCUCCCCUGUCCUUUUCGUUUUGUUGUCUUCUUUAUGAACCAAAAGUUUGUUUCCUUUUUGACAAGAACGUCCAGGUGUAUUUGUGACAUGUUUGACAGUUAGUUUCCUUUUUGUAUUUAUGAACCAAAUGUGUAGUUGUGACAUGUUUGAAUUUACUAAUAGCUGUGUUGUAUUUUGUUUAAUUUUUAUUAUUGUUGUAUGGGAAGAUUAAUUUCCUGUAUUGAGCUUAAUUUCCUAUAUUUAUUAUAUGUGUUGUCUUUGUAGUAUCAUGGUUGCGUAUUUUUUUGUGUUAGGAUCAACAGUGCUUGUGAAAAAACAUGGAUAGGAGUUGGAUGACAAUUAAAGAUUACUUGCAUCCUAGAUAUUUGGCAGGAGUGAAAGAAUUCGUUGAAUUUGCUUAUUUAGGCAAGGAUCCCACAUAUAAGCUCCCUUGUCCAUGUAAAGGGUGCAACAACUUUGAGGAUCAAACUAUGGAGGUCAUGAAAAGUCAUUUGUGUGGGGGAAUUGUUGAGAGCUAUACUAGGUGGGUAUAUCAUGGUGAAAGGUUUGAAGAUUCUGAUGAGGAUGAAAAUGAUAACAUAGUUUUAGAUGAAGAAAACAGUGAGUCAGAUGAUAUUCAAGAAAUGUUAAAUGACGUUGGUACUGCAAACUUUGGCGAGAAUUGGAGAAAUUCGGGGGAACAUAAUAGGGAUAUACCAAAUAAGCAAGAGGGGGAAGCAAGUAAGUUUCUUAGAUUAUUAUCUGAAGCUGAAAAAAGUCUCUACCCGGGUUGUGAUAAGUACUCAAAACUUUCCUUUGUUGUCCAUAUCCUUCAUUUGAAAACUAUGAAUUGGUGGACUUGCAAAUCCAUCGAUAUGCUGCUGAAAUUCCUCAUUCAAGUCUUCCCCAUGGCAUCAAUUCCUAGCUCAUACUAUGAUGCAAAAAAUUUAAUUCGUGAGCUAGGACUCAAGUGUGAAAAAAUACAUGCAUGUGAAAAUGAUUGUGCACUUUAUUGGAAAGAAAAUGAAAGCCUCGAUCACUGCCCAAAUGAAAAAUGUAAAGCACCUCGUUAUAAAUCCCCGGGUUCUAAAAUUCCUAGAAAAGUGCUUCGCUAUUUCCCCUUAAAAUCAAGGUUACAAAGACUAUUCAUAAACAAGGAGAUAGCUCAAGAUAUGAGGUGGCAUAAAGAGAGACGCGUUCCCAAGGAAAACACAAUGACACACCCUGCUGACUCAAUAGCUUGGAAGGAGUUUGAUAACAGUCACCCAUCUUUUGCCGAAGAUCCUCGUAAUGUUAGGUUGGGGCUUUCAACUGAUGGUUUCAAUCCCUAUGGAAACAUGAAUAAUGCAUAUAGUAUAUGGCCUGUAAUCCUCGUUCCUUACAAUCUACCACCUUGGAAAUGCUUAAAGGACCCUUUUUUCCUGUUAUCAAUGAUUAUUCCAGGUCCUAAGUGCAUAGGAAAUUAUAUGGAUAUAUUUUUUAGGCCUCUAAUUGAUGAGUCGAAAGAGUUUUUUGACACUGGCUUUGAGACUUAUGAUGCAGCUAUGGGAGAAAAAUUUAUGUUACGGGCUGCUCUAUUGUGGACUAUAAGUGAUUUUCCAGCAUAUGCCUAUUUGUCAGGGUGGAGUACAAAAGGUUAUAAGGCCUGUCCUAUUUGUUUAGAUGAUACAACCAGUGUAUAUCUGAGAAAUGGAUUAAAAUGUUGCUAUAUGGGGCACCAGCGAUUUUUGCCAGCGGACCAUAAAUGACGCAGAGAAAGAAAGUCAUUUGAUGGCAAGAGUGAUCUUAGACAGCCUGUUAGAACUUUAUCCGGUGAAGAAAUCUUUGAACAACUUCAAGAGUUUGAUCAAAUGGUGUUUGGUAAGGCACCUGAAUUGCUUAAAGAGAAGAAAAGAAAACGCAUGCAAAAUCAGUCAAAUUGGUUGAAGAAAAGCAUUUUUUUUGAGCUUCCAUAUUGGAGUACUAACAAAAUUAGACACAACUUGGACAUUAUGCAUAUCGUGAAGAAUGUGUGUAAAAUUUUGUUGGCUACAGUGAUGGGUACGGGACACAAAAAUAGGGACACUUGGCAAGCUAGAGAGGAUUUGAAGGAAAUGAGAUUGAGGGGAGAAUUGCAUCUUCAAACUCAAGGGGAUUCAAAGGUGAUGCCCGCUGCAUGCUACACUCUUUCACGCAGCGAAAAACAAAAACUAUGCCAGUUUUUGAGCUCACUCAAGUUCCCCGAUGGAUUUGUCUCAAACAUAUCUCAUUGUGUUAAGCCAAAAGAGUGCCAAAUUUCAGGGAUGAAGAGUCAUGAUUAUCAUGUAUUCUUGCAACGUCUACUUCCAUUAGCAAUUAGAGGCAUGCUGCCAAAGGAUGUUUCCCAAACUUUGGUAGAACUAAGCAAUUUUUUUAGGAAAAUUUGUUCCAGGACUCUUUAUGUAGAUGAGUUAGAUGCACAGGAGAAAAACAUUGUUGUAAUACUCUGCAAACUUGAAAAAAUUUUCCCUCCAAAUUUCUUCGAUGUAAUGGUCCAUUUACCUGCUGAAGCAAAACUUGUUGGCCCAGCACAAUACCGGUGGAUGUUCCCAUUUGAGAGGUAGUGUAAAGGCUAUUUUAAGACUGAAUCUUCUUUUGCUUCAUAGGGUCGUACUGCUGUGACAUCUUAUGGCUGCAUUUUUGUGACACAGAAAAAUGGGUCAAUACAAAGGUUAUGUGCACAACAGAGCUCGACCGGAAGGAUGCAUUGUUGAGCGUUACUUGGAUGAUGAAUGUCUAACAUUCAUUUCUAGGUACUUGCACAAUGUUCCUACAAUAUUUAAUGAACCAGAAAGAAACACCGAACGCUUUGAGGCUGCUGGAAAGUUGUCUAUUUUUUCUGGAAUGGCUCGGCCUUUUGGGGCAGCAACAUUUUGUUGCUUAAGUGAAUCAGAGUUGAUGAAAAUACAUUUAUUCAUCUUGAAAAAUUGUGAAGAAAUUGAUGAUUACAUAAGGUAAUAAAUUUAUUACCUUAUGUAUAUGAGAAGUGUUAUAUGUUUAGUCAAUUAUAGCACUAACCGUAGCACAUAGAUAACUAAUAAUACUAUUGUAUAGGAUGCACAAAGAAUUGCUUCAGCAGCAAAAUGUGUCGAAUGUAGAGUAGAUGCACGAUUUAGAGUUUCCAAAGUGGUUUGAAGAUCGUGUAAGUAUGGAACAAACUACUAGAAAACUUGUGGUAUUUAUAUAGUUGUUAAUUUGUUCAGUCAUUCUAAUUUCUUAUUUGGGUUAUAUAGGUCACUUACAUGCAUACACAAGGCAGAUGCUGUGAUGAAUUGUUGUCUUUGGCCAAAGGACUGGAUUUUAGAGUGAUCAAAUAUCCUGGUUGUAAUGUCAAUGGGUUUAGAUUUCAUACCAAAACACGUGAGGUAGACAGAAAAACCCAGAAUAGUGGCAUUAUGGUGAAGGGUGAGCAUGCUGAUGUAGAAAUAAACUUCUAUGGUGCUAUUACAGAUAUCUUAGAGGUUGAAUACUCCUUCAGUCAAAGCCGAGUAGUUCUGUUCAAGUGUGAUUGGUGGGACUUGAAAAAUAGCUCAUGUCUUAAAAUAGACAAACAGAGUAAUCUAAGCAGCGUCAAUUUGUCAAAAAAAUGGUAUAUAGACCAGCCAUUUGUAUUCGCUUCCCAAGCCGAACAGGUCUUUUACGUAAAGGAUAUGAGGCUUGGAGGUGAUUGGCAUGUUGUCGAGUCAGUCUGUCCACGUUCAUCAUAUGCUAUUCUUGAAAAGGAUGAGGAUAAAUCAUGUGAAGAAGAAGAGGUUUACCAAGAAGAUUAUCUUGAAGACCUAAUUGGGGUUCAAGAGAAUGUCGAUUUGUCUAACUUGAAAAGAGGUGAUAUGCUAGCUGAUGAAGCUGUAGAAACUGGCAUCCUAAAUUCUGAUUCUUCAGCUAAACAUGCCAGGAAAAUGGAUGAUUUUUUUGUUGAUGAUGAUGAGAUUCAGCAAUUGAGCUCGAGUGAAGAUGAAAGUGGAAAAUUUGUAGAAAGUGAUGACUAUGAGUCUGACUAAACGAUGUUGUAAAUAACAUUUUCAGUUUCUAUUUAUAGUUACCAUGUAACUUUUGGUUCAAAUCAAGUGUAUUUCUUAUCUUGAAUUACUUUUAGUCACUCUUAUCUUCUAAUUUGCAAUAUCUAUUGUAAAAUACAAGGCAUAUUAAUUAAGUUCCUCCUUCGGGUGAGCAUGCUGGUAAUUGUACCUUGUCCUGGCUUUUUAGACAUAUUUAGUCUAAAUGCAUGGCUGAUUGAUAUCUUUUUAUCAUGUAGUUACAUGGAUGGGCCAGGGAAGAAAGGAAAAUGUCCUAUGCGACCAACUCGAGGUGCUGAAAUACCUAAUGCAGCAGAAGCUAGAGAAAAAAUAGGUGAACAGGUGAUGAAAAUUGACUUUGCUAUGUACUUGUACCUUCACUUCUUUAUACCAUUGGUUUUAAACAAUUAAGCAUCUGCCCUGCUGUGUAUUUCUUACUUCACUAUAGCAAGUUGGUGGCCCAAAAGGUAGUCUGGCUAGCAAUGCCAAUAAUGGUGCUGAAUUCAGCCUAUCUAGAAAGUCAGUUCAAAUUCGCCUAUUUGAUGAGACUGAGGUUAGUUCUUACUUUUGGUAGUUGGCAAUAUUUGAAAAAUACAUUUCUAAUGUGUAGUUGGCUGGAUUUUAGGAUCCUACUACCUCAAAUGGUCGCAAAACUACUACAGGAUCAUCAAGACAUGAGUUGACAACUCCUACAUCUAUUGAGCAGCAAAAUACUACUCCUACUUCAGUACAAGUCGGAUCUAACCAGUCCAUUGGUUGUGGAAGUGACCGGAAUAAUGAGAGCGAUGAUGUUCAACAGAAUGAUACCGGUAUAUGAGAUUUACUUGUAAUUUAUAUUACACAGCUAAUUUCAUUUCAGAUUUUUCCACUCACAUUCAUAACUGUGUACUAUGUUUUGGGUAGGUGGUAUCAAUGUAACUAGGAAAAGAGGAUAUACUCGCAAUAUUGCACUGUCCAAGGAAAAAAGGCCGGCAAAAAGGUAAAAGUCCAGGUCUCUGAAGUUAGUGGAAGAGUAAUUGGAGAAGGGGCACAACAGUACAUCUCAGAGGCAAGUUGUGUCAUUCGUAAAUAUGGCAAAUGGAAAGCAGAAAAAUGGUCCAAACUCCAAGAAUCUGAUAGAGAAGGAAUGCUAAAACUUGUUAAUGUAAGUGAAAUUGUUUUGAAGGCUUGUUUUUCUUCUUGACUUGGUAACAACUAGUUCUGCAACAGGUCAUUUAUGCACUUUUUCUGACAUUUACAAUAAAUUUUUCACUCAUAUUUCAGAAUAGUUUUGCUUAUGAUGAAGGAGAACAUGUUAAGCCAGCACUUCUUAAGCAGUUAAAUACACAGUACAGAAGUCGACGAUACAAUUUUCACAAGAUUUUCAAGAAAUUUAGUACAAAAGAGGAAGCACUUGCAAAUCGUCCACAAUAUGUUGAAGAAUCUGAUUGGAUUUACCUUUGUGACUAUUUCUGUAGUCUAAAUUUUAUGGUAUAGAGGCCGACUUUUGAUCAUUUACUAUUGUUCUUUCUCAUGUUUUUUGUGUGUUAAAUUUUGAUCAUGGCUGAACUUGAUAAGUGCAGAAGAUAAGUGAGAGGAACAAGAUCAAUAGAUCAAAGCAAAAAACUGCUCAUACAGCUGGAACAAAAUCCUUUCUUCGUCAUAAAGCUGACCGGGUAUUUGAUUAUCUUGAAGACAUGUCUUUUGGAUUGUUUAGGCAGGUUAUUUAACUUCUUAUUGUAACAGGAAGCAUAAGAAGGGAGGGAAGUUGGACCAAUAGAACUUUAUGACAUCACCCAUUACAGCAAGAAGAAGAAUGCAAUGGUUGACGAAACAUCUGCUAUGAACUUAGUAAGAAAAAUGGAAUUGCUACUCUAAUAUUGUUGUACAACUCUUAUGAAAGUCUAACUUCAGAAUUUACCUUUGUGACAGAGCAUGAUGAGGGAGAAAAAGUUGGAAUCUAAAUCCAGUGGUGCAAAUAGGACUGAAGAAGACAUUUCCAUUGAAGUAACUGGACGUGUAACCGGAUACGUACAUGGCCGUGGUCCCUCCAAAGCUGGAAUAAUUGCCCAAAAGCUUGCAGAGAUAGAUGAUUUCAAGAAAAGAGCAGAACAAGCGGAGAAGCGCUCAGUUGAGCUGGAAAUAACAGUCCAAUCUCAACAACAACUUAUGGAGAAGCUUGUGAACCAGCAAAGUGAAAUGCAGAACCAACAAAGUGAAAUGCAAGAUCUCCUUAAAUCUUUGAAAGCACAGCUGCAAGCCAACAAGUAAGAUGAUGAAGGCACAUCUGAACGAACUGAUUGGUAAGCAAUUUUCAACUAUAUAUACUUGUCUAAAUAGAUAUAAUGGCUGCUAUGGUUUAAAGUUAACAUAAGUUAUUGCAAAUUAGUUAUUGGUAGGUGACAAUAUUAACUUGUAAUAUCAAGACUGAGGAGGGACAUUUAAGAAUUACUUCUGUCAACUCAAGGUUCUAAUCAGCUGGUGUUUUGAUCCUGGGAGUACAUUUGUGGCUUUAUCAUAGCUUUGUUAUCAUGAAACAAUAACAUUACACAAAAAAAAGCUUCAAUAGUGUUUCUGUUUCAUGAUAUUAAUUUGAGGAGCACAGAAGGGCUAAAGAAUAGAAAAGAUUAUUAUUGUCAUUUGGCCAAUGAGUUAGCUAAAAACUUAAAAUAUUGUCAUGUUUAAGACGUUUUAUGGUCAAGAUACAGAAACGCUUGCAUCUUGCAGGUUUCAAAGGUUCAUGGCAAUUCUGGACCUGUCUCUCCCUUUCAUUCUUGUGGGUGCCACUUAUUAUUCUCAGUGUUUUGAACACAAACUAGUGUAGUGUCUAUGUCACUACUGGUCGUUGUGGACAGAGUAGGAAGAUUUGAUAUCUUCUUACUAAUUUAGGUUAGGAAUGAACAGCAAAAACAAAAUACUGAUUUAGCUUUUUGAAUACUUGCUAAACAUUAAUGUCAUGCAAUUUCUAGUUAAGCCUAAUGAUUUGCUAUGUGGUGUCCUGAUUCUAGUUUUUCUGUUUUGCAAUGACAUUUAGGCUUUAAAGCUCAGACGGAAACUUUGGCGCUCCUAAUUACCGCCUUUACUCUGGAAAAUCCUUUCUUUCCUGGUUGAAUUUUAUCAUGGCACUGUCUUCUUCAUUCCCUUUGUCUCUGCUGACCAAAGCUUCUGAUUUCUUGUUAGAAAUAUGGUGCAGAGAAUUUGCUGUUCUGUCUCAGACCCUUCGUUUCUGAAAUUAGCUCCUACUUAGUUGCCAAAAACUGUUGUUCUGAUGAUAUGUAAAGUUGCAGAUGGAAAUGGUAAAGUAAUUCAAGUAAAGAACUAAUUACUAGUAAAUUAGCAAACAUGAACCUGAAGAGGACCUAAUUGUAGCGUUGACAGAAUAACCAUCUUCAAGAAGCCUUUUGAUCAACCAUAAUGCCAAAAAGUCCAGUUCCACCUGUUACACAUACUCUCCCCUUCUCCAUCUUCUCCCCUUCCAUUAAUUUGUGUCCGUCUAGCCUUUAAUACCAGUAUAGUACUGUUUGGUCUCUCUGCAGUGGAUUGUCAGUUUCAACUUGAAGAAUUAAUGUAUUUCUAGUAUAGUAUUUCACUUGAAGAAUACCAGUAUAGUACAUGCGAAAUGUAUUUCCUUCAAGUAGUUAAAGGGAAUCUUCCUUGUUAGUUAGACUGUUGUGCUGAGUCAACAAUCAAGUAGUUAUUUUGUUAUUCUUGAGCUGUAUAAGAAUGCAGAAAUCUGGAUUGGGCAAUAUGGAAAAAUCAUUUUGAAUAAUAUCUCUCUUUCUUCUUCCUCAAGUCUAGUUUCUCUCCCCCUUAUCACUCUAUUUCUGCUGCAAUUGCUGCAUUCAUUACGGUAGUAUCAGAUUAGUGAAUGCUUGUUACUUUUGUUGUUUAUUUAGCAAUUAGAGACUGUUUUGCUUUUGUCACCUGAUAACUUUACUAAUAACUUUACUACUUUAUUGCAGAUAUAUUGCUCAUUUUGGAGGUUUCGAAGAAGAUUAGCAGUACGGCUUACAUGUCGGCUCAAAAACUGUGGUUAUAGUACUGUCUUAAGUUUAGAAAAUGUUUCAGAAGCGCAGGAAAUGUUUUGGGACUUGGAAUAUGUUUUUUAGUGCAGCCUUGACUUAUAUGAGUAGUAUUUGUUCUACUCAAACUUAUGAAACUAUUUGUACUAUGAUGUUGCACUUAUUUAUGACAUUUGAAUAUUUAAUAUAUUAUUUUGGCAUAUUCUAUUGUAAUGGGUGCCUACAUUUGUUAUUUAUUAAACAUUGCUGAUAUUUUCAUUUUUUAGAUAUUAUUGUAGUAGGAAAGUCAUGUGUAAGGUGUUGUAAAUGAGUAGUAUUUUUCUAGGCAGGAUGUCUUUAUUGACAAUUGUUAUUGUCACUCAAUCAAAACUGUCUAUUGAUAAGGGAUUGUUGCCACAGUUGAUCAGGGGUUUAUUGACAACAAAGUUGUCACUAAUUCCCCUAUGCCCUCACUAUCGUCCCUUCAUGCAUCACUUGCAUCACUGACAAGAGAAGGUGUUGUCACUAGAUUUAUAGCUUUUACUGAUGACAUAUGUUGUCAUAAAAAGUUUCAUUCACUGACAACUCUAAGGUCGUCACUGUAUACUUUCAUCUUUUACUGACGACAUAGAUUGUCAUAAAAAAGGUUCUAUUUACUGACGACUUUAAAGUCGUCACUGUAUACUUUUACCGACGGAGAUUCAGUGACGACCUUGCGACAACAGAAAUGUUGUCAAUAAUGGUCAUCAGUGACGACUUUUUGAUUAUUUGUGACGAAAAGUAGUUAUCACUGAUGACCAAAAUUCUUGUAGUGUGAGUAAUUCACAUGCAAAAAUACUUUUAAAUGACCAAUUUAAGAAUAUUUUGCAAUAAUUAAAAUAUGAGUCCUCACAGGUGCACCACACACCCAUAUGAAUUUAGAGCAAAUCACAUAUUGAGGCACAUUGAUGGGAGGCAAGGUUUGAAUCCUUAACCUCCCACCCCACAAUUAAUGUGGUGGCCAACAUUAUGCUCUUCUUGUUCACUCCAACAUUUUGUUCAACAUCAGCGCUUACUUUAGGUUUGGUCAUCACUGAUUUGGGGACGAAAUCCUACCACUGAAUGUCCCACAUGAGUAGUUUCACUUCACAAGGACAUUCAAUUGACUUUGAGCACCUUUCUCUUUCGCAAUUGCCAAGCACCCCAAGACAUUGCGCAUCUUGGCCAAUAAGACUCCGUUAGUGCUAUGAUUUUUGAGGAAACCUCGUGAGAAUGUUCAACUGUCUAAUCUUCCGUUGAUUGGUUCUUGGAGCAUUUUAGAAAUUUCAGAAGCCGAUAAAGCAUCAAAAGGAAAAUUAUUCUUUGAAAAUUAUAGUAAAUUUAUCUAUAUUUUUAGUUCCAUAAUUUUCAAAUAUGUUCGUACUAUACAUGUACAAAUUUAUAUGAGUAAUUUUGCCGAACACGCCGAAUUUUUAAUCGUACCUUUGAAAAUAAAUCUUGUAUAAUAUGCAUACAUAUACCUCGUAUUAUACCCAUAGCAUAUUUUACAAUCUAUGCCCUUAAUGCUAUAAAUAAAAUACGUAGGAAGUUAAAUGAACAAAUUGACUACAUAUCAUCAUUUGAGGAUCUAGCUUUCAAAAAUCACAUUGUCCAUAGGUUAGGACAUGCCCAAGGCUGGUCUAGUGCACACUGCACAGUGCCUUGUAAACAUAUUUUAACAUGCCCUAAGGGUUUAGCACUAAUUGGACAAGCUUACCAAGUCGGAUAUUAAACAAAUUAACUAGAUUUUUAAUUAGCGAAGCUCUACCAUCUUUAAUUAUGUCCUUGGGAUGAAUAUUUAAGGGUUGGAAGUUGCAUUAAUCCAAAAUGCACAGAAGUUAGCUCAAAAUACCACCUGGCCCAACAAAAAUUAAUGAGCAAGAAAUUCAAAAAAAAGAAAAAGAAAAAAGAGAGACCCUUAAAAAUGAGAGAUUUAUGGCUAAAUUCAUCCUCAUCCAUAGAUUGUGCCAAAAAAAUUAAUAAAUCUCUUGAUUGACUCCAUUCCUUUACUAGUUUCUGAAUUGUAGUGUCUAAACAAACUGUGUCUAUUACUUAUAUUAAUUGUAUUGUUUGGAUUAAAUGCCUAUGAAUACAGGCUUCUAUCAGUAUAUGAUGAAAUAUAAACAAAAUGUUGUUCUUUUCAUUUGGUUUUUUCUCAUGGUAUCGGUGCAAAUGAAGAGAUUCUAGCACAUUGUUUAACGUUUAGUACUAAGUUUAUGCUCUUUUUUUUUUUUGGUUUACUUCAACAUUUUGUUCGUCAGCGCUUACUUCAGGUUUUGUCAUCACUGAUUCAGGGAAGAAAUCCUACCGCUGAAUGUCCAACGAGUAGUUUCACUUCAAAAGGACAUUCAAUCGACUUUGGCCACCUUUCUCUUUCGCAAUUGCCAAGCACCCUAAUACAUUGCGCAUCUUGGCCAAUAAGAAUCCAUUAGUGCUAUGAUUUUUUGAGAAACCUCGUGAGAAUGUUCAACUAUCUAAUCUUCCGUUGAUUGGUUCUUGGAGCAUUUUAGAAAUUUCAGAAGCCAAUAGAGCAUCAAAAGGAAAUUGCAGCGACAGGGCUGCCUGCCAGUUUGAAUACUUUUUCCUCUAUAAAUUAACCGUGCACGAAGCUGCAGCCUAUAGGCACAUUUCUGCAUCUGUUCAGCUCAUCAAUUUACGGUUUCCAUCCAAUUUUGCAGCAGUAGUCUACCAUCCCAGAGUUGGAAAUGGAUGUGAAAAGCAAGAUUUUGAUCAUUGGGGGCACUGGAAACAUCGGGAAAUAUGUAGUGGAAGCAAGCACAAAAGCUGGGCACCCAACGUUUGCACUGGUCCGAGAAAGCACAAUUUCAGAUCCUAAGAAGGCAGCCAUCAUCGAGAGUUUCAAGAGUUUGGGAGUCAUAUUUCUUCUUGUGUGCUGUUAUUUCUUUCUUCGUUGUCUAAAUACUGUUUCAAUUUUUUUUCAAAAAAUUAUAGAAACUAACGUGUACGCAUGGACUGAACAGGGAGACCUACACAAUCAUCAGCAGUUGGUAAAUGCAAUCAAACAAGUUGACAUAGUGAUCUCUGCAGUCGGGGGAGAUUUGGUAGCUCAUCAAGUUAAGAUUAUUGAAGCAAUUAAAGAAGCUGGAAACAUCAAAGUAAGCACAAUACAGUGUUACAAAUUCUUUCUUGAUUUUUAUUUUUUGCGUUUGUCCCUUUGUGAGUUGUGACUUCCAUAUUCCUAAAGAAGGAGCAGUCUUUGGUUUCAGAGAUUUUUACCUUCUGAAUUUGGGGGUGAUGUGGAUCGUGUGCAUGCCGUUGAGCCUGCUGCUAGCUUAUGCAAGACCAAGGUUGAGAUCCGCAGAGCUAUUGAGGCAGAAGGGAUACCUUACACUUAUUUAGUAUCUAAUGGAUUUGCUGAUUACUUGAAUUAUAUCCUCAACAACUUUGGAGACACUGGUUCUGCAAGUCCUCCCAGAGACAAAAUUGUCAUUCUUGGUGACAGAAAUCCAAAAGGGAUCCGAAAGAAGCUUGUCUGCUGCAUUUCUUGAUUGGUUUAGUAUCAUGUUUUAGAGUUCAUCGUUCUCAAUUUUUUCUUCAAUUUUAUGUUUCGUUGUAGUUGUUUACACCAAGGAAGAAGACAUUGCUGCAUACACCAUCAAAGCAGCAGAUGACCUAAGGACUCUGAACAAGAGUCUGUACAUUUCACCACCUGCCAACACUUUGUCCUACAACGAAAUAGUAUCAUUGUGGGAAAAGAAAAUUGGCAAGACCCUCGAAAAGACCUACGUUCCAGGGGACGAAGUUCUUAAGAAAAUUCAAGGUCAUCUAACAAAAAGAAGAAAGUGCACAAGUUGCUAAUUUUAAUACAAUAGCAUCUACUAUUAUUAACACCUAUUCCGCGUUCUAAUCAAAUUGGUUUCUUUUCUGUAUCUUUCGCAGAGGCUUCAAUGCCAUUAAAAUUGCUCCUGUCUUUGGCAUACACAGUUUUCGUGAAGGGAGAACUAACCAAAUUUGAGAUCAAGGCUUCUUUUGGCAUGGAGGCAACAGAGCUCUAUCCUGAUGUUAAAUACACCACACUUGAUGAGUACCUCAGCCAGUUUGCAUCAAAUUAGCUUAGAUGCUUUCAGAUUAGCUCUACAAGAUUUUUGCAGCAGUUUCUUGUGUACUACUAGAUUUUUUUCUUCUUCCAGAUGAGGAUUGUCAUGAAUGUGAUCGAAAUAAAAUCUGCCCUUAAUUUGUAUCCCGUCUUUUGUGUACUUGGGUUGAAUUCUUCCAACUUGAAAUCAUCAUCUGGUUGCCUCUGAGUAUCCUUUCUUGAUACUAACCACCUGCCUUAUGAUUUGGAUCCCUUUUUGGCCGAGGCUAAAUUCCGGACAAUGCAAGGCAAAUUAUAUACUCCUCGUCUCCUUGGUCCCGAAAUUGCAGAAAAUAUUGAGAUACACAGGCAUAGUUGUGCUCAUCUGAUUGAGCUCUUUUGAGACCUGAGUUUUCAGGAAGUGGACCAUUUCUCAUCUAAACAGUUGCCUAAGGCCAAAUUAUCACAAGAAGCACACAGAAAACAAAUUUGUAGCUAUUUUGAACUCUAUUAAUUUCCGAAUUUGAGUCAAAAGUCUUGUGCUUGAUCUUGAUGUUUCUCCACAGUCGCGAUUUGAUUUGGAUUUCUAUUUUUUUUAUAUAAAUUUUGAGAUUGUAUGUUAUAAAAAAAUAUCAACAUGAAACAUGCUUUGAGGUUGUAACCUAUUUGUUUAGGAAUUAAGAUUUCUUCACCAAAACAAAAAAGAAUAUGUCAUUACUAAGCUAUUAAAGUCAUGAUUAGGUUUCCCAUCACCUAAAAAAUGAUAUAUAAAAAAUAAUUUGAGAGCAUGAGAGCAUGUGUAUUCGUUUUGUGCUGAUAAAAAAAAAAACUAAAAAUGACCCCCCCAAAAAAACAAUACCAAAAAACCCCACCAAAAAAAAAACUAAAUAUAAUAGCAAAAGGUGAUAUUCAUACAUUCCCAGUGGUUAAGCACUUUUUAAGGUACACGGUUUGUAGCUACAUAUCCUCAUGCUUAUUCUUGUCAUCUACCUCUGUUUGAGUAAAUACUGCAGCAACAGGGUCAAUACAGAAAUUAACAUGCUCCCCAGGCUUGAUCUCAAGUCACUCAUCUAGUUCCUUGUUGGCAGAAAAACCAUGCUCCUUUGGUAUACUAAACAGCAAAAAUAGCAAAGAUGUUUAGUAUGUGAGGAUCUCAAAAUUGCAUUAAUUUCUGAAAAUUAAAAUCAAAAUAUUAUUUAAAUGUUGAAAUUAGUAAAUAAUAUGUAUUUAUAUUUAAUAAUGUGUAUUUAUAUUAUUAAUGAUGUUUUCACUUAUAUAAAUGUUAUAUUUUAAUUUACAUGAAUUAUUAAAAAUUUAUUUGACGGUUCGCGUUCGGCUAAGCAUUAGGGUGAAUUUUUGCUCACUAACGCGCAAUGUAGCCCUAAGUUGAAAUGUAGGGUAUCUAGAGGUUAUAAAAAUGUACAACUAAGUUGAGGAAAUGUUAAGUGGGGAAUUCCUACCAGUAGAUAAAAUUCUCGCGCGUAAACGCGAUUCAAUUCAAAAUUUCCUCACCCUUAAUGGCAGGCCCAAAAGUCAACAAACCUAUACCUUUAGCUUACCUUCAUUUUCAACCCAUCUUAUCCCAGCUUUCACGUCCCUAUCUUCCCUCCAAAUUCUGAUCUUCGGGUGCAAGAAAGAAACAGGAGCCGCUGCUCUUCCACAGCUUCCACCGAUUCUCCAUCUUCACUAACCUUCAACUCCUACCUUCACCUUCCUUUUCCAGCAUCAACCUUUACUCUUUGCUGCUGCCUCGAUCGAUCAAGAGGAAGGAGAAGAUCGCUGUUCCUGCUGCUACUCUCGCUGCUCCUGCCGCUGCUACUACUGCUGGGUUGUUCGGACCUGGGUGAAGGAGAAAAACCAGCUUCCUUUUUCUUCCUUCCACCAACCACAGAACCACCCCAAGCUCACCAAAAACCCCAGAACCCCAGCCCUCUUCAUCUUCGGUCGCUGUUGUGCUGCUGCGGUGACAGGUCAGACAAGCGGAAAAACAGAGUGCAAGGGUCACUACAAGAAAAUUGGUCAUCAGUGACAACUUUUCUCUGUGACGAAAAAAAGUUGUCACAAAAGUGGAUCCUUUAUUGACGACUUUCUAACUCGUCACAAACCUCUAAUGGGAGCCAACUCAUUUGUGACGACUUUUUCGUCACUAGUAAAUUCCCGCCAAGAUUUAGCAAGAGCGCGGCAGUGUUUAGAACACACAAUAGUGACGACAUUAAGAACAUCAUCACUAUUGCUUGGCCUAUUUACGGACGAGUGUUUGUUGUCGUCACUGAUCACUAAAAAAAAAAGUUAUUAGUGACAACAUUUUGUAGUGAUGACAAUAAGUUGUCACAAAAGGAGUUUCUUUAGUCGCGACACCUAAAGUUGUCACAAUUGCAUCAAAGCAACUAAAUGUUUAGUGACGACCCGUUAUUUUCGUCACAAACUACACUGCAAGAAAUAUGGUCAUUAGUGACAACAUUUUUUAGUGACGACAAAAGUCGUCACAAAACGUGGUUGUUUAGUGACGACAAGGAGAGUUGUCAUAAUUGCUCAAAGCAACUAAGUAUUCAGUGACGACCUUGAAAAAGUUGUAACUAAAAUGAUCUAUAUAGUGACAACUUCUCAUAUCGUCACUGUCACUCUACCGAUUCGGAUUUAGUGAUAAGAAUUAAUCGUCACUGUUUAAAGUACUUAUUUCUAAGUCACUUUCAUUAAUUCUACUGUGCCACCCUAACUUUUAUAAUUUAGCCCCAAAUGUUGUAAAAAAUUCCAUUGAUUCCAUUAUGAUACCUUAACUUUUACAAUUUAGCCCCAUAUGUAGUACACCGAUUUCUUUAAUUCUAUUAUUACUCCCUAACUUUUGUAAUUUAGCCCCAUAUGUAAUUCACCAAUUUCAUUAAUUCUAGUAUGACACUCUAACUUUUACAAUUUAACCCCAUAUAUAAUACACCAAUUUUAUUAUUUCUAUUAUGGCACCCUAGCUUUUACAAUUUAGCCCCUAUUUUUUUAUUAGGAAAUUGCGAAUGGUAUCUUGAUAAACUAUGCAUAAAUAUUUUAUAAUUUUCUCAAACUUAAGUAAUAAUUUGUUAUAAACUCUAAAGAUAUAUCUUUCAUUACAAUAGUUAUAAGGCAGGCAGGUCUUUUAUCAAUGGAAUAAGAAAUUUAUGCCAGAUUUAUCCUUUGUACUACAUGCCAAGUAGUAUUAGCAAAGGAAUAACAAAGUACUACAAAGUAAUUAACAAAAUAGCCUUCAGGGAGUGUAGUUUAUGGGCAAAUGAGCAUUAUCUAUUCAAAGUACCAACUUUUUAUGGGCAUUUUACUCUCAAACAUAUAAUUUAUGAUAAAUUUAUAAAUGUUUGCAAGUAAAAUUCAAAAAGUGUUACACUGAUUUCUUACAAAACGAAAACUGGCAGGUUAUCUUUUCAACAUAAAUUAAAUUUUUUUAAAAAAAGAAAUGGCCCAUAAAGUACCAACUCUUUGUGGGUUUCCUCCAUUACAUGAACAAAUAUUCUGCUCUUUAUGGGCAUUUCACUCUGAAUCAUUUAAUUUAUGUUAAAUACAUAAAUGUUUGUAAGUAAAAUUCAAAAAGUGUUGCACUAAUAUUUUUAUGAAAGGGAAACUGGUAGGUUUUGUAUUUAACAUAAAUUAAAUAUGUGAAAGCAAAAAAAAAAGAAAUUACCCAUAAAUCUAUGUCUUGCAAAUCUAUACUAGUAAAAUAGUUUCAAACAAAAUUAAACAUUAAAAUAAACUGUAAUUUAUACACAUUAAAAUAUCUGUAAUUUAUACACAUUUUGCAACUACUACUUUGUGUUUUCUCUGUAAUGAAUUUUUUAACUAUUGAGAACUUAAGUUUUGUCUUGCAAAUCUAUACUAGUACAAUAGUUUUAAACAAAAUUAAACAUUAAAAUAAAUGUUUGAAAAAGAACAAAAGUACAUUUAUCACUUGCAGUAAUGUAACAAAAUUUUCUCAACCAUUAUCAAUAUUUUCACAAAAGUAUUAAAAACUAGCAAUUGACAAUAUUAAAAACUAGCAAUUUAAUUAGUGACGACUUUUCUUGUCAUUAUAAUCUUGAAUAAAUUAGUGAUAACAUUAUGUCAUCACUAAAUUUUCUUUGAUUUUGACUUAACAAUAAUGUCUUAUUAAUAGCAUUUGAUUAUUUUUAAUGAAAGUCUGUUAUAACCAUAGAAUUUGACUUUCGUUAUUUUCAAUUAAUGAUGUACUUUAGUGCUGCAAUUAUAAAAAAUUGCAGGGCUAAAAUAUUUGCAAAUUAUAAAAGUAUAUUUUCCCUUAUAUGUAAUUAACAAAUUUUGCCACCUAUAUUGAUGAAAAUUUGUGUUUUUGUACUAAAAAAUAAAGAAUAAUACUAUAGCAAUAAAAUCUAUGCUUCAAACCAAAUUAAAAAUAAAAAAAGCAUGAUGAUUGGUCUCAAAUGUUGGGAAAAUGAUUAUUUUUAUUGAAACUAUGUUAUAACCAUAUAAUUUGAGUUUAAUUAUUUUCAAUUACAUGAUGUUCUUUAGUGCUGCAAUUGUAAGAAAUUAGUAUAAAAUAUUAGCAAAUUAUAAAAGUACAUUUUCAAUUAUAUGAAAUUAACAAAUUUUGCCACCUAUGUUGAUGAAAAUUUUUAUUUUUUGCUAAAAAAUAAAGAAUAAUACUAUAGCAUUAAAAUCUAUGGUUCAAACCAUAUUACAAAUCCAAAAAAAAACAUGAUUUUUGGUAUCAAAUGGAGGGAAAAUGAGUGAAGUCAAAAUUUUGAUCAAAUCAUAGUGAAAGUGCCGCGCAACAAAAACAAUAUCCAAAGCAAAGCAAAGACCAAAGCAGCGGAACACAUUCUGAAAACAAAAGCAACGGAACACUUGGUCUGAGUUAAAGCAACGGAACACUUGAGCAACACAAACUUUUACCGAGCUGAAACAAACAAGCUUCUGCACUGAGCACAAAACAGAGCUUCCGCACGGCACCUGAUACUUUCACCCACACAAGAAAAAUGGGGGGGGGUCUGAUGACAGAGAGAGCAAGAAAAAUGGGGGAAAAAGGCUUCGGCUGAGAAGAGGAAAAAGAAAGACAGGAGGAAAUAGAGGGAGCUGAAGGGAACAACGGGCGAGAGGAAAAAGAACAAUUAGAGAGGGGAGCUUGGUCUGAGGCUAGAGGAAAAACAAAGGGAAAGAAAGAAACAAAAAAGAAAAAGGGGGAAGAAAGCUUCGGGAGGUUGAGGAAAACAGAGAGAGUGGCGGCGGACGGCUGCUAAGGGUAGGAAACAAAAAGGAGGAAAAAGGAAAGCUACGGCGAGCUGAAAAGAAAGAAAAACAAAAAAUCAGAGAGGGAAGGUUUCAGAGGAGAGAGGAGUAAGCUAAGAGGAGAGGGCGGCGGAUAGAGCUAAGAAAAAACGGACAAAAGAGAGAAAGGGCUAGAGGAGAGAACAGGAAAGCGCAAAAAUGAAACAUAGGAAAAGAAACCCAAAGAAAGCAAGGGAGAGCUAGGGGCUGAAAGGAAGAAACAGAGAUAGAGGGAGCUUCGGCUGAGGUUUGGGGAAGCAGAAAAACAGAGGAAAAAGCCGAAAAACAGAGGAUAAGGAAAGGGAGGCGGCGGUAAGGAGUGAGAGAGGGAGGAAGUUGUCGGUUGGAGCAGAAACGAAAGCGAAGGAAAAACUAGAGGGAGAAAGACCAGGCGGAGCCGCCACAUUCCGUCGGAAUCCGCCACUGUCAUCCACGAACCUCCACCGUGAGAGAUCACUGUAAGUUAAUCUUCUCCUUUACAUUUCAGUUUUUUCAUUCGAAUACAAACUCUGAAAGUUUUCGGAGCAUGUCUGCCGAUGAACAUGCCAUGUUUGCUGUUAGUUUUUUGUUUCAAAUUUCAUGUCAAUUGUUCAUGGCUUUUUCUGGAUGUUGAUUGGACUGAAAUUUUGGGUUUGCUGAAAAUUUUGGGGCCAAUUAUAGCUUCAAUUGAGUAAGGAAGUAGUGAAGUUUCCAAUGCCCCUAACCUGUUCGAUGAAAUGCCCAACUGAGUUUUCUAAUUGAAAGAUAACUGGUCUGCAUUUUUACGUGUGAAAAAAUAAAUGAUGAACAUUCGGUUGGUUUUUUGUUUGUCCGAAUAACCAAAUUUUGGAUUGAAUGCCUGUGUUUCCGAUGGAUUUUUGGGGUUGAUUAACUUCACGUGUCCAGUUUUUGUUGUUUGCUUGGAGUGUGGUUCAGCUGAGCUACACGACUGCUAAUAAAAUAAAAUGGGUGGAGAGUUUGUUGGGUGAUUCUGUUUUGGUGACAUGUCCGGACUUUGAUAUGCUUUCUCGAAAGUGGUUGAGUUAGAAGUGGAUGUUCAUAUCAUGUAGCUGCAUUUUAUUUCUUCCUCUCCCUGUCCCAAGUUCACGCAUUUGAGUCUGGUUGAUGACUGUGAAAAUUUGAUUUGAAUAUCAUAUAUGUCAUUGAGAUUGGCUAGAUUUCUGCCAUUCGGGUUUGUUUCACUACCUGCUAUUCGGGUUUGUCUUUUGAUCUGAUGCUAUUCGGAAAAUGAUGCUUGGGGUUACAUGUUGUUGAUCCAAAGUUACAUAAAUCAAGCAUGUUUGGUUUUUUGAACUGUUUGGCAUGAAUAUAUCUAAGCUAAAAUGAAAGAAGCAAAAAGCUGCUGCAUUCUUAUUGCUGUUUUCCUCUCUGCUCACUGAGUUUUUGCACAUAAAUUGCUGUUUCAUCUUAUGUUGAAAGAAAAAAUGGAAUGUUUGGUGUUGAGUUUGCAUUUUUGGGUCCAAGAAAACAUAAACUAGCUUGAAUGUUGACCAAGUUAGCUAGAUUUCCCUAAAGAUCCAGAAUAGUGUAUGGUGUUUAUGUAUGCAAAUACAUGUUGGGAACAAAAAUGCAUGUCUAUGUAUAAUAAGCGAGUUAUGUUUGAAAUAAAAUAUGCUAAACAACAAAUGUUAGCGUGUGAGAGAGAGAGAGAGGAGAGACAAGUGUGCCUGAGAGAGAGAGAGAGAGAGAGAGAGAGAGUAUAUGUGAGAGGGAGAGAGUGUGUGUGUCAAAGAGAGAGAGAAAGUGUGCGUGAGAGAGACUAUAUGUGUGUGCGUGUGUGUGAAAGAGAAAGAGGCUGUGUGCAUGUAUGAAAGUGUGCUAGUAUGUGAAAUAAUAUUUUGGGUAAAAUACAAGGAACCUCCUUGUGGUUUCGCGAAAAGACACCUCACCCCCUUAUCGUUUAGAAACCUGCACAUAAACACCAUAAACUUCAUAACUAAAGUGGAAAUUACCUAUUCAACCGGCUUAGUUACCGGCAGAAGGUCAAAUACCCUGGCAGGAUGUCCAAUUCCUUCACAAAAAAGAAAAAAGUUACUGUCCAGGGAAACUAAUUUGUACAACGUCGACCAAAGAGAUAUCUGUGAUUCGACUUCACUCUCCCACCCGAUAUAAGCAUACAUAAGAGAGAGAAGGCAAAAGCGAAGAGAUCCGCAACACUCCUCCUUUCUCCAGUCUUGCAAUGGUAUCAGCAGCAUGCGACACCACCAAAGCAAAUUUGCUAUGAAUCAGAUUCUGCCAUACAGAUUGACAAGAAACGAGCUUUGUCAGGAAAAUUGGUGCUGAUAAUCACGUGAAUGCAGAUGUCAAAAAGAAAUGUUUGCCAAGCUUGAGAAGAUUGAAAAUAAGAGAUUGCAGCUGUUACGGACUUCGAAUCUGAGGAGAAGAAAGUGCAGUGAGGCUUGAGAAAGUGUAGUGAGGCUUGUUAAAACAGAGACCCAAUGCUUCAGGUCUGUAGGAACAACAUUGAUGAAAGAGGGAAUAUGGUAUCGCAAGAUUUUCCAUUCAAAUUUUUUAUUCUGAGUUUGAAUAUCCUUCAGAACACUCUGCAACAUGAGACGACCUUUAGUAGUGAAGACAUACCUUUCAUUGUUCAGAAAUGGGAGAGUUGAGUUCUAGCUUUACCAUGUCUGUCAUUGACUGGAUCCUCUGGUGAAAAAUUGCUAAAAUACAUAACCAGUUCAUUUUCCAUAUAUGGCAAGCAAAUUUAGUCAAUGAAAUUCCAUCUGGAAGUUGUAAAUUUUUAAAAACCAGAAGACACACGGAUCAAACACUUUAUCCAAAACCUGUGCCCACUUAAAAAGCAAAAAGACAAAAAAAAAAGGAAUUAGCAGAAGUUGAAAUACUGGUCCUGCAGAUUUAUUAACUAUUUGUAUUUGUAGCCCUGGGUUAGUUCUUCACUACAUUAAUUUCGAAGAGAUCGGUUAAUUUUGGCUCAGAUCUGCUUUAGCCUUUGGAAUUUGUUUGAACCUUGCCUGAGUGUAGCAGUCAAUGAAAUCCGAUGUUGUAAUUUCGAUUCUUUAAUCUGUAGUGGAUUACUCUCCAUUCAUGGGGAUCGAGAAGGGUGCUGUUCUGCAGGAAGCGAGGGUCUUUAAUGAUCUUCAAUUGGAUCCUAGGAGAUGUUCACAGGGUCCAAUUCCUUCCACUUUAGUAAUGAAGUUUAAGGUGUUUAUGUGCAGGUUUCUAAACGAUAGGGGAGUAAGGUGUCUUUUCGCGAAACCACAAGGGGGUUUCUUGUAUUUUACUCUAAUAUUUUUGAUGAAUAAUGUUACCCUUAGUUGCUCUUUCAAGCUGAACUGUUAACUUCAGUAUAGAAGUUGUCUGAACAAAACCAAACUGGCUUGGUUAUGUGAAUUGGCAGUUCACUUGGGCAGUUUUCAACUAUAGCAAAAAGCGCCAUAUUAAUUAGCUCAUUCUCUAGUUUGAUUAGAUUGGAAAUGGAAAAUACUCUAUUACUUGAUAUAAUAUGGGAUUGUGAGUGAUUAUAGAAUAAAAUCUAAAUUGCGUUAAACAUUUAACCUUGUUAUAUAUGUGAUAUUGCCUUACGACCUCUGUUUCUUUUGUUUCAUGUAUAUUGAUUUAAUUUUCUGAAGAUGGGAUCUCAUUGGAAACAAAUAUUGAAUGAUCUAGUAUGACGUCUCUCAUGUGUAAAGAAAGUGUAAACCUCUAGAGUUAUAAUAUUAGUUCUACAAUGAUUUUCUAUUCGAACUGUAGGAGCAGCAAUUAUAGGUAGAUAUCUCCAAAAAGAAGGGACACCCAUUUUAAUAUAUUUUUAUAAGAGGCUUAAAGUGCAAAUGGUUUUGUACUUGACUCCGGAUUUGUGUAUUAUCAAUUCUGUACAAGUUGCCGCAUUUAUUUAUUUAUUUUUUUUCACUUUAUGGUCUGAGAUGGUUCCUCACUAGACUGGCCAAAAGGUGGGGGGUCUUCAAGGGGAAGAGAUAAGACAGCCGAGGAGGUGAGGUGAAGGGAGAGGAAAGAGUACCUAGCAAACCUUGAGGGAAUCCAGUCUAACUUAAUCCUUUUGUAGUUGGUUGAAUACAUUUUGAUAUUACGCAUUCAAGUGAACCUUUUUAACUCUUAUACCACAAGUAGGAAACUUUCUUACGUGAUUUACACAUUAUUGGAACACUAGCUGUAUGCGAAACUUUUGUGUUUGGACGCAUACUCAUUGAUUGUUGUAUCGUAUUGUUAUAUAAAAGAUCAGAAAUUUUUUGGAAGCAGAUCUGGCCGUAUUUAGAAUGGUAAGGAAAACUGAGGAUGACCUUUGAGAGGUGAGAGAAGUAAUGAUUAAAAUAAGCUAAAAAAGAAAAAAAGGAAAUAGGUUAUGCUUCGUUCAUCAGGUUCCUUGUGCAUAAGAUUUGUACAUGUGCUAAAUGGUUAUCUUCUGGAAUAUGUGCUUGUAACAGUACAUAUUUCUGAUUUACCGGUUAUUCUUGUGGAGAUCCUCUUAGGUUAGUUUAACUAGACAUAUUACCAACAAUAUGGUAAUAGCAUUUUUUGGGCCUGAUGUUAUGCAUCAUUGUUAUCUGAACUUAUUCUUUGGGAAAUAUCUAGGUAUCAUGUAUAUAGUGCUGUUAGUUUAUCAAUAGAGAGGUAAAAAUCUGAUUGUUCAUCUGCAAUAGUAUAUUAUUUCCAAGUACAAGCGACAGACCAUGCAUGGAUAGCAAUCUUCUUUUUGCCUAUGUAGUGACUUGAAAGAAAUGAAUAUAAUGCAAAGGGGGCGUUUGUGAACUUUGAUUGGUUUCACCAGUUUAGAUGGUCUUCACUUUCACAUUGUGAGGCAAAUAGCUCAUUCUCUUUGCACAGUUUAAUCCUACAGAGGCAUCGUUUCCUUCAUGAUUUAUGAAGCAUAAACUCCUAAAAUCAAAGAGGGCUAGUACCUCCUGUAUUCACACCUCGUACAAUAAGUUGCUUUCUGUGUUUUAAUAUAUAAACAACCAAAAGCAUAAAGAUUAAACAAUAAUUACUGUGGGAGUCCAAUUUAAUUGUUCAAUAAGUUGAGCUAUUUAAAGAAGAAGAAAGAAAAUUAAAAAAAAAACUGUUUUAGAGAGCUCUUUAGUUGAGCUUAUGCAGUGUUGUAUUUGUAUAGAUUGGACUGUGAUUUCUAACUUCUUGCUGGUGUUGUAAUAUGUGGGCCCAAAUUAUAUGAGGUUCUUAAUGAAUUGUAAUUUUUGUCUUAAUAAUCUAAGUCUCAUUACUUGUUCUUUAUUAUUGUACUCCUCCCCUUACCUACUUCUUUUACUCUUUUAUGACAGAUAAAUGCUAUUUAUACUAGCUUUUGGAAGAUAUCUAUGGUUAUGGUUGAAGAAUGUUGAAGACAAAAUUGCCUUUUGCUCAUGGAGUGGUUCAUUUAGAUGUUCUUCAAUUUCUUAAACUGUGAUUGCUUUUGUAAAUGUACCUUAUGUACAAGUGAUAUUUUGAACAAAUGUUAUUUUUGUAGGCAUUAGUUGGAUAAUGUACACUUGAAUUUGGCAUUUGAGAAUGCUAUAUUAUUACCAUGUAAUCUAAUGCAAAUACUUUUGGUUAUCAAUCGUUCAUGUUUAUUUGUAUGGUUUGUUUAAAAUCAAUGAUUUAGCAAUGAUUACAAGCCAAAUUAUGACUAUUAAGCUAUUGAGAAAUUAUCUAAUGACAAAAAAAAGUUGUCACAAAAUAGAAAAUAAAAACUCCUUGUGACAACAGAGACUGUCACUAAAUCUAAGCUACAUUUGUGACGACAAUUGUUGUCAGUAAAAUAGUUAUAUACAAUGGCUUUCGGUGCUUUUUAGUGACGACCUUAAGUAGAGUAUUUUUGAUUAAAGGUCAAUUCGUCAAUAAAACACUUCCGGAUUGUCGUCACUAAUGACAACUAUUUAGUGACGACCUGAAAUGUCGUCACUAAAUAGUUGUCAUUAGUGACGACAAUCCGGAAGUGUUUUAUUGACGACUUGAUCUUUUGUCAAAAAUGCUCUACUUAAAGUCGUCACUAAGGAGAACUAUUUAGUGACGACAUUUUAGGUCGUCACUGUUUACUUUUACCGACGGGGAUUUAGUGACAACUUUGUGACGAUCAAAAAGUCGUCAAUAAAAGGUAUUUGUGACAAUAUUUGUAUGUUCUGUGAUGACUUUGUGUUGUCACUGAUGAACAAUUUUCUUGUAGUGGGUGCCGACUGACUUCUUUGAUAGGAGCAAACUUGGGGAACUAGGCACUUCAUUUAGCUAGUAAACAACCACCUGAAGGUAACCCAAAAACUUCCGCCUAGCACUUAGCAGGAUUUUAGAUUUUUGCAGCUUUUGGUUCUUGAAAUUUUAGCUUGCGUUGGUGAAACUUGUUGGGUUGCUGAUCCUCUAAGCUAAUGAUUGAUGAAGCUAGAGGUGUUUUAUGUGUUUAUAUGUGUGUUUUGUGGUGGUUAAAUGUUGGAAAAUUUUUAAGAAUGAAAAUGGGGUGCUGGCCGGAUGAGGAAGCAAUUUUCCAGCUUUGUUACCGGUUGUUGUUUUGCAAUUUUUGCUUAGGUAAUGAACUGGAUUGCUUGUUAGGAGGAUAGACUGAUUAGUUGUGAUUGUUAUGGACUUAAAGUAUGAGUUAUAAGUUGAGAAUGGUUGAGCAAAAAGAGGAGCAAAUUUCUGCUCUGCUAUAGCCGCACAAACAGGCUUGAUUUUCUUCUUUUUUUUACCCAAUUUUUUUGAGCUGGAUUUUGUGAAGUUAUUGAGCUAUUUAAAUCAUGUAUAUGUUCACUUAUAUGUGUAGAGUAGUUUUGGUGAAAAUUCAGCUUUGGUACAAUGGGAAAUUUCAUUGAAAAAUCAAAGAGAAAAAAGCCCCUUGAGCUGUCCAAAAAAAAAAAAAAAAUUCUGGAAAUUUCCAGAUUUUUGGGCGAAUUUUGGGGUUUGGUUUUGACAAGUUUUUGAACCAUUUGAGCUGUAAACAUGUUAACCUAUAUGUGAAGUAUUGUUUGGGUAAAAAUGUAGCUUUUGAGUAAUUGAAAAAUUUUGGACAAAUUGAAGAGAAAAUGGUCUGCUUGUACCAAAUGCACUUGGAAAUUUUUCCAGCUUUGCAUGAGACAUGUUGAAUGAUUUUCACGUUAACAUGAACCCAAUUUGACUUGUGUUUAGUUAAGGGGUGUGUAUAGCUCAAUUUGGGACAAAAAUCUAGUAGAGUUUACGUCCAAAAAGUGGACCAAAAUUUUAUUCUUCACGAGGCUACCCAAAACAGAAAUUUUGUUUGAAAUUAGAAAUGAUUUUGACGUUUGGAUUUCGUUUUGGUUAAAUGUGGACUAAAUUGUCCCGAAAAUGUUUUCUAGCAUUAACCUUUGUUACUAGGUCCACUUCGAGUCAAUAACCUUGAAUUUUAUUAGACCAAAUGCCCUAUUUCGAGAAAUAUGCCAAAUUUGGAAAUUUCCUUGAAAACUCAAGUUUUUGCCUUCAUGAAAAUCCUUGAACCAAGUUGGUCAAUGGAAUUUGGCAAACUUAAGGAGUUUCUAUUUUAUAGAAAUUCCAACGACUAGUUUUACUUGGUUUAUAUGAUUUCCUCUUAAAGGAAUUUUCCAAGAUAUUUUUGGGGAAAAUUAGAGGGGAAAAUUCCUCUAAAUGGUUAAAUGUGAUUUUUCUCAACUUGUGACACCAAAGUGGUGUUAAUUGCUUAUAUGACUCUAGAACUUGGUUAUUGGAAUAUUUGACGAAUUUAGCAAGUUUUUGGUUUUAAAGAAAUCUCAAAAUUUAAUUUCACUCGAAAUUCGUGGAUUUCACCUUAAGAAAACGAUUAGUGCUAGUUUGGGAUUUUUGAGUGAAAUUAAAUGCUAGUUGACUCGAGUUAAAUUCGCCAAAUCAAAAGUGGAAAUUUAUGUGAAUUAUUUGUAUGAUUUUAGGAGUUGGUGAAGAGCACAAUCUCGAUCAAAGUUUGGAAUUCUAGACUCUUCACUUGAGGUGAGUGUCUCUUGCAUGAAUCGUGUUUAACUGCUAGUUGAACUACUUGUUAAAAGUACUUGCUAGAGAUAUCAUGAAAUGUUAUAUGCUAUGUGAUUGCGUGAAAUGCCACAAGUACAAGUGUUGCAAUGUCGAUUGGAGCGUGGUCUCGUCGACUAAAUAAACCAAACGGAUGCACAUACCACGCUCUAUUAGAGUGGGAGGUACCUCUCUGCCGUCUUGGUAAAAGUGCUUGCAAAAUUCGUGUUGGAGUCGGGCCCGAAAAUAAGGAGGAAGUCGUUGCUAGGAGACGUGUAGAUUAGGGAAAUGUCUACAUGGAGAUUAGAUAGUGAAAGUUGACGGAGUGUCAACUACUAUAAAUUACCUGAUCAAGCGCGAGGACUUUGGCUCCUGAGAGCCCCGUAUCCUUUUCUUGUCAUGUUACUUCGAUUUUCUAAAUUGUUAAUUGCUUACUUGUCCAUUUGUACUUGUUAAAUUGCCCUAUGUGAAUUGCAUGUUUCGAGGCACCAUUGAGCUAUUGGCUCAUCCCUUCCAAUUUGUUUUCCUUGACAGGUUCUGAGUUGCAUGAAGUCUUGGAGAACUAGAAAAGAAAUGUUAUAUUUUGAAUGCCCACUUUUGUAUAUGUACUUUGGGAAAACUUUAGUAUCUUUUGGAUGACUUUUGUGUCUUUGGGAAAAUGUGAAUCCUGUGGUGCUUCUGUGCCCUGGAUUAGGAAUUUUAAAUUGUAAAUUAAGUUGAAUUUAAGUAUUUUAAGUUAGACAUUUUCUUUGAUGCUUGAAAUUGUACUUUUGGACAGAGUAAGUUGAAUGGUACGGUUUGUUUAAGUACUUGGCUUAUGCGAGAAGUAAAGUUUAUUUACGAAUUAUAUUUGAUGAUGUUAGAUGAUUGAGUGAGUGAGUCCCGGCGAGAGCUGGGCAGGCGACUCGCCGAACCCUCUGGUUCGCCUUAGGGGGAGGUGGGGCCGCCACAUAGUAUAUACAGUAUGGUUGAUUCGGAAGUUCUUUGGUACACUAAACAACAAAUGAUCAAACAUCCGAGUUCAUCAAUUUCCCAAAUACCAACCAUGAAUAUGUGCAAUUUCAGAACUGAACUCAAAAAACCUUCCUCACCACGGACCACUACAUAUGCACAUCUACUUCUGAUUGAGGGAAUACUACAUCAACAGCGUCAAUAUAGAAAUGAACAUGCUCAUCUACCUCGAGUUCAAGACUUUCGCCUAAUUCAAUGAUGGAAACAAAACAAGAUUCCUUCUUCAUCUCCUUCCUAUAAAGAAGUAUCAUCUUCCUUCUUCCCCUCCCGAAGAGGGGCAGCAGAAUGCUCCUCCUCAAGCGGUGAAGUGGUGAACACUCAACCUAGCACAAUGUGGUGGUUUUUGCCCCACAGUUGCGAGCCAAAGGGUAGCAUUGGACUAUGACCAUGAUAUUGAGAAGGAAAAUAAUGGUCAGGCAAUCCCUCAACUUUACUAUAGAAUGGAGCAGGUCCUUCAAAUAAACUCUUGUCAAAUACGCGGUAGCCAAAAACACUGAUGCCGAAAGUUUUGAACAAGUAAUUCCAUUCCACACAAAAGGGAUAAUAAUGAACCAAUCACGAUUGUCGACAAACCUUGAACACUUUGUCAACCUCUGAAUCGUAACACACAACAGCAACUUGAUCACCAGCACCGAUAGGAAACAGGACGUAGUGCUGAGAGUCAACUUUUUGAUCCAAGGGAGGGACGGAGAGAUCCUUCAAUGGGAGGUUCACCAACAGGAAAUUUACAACUUAGAGGAUGCUGCUAGGGUUGGCUAAAUGACUGAUCCAAAUACUUGCCCCAUGGAUUGCCUACCUCAUUUCCUAAGGACAGAGAUUCUGCUACCCCUGAUUGCUUGGUGAGUGGGCAAAAAUCUCCGUGUGCAAUCAAGGAAGGACCUUUGAAUCACCCAUUCUCAAGCUUGGAAGGGCUUGGAGGCGUCGUAAAAGUAAACUGUGCAAUCCUCUUAAUCGUCAGGCUUCAUGACAUAAUUAGAACCAUCUUCAGCAGGGUGAAAAUUGAAUCCUACUAGACCAUAAAUUAGGGAUCCACAGGAACCAAAAGUUACCUCUAAGCCUAAAACUGGCAUUUAAUUCUCGAUUUUCCGAGCGCGGAGUUUACCACCACCAGCGGUCUGUGAUAAGUUGACUACAUACCAAACCAACUCAAAUUCUCUGCCAAACCGACUACAUACCAAAAUUGGUACAUAGUUUAAGUCCUUCAAUUUUUUGGUCAAACUUAUGUUUUAAUCCUUUGUGAAUAGAGGAAGCACAAUCAUAUUUUUUUUUACUUUUCAAGUUAAUUAAUGAACAAUAUGUCCUCUACUCUUAGUGCAUUUUGAUACUUAUUUUCUAAACAUGAUUUCUGUAAUUUUGAUACUCAUAGAUAACUAAAUAAUCAAGCCCUAGCUAGCUGAAUGUACCGUGUGAUCCAAGAUAUUUUGCUCCAUUAUCUACCUUAAUGGGGAAGUUAAGACACCAUAAUAUCUACAUGUUUUUAUUGUAAGAACCAAAUUACAAUAUCUUUCUUAUUCUUUCAUCACUUUUGUGAUAAAGAAAAGAAUUGUUUGUUGUUCUUCUCCAGUUCUAACACUGUACAACAAAAUAGGGCUGUUGAAAGAAACAAUAGACAGUAAAAUAACACAAGUUCUUAAAACUUGUACGACUUUUUUAGAGUACAUUCUGUUCAUGCAAUCACAAUUAAUUUUCUAAUGAAAUGAAGCUAUCUGUUAGUUUUUUAGAGGGAAAUCCCAUUUCAUCUUUUCUCUGCCUUCUAAUAUUUUGGAUUGCACAAUUUUUCUCCAGCAAUUCUUUGUAACUUGCAAUCCACCAAAUCUUGCCUUGAACUCUACUCUUGUAUUAAGAAGCCAAAACUUUCACAGAUACACACCUCUCACAUAAACUAUUUGUAGCAAACUGGGUGGGUACACAGAAAAUUUUGCUAAAGGUUUUUUUUUUUUCAAGAAGAGGGGGGGUGGGUGGUUGAGAGUUUAUGCGUAUGGGCAGUAAUAGAGCCUUACACAAACUCAAACUAGCCUAAAUAAGUAUGUCACAGGGAUGGAGCUACCAUAAGGUAUUUUCUUUACCUUCCCCUUCUAUUAACUUCUCAUUCCCUUUCUUUAUAGUAACAUAUUUUUUUUUUAACUAAACUUGUUCUUAUUAUUUCAUGCAUAUAAGUCAUAUUACCUAUUCUUCAGACAAAUCCCCAGCCUCUUCAUUUUCUUUGUAGAUUUACAGGUACUUGUAUAUAUAUAUAUAUUUGAGGGAUUUGCAGGUAGCUAUACAUUAUAAUUUGCAUUAUCUGUAGAAGCAUGUGUAUAAACUAAAAUACCAAACUUAAACUAUUACCAGGUUCUCCAAAGUCAUCGGCCGCAUCUUUCCUCUCCAUAUUGCUGCCAAGUUCCUCAUCCGUACUUACUGAUAUUCUCAUCCUUUUAGCUGACAUAUUCGCAUCCAAACUUUCAAAACCUUCAGCAUUUAGACCACUCAAAGAUCUGAAAUACUGCAAAGAGUAUUUAACCAUAUAACUGGUCAACAUCUCACAAAACAUAAAUGUGACUUAACUUGAAUUAACCUAUAUAGCUUUACAUACACAACACAUGUAAGCAAAUGUACUGCAGCUAGGUAACAAGACACUAAACUGAUUAAUACACUUUACACCCUCUAGAUGCAAGCAGGCUUUCCCACUGAGAUACUUCAUAUAUAUGAAAUUGGAUGAACCGAUCAGAUCAACUAAACCCCAAAAAAAAGUAUGAUGGUGAAAAAUAUCAUUCAUGCUGAUUCUGCACAAGUUUAGUUGCAUAAGUAUAUAAAAGCCAAUGGCAAUUGUCUUCAAUAAUUGGAUUUCAUUUAACUGCAAUUUCUCUACUAACAAUCACAUCAAACAAUUAUGUCAGAAUUGCUCCCAAACUCGAGUAUUCUGCCACUAGACCAUCUGUUGUACAAUCAAUUUCUGAUUUAUCCUUGUGCUAAUUGUCACUCUUUUAAACAAGAUUUCAUAAAUUACUACAGCUAUUAAAAUGGAACCUAAUUAGAAAAAAAGUUCUAAUGCAAGAUGCAUUGUUCUAAAAUCAAAAGUGCUAAAAGUCAAUCAGAUUUUGUACAAAUUAAUGGAAAAAAAACCAUAAAGAAUGAUGAUAGAUCACCAUCAGCUAGACCAGACGCUAUUUUUCCGCCAGUUUUCAUGAGAAAACCAUUUACCAAGAAUAGCCAAGCAUAAAAAAUUCACCAAUGAGUAACUUUAACUCAUUCAUGGAUGGCCUAACAAACCAGGGUGUCUGGGUACGUGUACGGUGGAAGAUGCAGAAUGUACUGGGCUUCAGCUGCAGGGACCAGAAUAUCUUAUGGUAGGAACUUGGGGCAAAGAACCCCAACAUUUCAAUUAAGAGCCCUUCCAUCAAAGUCAAUGUAUAAGCCCAGGGUCCCAAACAACGGCCGAAGUGUUCUCCACUGCCAGUUUGUCAAACACUCUAAAACACGUAAAUACCUAUAAGCUACUAAAGCACCACAAAUUUUAAGUCUACUGAAAUACGUAAAACUUCAACUUCUAAUGAAUACCUCAAGAUCCUAAAAAGGUUACCCAUUGUUCGAAGUAGGUAAACUCAAUAUUCAGCCAAGUUCCCGUGAUUGUGUAGAUCUAAUCUUCCCUUAAACUCUUUAUUGGUUACAUCAGUCGUGAAUAGAAUGUCCUAAGAAAACAUUCAGUUUGAAGCCCUAAGAAAACAUUCAGCACACACAGCUUUUAUAAAAACUCCAUUAAGUCAAAAGAAUAGAAUGCCGCAAACACUAGAUGCACACCUUCCCAUUCUCCUAGUCGGUUCACUCUUUGCCUCCCUUUUGCAACACAUAAAGGUCCAAAAAAUAAAAAUGAUACAAGCUUUGCAAAGGACUUCAAAUAUAACUGAAACUCAUUCAUUUCUUUCACAUGGUAAUAAGCCUCAGCAAUGCUUGGCUUCUGGUGUAAAUAUAUCCAAAAACAAUUCCUAAAUCAUCUGCCACAAGUUUUUAAGCUAACUCUAAAUCAUCCACCUAUUAUUUGGUUCCUUAUAGCCCUAGAAUAGUGCAACAUCUCAUGCUUAUACAAGCUCCUUUAAGUAUGAACAAAAGACAAUCAUCCAAAGCUGCUGCAACGAAGAAUGCCUUUCUAUUGUUAAAAGCAAAAAUGAUGCUUACAUAUCUACUUCUCAAGAGCUCAUGCUACAUGACUGGCAAUCAGUGGAGUAUAUAAUACAUGCACGUGAUAUCUGAUGACUCAAAUCACUUACAAAAUUGAACUCAACGUUUUCUCCUCCAAGAAUUAUGAUCACUUAAGACCAUGUCAUUCUCUAGAGAAAUAUAAUCAUACCCUUAUUAAUUUGCUUUUAUAUUUAUAAAUUUUUUCUUACAGUAGAAAAUAUUGCAUAUCUUAUAUCUAUUGUUUUUGUUUUAUUUUCAAAGAAAACAAUGCAAAGCUUCCAUAUUAGUAAGGUGAAUUUCUUCUUAACCGAAAUGAGUUGUGUACAAGCUUAAGCUAACUAUGUAUCCAUAAGCCUCUCCAAAUUUGAGGAAAAUGGUAACUAAUUCAUAUAUAUACACUGGAAAGAUAUGGGUAAUAAAGAACUUAACCAGUGUUGCAUUUUGGAUGAUGAAUCAUGUCAGUUAGUCAAGAAGGCACAGCAGACUUAAAUGGAGUCAUUUGAUUGAACCAAGUGACAAAUGACAGAGUGAGCAAUGCAAGGGGAAUAAGACAUGUAAACAAGGAAUAAACCAUAUUAAUCUGUGACCUAACGAUGCACUAAUUACAAAUAAAUGGAUGAAGUGGAAGAUCAUAAGCAAAAAAAUUUCAAGCCAGUUACUAGACUCAGAUGUUAAUAACCUAUUGGCAGGAUGAUUGACAUCUUGUCCUUUCGUUUGUCUGCCAACUGAAAUCUUAAUCAAGUUUAGAACCCAAAAAUCAUAACAGAAGGAAACUGUGUCGACUGCAUUAUUUUCUCAGUUUUCUCUCAAAUGAAGGCUAUUAGCAUUACACUUCAGUUCCAAACACUUCUCACAUUUAAAAUAGUAAACAACUUUAAAUUGUUUGUUUUUCCCCCCUCCUUAAUACCUAACACAUUCGAACAACACAAUAUGUCUGUGCCUACCUGCUGCAUAGCUCACCCACUUCGCCAAACUUCAUAAGUUUUAUCUAUUAGUUGCCAUCCCAUUUGCUGUUUACUUAUGCUUGAUAAUUCAAUAUCUCUUUGUUUAGAAACCAAUUCCAUAACACUGCUGCUUUUCAUCUUACACCAAAACAUUUACAGCUGCAAACAGUGGCGGAACUAGGAAUUAACUUUGGGGGGGCGAGUCUAUAGCAAUGAAAGUAAAAUAUAUUUACAAAAAAAACAAUGUGAACAUAUAUACCACAAGAUUAGAAACAACCUUAUAUAGAAUGAAAAUUACUUAUACGCUUCACAUAUACAAAAAUAUCAUCAUAUUUACAAAUCUGUUUGACUGUGUGGGACAUAUGAAAUUGUGCACGACGACUUUUAAUUUUAUCAAAGUCAUCAAUGAUUGAAUUUAUAUCAAAAGUUCUAGCAAUUUCUUUCUCAAUAUACAUUAUCAUAGAGUUGGCAAGAAAGUCUUCCUUCAUCCUAGAACGCAAACAGGUGUUGAUGAUUUUCAUAGCAGAAAAUGCAUGCUCUGUUGUGGCUGUUGAAACAGGAAGAGUCAAAAUAAGACGAAUCAAUCUAUUAAUAAGAGUAUAGCACAUUGACUUUCUUGUCUUUGCUAACACUUGGCACAACUCCUGAAGUGAUGACAAAUUUUGAAACUGAGAAUUACAGGAAAGCUCAAUCUGGAAAAGCUCUAAUUGAGUUCUUAAGUGUAACUUCUCUUGAUCUGUGAAGUCAGCUAAAUAAAACUUGUUUGCAAGUUGACAAAUUUGUUCAAUAUUGAAAGCCUGAAAAUUAUCUUUGGGAUGCAAUGCUGAACUAAGAAUAAGCAACUCUAUUACAUCUUCCUUAAACCUAUUCUUCAUUUCAAGUAUUUGAGAAUCAACCGUUGCCAAAAACACAUCAAUCCUGUAGUGAUGCUCCAUGGUAAUUGGAUCAUUUUGUUUUCGAAUUCUUCCUCGACCUGCUUUAUAAAUGACAUUCAUACCAGGCAUCUCUUUAUUUCGUGCAUCACAAAAUGUCUUUACAUUGGUGAACAACUCAUUCCAUCCAUUAUCUCUGCAACUUUGAAGUCGAUCAUUUGUUACUGAAACCAACUUAAGGGCAUUCAAAAUAUCUUGAGAUUUGCAUUGUAAAGAUUGAGAAAGUACUUGUGCAAAUCCUAAAAUGUCCCUCAUCAUAUGCAUAACAAGAACAAAAUCAAAGGAUGUCAUGAAAUCGUAAACUCUGUCAGCUUCAUUUCUUUGAGUUGAUGUAUUUCCAUAAUUGAUAACAUCAAUUAGGAUAGAGCAAAUGUCUUCAUAUUCUGUGAAUAAGCUACAGAUAGAACUAAAAUGAGACCCCCAUCUUGUAGUCCCUGGCCGUUUUAAGAUACCAAUCUGAUUCAAGUUCAUCAAUAGCAAUCAAUUCAGCAAUUCUAGCAGUUCUAGCAACUCUAAGUUGGUCCACCCAUUUGCAAGAAGAUGAAAUUAAAUUUAUAAGAAGAGAUAAGUAUGUAAAGAAUUGUUCCACAGGAAUUACCUCUUGAGAUGUUGCUACCAAUGUUAAUUGCAGUCGAUGAGCAAAACAGUGAAUAUAAUAUGUAUAGGGGCACUCUUGAAUAAAUAAUACUUGCAGUCCAUUCCAUUCUCCACGCAUGUUACUAGCUCCAUCAUAUUCUUGGCCACGAAUGUUUUGCACACUAAGAUUAUGACGAGAAAGGACAUCACAUAACUCCUUCUUCAAAGUCAAGGAAUUGGUUUCGUGCACAUGAACAAUGUCAAAAAAUCUCUCUCGAAUAUAGCCUUGCUUGUCCACAAAUCUAAAAACAAUAGCCAUUUGCUCUCUUUUUGAUCUAUCUUGAGCCUCAUCAACAAGUAUAGAAAAUUUUGAAUCACUAAUCUCCUCUCGAAUAUACUUUUGUAUCUUGCUCGACCAAAUGGACAAUAUCUCCUUUUGGAUCGCAGGAGAAGUAUAAGAUGCAUUUUGAGGAGCAUUAUCAAGGACUACAGCAGCCGCUUUUUCAUUAUAAGAAGACACAUGCUUGAUCAACUCAAUAAAAUUACCUCGAUUGUUAGAAUCUAAACUUUCAUCAUGACCCCUAAAAGCCACCGCUUGAAAUGCACACCAUUUUGCAGCAUCUAUGAAAACUUGAAGGUGCAACUGAUUUUUUGCAACCUACUCAGAAUUUUGCUUCUCAAUAAUUUUAUCAAGAUGUUGCAAUGAGUUUCCCAAAUCAUGAUAGCAUUGCAUUGCCACUUUGUGUGAUGAGUUAGGAUCUUUUCCAAUGUGAUUUAAAAAAGAACAAUUUUUUCCAUCAUUUACCUUCUUCCAUGAUCUAAAUCCACUAGUUGUGAAGGCCAUUGAUCCAAAACGGUCCGUUGGCUUGGAAAAAAGUGAGCAAGGAAAACAAAAGGCAGCAUUCUUUGUUGGAGAAAAUUCCAACCAAUCUGGAAACAAUUUAUACCAAGAGAAAAGGAAACGUCGGCCCUUCUUGUCAACAACCAUUGAUUCAAUCGGAAGCUCAGGUUGGUAUGGCCCAAACUUAAUAUAUGCUCUCCGUACCUCAUCCCUUUGAUGCUCUAGAUAUUCCCAAAUGGAUUUUCGCUUUCCAGGAUCACGUUCUAUGGAUGAAAAAAGAAUCAAUUGUCCUAUUGGCCAUUACCACUACAUUUGUAACAAAACAACAACCUGUAAUAGAAAUAAAAUUGAUUGAGAAAUGCUGGUUAUGGCCUAGAGAGAUGGGAAUUUGACCAAUGCAAAAGACUGGUUUCCCUAAUUCCCUUACAAAUUUCGGCCAUUCAGCCUGACUGAAAAGUCCGGCCAUCACCCAAGGAAGCCAACAGGAUCCUUAAAAUAAAAUUAGUAUGAAAAUUGGAAAAGAAAACCACUCUCAGAAUCAACUAAAAUAAAUGCUUAUCACCCAAAUUCAGAAGGCCAAGUACGAAAAACAAUAGAAGUCCCUCUCGAGCAAUUCAUCAAACAACGGGCGGGCGAACUUUUUACACCCACAUUUCACUAAAUAAAUGCAAUGUCAAACUAACCUGGUAAAUGGUAAUAGCUACAAUAGUCUGAAAUGGUAUUGAUGAUCAGUGUUAGUUUAUCUGGCAUUGCAACUUACAGGUCAAUUUAAGCAACCAAUGCCUAAUUCAUUAACCUGCUCUGAUGAUACAAUAAUAUGAAACAACCCCUUUACUUCCUGAAAAAAAAAGACACGUUCAGCAAAUGCUAAAAGAAAAAUUACCUAGACCAUGCAAAAUGCAAUGGUACAAUCCUUAGUCAUGUGCGAGGGAAGGUCUUCACAGGAGAAGAUCAAUUCCAGUAAUUAAUGAUGUAUCGUUUGAGCAGAUUUGAUACAUCUCUGCGGAACAAGGUGAGAAGAUUUUGACGUUUCUACUUUCUAGGAAGAAGAACUGUAGCAGAGUCAAUAGCCAGGUUAACUAGCUAUCUUUUCUUUGUACUUGUAUGAAGUCCGUUAAGAAAAGUGGCAAUUCUCUGUUAUUUGGACCAAAUCCAAAUAACUUUCAAACAUUAUUGUUUGGGCCCUUGGGGGGGCAAAGUGAAUUUUUUGAUCAAUUUUUGGGGGGGGCAAAACAUAAUAAUAAAUUUUUUUUUACUUAGAAAUUUUUUUUUAACAAUUGGGGGGGGGGGGCGGUUGCCCCCCUAGCCCCCCUUCUCUCCGCCCCUGGCUGCAAACACAUUAUACAGGCAAUUCAAGUCCAAUAUAGUCUCGUUCACUUACAAAUAUCCCAAGUUACCAAACUUGGCCAGAAAUUAAGAAUCCCACAAAACCAACUUCAGUAAUCCAAUUCAACUGUCCUGAUUCUUAAGUCAGCAUGAAUUUUCUUUAUGUCUAAAAUUUCCUUAUUUUGGCAUUGAAAACUGGAAAGAACUAAGAUAGCAGAAGUUAUUACCCUUUCAAGAAUUGAAGUGGCUUCUUUUGUUGUACUCUUUUCCCUCUCCGCUAACAAAGAAAACAUUUUUUCUUUCCAAUCACCAUAUUGCCCAUACUAACCCAAAUAAUGAAAUUCAAAAUUUUCAAAAACCCAGAUGCAAAUUCCAUAAAUAAAUGCGAAUGAAGUAUGAAAAUAACAAAACAGAAAAUUAAAGAAAAACUUUCUACAUAGGAGGGACGGGAAGAGAGGCCUUACUGAUGGGGCAGGAGAUAGGAAGCCGGAGUGGGAAUGAUUGAGGAGAGAAGAAGGGGCGUUGUAGUCAAAACGAUGAAUUCUGAUCAUUCAUAGUAGAGUUCUGCUCUCAGGACUUCAGCUCCUUCUUGGUUUUCAGUUUCACUCUCACUGCUUCUUCUGCUCCUCUGUGUUGUCCGAAGCUUUUCAGCAAUUUUUAUGAGUCUACAGGCCAGGGUAUGUUUCAUUUCCAGUAUUUAUCUCACCCCCCGGGCCCCCUUCAAAUUUGGGUAUAAACGAGUUUUUAUAAGACAAGUUUUUUGUCAAGUUUGUCUGCUACAAGUUUUUUAAAAACUUUAGUUACAGUAAUUUCAAAAAUUUUUAAACUAUACACUUCAAAAUAUUCAAAACAAACACACUUCAAAAAUUUUUUUAAAAACUUCUACAGUAAGUUACAGUAAAGUUUUAGACAAAUACCCAAAAAACUCACUUGCCAAACGGGGUCUAAAGUUUACUAAAAGCAUACUACUGUUUAAUUCUUAAAUUUUUUAGCCAAGUUCUAACCCUAAAGAAUUCCUUACUCAGCAUUAGCAUAAGCAGGGAUCUUUUCGGUUUAUUCUUCGCAUGAAGCAAUUUUAUUUGUUUGGUUGAAGGUAGAUUUUAAAUCUUUAAAGGGCGGGAGAGGAGUGGUGGGAAUAGGGGGAUAGCAAAUGAGUCAAAUAAAAAACUCUUAAAAUCUCCUGGGAAGAGGGAUGGGUUGGAGGAAACUUCACUCAUCUCUAGUAAAUUCUUUUUCUAUUUUUCGUAGUGCAUAUCUGAAUGCACGACACGCGUUUUUAUUUAUUAACAAGGGUUAGGAUUAGUCAAAUUUAAAAUAAUCAUGUUUCAGUCUAUUAAAUGAAAACAUAUGUUAUACAUCCAGUUAUGUAUUGUGAAAAAUGGAGAGAGAUUCCACUAAAGGGAAGUCAAAUCUAGUACAAAGAAGGGAGUAUAAAUGAGAUAUUUUGAGUUCGAAACUUUCCACUUACAUUUAAAAAAUUCCUUAAAGUCACCCAAUUGAUAGGUUGCAAUUUUUGUUAUUAAAUUUAUGAAUGUUCUCCCCUUGUUUUUAGUCAAAUAUUGCAUUAAUUGGUUGAUUCUACUUAUAUUUAGUAAUUGGUUAUGGUUGUAGGGAUCUAAAGUAAAAAGAAAUUAAAAAUGUAAUUAUUAAUGGAACUUCUAUUCAAAUUAGCAUGGACCCAUCAAAGUCUAACUUUGUAUAUUUGGAAAGUUUGGAAUUUGACACGUGGUCUCUAAUUUUAAAUUGAAGUCGCAAUAAUCAAACUUUUGACCAAUAGAUAGUCUUUCUAUUUUUAUUAGGGGGAAAAUGGCCAAUUUCGUCCCUAUACUUUUUUAUAGUGUCAAUUCAGUUCCUAUAUAAUUUUUUUGGCCAAUUUGAUACCUAUACUUAUUUUGCGGUACCAAUUGAGGAACGCCGCAGUGGCUUCACCAUGUAAAUUCGAUUAACCUAUUAAUUGAGCAACUAAGCAGGGGUAUUUCGGGCACUUCACUGCUUCUUCAUUUUUCACCUUUUCUUCUUCAUCUUGCUUAUCACCAUCCACAGAAGCCAUAGCCGGAGUAGCAGAUCCGUCUCACUCCAACUCGAGGAAAGAUGCCGGUGACGUACGCGAGACCAGGCUUUCAGUAGAGUCCUCAAAUACACAAGAAGGAAUGUCAUUUUCAUUAUGUGGCUGGGAAACCGCCAUUGAGCUAGACUGAUUAUUAUAUUCAUGAUUGACAUUAGAACACUUCUCAGAUGCAUUUUGAUCAACCAUGGCCCUAGCUUCAAAUUCAAGUCAUUUUGCUUCAUAGGCUCUUGAAGCUUCCUUUACAAAUGACGUGCUCAGGGUAUACAUAUAAUAUUAAGCUCAUCUAAUCAAGUUUUACAUUUACAAACUCCUAAAUACCCCACAUGCGAUUUAUCGCAAGUAUACGAAUCGUGAGCGAGUAUAGGGUAUUAAGGGUCGAUCCCACAAGGAAGAUUGCAAUUACCGGCACUACUAUAGCUUCUCUAUUAUUUAGACUAUCAGUGAAUUAUAACAAAUUAAACCUACUGAAAUUAUACAAAAUAACAAAUGAAAGCUCCUUACGUUGUGGUAUCCCUAACUACUCAUGCAAGUGCUAUAUUUAGAUCAUUGAGUACUACUAUCAAGGCUAGUUAUGGUGUAAUUUGCUUAAACAUGUGAAACCUACUUUCGAAGUGAAUCAACUAUACUUAUAACUAAUCCAUACAUAUUCUCAUGGUUAUGAAAUUAGCUACAAGUUCAUUUCUUCAGUGAAAUUACAUGAAAUCAAUCACUAAAACCACAUAGAUGCACCUCUACUUUCGUGAGUGUACUCCCUAUGUUUAGCACUUCUUGAACUAGUGAUAAAUCUCAACUUUCAUUGCAGAAACAACACCUUAGAUAAUCACAAUUAAUGGUACCAGAUUAAUCAUGAUUUAAAGAGCCAAAGUGCUAAAUAACUUGCUCAAAUCAUAGCAAUCAAAUAACCAAAUAAUAAACACUAACAAUCAUAGAAAGUUCAACCAAACUCAAGGCAUAAACUUUAAAGAUACAUAUUAAACACAAAAUCCAGAACUUGUAUAUUAACCAAACUUAAGAAUUUGAUACAAAAGAUAAAGAGUUGGAGAAGAGAUAACCCAUGUCACUUGAGUUUCAACUCCUCCAUCUUCAUCUUCAUCUCCAUAUUCAUCCUAAUCUAGCCAAGACACAAGAAUGGAUGAUCUAUACCACUCUACACUAAGCUAAACUAACACUGACAGGUGCCGAACCUGUGCAAUAAUAAUUACUUAAAAGUCCUAACUACCACCACAAUUAAUUAUAGAGCAAAUCCAAGUACUAGAGCAGGGACCCUAGGUGUGCAAUGGGUUACUUGAUUCACCCUGUUCCCGAAGAGUUUGUUUGAUCCGAUAUACCAGAUUUGUCUAUACAAAUAUUAAUUUUGCGUACAAUGGCAAGUAGGGUCGAUUCCACAGGGAGCGGAUAGGAAAUUAUUUCUUUCCAAACCAAUAGAAUAAAUUGGGGGAUUUUUAAUGGGAGGCAAAUAAAAAAAAAUAAGAAUAAAAAUAAAGCAAACUAAGUUCGAAACUAAUUCACAAAGCACAAGUUAAUAAAAGUAGCAAUUAAUAAAAUUCUACCCAAAGGAUCAACUGCUCAGGUACGGUCCAAUUAAAUGAUCAUCGAUGCAAAGAUAUUUCAUCCAUUCAUCAUUAGGUUGGUUAUAGUUAUCAACAAGCUCUAACAACCAGUUCUUCCUUACCUUUUCGACAGUCAAGGUACGACCAUUGACUGCUUCUCUAACCAGAUAACAACUCUAGGUACGACCGUAGGAAUUUAAUUACCCAAUUGCAUUAAAGUUAGAAGAACCCAACCCUAACUAAUAAACACGCUAAGAGGAUUUAUUUAAGUUAGAUCUUACGUUUUCCCAACAUAAAGCCAAUUAUGGUGGUUGUCACUAGGUAUCAACUAAACGAACAAUUACGGAUUCAAUUUAGUUAAUGUGACAGUAGGCUAUUAAAUUAAAUCAAAUACCCGGCCGUUGAUAUUCAAUUAAUAAAAUACCCAUGAACAAUUAAGCCAGGAAACGCACGAAUAGCAGUAAAUUGGAAGAAAUAAUGAAGAUUCGAUUAGAUCUCACAGAUAUUAUGGACCGCGCCCUCACGUCAACCUUUGGGUAGAGGAGAAAAUUAGCCGCUCCUCAUCGCGUCAAUCCCGCGUGAUUUAAUUGAGUUCAUUCAAUUAACUGCCGAAGAAUUGGGAAGGUAAUUAUUUGAAGGAACAACCGAGGGGGCCCUGAUUUCGCAUUCGUUUUGGAGCCGCAAUCUCAAAGCAGAGAGCCACGAAGAAUUGUCACAGGCGGAAGGAACGAAUUCAAGAGUCAGAGUCGCAUAAAGCCAAAAACUACAGAAAAGAAGAAAGUCUCCAAUGUCUGACCCAAAGCCGCAGAAGAAACAAAAGAAAAACGUCUAACCCCAAAAAUUGCAAAAAGUAAAACUAAAGCUAAAAGAAGUGAUCCCCCCGAAUCUUGCUUUUUCCUUCUUUUUAUAUCCGCCGUCAGUAGUAUUCCUCCCAGGAGGAGGCUUUUGCCAAAGGGGCGCUGAUCCCACGCUUCAGGUUCACGUGGACCGAGGUCCGGCUUUUCGGUAACGUCUACCUUGUCUGGCGUGGCCACGCCCUGAAAUGAAAGGUCUUCUGGAAAUUUACCUCGAGAUAUCAUUUUUAAUGCUAACCACCUACAAUUCACACAAAUAUAAAAAAUGAGCGAAAUUCCAUUUCUUAGCACCAUGAAUAGCCAAAAUUAGGACAAGAUGACAAUGCAAAAUGUGCCAAAUAACUGUUCUAUCAAAUCCCCCCACACCUAGACAAUACUUGCCCUCAAGCAUUUCGGAGCUCAGAAGUGCAACCGAGAGAGCAAAGGUCAUGCAAUAAACUAUACUAACACAAGCACCUCAGAUCCCUGACCGUGUCGCCAAAAUGAGAAUACACCGGACAGGUUGUAAGUCAAAGAAAAUAUAUGAAUACUAGGGACGCUCAAAUCAACAUCACGGAAUGCCAUUACCAUAGGCUUGCACAUUUAUCGCAUCUCCACCACUCAAAAGUAAACUAAAUACAUAAAUCAAAGGACUUCGAUAGGGUUGUAAUGGGGUUCAGGUGAAAGGUGGGAUAAGAAGGUAAAAAUAGGGGAUAAUGAGUCAAGAGAAUGUCCGAAACCCACCAUAUCAAACAAGGCAGUUUUCAUUUGCUGUACACACUGUGCAAGUGUCGCGAAUUUUUUUUUCUCUUUUUUUUUUCUUUUUUAGACGGCUUGCAAGGCGUGGGCACGCCUUGUAGGCUGGAGUCUUCUGUUCACAAGCCUCUUUUUUUUUUCCGAUCUCAGAUAUACAGGAACAUCACCAUACAGCAUCUACUCUGAAACACUUGCGACCAUAGAUUUAUUUGCCUUGUAUAAGUAAUGAAUUUUAGACAUACCUUUACAACACAGGGGUGAACAAGAAAGUCUAAAGAGGUCUUGGGUGCUCACAUAGAUGACAACAACUCGACGGAUACAAGCUCAAAUUGGUUCACUAUUGGAAGAUAGGAUGGGGGCUUGAUUUUGAGACAGCUAAAGAGGGUUGAAUCCUAAAUGCCCUCUUCAUUUUCAAUGCAUCUAGUUCAACAAAAUAUAGCCUUGACAUGCAUAAAAUAGCAAAUUCUAGAAUGCCAAUACCAUGUGUGAUACCCACUCAAUCAAACAAAAAUAAAGCAAAUAAGAAUAGUGUGCUCAUACAUGGCUCAAAAGCUCACAAGAGUUUCCAAGAAUGGGUCAAGUCCCGUAUACUCAAUAUCUAACAACACAGUCAAGGGAAGACAAAAAUGCAUAGCUAGUAUAAUUAACCACACACCCAAGCACUGUGAUUGUAAAAUUCAUCAUAGCAAACAAAAAGUCAACUAACUACCCCCCUUUUCUUUUUUUUUCUUUUUUUUUUUUUGUAGAGAGAAAUAAUAGAAACCAUCCCCCCCACACCUAAAACCUACAUUGCCCCCAAUGUAGCAAGGAUAAAUAAAGUGCAAAGAAAAAUGGAGCAAAACUUCCCUGACUACUGGGGCGGUGCAGCGAGAGCCUAAGGAGGCGGAGGAUGUGGUGGUCGGAAUCCAAUAUGAGCAUAGAAAGCCGCUUGAUUCUCUGUCUGAAUACGGGCGAAUACCUGUAGUGCUCUAAGACGGUCCUCUAGUCCAUCAACUCGCCCCCCUAGCGCAUGGAUAGACUCAUGGAGAGAGUGAUAUUGGGACUCCCAAGCAGGGGGAGCAUGAUAGGAGGACGGACCCGCCUGAUCCGGAUGGGGUGGAGAGUCAGUGGAGGGUGCAGUUGGAGGCACCCGAGGUCGUGGCCCGCCCUCGCCAGGGGGCGUAAAUUGAUAGGCAUCCCCCACCUUGAAAAUAAUCCCCAUCCGCUCCAAACUGCGCAAAUCCAGAGGCUCAAUUUCCCGAGCUAGAGCGAAGUUGUGCGGUUUGUCGAGGUCAAGCAAACCCAAUCGAAUGGCCAAGUGGGUAAUGAGUGAGCCCACAAUGAUCGGUUUAUUGCGCUUCUGGAUGACUGUUUGCAUUUGAGUGGCUACCCAACAUCCAAAAUUAACCGGAACAUUGUUGCGCAUGCACCAAAGGAAAUAAAAUUCUGCCUUGGUAAGAGUGCCGGAAGAAUCUUUCCGCCCCGAGAAAUUGAUAGCCAGGAACCUGUGGAUGACCUUUAAGACCGGAUCCUUCAAAUGAGAGGCCUUGGACUGACUCGGAUUGUAAACUUGACGAUCUGUGGACCACUCCCUCCAAAUGUCAAUGUGGUCAGUCGAAAACGGUCGGGUGUAGUCACACGCACUGUUUAUAUAUGCUCCGGAAGCAAUGGUACCCUCACCAACAAACCCCAAAGUUAGAUUAAACUCAUUAAUGGACAUACCAUACUGGAUCCCUCUUAGUCGAAAUUUAACAAUCUCCGGCUCAUCCAGAGUGAUGAAUUCAUUGACGAUGAACUCGAAAGUGGAGAAGAAUUCACAACACAGCUCCUCAAACGUAGGGUAAUCAAUGGUCAGGUACUUCCCCCAACCUAUUGCCGAGAACAACUGUUCAACUUCUCGCGCAAUUUGCAAAUGGUCCAGGGUUGGAGCAUGGAAACACUUACAGGGGGCAAAAGGACGGUGGACCAAGUUAUUGAACCGGUCCUGUUGCGGCCUUGUAAGGUUAGUGACCGGUUCCCCCCAUUCCCCAGGAGACAUAGUGCUCUUAUUCAGACCCAAACGGGACCGAAUGGGGGGUUGAACCGGUGCUCGCCUCUUACGAGGUUGGGACCCAGAUGGCCCAGCAAUUGUUGCCUGUUUCGGGGGCAUUCGGAUACCACAGGCAAGGUGUAAAUCAGCCCAGAGACAGUUAAUCAAUUACCCAAAAGCAAACAGGGGACCACACUUAACAGUUAAUAUGCAACUACAGUCGUCUAAUAGCAAAGAGGGAACACAAUUACCUCAACAACCAACGACAAGUCAACAAACACAAGAAUUCCCUACUGGCGUCACGUGGUAGACAACAAUAAAGAAAACAGCACCAACACCUCAAAAAUUGCACUAGCAGUCAAUAAUAGUCAAUAUCAAAAACACCAGAGCCCACAAAUGUAUCCCAAAUUGAUAAUCAACAAAAGGCAGAUAUGACGUCUCCCACGUCCAGACAACAGUCAAAUGGUCCCCCAACCAAAAUCAACAGGUAUGUCAACCCGACAGGAGGCAAAAAUUUAGCAAUUAAAAGUCCCAAAUCGAAGUCAUUAAGUCAACAAGAGAGGCAAAUAGGGGUACCACUUUUACUCUUGGUCCACGCUGGAGAGGAAAAUGGCGGAGAAAAGAGAGCUGGUGGCUGGUCGGGUGCACGGGCUGAGCGUGGAACAGGCGCGGUGGUCGUGCGCAGGCAGGGGGUCGCGCGCGAGGGCACGCGCUGAGGACUCGCACACAGGCAGCUGGUCGCGCGCUUGGCUCACGGGCAGCCGUGCAGGAGGUAAUCAGCGCGCUGCUGGGGCUGCUCGCGCGCUGUGGAGGUCGCGCGCUUGGCUGAGCGUGCCUGUUGCUGAGGAGAGCAGGGGUUGUGCUGCGCAGGUAGCUGGAUCUGGGCGUAGGCGUACUGGGCUGCACAGGCGGGUGGUGGUACGACGCGAGAUGGGGGCCGCGCGGCGCUGAAGAGAGCAGAGGCGCGCGACGGCAGCAGCGGCGACGGCUUGACCAAAACAGGGAGAAGGAGUUGUUGCAGCGUAGCAAAAAGAAAUUUGGAGGAUAAAGGCCAAGACCGGUCAAAGAAGAAGGAAAAGUGGAAGAAGUAGGGUCUUGGUCAAUUUUUUUUUUUUUGACUUUCGCUAUCUGAAGGAUUAGAAGGCGUGGGCACGCCUUGGAGGACCUGGUCUUCUGACCAUCGCAUCCUAAUGAUACUCAAACGAAUUUUUUGUCAAGGCGCGGGCACGCCUUGGAACACCUAUUCUUCUGUCUAUCACUACAAAAACAAUCAAAACUGAAAAAUAAAACUGAAAAAUCGCGAAGUAAUGAAGAAUGAUCACAACUAAUACUGUAAUCCUUGGGUUGCCUCCCAAGCAGCGCCUUUUUUUAAUGUUUUUGGCUAGACAUGGCCUUCAAUUGUUUAGACUUCACCACUUUGAUUAUCAAGGAAUAGAACCUCCACUUGCUCACUAUUAAACCCUUCAUAAUAAAGCUUUAGAUGGUGACCAUUGACUACGAACCUUUUCUCUGUCUUAAGACUUUGGAUUUCCACUGCACCAAAAUGAAAAAUAUUAGAAACAACAAAUGGACCAAUCCAACGGGAACGCAGCUUACCAGGAAAAAGCUCAAGUCUCGAGUGAUAGAGUAGGACUUUUUGCCCUACGACAAAUGACUUUCUUGAAACUUGUUGGUCAUGAAAAAUUUUGCUUUUCUCCUUAUAAAUUGCAGCGUUCUCAUAAGCUUCAUGCCUUAGCUCCUCCAACUCUUGCAAUUGGAGCUUUCUCUGCCCUCCGGCCUCCAUAAGGUCCAUGUUACACUGUUUAAGCGCCCAGAACGCUCGGUGUUCAAAUUCCACUGGGAGGUGACACGGCUUACCAAAGACUAACCUGUAUGGGGACAUCCCAAUUGGUGUUUUGUAUGCGGUGCGGUAAGCCCAGAGAGCAUCUUCCAGCUUCAAGCUCUAGUCUUUCCUAUCAGGCCGCACCAUCUUCUCCAAGAUUGACUUAACUUCCCUAUUCGAUACUUCGGCCUGACCGUUCGUCUGCGGAUGAUAUGGAGUGGACACUUUAUGGAGCACGCCAUACUUACGAAACAAUGCAGUGAUUGUCUUAUUGCAAAAAUGGGUGCCCCUGUCACUCACUAUAGCUCUCGGCAUUCCAAAACGAACAAAAAUGUUAGAUUUUAUAAACUCUGCAACCACUCUCGAAUCAUUAGUCCGGGUGGCCUUCGCCUCCACCCAUUUGGAAACAUAAUCGACAGCAAGUAUAAUAUAUAGAAAACCAAAGGAUGAGGGAAAGGGACUCAUGAAAUCUAUGCCCCAGACAUCAAAAAUUUCAACAAAUAAUAUGGGGGUUUGACUCAUUUGGUCUCUACGAGAGAUAUUCCCCACCCUUUGACACUUAUCACAAGAUUUGCAGAACAAAUAUGCAUCCUUAAAAAGAGUAGGCCAAUAGAAACCACUUUCUAACACCUUACGAGCCGUCCGCUUUGGACCAAAAUGCCCUCCACAUGCAAAUGAAUGACUAAAGGUCAAAAUAGGCUGGAACUCACUUGCACUUACACACCUUCUUACCAUUUGGUCCGCGCAUUGCCUCCACAGGUACGGGUCAUCCCAGAUAUAGUGCUUGGCAUCACUCUUCAAUUUUUCUCUCUUAGCUUUUGACCAACCUGCAGGCAAUUGAUUCGUUACCAAAAAAUUGACAAUAUCAGCGUACCAAGGUAUUGACGAAUCCAUGGCUAAUAAUUGCUCCUCAGAAAAUGAUUCUCUCAACGGUAGAUCCUCUUGAUUUGUGAGCAACCGGCUCAAAUGGUCAGCCACCAAAUUCUCGGCCCCGCUCUUGUUCUUGAUCUCUAGAUCGAACUCUUGCAGGAGCAAGAUCCACCUGAUCAGCCUCGGUUUUGCAUCCUUCUUCGCCAGCAGGUACCUCAGGGCUGCAUGAUCAGAGAAAACAAUUACUUUUGCACCCAAUAAAUAUGAUCUAAAUUUCUCUAGUGCAAAAACGACUGCUAAUAGUUCUUUCUCCGUCAUGGAGUAAUUAGUUGGGCUCCACUUAAUGCUCUCGAUGCAUAGUAGAUUGCGUGUGCCGCUUUUCCUAUCCUUUGCCCCAACACGGCUCCCACGGCAUAAUCGCUCGCGUCACACAUGAUCUCAAACGAAAGGCUCCAAUCCGGAGGUUGAAUGACAGGCGGCGAUGUCAACGAUUCCUUUAGUUUAUCAAAAGCCAUCUUGCAUUCAUUGGUGAAAUCAAAUAUCACAUCCUUUUGCAGCAACUUGAACAGGGGUGCUCCAAUCUUUGAGAAAUCCUUGAUGAACCUCCUGUAAAAUUCUGCAUUGCCUAAAAAGGAACGUACUUCCUGUACACAAACGGGGUAAGGCAGAGCAGAAAUAAGAUCUAUUUUAGCUUUGUCUACCCCUAUCCCCUUAGCCGACACAACGUGCCCUAAGACAAUGCCAUGUUCUACCAUAAAGUGACACUUCUCCCAGUUAAGAACCAAAUUCGUCUCUAUGCAUCUUUUUAAAAUUAGAGCUAAAUUAUCAAGACAUUCAUCAAAACUAUUCCCGUAUACACUAAAAUCAUCCAUGAACACCUCAAUAAUUUUUUCUACAUACUCGGAGAAAAUACUUACCAUACACCUUUGAAAGGUUGCUGGAGCAUUGCAGAGACCGAAAGGCAUCCGACAGUAAGCGAAUGUACCGAAUGGGCAUGUGAAUGUAGUUUAUUCCUGGUCUUCUGGUGCUAUCGCGAUCUGAAAGUAACCUGAAAAGCCAUCCAAGAAACAAUAGUAAACACGACCCGCUAAUCGUUCUACCAUCUGAUCAAUAAAAGGGAGGGGGAAAUGGUCCUUUUUAGUCACAGAAUUUAGCCUCCGGUAGUCGAUGCACUGACGUCAGCCAAUAGCUUUCCUAACCGGAACCAUGUCACCCUCCUGGUUCUCCUCUACGGUUACUCCCGCUUUCUUCGGGACCACCGGAACUGGGCUCACCCAGGGACUGUCUGAAAUGGCGAAAAUGAUCCCUACCUCCAGGAGUUUGAGUAUCUCCUUCUUCACAACCUCCAUAAUUAAGGGAUUCAGUUUUCGCUGUGCUUGCUUCACCGGUUUUGCAUCAUUCUCGAGUCUUAUCCGAUGCAUGCACAAGGACGAGCUUAUCCCUUUUAUAUCGGCUAUGCUUCACCCGAUUGCCUCCUUGUGAUCUCUAAGGAGUCGCACCAGUCUUUCCUCCUGACUUAGAGACAGAUGAGCAGAGAUAAUCACAGGAAGUGUCUCUCUGUCUCCCAGGAAUACAUACUUCAAAUGCUUCGGGAGGGGUUUGAGCUCUAACUCCGGUGCCUGCACAACUAAAGGAAGCGACUUUGUCUGAGCCUCUAGCACAAAAAGAGAAGUAAGCUCGUGCCUUGGAGGUACGGUUGGAAGUGAGUGCAGGGCUUCAACUGUGUGGUGUAGCUCAUUCCUCAUGUCCACAUCAAGAGUCACACCCAACUCAAGAUACUUGGUUAGGGCCACUUCUAAUGCAUCUUCACCAUCCAAUUCAAAAGUUUCUUGCACAAACGGCUCAAUAACACUCAAAGCGAAGACUGAGUUAGAUUCCUCUGGAUAUUUCAUUGCCUAAAAAAUGUUAAAAUUCACAGUUUCACUAUCAAAUUCCAUUGAUAAAGUACCCCCAUUCACAUCUAUUUUGGUCCUGACAGUGCUAAGAAACGGUCUACUCAACAAGAUAGGCGAUGGAUUUAAUGAUUUCUCAUCUCCCAUAUCCAAGAUAUAAAAGUCUGCAGGAAAGACUAAUUCAUUUACCUGAACCAAAACAUCCUCAACUAGCCCCUCUGGAUAAGCAUUUGUGCGAUCAGUUAGUUGGAUUAUGAUGGCUGUUUCUUUUAGUGGCCCAAGGUUCAGAGAAGCAAAAAUGGUCUUUGGCAUCACAUUAAUUGACGCCCCUAAAUCUAACAUUGCUUUUCUAAUCGGUGUAUUUCCUAUUUUGCAUGGGAUCGUGAACAUACCUGAAUCUCCACACUUGGGUGGGAGAUUUCUUUGGAGAAUGGCUGAUACGUUUUCUCCCACCGCUACUCUUUCAUCCCCUCUCAAUUUCCUCUUAUGAGUGCAUAAGUCCUUGAGAAAUUUCGCGUAUUUCGGCACUUGCUUAAUUGCUUCUAACAAGGGGAUGUUGAUCUCCACUUUCCAGAAUACGUCCAGGAUCUCUUUUUCCUUCUCUGUCUUUUUCGUCUUUGCCAACCUGCAUGGGAAAGGGGGUAAAUUAGAUUUAACGGGUAUUGAUGGUGUACGAGUUAUCUCAGGAUCUCCACGAAUGUGUCAUUCUUCAUCCAUCUCCUUCUCGAUCUCGUCUUCACUUUUACUCUUCAAGUUCGUGACCUUUGGCCCCUCCACUUCCUUGCCACUCCUUAAUGUCAUGGCACUUACAUUUCUGGGGUUUGCCUCAGAUUGCGAUGGUAAUUUUCCAUAGACGUGGGACUCCAGGCGAUUAAUGGCAGUUGCCAUUUGACUCAUACGAGUCUCCAUGUCUUUCAUGCCUGUUUUGGUGUCAUGCUGGAACUGAGCUAUAUUCGAGGUCAAUAAUCUGGUCUCCUGCUGGAGCUAUCUUGUCUCUUGCUGGAUCUGGGAGGUAGUAGUAGCCAGACUUUUGACAAUAUCCUCCAAAGAACUCCCUGUGUUGGAGGAUGAAGGUUGGGGUUUCGGUUGCCAUGGUUGCUGAAACCCUGGUGGACGAUUGGAGAGUGAAUUUUGCGGUCGGUUUCCAUAACUGAAAUUGGGAUGGUCUCUCCAACCGGGGUUGUAUGUGUUGGAGUACGGGUCAUACUGCUUGAGGGGCGCGGGCACGCCUCCGGCCAUGUUUACCUGUUCCGCCCCGUCCUCUUGCAAAAUGGGGCACGUGUCCGUGCAGUGGUCCAUGCUAGUGCAGAUUCCACACACCUUUGCUUGCGGCGUGUCUCUCAUGGCUAAUUGCCUAACAACAGACGUCAACUCUGACAGUUGCUGCUGUAUGGAUGAAGUCUCUACCUCGUUGACUCUACGGGGAGGGUUGCUCUCACGGAAGCCAAAUUGCUGGAAGUUCUCUGCCAUGGCUUCGAUAAGCUCCCACGCUUCCUUCGGUGUCCUGUUUGCCAGUGCUCCCCCACUCGCAGCGUCAAUGAUACUCCUAUCGGUUGAUUGGAGCCCUUCAUAGAAGUAUUGGAUUAACAGUUGUUCACUAAUUUGAUGAUGCGGGCAUCUAGUGCACAACUUGUUAAACCUUUCCCAGUAUUCAUACAAGGACUCACCGGGAUACUGUUUAAUGCUGCAGAUCUCCUUCCUCAAACUUGCAGCCCGGGAUGCAUGGAAGAAUUUUUUCAAAAAUUUCUUUUUCAACUGUGCCCAUGUGGUAAUACUACCCGCUGGUAGGUAGUAUAGCCAAUCUUUUGCUGCAUCCUUGAGAGAGAAGGGGAAAGUUCUAAGUCUUAUCUGCUCCUCAGUGACCCCAGGAGGUUUCAUACUAGAGCAAACCGCCUCGAAUUCCUUGACAUGUUUGUGGGGUUCUUCACCAGAGAGACCAUGGAAAGAAGGUAAGAGGUGAAUCAACCCCGACUUCAGUUCGAAAGCAGUAUUCUCAGCCAAAGUGGGGAAUGUGAUGCAUAAGGGCUGAUGAGUUAGCUCCGGGGCAGCCAGCUCCCUUAAUGUUUGAGUGUUGGCCAUACUUACUUCAUAUUCUACUGACUCGUUUGCAAUAAACGAGUGCCCUUCUUUUCGUCUCUUGGUCUCUUGGCUCCGCCUACGCGCUAUCUUCUCAACCUCAGGGUCGUAUAUCAAUUCACCUGUGCGAGAAGAACUAGGCAUAAACUAGUAAAAAUACCAAGAAGAAUAAAAAAAAAAUGAAAGCUGAAUUUGAAAAGAAACAAAUAAUCCAAACGCCAGCUCCCCGGCAACGGCGCCAAAAAUUAACAGGUGCUGAACCUGUACAAUAAUAAUUACUAAAAAGUCCUAACUACCACCACAAUUAAUUAUAGAGCAAAUCCAAGUACUGGAGUAGGGACCCUAGGUGUGCAAUGGGUUACUUGAUUCACCCUGUUCCCGAAGAGUUUGCUUGAUCCGAUAUACUAGAUUUGUCUAUACAAAUAUUAAUUUUGCGUACAAUAGCAAGUAGGGUCGAUUCCACAGGGAGCGGGUAGGAAAUUAUUUCUUUCCAAACCAAUAGAAUAAAUUGGGGGAUUUUUAAUGGGAGGCAAAUAAAAAAAAAUAAGAAUAAAAAUAAAGCAAACUAGGUUCGAAACUAAUUCACAAAGCACAAGUUACUAAAAGUAGCAAUUAAUAAAAUUCUACCCAAAGGAUCAACUGUUCAGGCACGGUUCAAUUAAAUGAUCAUCGAUGCAAAGAUAUUUCAUCCAUUCAUCACUAGGUUGGUUAUAGUUAUCAACAAGCUCUGACAACCAGUUCUUCCUUACCUUUUCGACAGUCAAGGUACGACCAUUGACUGCUUCCCUAACCAGAUAACAACCCUAGGUACGACCGUAGGAAUUUAAUUACCCAAUUGCAUUAAAGCUAGAAGAACCCAACCCUAACUAAUAAACACGCUAAGAGGAUUUAUUUAAGUUAGAUCUUACGUUUCCCCAACAUAAAGCCAAUUAUAGUGGUUGUCACUAGGUAUCAACUAAAAAAACAAUUACGGAUUCAAUUUAGUUAAUGUGACAGUAGGCUAUUAAAUUAAAUCAAAUACCCGGCCGUUGAUAUUCAAUUAAUAAAAUACCCAUGAACAAUUAAGCCAGGAAACGCACGAAUAGCAGUAAAUUGGAAGAAAUAAUGAAGAUUCGAUUAGAUCUCACAGAUAUUAUGGACCGCGCCCUCGCGUCAACCUUUGGGUAGAGGAGAAAAUUAGCCGCUCCUCAUCGCGUCAAUCCCGCGUGAUUUAAUUGAGUUCAUUCAAUUAACUGCCGAAGAAUUGGGAAGGUAAUUAAUUGAAGGAACAACCGAGGGGGCCCUGACUUCGCAUUCGUUUUGGAGCCGCAAUCUCAAAGCAGAGAGCCACGAAGAAUUGUCACAGGCGGAAGGAACAAAUUCAAGAGUCAGAGUCGCAUAAAGCCAAAAACUACAGAAAAGAAGAAAGUCUCCAAUGUCUGACCCAAAGCCGCAGAAGAAACAAAAGAAAAACGUCUAACCCCAAAAAUUGCAAAAAGUAAAACUAAAGCUAAAAGAAGUGAUCCCCCCGUAUCUUGCUUUUUCCUCCUUUUUAUAUCCGCCAUCAGUAGUAUUCCUCCUGAUAAGAGUUUAUUUUACGUUAUUUUAAGUGCAUUUUAUUAGUUAAUUUUGAGUUGAUUAUUUAGUUUUAUAAUUAAAAUAAAGAGGUUUUUGGUAAAAUUAUAUAUUUUUGGUAAAAGUGGAUAAUAUUGCAUUUUUAGUGAUUUUAAUGGUAAAACCUUCAUUUUUAUGCAGGAAUGAUGACUCAAUCACCAAAGGAUGGCAAAUGAGGUGAAAAAUAGAGAUUUGGUGAUGAAAUUAAGUGGUGAAAAGAAAAAUGAAGUGAAAAACGUUCAAAUGAAGAAUUGCACUUCAAGACAGUUUUGACACGCUUCAGUAUUUCGAUCAUAUCUCAGGCUACAAAACUCUGAUUUGGAUGAUUUUUAAAGCAUUGGAAAGCUAACUCAAAGGGUUACAACUUUGGUGUUUUACACAAAAACCAGUUCGGCCUGUAUCAUGGAGAAAAUCGCAGUUGAAAUAAGGUCAAAGUGAAAACGCGAGUACAAAAAACGCGAGUUGUAGCCGCGUUUUGUGUAAGCGCGUUUUGUAGCCAAAAUUCUGCAAAUUGCUCAGCUAUUUUCUCUUGUGUUCAUACCACUUUCCAGCUAUAAGAUGCAAGGGAAUCCGGUGCACAUGCUUCAGAAGUCAAAAGGGCAAAGGUGGCUUAUUUUCAAGUCAAAAACAUUGGUUAUUGACAAUUAUAACAAAGUUAGAUUUGGGGAAUCAAAAGUUGGAAUUUGACUUGGAAAAAGAAGCCUUUUGAGUGUUUUUUAUGCAGAGAUAUAGGGAGAGGUCUGGAUAUUCAUUCGUAGCUUAGCUUCUUACAGAAAAACAUAUUCUCUCUACCUAGGAAUUGCAAGAAAAAUUGGGAUCUCAUUGUGUAAUCAUCUAAGUUGAAGAACAAAGAAGAUUUUUGAAGGCUUCACCAUAUCUUGGCUAAGGCUUUCUUUACUCCUCUUGUAUUUGUAAUUCAUGAUGAUUUACAUUAAUGAAGUUAUGAGUGUUUUAUCAUUCAUGAGUAGCUAAUUUUCUUUAUCUAGGGAGUAGAUGAAGCUUAUGGCCAAAUGAUAUGAAUUGAUUGUUAUUCAUUCUUGUUAUAUGUUGUAUUAACUUGUCUACUUGUGUAUGCUUGAUUACUUGUUGUUGUUUGAUCACCAAUAACAGGUUUAUAGUUGUUUUUAUUCAUUAAGAAAUGGUAAAAAUAAUGGAAUGACACAAGUAGAACUUGAGUUGUAUAUUCAUGAGAAUAGAAAUACAUUCAAGUGGAUGAAAUUUGCAUUUCAUGUGUGAAUAAGAGCAGAUUUAGUAUUACCAAGAGAUUAGGACAAACUAAUCUGUUUUAACCCAUUAUUAUCAUGAGAAUGUGAUUUUGGUAUUUCUGGAAAUGAAUCAUUGGUUAAACAAGAGUAGUAACAAGUGUUGAAUUAAUUCAUUUUAGAUCUUUUGUGUCAUAAGUGGAAUCUACAUCCCUAGAUCUUAAUAUUUAGUGAAUUCUACUCCCCUUGAGAUAUUGCAAUUUUCUAGUUAAGAACUCUUGUAGUUGAAUUUAAUUCUAAAUUUUCUGCUUAAUUUUAUUGUGCGUCUAAAUAAUAGAGUAAAUUAGUAUCUAAUAAUUGUUUUAAUUGCUCCUCGUGGGAUCGACCCGAUACAUACCCAAUAUUACGAUUUUGGCCUGUAUACUUGCAGAAAAACGGGUAUAAUUCGGAAUUAAACUUGCACUUAUAGUAAACACCCGUCACCUCCCAGGAGGAGGCUUUUGCCAAAGGGGCGCUGAUCCCACGCUUCAGGUUCACGUGGACCGGGGUCCGGCUUUUCGGUAACGUCUACCUUGUCUAGCGUGGCCACGCCCUGAAAUGAAAGGUCUUCUGGAAAUUUACCUCGAUAUAUCAUUUUUAAUGCUAACCACCUACAAUUCACACAAAUAUAAAAAAUGAGCGAAAUUCCAUUUCUUAGCACCAUGAAUAGCCAAAAUUAGGAUAAGAUGACAAUGCAAAAUGUGCCAAAUAACUGCUCUAUCAAACACUAGGAAGAUAAAAGAGCUACAUUUCUGCACUCCAAGCUUUCUCCCGUAUCUCCUCUCUAUUUUUCUUCUAUGGUCUCCCAUCCCUUCUCUUGCAAUGAAUUUGGCUAUUUAAUGAUGAAAAUUGGUCAAGAAAUUAGGCCUCCAUCUUCCUUUUACAGCUGGGAAUGUUUCUCACAUGUCUAGCAACGCAUGUGAGUUGGUGGGACUGAAAUUGAGUUUUCCGCAUACAGAGCAGUCUUUUUCUGACCACAAUCCGGCCAGAAAUCCGGCCGGAUUGCUACAGUGAUCAUUUGGUCACUUCUGGUUCAAUUUCCAGUUCUGCUCCAAUUUUGCAUCAAUUUCAACUGAACUUUUCUUGAUGAUAAAAGCUGAUUUAGCUCUUGAUCAAAACAUAAAACUUGUAGCCCUUUGAGUUAUCUUUCCAAUGCAACAAGAAUAACCUCAUUUGGAUCUGUGUAGGCUGAGAAAUGACUGAAAUACCCUUGACUGCUCACUGCCCUGUUCCAGCUUCGACCAAUACAAAUUUGCUACUGUUAUUCGGCUUUUUGACCUGGAAAACCUUCAAACUGGAUUCAGAUGUCUUCAUCAAAGUUAUAUAUCUAUCUCUUAUCUUCAAAUGGAUUUAAUAAUCAUCCCAAUCCGAUUAUUGUAGCUCAAAUUAUAGCUGAAAUACGAAAAUGUGUCAAAACUGUCAAAAUACACAAAAUCCAAGUAGAAAGUGAUAAAAACCUCAUUUAAUCACUUCAAAGUAUUUUUCACCAAUUAUAGCCAAAAUCAUUCAUUUUCUUCCAAUAAUAUACCCAAAGUGAAUAAAAAUAAUAUAAAAUAUCAUACAAUUAUUACGUAAAUUAGUUGCUUAUCAAACUCCCCCGCACUUAAAUAAUUGCUUGUCCUCAAGCAAUCCACACAUAAUCAACUACAUUGAUUCAAGAGAUGAAACAAUAUACGCACUAUUGUCAAAUUUAAUUCCUCAAGACCUGGAAAAUAAUCAUUAUACAGUUAUUCUAAUUACACUAAAUACUCAUAAUAUCAAGUAAAGGAAAGAUAAUUAUACCCUAAUUUAACAAGUUAAAUUUAAUCUCUCACCCUAACUUAAUUUCACAAAUAAACAAAUCACAUAGUCAAUUUAUAGCAUUCCUCCUCCUAUAAUCAUUUUUUUCUCAAAAUUUUACAACUAAGAGGGAUUUAUUCAUACUAAUUUUACUUAAAUAGUGAAAAUGUCUUUUUACGCGAAAAUCGACACUUUUAGGUGAAGAUCUCCGGUUACUCGACAUUUCACUUAUUCAAGUUGCUAUGCAUACUCUUAAUUCAAAUACCUUUUUACGCGAAUGUCGACAUUUGUAGAUGCCAACUCUCCCAGUUACUUGGUACGAGAAUCAUUGGAAUAGAACAAUUUUUAUUUACUUUCUUUUCUUCUUUUUUUCUCUUUUUUUUCUUUUUUUUAUCAGAAAAUAAAUAGAUUUUUCCUCAUAGAAAAUUAAAUCAAAGGAGGAGUAUAGCUUUUAUUGACUAUAUCAAUUGCUUACUUGCAAAAUUAAGUAAAUAGAAGAAAUCUCAUUAAACAUGUAAAAUUAUAAGCAUAAUUUUCUUCACCUUACCAAAUAUACUUUCUAAAAUGUAAAAAUCCUAAUUGCAUAAUAACCAUUUUCAAGUUAAAUGAGGACUAAACUUUCCAAAAUACACAUAAAGUUUCAACAAUUGGAAGAAUUUAAACAUUUAAAGUUGGAACAAAUUAGCCCUUUUUGAAUGAAAAUGCAAAAAUUUGAAGAACUUUUGGGCCAUAGUGAAAUACUGGAAAAGAUUUUAGCAAAAUUUUUACAGAGUUUCUCCUUAUAAAUUGAUGAAAACUCUCUGCCAACAAACCUAUUUUCUAGCAAAUUAUCCACAUGACAAGCAUUUCAAACACAAUUCCAACAUUUCUAAGCAUUUAAAUCCACAAAAUAUCAUCACAUAGCCUUAAAAUGCAAGUUCAAAUAUUUCCUCCCCCACACUUAAACUUCACAUUAUCCUCAAUGUGAGAAAAGGAAAAUAAAUAAAGAGUAAAAGAAAAUACUGCUAAAUUGAACUUGCGCAAUCCGAAUCCAUGUCCAAGUGAUGAAUUUCCAACCGUAUUUGAGAAAGAAUGGAGAGUUCACUUAUUGCACCCUGAAAAAGACAAAAUCAAAACAAAUAAAUUUCUUAAAAAUAAAAUGUUGCAAUCAACAAAAACAUGCAAUUCAAGGAAAAAGGAAAAAUGAUCAAGCAUGCGGAACCAUACAAUGUUCAAGGGAUAAAAACAUGAAAUGAGCUAAUCUUUGCUAAUCAAAUAUAUGCAUUAGUAUCCAAAGCAAAGGGAAGCUAAUUUCACACAAUAAAUCCGCCAUCACGAAAGUAAGUUCCAUUUAUACAUUUUGUCAUCAAUGAUCAAAUCCCCUCAAGUACAAAAGUAAUCUCAAAAUGGAGGCAAACACAUCAAACCAAAAUAUAAAUGACCUUCGUGAGAAUUCAUGAAAUAACUAAAACCACUGAACCACAAAAAUGGUAACAGCAUUUAUGAAUUUCAUCAAUUAAGGCCAUCUUCAAUUCAUGUGAGGACCGUAAAUCUUCCUUAUUUCAUAAUAUUUUUAUUUUAUUUUCUCGCAUGCAUUUUCUUCAUUAUACCCUAUUAUAUUGAUUUUUUAGAGAUUUUUAUAAGUGAGUAGAGUUUUCAAAUCAUUUUCCUAGUUUAAGUUAGUUCAUAUUAAAUUUGAAGUGUAUUAUGGACGUGGAACCCGCUAGUGUGCUAAGUGCAAUAUAUUUUUGACAACUCAUUGGAGUUUUGUAUUAAGUGAUAUUAUUUUACAAGGUGCUAGGAGACAAUUAGAGGUUAGCUAGAUUAAUUAGUAUGGAGAGACAAGAAGAUAAGCUUAAACAUUAAAGGAGCCAAGUGUCAUGAACCUAUUGGGUGUGGACUUUGACCAAACCUUCUUUACCUUUACUAAACAUCAAAAUUGACCAAAAUUUCCUUCAUUCUUUUGCUUGCUUGGCCGAACCAUAGAGCGGAGAGAAGAGAGAAAAUCCAUCAUCUUGUACAUCAAUUUCUUUCUCCAAUCUUGAUUUCCAACCAUCAAAAUUGUAAAUUACUCCAUAAAAACUUCUUGCUAGGAAGGAUUAAAGGUUUUAGUGGAGUCAAUUUGGGAGGAAAGAUACUAAGUUACCAUCUUUCUAGUGUUCUAAGGCAAGGUUCCAAGAAAACCUCUCUUUAUUUUUUUUAUAAUUGCAUAGUAGUGGUUUAUAGUGUUAAAUAGGUAGUUUUGUGGAAGAUUUCAUGGUUUAAAGUAGUAUUAUGGUAAUUUUUCAAUUUUAUGGGAAUUUUCUGCCCUUAUUUGAUGCUUAAGCAUAUGCCAUGGAUUGAUAGCCUUGUUGUGUGUGAAGUGAAGCUUGUAUAUGCUAGAUGUGAUUUCCUAUGAAAAAUUUCAGUUUGUGUAGUCAAAUUUCAGUUUUAGGGUUUAAUCUGCCCUGUUCUGACCGGAUUUAUUUGAGCAUGUUAGAGGCCAAAUAAGGCUUAGGUUAAAACAUGAAAGUUGUACUAAAUGGUGUUAAAAAUAUUCCUACAAAAUUUCAGCUUAAUCCGAGCACUGUACCAUGUGAAAUGACUGAAAUACCCAUGAACCCUGUUUCGCGCCCAGAUUUUUGUUUUCGUGGAGUUUUCCAUUUUUGACCAUGAAAAUGCAUGAUUUGGCUUUGGAAGUCUUCAUAAGAAAUGUAGGUAUAUGUCUUAUCUUUCUAACGCCACUAGAAUCACCUCGUUUGGACUUCGGUAGUCUGAGUUAUUGUCAUUUACGUAUAAGGCGGUCAACAAGCCCGAAUGUGAGAUGCUGGUUCUGUUAUUUGAGAUUUUGACUUAGAUACACUACAAACUGGACUGAGUGGUCUUCAUCAAAGUUGUAGGCCUUUGUCUUAGCUUCGAAACCAUAUAAAUUUCACCCCAAUCCGAUAAGCGUAGCUUCGAUUGUAUCCGUUACGCAAAACAACGUCAAAUCUGUCUUUUGUUUCUUGACUCAACCUUCAUUUCCGCACAUGCUCCUAGCUUGAUUUUGUACUUGUAUGACUUGGAGCCUAUGGAAUGGCUAUUGAAAUGAGAUGAUUUUGUGUAUGACUUUGGAUUUGAUUGAGGAAAAGAAUAAAGCCAUAAAUGACUGAAAAAUAGGUAAAUACAAAGGGCGUGCUGCCCAAAUUUACGCUCGAGAACUAGGUCGAUAUACUUGCGACUUGAGUAAGGCUUGAGAGAGUAUACCACGCGAACCAUCUAGGGUAUUUACGUUUUCUUUGCCACUUCGACUCAAAUAGCGAUUUUAAAGUUUUAACAAGUGAGUCUAAGUUUUACAAAUAUUUUACUUAUGUCCUUUGGUUUCAAUGUACUCUUUUCACUACCAAAACCAUCUUUAUACUUUGUACUAGUACGUAUUUGACUUGUCUUUGACUCACUUACAUCUUUGAUGGUUGAAGCAUAAUGUGUUCAUUUGAUUAUAUUAGGAUACCUUGGUGCUUGAGGGUGUAUCCGGAAGGAAACUUUGGACGUUAUUUUGCUUAAAUAGGUGAGUUCCCUGUUUGUUAUAUUUUCCUUCACUUUAUGAUUUAUGUUAUUGUUUGAUAAAGUGUUAAGUGCUCUCAAUGAUUUUAAACGAGUUUUCUAGGCGAGUGUGUACUUUAUCGCACUCGACCUAAAUGAAUGUGAAAUUUCAAUGAUUUAAUCAUUGAAACGUUAGUUGUGCAUGAUGUAAGCCUUUUGGCUGAACUGGGCCCUGCCCUUCGUUACCGAUCGUCUCGAGCCAGAAGCGGACUCGGUCGGGGGAUAUGGUGACCCUAGGUGUAAAAGUGGUAUGCUCGAGUAUUACCUUAAAUUCUGUUGGAGUCUGACCAACGUCCAGGAAGGGGGUGAAUGAAAUGAAUGAACGAACGAGGGUUUUACUUGCAAAAAUGCAUUUUCAAAUGAUUGGAGAAAUAAGGGGAAAUGACAGGAGAACGAAUGAACGAACGAAUGAAUGGCUCCCUGUGAGCUCGUAUCCUUUUAAUGAAUGUGUUAUUAUAGCUCUCCAUUGUAAAUAUUUCCUGAGUUAUUGAUGCUCUAUGUUUAAUGUAGUGGAUUGAUUGUUUGAUUAUGUGUUUGGAACCUCACUGAGCUUUUAGCUCAUCCCUUUUUUUUUUGUUUUCCUUAACAGGGGAAGGCGAGCAAGGACGAGAGCUCUGUAUAGACUAGCUUGGUCUAGCUCUUGGUUUCUGUAAUGGUUCUCGCCCUAAUGCUUGGCACGAGCUGGUUGUGUGGCGAAUUGAGAACCUUUGUAUAUUUGAUGGUUGUACUUCCUUUUGAGAUAGCAAUGUAUAUAAGUUUUGUUUAAGUUUUUGAUCGUUGUUAUGUUUAUUCUUAUGGGUUUGUGCUGGUUUUGAUUGAGGAUGGAAGUGAACGACUGAGUCCUGGCGAGAGUUGGGCAGGCGGUUCGCCGAACCCUUUGGUUCGCCUUAGAGGGAGGUGGGGCUGUCACAGUUGGUAUCAGAGCCAGGUUCGCGUGGUCUCUGCGCGGAGUGAGCUUGGAUUAAGUGGUGAAUAAGUAUGAAAGAUUAAGUGCUCGUUCGAGCAUAAGCUCUGAAUUGUGAAUGUUAUAGGCUUUAAAUCUUUUUCGUGGUAUCUGAGGAUCAUAGAUAGGUACGUCAGGUAGGAAUCUCGAUUGUAGAUAGUUUACUCUUGGAACUGGCCAGCUCGAGAUGUGAAUUGUCUUAUUUCAGAUUCUUGUGCCCGAGUACUCCAGAGUUGAGACGGUGUUAAGUAUUUGAGAUUUGCAUUUUGGGACCAUGAAUAGGCUUUGUCUGGCUAGAAUGAGUACAAGAGGUCAAUGGAUAUCUAGUUUGGAUAGUAAGUGACGUGAGAAACCAGACGGGGUAUUUAACUGAGACUGGGACGAUAUCGCCUUUACUUUUGAUUUGCCCUUAUACCGUUAUGACAUGACAUUGGUUUGAGUAUUUGUGCAUAUGAUCAUCUGUCUAAUUUGAUAUGAAUUUAUGUAUUUGAUCGUCUGUCUUCUUGAUAUCUGGUGUGUUAUGUGUGUACAUGUCUAUUUGUGUAUUGGUGUGCUAGAAUUUGAUUACUUUCGUCCAUUUACUGCAUUUAUUCACUAAAUUAUCUUUUUGGGAAAAGAAAAAAAAAGAGGGGGAAAAUAUAUAUGGAGGGAAGACGUAGUCGCGGACGUGAUCGUGGCCGUGGGACUAAGCGAGUCCAAGAGCCAAUAGAAGAAAGGGAAACAACAGCUGAACCAGUACAAGGACCCAGGGUUGAAGCCAGAGACCAAAUGGCAACGGCAAUUCAACAAAUGACAAACAUUUUAGCGAGGUUGGUGGACCAACAAGGUCAAAUGCCCGUGAAUCAACCCCAAAACCCUGAAAUAGGAGAAGAUCGGGCUUUUGAGAGGUUUGAAAAGUUUGCACCUCCAAAAUUCGCUGGAGGGCCUGAUCCGGAUAUCGCUGAACAGUGGUUAGAGGCCAUGGUUAAUAUAUUCACAGCUUUGAACUAAACUGAACAGAGACAAGUGAGCUUUGCAGUGUUUCAGUUUGAAGGGCCGGCUCGCGCAUGGUGGAAUGUGAUUAGAGCAAAGUGGAAAAGAGAACGGACUGUAUGGACGUGGGUGAACUUUGUAAGAGAAUUUAACGAGAAGUACCUCCCACCUUUAGUCCAAGAAAGGAGGGAUGAUGAAUUUAUUGGACUACGCCAGGGGACCUUAAGUGUGGCUGAAUACGAAACGAAAUUCACCAAACUAUCCAAGUUUGCUUCCGAAUUAUUAGCCACGGAACCGAGAAGAGUGAGACGGUUUAUACAGGGAUUGAAUUUGGAAAUUCAAGAAGCUCUAGCGGCGGUUCAAGUGAAUACGUUUACAGAGGCCCUUGAGAAAGCCCAACGAAUCGAGAAUGCAAAGGCACAGGUAAAAGCCUCCCAAACCCGGAAAAGAAGUGCCGCGGCCAGUGUGGUUGAGGAACCGGGUGAAUCGAUAACACCCUCUAAAGUGCAGAAAGUGAAACCGUUCACCCGGCCACCAUGGACAUUAGGGGCAGUAGAUGAAAGGUCUACAAAAGGGAGCCAAAUCGGACCUGAGGAAAUUUCUCAAGAAAGCCAAAAGAUGGCUUCUCACUUGACUUGUGGCUACUGUGGAAAUGCCAAUCACACCAAGACCGAUUGUUGGCGAAAAGGGCGGAAGUGUUUGAUUUGCAGAAAUGGGGAUCAUCAAGUUAGCAACUGUCCGAGUAGACAGUCACGUGAAGGUAGUACUCCGCGACUGGAUGGAGCCAAAUCAAAACAAGCGAACGAAAGAGGGAAACGAACUAGUGUACCGGCAAAAGCCUAUGCGUUGGAUAACCAAACAGUUCCGGACUCGUCUGUAGCAACUGAAGGUAAAAUUUCGAGGACGAAAUUUCUUAAGGGGGAGAGAGUGUGAGGACCGUAAAUCUUCCUUAUUUCAUAAUAUUUUUAUUUUAUUUUCUCGCAUGCAUUUUCUUCAUUAUACCCUAUUAUAUUGAUUUUUCACAGAAUUUUUGAGUUUUCAAAUCAUUUUCCUAGUUUAAGUUAGUUCAUAUUAAAUUUGAAGUGUAUUAUGGAUGUGGGACCCGCUAGUGUGCUAAGUGCAAUAUAUUUUUGACAACUCAUUGGAGUUUUGUAUUAAGUGAUAUUAUUUUACAAGGUGCUAGGAGACAAUUAGAGGUUAGCUAGAUUAAUUAGUAUGGAGAGACAAGAAGAUAAGCUUAAACAUUAAAGGAGCCAAGUGUCAUGAACCUAUUGGGUGUGGACUUUGACCAAACCUUCUUUACCUUUACUAAACAUCAAAAUUGACCAAAAUUUCCUUCAUUCUUUUGCUUGCUUGGCCGAACCAUAGAGCGGAGAGAAGAGAGAAAAUCCAUCAUCUUGUACAUCAAUUUCUUUCUCCAAUCUUGAUUUCCAACCAUCAAAAUUGUAAAUUACUCCAUAAAAACUUCUUGCUAGGAAGGAUUAAAGGUUUUAGUGGAGUCAAUUUGGGAGGAAAGAUACUAAGUUACCAUCUUUCUAGUGUUCUAAGGUAAGGUUCCAAGAAAACCUCACUUUAUUUUUUUUAUAAUUGCAUAGUAGUGGUUUAUAGUGUUAAAUAGGUAGUUUUGUGGAAGAUUUCAUGGUUUAAAGUAGUAUUAUGGUAAUUUUUCAAUUUUAUGGGAAUUUUCUGCCCUUAUUUGAUGCUUAAGCAUAUGCCAUGGAUUGAUAGCCUUGUUGUGUGUGAAGUGAAGCUUGUAUAUGCUAGAUGUGAUUUCCUAUGAAAAAUUUCAGUUUGUGUAGUCAAAUUUCAGUUUUAGGGUUUAAUCUGCCCUGUUCUGACCGGAUUUAUUUGAGCAUGUUAGAGGCCAAAUAAGGCUUAGGUUAAAACAUGAAAGUUGUACUAAAUGGUGUUAACAAGAUUCCUACAAAAUUUCAGCUUAAUCCGAGCACUGUACCAUGUGAAAUGACUGAAAUACCCAUGAACCCUGUUUCGCGCCCAGAUUUUUGUUUUCGUGGAGUUUUCCAUUUUUGACCAUGAAAAUGCAUGAUUUGGCUUUGGAGGUCUUCAUAAGAAAUGUAGGUAUAUGUCUUAUAUUUCCAACUCCCCUAGAAUCACCUCGUUUGGAUUUCGGUAGUCUGAGUUAUUGUCAUUUACGCAUAAGGCGGUCAACAAGCCCGAAUGUGAGAUGCUGGUUCUGUUAUUUGAGAUUUUGACUUAGAUACACUACAAACUGGACUGAGUGGUCUUCAUCAAAGUUGUAGGUCUUUGUCUUAGCUUCGAAACCAUAUAAAUUUCACCCCAAUCCGAUAAGCGUAGCUUCGAUUGUAUCCGUUACGCAAAACAACGUCAAAUCUGUCUUUUGUUUCUUGACUCAACCUUCAUUUCCGCACAUGCUCCUAGCUUGAUUUUGUACUGGUAUGACUUGGAGCCUAUGGAAUGGCUAUUGAAAUGAGAUGAUUUUGUGUAUGACUUUGGAUUUGAUUGAGGAAAAGAAUAAAGCCAUAAAUGACUGAAAAAUAGGUAAAUACAAAGGGCGUGCUGCCCAAAUUUACGCUCGAGAACUAGGUCGAUAUACUUGCGACUUGAGUAAGGCUUGAGAGAGUAUACCACGCGAACCAUCUAGGGUAUUUACGUUUUCUUUGCCACUUCGACUCAAAUAGCGAUUUUAAAGUUUUAACAAGUGAGUCUAAGUUUUACAAAUAUUUUACUUAUGUCCUUUGGUUUCAAUGUACUCUUUUCACUACCAAAACCAUCUUUAUACUUUGUACUAGUACGUAUUUGACUUGUCUUUGACUCACUUACAUCUUUGAUGGUUGAAGCAUAAUGUGUUCAUUUGAUUAUAUUAGGAUACCUUGGUGCUUGAGGGUGUAUCCGGAAGGAAACUUUGGACGUUAUUUUGCUUAAAUAGGUGAGUUCCCUGUUUGUUAUAUUUUCCUUCACUUUAUGAUUUAUGUUAUUGUUUGAUAAAGUGUUAAGUGCUCUCAAUGAUUUUAAACGAGUUUUCUAGGCGAGUGUGUACUUUAUCGCACUCGACCUAAAUGAAUGUGAAAUUUCAAUGAUUUAAUCAUUGAAACGUUAGUUGUGCAUGAUGUAAGCCUUUUGGCUGAACUGGGCCCUGCCCUUCGUUACCGAUCGUCUCGAGCCAGAAGCGGACUCGGUCGGGGGAUAUGGUGACCCUAGGUGUAAAAGUGGUAUGCUCGAGUAUUACCUUAAAUUCUGGUGGAGUCUGACCAACGUCCAGGAAGGGGGUGAAUGAAAUGAAUGAACGAACGAGGGUUUUACUUGCAAAAAUGCAUUUUCAAAUGAUUGGAGAAAUAAGGGGAAAUGACAGGAGAACGAAUGAACGAACGAAUGAAUGGCUCCCUGUGAGCUCGUAUCCUUUUAAUGAAUGUGUUAUUAUAGCUCUCCAUUGUAAAUAUUUCCUGAGUUAUUGAUGCUCUAUGUUUAAUGUAGUGGAUUGAUUGUUUGAUUAUGUGUUUGGAACCUCACUGAGCUUUUAGCUCAUCCCUUUUUUUUUUGUUUUCCUUAACAGGGGAAGGCGAGCAAGGACGAGAGCUCUGUAUAGACUAGCUUGGUCUAGCUCUUGGUUUCUGUAAUGGUUCUCGCCCUAAUGCUUGGCACGAGCUGGUUGUGUGGCGAAUUGAGAACCUUUGUAUAUUUGAUGGUUGUACUUCCUUUUGAGAUAGCAAUGUAUAUAAGUUUUGUUUAAGUUUUGGAUCGUUGUUAUGUUUAUUCUUAUGGGUUUGUGCUGGUUUUGAUUGAGGAUGGAAGUGAACGACUGAGUCCUGGCGAGAGUUGGGCAGGCGGUUCGCCGAACCCUUUGGUUCGCCUUAGAGGGAGGUGGGGCUGUCACAGUUGGUAUCAGAGCCAGGUUCGCGUGGUCUCUGCGCGGAGUGAGCCUGGAUUAAGUGGUGAAUAAGUAUGAAAGAUUAAGUGCUCGUUCGAGCAUAAGCUCUGAAUUGUGAAUGUUAUAGGCUUUAAAUCUUUUUCGUGGUAUCUGAGGAUCAUAGAUAGGUACGUCAGGUAGGAAUCUCGAUUGUAGAUAGUUUACUCUUGGAACUGGCCAGCUCGAGAUGUGAAUUGUCUUAUUUCAGAUUCUUGUGCCCGAGUACUCCAGAGUUGAGACGGUGUUAAGUAUUUGAGAUUUUCAUUUUGGGACCAUGAAUAGGCUUUGUCUGGCUAGAAUGAGUACAAGAGGUCAAUGGAUAUCUAGUUUGGAUAGUAAGUGACGUGAGAGACCAGACGGGGUAUUUAACUGAGACUGGGACGAUAUCGCCUUUACUUUUGAUUUGCCCUUAUACCGUUAUGACAUGACGUUGGUUUGAGUAUUUGUGCAUAUGAUCAUCUGUCUAAUUUGAUAUGAAUUUAUGUAUUUGAUCGUCUGUCUUCUUGAUAUCUGGUGUGUUAUGUGUGUACAUGUCUAUUUGUGUAUUGGUGUGCUAGAAUUUGAUUACUUUCGUCCAUUUACUGCAUUUAUUCACUAAAUUAUCUUUUUGGGAAAAGAAAAAAAAAGAGGGGGAAAAUAUAUAUGGAGGGAAGACGUAGUCGCGGACGUGAUCGUGGCCGUGGGACUAAGCGAGUCCAAGAGCCAAUAGAAGAAAGGGAAACAACAGCUGAACCAGUACAAGGACCCAGGGUUGAAGCCAGAGACCAAAUGGCAACGGCAAUUCAACAAAUGACAAACAUUUUAGCGAGGUUGGUGGACCAACAAGGUCAAAUGCCCGUGAAUCAACCCCAAAACCCUGAAAUAGGAGAAGAUCGGGCUUUUGAGAGGUUUGAAAAGUUUGCACCUCCAAAAUUCGCUGGAGGGCCUGAUCCGGAUAUCGCUGAACAGUGGUUAGAGGCCAUGGUUAAUAUAUUCACAGCUUUGAACUAAACUGAACAGAGACAAGUGAGCUUUGCAGUGUUUCAGUUUGAAGGGCCGGCUCGCGCAUGGUGGAAUGUGAUUAGAGCAAAGUGGAAAAGAGAACGGACUGUAUGGACGUGGGUGAACUUUGUAAGAGAAUUUAACGAGAAGUACCUCCCACCUUUAGUCCAAGAAAGGAGGGAUGAUGAAUUUAUUGGACUACGCCAGGGGACCUUAAGUGUGGCUGAAUACGAAACGAAAUUCACCAAACUAUCCAAGUUUGCUUCCGAAUUAUUAGCCACGGAACCGAGAAGAGUGAGACGGUUUAUACAGGGAUUGAAUUUGGAAAUUCAAGAAGCUCUAGCGGCGGUUCAAGUGAAUACGUUUACAGAGGCCCUUGAGAAAGCCCAACGAAUCGAGAAUGCAAAGGCACAGGUAAAAGCCUCCCAAACCCGGAAAAGAAGUGCCGCGGCCAGUGUGGUUGAGGAACCGGGUGAAUCGAUAACACCCUCUAAAGUGCAGAAAGUGAAACCGUUCACCCGGCCACCAUGGACAUUAGGGGCAGUAGAUGAAAGGUCUACAAAAGGGAGCCAAAUCGGACCUGAGGAAAUUUCUCAAGAAAGCCAAAAGAUGGCUUCUCACUUGACUUGUGGCUACUGUGGAAAUGCCAAUCACACCAAGACCGAUUGUUGGCGAAAAGGGCGGAAGUGUUUGAUUUGCAGAAAUGGGGAUCAUCAAGUUAGCAACUGUCCGAGUAGACAGUCACGUGAAGGUAGUACUCCGCGACUGGAUGGAGCCAAAUCAAAACAAGCGAACGAAAGAGGGAAACGAACUAGUGUACCGGCAAAAGCCUAUGCGUUGGAUAACCAAACAGUUCCGGACUCGUCUGUAGCAACUGAAGGUAAAAUUUCGAGGACGAAAUUUCUUAAGGGGGAGAGAGUGUGAGGACCGUAAAUCUUCCUUAUUUCAUAAUAUUUUUAUUUUAUUUUCUCGCAUGCAUUUUCUUCAUUAUACCCUAUUAUAUUGAUUUUUCACAAAUUUUUGAGUUUUCAAAUCAUUUUCCUAGUUUAAUUUAGUUCAUAUUAAAUUUGAAGUGUAUUAUGGAUGUGGGACCCGCUAGUGUGCUAAGUACAAUAUAUUUUUGACAACUCAUUGGAGUUUUGUAUUAAGUGAUAUUAUUUUACAAGGUGUUAGGAGACAAUUAGAGGUUAGCUAGAUUAAUUAGUAUGGAGAGACAAGAAGAUAAGCUUAAACAUUAAAGGAGCCAAGUGUCAUGAACCUAUUGGGUGUGGACUUUGACCAAACCUUCUUUACCUUUACUAAACAUCAAAAUUGACCAAAAUUUCCUUCAUUCUUUUGCUUGCUUGGCCGAACCAUAGAGCGGAGAGAAGAGAGAAAAUCCAUCAUCUUGUACAUCAAUUUCUUUCUCCAAUCUUGAUUUCCAACCAUCAAAAUUGUAAAUUACUCCAUAAAAACUUCUUGCUAGGAAGGAUUAAAGGUUUUAGUGGAGUCAAUUUGGGAGGAAAGAUACUAAGUUACCAUCUUUCUAGUGUUCUAAGGUAAGGUUCCAAGAAAACCUCACUUUAUUUUUUUUAUAAUUGCAUAGUAGUGGUUUAUAGUGUUAAAUAGGUAGUUUUGUGGAAGAUUUCAUGGUUUAAAGUAGUAUUGUGGUAAUUUUUCAAUUUUAUGGGAAUUUUCUGCCCUUAUUUGAUGCUUAAGCAUAUGCCAUGGAUUGAUAGCCUUGUUGUGUGUGAAGUGAAGCUUGUAUAUGCUAGAUGUGAUUUCCUAUGAAAAAUUUCAGUUUGUGUAGUCAAAUUUCAGUUUUAGGGUUUAAUCUGCCCUGUUCUGACCGGAUUUAUUUGAGCAUGUUAGAGGCCAAAUAAGGCUUAGGUUAAAACAUGAAAGUUGUACUAAAUGGUGUUAACAAGAUUCCUACAAAAUUUCAGCUUAAUCCGAGCACUGUACCAUGUGAAAUGACUGAAAUACCCAUGAACCCUGUUUCGCGCCCAGAUUUUUGUUUUCGUGGAGUUUUCCAUUUUUGACCAUGAAAAUGCAUGAUUUGGCUUUGGAGGUCUUCAUAAGAAAUGUAGGUAUAUGUCUUAUCUUUCUAACUCCACUAGAAUCACCUCGUUUGGACUUCGGUAGUCUGAGUUAUUGUCAUUUACGCAUAAGGCGGUCAACAAGCCCGAAUGUGAGAUGCUGGUUCUGUUAUUUGAGAUUUUGACUUAGAUACGCUACAAACUGGACUGAGUGGUCUUCAUCAAAGUUGUAGGCCUUUGUCUUAGCUUCGAAACCAUAUAAAUUUCACCCCAAUCCGAUAAGCGUAGCUUCGAUUGUAUCCGUUACGCAAAACAACGUCAAAUCUGUCUUUUGUUUCUUGACUCAACCUUCAUUUCCGCACAUGGUCCUAGCUUGAUUUUGUACUUGUAUGACUUGGAGCCUAUGGAAUGGCUAUUCAAAUGAGAUGAUUUUGUGUAUGACUUUGGAUUUGAUUGAGGAAAAGAAUAAAGCCAUAAAUGACUGAAAAAUAGGUAAAUACAAAGGGCGUGCUGCCCAAAUUUACGCUCGAGAACUAGGUCUAUAUACUUGCGACUUGAGUAAGGCUUGAGAGAGUAUACCACGCGAACCAUCUAGGGUAUUUACGUUUUCUUUGCCACUUCGACUCAAAUAGCGAUUUUAAAGUUUUAACAAGUGAGUCUAAGUUUUACAAAUAUUUUACUUAUGUCCUUUGGUUUCAAUGUACUCUUUUCACUACCAAAGCCAUCUUUAUACUUUGUACUAGUACGUAUUUGACUUGUCUUUGACUCACUUACAUCUUUGAUGGUUGAAGCAUAAUGUGUUCAUUUGAUUAUAUUAGGAUACCUUGGUGCUUGAGGGUGUAUCCGGAAGGAAACUUUGGACGUUAUUUUGCUUAAAUAGGUGAGUUCCCUGUUUGUUAUAUUUUCAUUCACUUCAUGAUUUAUGUUAUUGUUUGAUAAAGUGUUAAGUGCUCUCAAUGAUUUUAAACGAGUUUUCUAGGCGAGUGUGUACUUUAUCGCACUCGACCUAAAUGAAUGUGAAAUUUCAAUGAUUUAAUCAUUGAAACGUUAGUUGUGCAUGAUGUAAGCCUUUUGGCUGAACUGGGCCCUGCCCUUCGUUACCGAUCGUCUCGAGCCAGAAGCGGACUCGGUCGGGCGAUAUGGUGACCCUAGGUGUAAAAGUGGUAUGCUCGAGUAUUACCUUAAAUUCUGGUGGAGUCUGACCAACGUCCAGGAAGGGGGUGAAUGAAAUGAAUGAACGAACGAGGGUUUUACUUGCAAAAAUGCAUUUUCAAAUGAUUGGAGAAAUAAGGGGAAAUGACAGGAGAACGAAUGAACGAACGAAUGAAUGGCUCCCUGUGAGCUCGUAUCCUUUUAAUGAAUGUGUUAUUAUAGCUCUCCAUUGUAAAUAUUUCCUGAGUUAUUGAUGCUCUAUGUUUAAUGUAGUGGAUUGAUUGUUUGAUUAUGUGUUUGGAACCUCACUGAGCUUUUAGCUCAUCCCUUUUUUUUUUGUUUUCCUUAACAGGGGAAGGCGAGCAAGGACGAGAGCUCUGUAUAGACUAGCUUGGUCUAGCUCUUGGUUUCUGUAAUGGUUCUCGCCCUAAUGCUUGGCACGAGCUGGUUGUGUGGCGAAUUGAGAACCUUUGUAUAUUUGAUGGUUGUACUUCCUUUUGAGAUAGCAAUGUAUAUAAGUUUUGUUUAAGUUUUUGAUCGUUGUUAUGUUUAUUCUUAUGGGUUUGUGCUGGUUUUGAUUGAGGAUGGAAGUGAACGACUGAGUCCUGGCGAGAGUUGGGCAGGCGGUUCGCCGAACCCUUUGGUUCGCCUUAGAGGGAGGUGGGGCUGUCACAGUUGGUAUCAGAGCCAGGUUCGCGUGGUCUCUGCGCGGAGUGAGCCUGGAUUAAGUGGUGAAUAAGUAUGAAAGAUUAAGUGCUCGUUCGAGCAUAAGCUCUGAAUUGUGAAUGUUAUAGGCUUUAAAUCUUUUUCGUGGUAUCUGAGGAUCAUAGAUAGGUACGUCAGGUAGGAAUCUCGAUUGUAGAUAGUUUACUCUUGGAACUGGCCAGCUCGAGAUGUGAAUUGUCUUAUUUCAGAUUCUUGUGCCCGAGUACUCCAGAGUUGAGACGGUGUUAAGUAUUUGAGAUUUUCAUUUUGGGACCAUGAAUAGGCUUUGUCUGGCUAGAAUGAGUACAAGAGGUCAAUGGAUAUCUAGUUUGGAUAGUAAGUGACGUGAGAGACCAGACGGGGUAUUUAACUGAGACUGGGACGAUAUCGCCUUUACUUUUGAUUUGCCCUUAUACCGUUAUGACAUGACGUUGGUUUGAGUAUUUGUGCAUAUGAUCAUCUGUCUAAUUUGAUAUGAAUUUAUGUAUUUGAUCGUCUGUCUUCUUGAUAUCUGGUGUGUUAUGUGUGUACAUGUCUAUUUGUGUAUUGGUGUGCUAGAAUUUGAUUACUUUCGUCCAUUUACUGCAUUUAUUCACUAAAUUAUCUUUUUGGGAAAAGAAAAAAAAAGAGGGGGAAAAUAUAUAUGGAGGGAAGACGUAGUCGCGGACGUGAUCGUGGCCGUGGGACUAAGCGAGUCCAAGAGCCAAUAGAAGAAAGGGAAACAACAGCUGAACCAGUACAAGGACCCAGGGUUGAAGCCAGAGACCAAAUGGCAAUGACAAUUCAACAAAUGACAAACAUUUUAGCGAGGUUGGUGGACCAACAAGGUCAAAUGCCCGUGAAUCAACCCCAAAACCCUGAAAUAGGAGAAGAUCGGGCUCUUGAGAGGUUUGAAAAGUUUGCACCUCCAAAAUUCGCUGGAGGGCCUGAUCCGGAUAUCGCUGAACAGUGGUUAGAGGCCAUGGUGAAUAUAUUCACAGCUUUGAACUAAACUGAACAGAGACAAGUGAGCUUUGCAGUGUUUCAGUUUGAAGGGCCGGCUCGCGCAUGGUGGAAUGUGAUUAGAGCAAAGUGGAAAAGAGAACGGACUGUAUGGACGUGGGUGAACUUUGUAAGAGAAUUUAACGAGAAGUACCUCCCACCUCUAGUCCAAGAAAGGAGGGAUGAUGAAUUUAUUGGACUACGCCAGGGGACCUUAAGUGUGGCUGAAUACGAAACGAAAUUCACCAAACUAUCCAAGUUUGCUUCCGAAUUAUUAGCCACGGAACCGAGAAGAGUGAGACGGUUUAUACAGGGAUUGAAUUUGGAAAUUCAAGAAGCUCUAGCGGCGGUUCAAGUGAAUACGUUUACAGAGGCCCUUGAGAAAGCCCAACGAAUCGAGAAUGCAAAGGCACAGGUAAAAGCCUCCCAAACCCGGAAAAGAAGUGCCGUGGCCAGUGUGGUUGAGGAACCGGGUGAAUCGAUAACACCCUCUAAAGUGCAGAAAGUGAAACCGUUCACCCGGCCACCAUGGACAUUAGGGGCAGUAGAUGAAAGGUCUACAAAAGGGAGCCAAAUCGGACCUGAGGAAAUUUCUCAAGAAAGCCAAAAGAUGGCUUCUCACUUGACUUGUGGCUACUGUGGAAAUGCCAAUCACACCAAGACCGAUUGUUGGCGAAAAGGGCGGAAGUGUUUGAUUUGCAGAAAUGGGGAUCAUCAAGUUAGCAACUGUACGAGUAGACAGUCACGUGAAGGUAGUACUCCGCGACUGGAUGGAGCCAAAUCAAAACAAGCGAACGAAAGAGGGAAACGAACUAGUGUACCGGCAAAAGCCUAUGCGUUGGAUAACCAAACAGUUCCGGACUCGUCUGAAGCAACUGAAGGUAAAAUUUCGAGGACGAAAUUUCUUAAGGGGGAGAGAGUGUGAGGACCGUAAAUCUUCCUUAUUUCAUAAUAUUUUUAUUUUAUUUUCUCGCAUGCAUUUUCUUCAUUAUACCCUAUUAUAUUGAUUUUCCAGAGAUUUUUGAGUUUUCAAAUCAUUUUCCUAGUUUAAGUUAGUUCAUAUUAAAUUUGAAGUGUAUUAUGGAUGUGGGACCCGCUAGUGUGCUAAGUGCAAUAUAUUUUUGACAACUAAUUGGAGUUUUGUAUUAAGUGAUAUUAUUUUACAAGGUGCUAGGAGACAAUUAGAGGUUAGCUAGAUUAAUUAGUAUGGAGAGACAAGAAGAUAAGCUUAAACAUUAAAGGAGCCAAGUGUCAUGAACCUAUUGGGUGUGGACUUUGACCAAACCUUCUUUACCUUUACUAAACAUCAAAAUUGACCAAAAUUUCCUUCAUUCUUUUGCUUGCUUGGCCGAACCAUAGAGCGGAGAGAAGAGAGAAAAUCCAUCAUCUUGUACAUCAAUUUCUUUCUCCAAUCUUGAUUUCCAACCAUCAAAAUUGUAAAUUACUCCAUAAAAACUUCUUGCUAGGAAGGAUUAAAGGUUUUAGUGGAGUCAAUUUGGGAGGAAAGAUACUAAGUUACCAUCUUUCUAGUGUUCUAAGGUAAGGUUCCAAGAAAACCUCACUUUAUUUUUUUUAUAAUUGCAUAGUAGUGGUUUAUAGUGUUAAAUAGGUAGUUUUGUGGAAGAUUUCAUGGUUUAAAGUAGUAUUAUGGUAAUUUUUCAAUUUUAUGGGAAUUUUCUGCCCUUAUUUGAUGCUUAAGCAUAUGCCAUGGAUUGAUAGCCUUGUUGUGUGUGAAGUGAAGCUUGUAUAUGCUAGAUGUGAUUUCCUAUGAAAAAUUUCAGUUUGUGUAGUCAAAUUUCAGUUUUAGGGUUUAAUCUGCCCUGUUCUGACCGGAUUUAUUUGAGCAUGUUAGAGGCCAAAUAAGGCUUAGGUUAAAACAUGAAAGUUGUACUAAAUGGUGUUAACAAGAUUCCUACAAAAUUUCAGCUUAAUCCGAGCACUGUACCAUGUGAAAUGACUGAAAUACCCAUGAACCCUGUUUCGCGCCCAGAUUUUUGUUUUCGUGGAGUUUUCGAUUUUUGACCAUAAAAAUGCAUGAUUUGGCUUUGGAGGUCUUCAUAAGAAAUGUAGGUAUAUGUCUUAUAUUUCCAACUCCCCUAGAAUCACCUCGUUUGGACUUCGGUAGUCUGAGUUAUUGUCAUUUACGCAUAAGGCGGUCAACAAGCCCGAAUGUGAGAUGCUGGUUCUGUUAUUUGAGAUUUUGACUUAGAUACACUAUAAACUGGACUGAGUGGUCUUCAUUAAAGUUGUAGGCCAUUGUCUUAGUUUCGAAACGGUAUAAAUUUCACCCCAAUCCUACAAGCGUAGCUUCGGUUGUGUCCGUUACGCAAAACAACGUCAAAUCUGUCUUUUGUUUCUUGACUCAACCUUCAUUUCCGCACAUGCUCCUAACUUGAUUUUGUACUUGUAUGACAUGGAGCCUAUGGAAUGGCUACUGAAAUGAGAUGAUUUUGUAUAUGACUUUGGGUUUGAUUGAGGAAAAGAAUGAAGCCAUAAAUGGCUGGAAAAUAGGUAAAUACAAAGGGCGUGCUGCCCAAAUUUACGCUCGAGAACUAGGUCGAUAUACUUGCGACUUGAGUAAGGCUUGAGAGAGUAUACCACGCGAACCAUCUAGGGUAUUUACGUUUUCUUUGCCACUUCGACUCAAAUAGCGAUUUUAAAGUUUUAACAAGUGAGUCUAAGUUUUACAAAUAUUUUACUUAUGUCCUUUGGUUUCAAUGUACUCUUUUCACUACCAAAACCAUCUUUAUACUUUGUACUAGUACGUAUUUGACUUGUCUUUGACUCACUUACAUCUUUAAUGGUUGAAGCCUAAUGUGUUCAUUUGAUUAUAUUAAGAUACCUUGGUGCUUGAGGGUGUAUCCGGAAGGAAACUUUGGAUGUUAUUUUGCUUAAAUAGGUGAGUGUUCCCUGUUUGUUAUAUUUUCCUUGAUUUCAUGAUUUGUGUUAUUGUUUGAUAAAGUGUUAAGUGCUCUCAAUGAUUUUAAACAAGUUUUCUAGGCGAGUGUGUACUUUAUCGCACUCGACCUAAAUGAAUGUGAAAUUUCAAUGAUUUAAUCAUUGAAACGUUAGUUGUGUAUGAUGUAAGCCUUUUGGCUGAACUGGGCCCUGCCCUUCGUUACCGAUCGUCUCGAGCCAGAAGCGGACUCGGUCGGGCGAUAUGGUGACCCUGGGUGUAAAAGUGGUAUACUCGAGUAUUACCUUGAAUUCUGGUGGAGCCUGGCCAACGUCCAGGAAGGGGGUGAAUGAAAUGAAUGAACGAACGAGGGUUUUACUUACAAAAAUGCAUUUUCAAAUGAUUGGAGGAAUAAGGGGAAAUGACAGGAGAACGAAUGGCUCCCUGUGAGCCCGUAUCCUUUUAAUGAAUGUGUUAUUAUAGCUUUCCAUUGUAAAUAUUUCCUGAGUUAUUGAUGCUCUAUGUUUAAUGUAGUGGAUUGAUUGUUUGAUUAUGUGUUCGGAACCUCACUGAGCUUUAGCUCAUCCCUUUUGUUUUGUUUUCCUUAACAGGGGAAGGCGAGCAAGGACGAGAGCUCUGUAUAGACUGGCUUGGUCUAGCUCUUGGUUUCUGUAAUGAUUCUCGCCCUAGUGCUUGGCACGGGCUGGUUGUUUGGUGAAUUGAGAACCUUUGUAUAUUCGAUGGUUGUACUUCCUUUUGAGAUAGCAAUGUAUAUAAGUUUUGUUUAAGUUUUGGAUCGUUGUUAUGUUUAUUCUUAUGGGUUUGUGCUGGUUUUGAUUGAGGAUGGAAGUGAACGACUGAGUCCCGGCGAGAACUGGGCAGGCGGUCCGCCGAACCCUUUGGUUCGCCUUAGGGGGAGGUGGGGCUGUCACAAUUCACCUCUUCUUUUAGAAUUACCUAAAAAUUCAAGAAAUCAUUCAAUCAAGCACCUUUUCAUUCAUUAGGUAAUCUAAGUUACUCACAUAAAUUUCAAAAACUCCCACUAAGCUAAUUAAAAUGCUACUUUUGGCUACUUAAUAUGUAACUUUGUUACCAAACCAAAUUAAGCAUAAAACUAUCAAGAAUUCACCAAAUAAAUACAAUAAAUGCAAAUCACAAAAUAUAUUUAUCAUUAACAAUCACCAAUAGCAUCAAUAAGCUCAAAUUAAUGCACCUAACUUCACAUAUUAAAAAUUGCCUAAAAAUAGAAAAUAUUUAAUCAUGGCAAAAUGCAAAUAACAAAGUUAGGUGAAGAUUUGUUACCUCAAGGUGGUUUGGUGAUGUUCAGAGAUGAAUAUGAUGUGAAAACCCCCAAGAAACUUACUCCAAUUUGACCUCAAUUGAGUGAUUCAAUAAAGUGCAACCCUAACUAUUGGUAUGCUUGAAACCACUUCAGAGUUGUUUUUGAAAAACUAUGAACUAUGAAAUUCACUCUAGAGGAUGGGAGAAAGUGAUUUGGUGAAGGUUAUUUGAAGAUUAAAUGGUGAAAAGUGGUGUUUUAGUGAGUGAUGUGUGUUUGAGGUUGAAGAUUAUAGCCAGAAUCCGGCCGAUUUUGGCCGGAUAUCCGGCCGGAUUGUCGGCCGGAUUCUGGCCAGUGAGCUGGAAAAAAAAUUCUGAUUGCAGAAGUGGAUCCGAGCUCGGAUCCAUUGAAUCUGCACUUAUUGCAGAAUUUUUGUAAUUUUCAGUUUGACCCCAAUUCUCCAAAAUACACCCUAGAUCAUUUCUAUGUCAAAAUAAAUCGUUCACGCACAUGUAAAAUGAUCUAAACAUGCAUUCUAAACCUCUUUAAUGCAACAAAAACCACAAUUACUGAAUUUGAGAUGUUGAGAUCUUUGAUUAAACUUCGCCUUUUUCACCUCAUUUGGUCACUUUUGCAUCUUUUUCCAAAACCUACAAAUGAAAAAUAACAAAAUAACUUAAACUCAUACUUUAAACAUAAAAUCACUCCAAAGUAACACGAACUUAAACAAACAUUGGGUUGCCUCCCAAUAAGCGCUUCUUUAAAGUCAAUAGCUUGACUAUUUCACCUCAUUUUUUCAAGGAGGCUUUGUUAGCGAAUAAUCCACCAUUUUUGGUCAUGGUGGAUCAUUAAAUGGUGACUUUAAAGCAAAAGUCACAUAAUCUAAUGAUGUGAGAAAUGGAAUUGACUUACCUAUCCCAAGUGUUUCAUAGAUAUUACCUUGAAUAUGCACCACUUGAGAAUUCACCAAAGGAAAUGCCAUGAGAGUAUCCUGGGUAGCAAUACCCUUAGAACCUAUACUUUCAAUGCACUCCUCAAGAGGGGUGAAAAAUGAGUCAUUAAAACUCACCUCUAGAGGCUCAAAGUUAGUUCCAAAGAUAUUGUCAUGUGAAAUGGAUAUUUGCUCAUUAUAACACACUUGGGAUUCAUCAUUUUCAUCAAAAUGUAACCCAUUUUCACAUACAACAUUCCCACCAUUCAUGCUAGGAUCAUUUUGCAAAUUAUUAGAGGAAAUAACUUCACACAAUGCAUUCAGUUGCUCAUGUAUUCUACCAAAGUGAUAAGCUAAUUCAUCUAGUCUUUCCUCAAUCCUAUCAAAAUGGUCGGCAGUUGCAUUUGCUAGCUUUUCUAUUGCUAAAUCAAAUUGAUUAGAAAACUUUUCUUCAGCUAGCUCCCAAGAUGCAUUAGAAUCAUUAGCUAAUAGUUCACUUUCUAAUUCCCAAGGCAGAGGUGCAUUAGCUAACUUCUCUAUUACUAACUCCCAAGAUGGUUUUGAUUCAUAUUGGACACUUUCAGGUUGGUAAUCAUAAAAAUAUGGAUAAUCACUAUAUGUACAUUGAUUAUCCCAACUAUAAGUAGGAGAAUUGCUCCAAUUAGCACUAUAAUGAUCAAAGCAGGGAUUGUAAUGGUCUAAUUCAUCAUAAUAAUCCACAUUUUGUACUUGCAUACAUGUAUUAGUAGCAUGAUAACCUCCACACAAGUCACAAAUCACAUGAUAAGAAUUAAAAACAUUAGCAUUCCUCCUUUGUUUAAUUUCAUGCAUAAUUGUGUCCAUUUGAACUUGUAGCAUCAUAACAUCAAAUUUAGCCUUUAAACACCUUAAACCAUCUUCAAAAGACACACAUUCAGUAAAUUCUUGGUUACCUCUGUUGAAGGAGUUUUGCCUUUGGUAACCAUCCAUUGCCAAACUUCCACUUCUCAAGCAUUGUCCUCUAAAUUGACCUACCAUUCUCAUCACCUAAAAUUGCUUUUUAACAACCUCAGAAGCAAAAUUAGUAAGAAAAAUAGGUAAUGAAACACAUACACACAUAAAACACAAAACUAACAGAAAAUAACAUUCACACUAUAACUAAUGAAAUAUCUAAACUAAUAAAGUUGCUCUUCACACCGAUAUUGCCAAAUCUUCCCCGGCAACGGCGCCAAAAACUUGACGUGCGCAGGGUAUACAUAUAAUAUUAAACUCAUCUAAUCAAGUUUUACAUUUAUAAACUCCUAAAUACCCCACACGCGAUUUAUUGCAAGUAUACGAAUCGUGAGCGAGUAUAGGGUAUUAAGGGUCGAUCCCACAAGGAAGAUUGCAAUUACUGGCACUACUAUAGCUUCUCUAUUAUUUAGAAUAUCAAUGAAUUAUAACAAAUUAAACCUACUGAAAUUAUACAAAAUAACAAAUGAAAGCUCCUUAGGUUGUGGUAUCCCUAACUACUCAUGCAAGUGCUAUAUUUGGAUCAUUGAGUACUACUAUCUAGGCUAGUUAUGGUGUAAUUUCCUUAAACAUGUGAAACCUACUUUCGUAGUGAAUCAACUAUACUUAUAACUAAUCCAUACCUAUUCUCAUGGUUAUAAAAUUAGCUACAAGUUCAUUUCUUCAGUGAAAUUACAUGAAAUCAAUAACUAAAACCACAUAGAUGCACCUCUACUUUUGUGAGUGUACUCCCUAUGUUUAGCACUUCUUGAACUAGUGUUAAAUCUCAAUUUUCAUUGCAGAAAUAACACCUUAGAUAAUCACAAUUAAUGGUACCAAAUUGAUCAUGAUUUAAAGAGCCAAAGUACUAAAUAACUUGCUCAAAUCAUAGCAAUCAAAUAACCAAAUAAUAAACACUAACAAUUAUAGAAAGUUCAACCAAACCCAAGGCAUAAACUUUAAAGUUACAUAUUAAACACAAAAUCCAGAACUUGUAUAUUAACCAAACUUAAGAAUCUGAUACAAAAGAUAAAGAGUUGGAGAAGAGAUAACCCAUGUCACUUGAGUUUCAACUCCUCCAUCUUCAUCUCCAUUUUCAUCCUAAUCUAGCCAAGAUACAAGAAUGGAUGAUCUAUACCACUCUACACUAAGCUAAACUAAAACUAGGAAGAUGAAAGAUCUGCAUUUCUGCACUCCAAGCUUUCUCCCGUAUCUCCUCUCUAUUUUUCUUCUAUGGUUUCCCAUCCCUUCUCUUGCAAUGAAUUUGGCUAUUUAAUGAUGAAAAUUGGUCAAGAAAUGAGGCCUCCACCUUCCUUUUACAGCUGGGAAUGUUUCUCACAUGUCUAGCAACGCAUGUGAGUUGGUGGGACUGAAAUUGAGUUUUCCGCGUACAGAGCAGCCUUUUCUGACCACAAUCCGACCAAAAAUCCGGCCAAAUUCCGGCCGGAUUGCUACAGUGACCAUUUGGUCACUUCUGGUUCAAUUUCCAGUUUUGCUCCGAUUUUGCGUCAACAUCAACUGAACUUUUCUUGAUGAUAAAAGCUGAUUUAGUUCUUGACCAAAACAUAAAACUUGUAGCUCUUUGAGUUAGAUUUCCAAUGCAUUAAGAAUCACCUCAUUUGGAUCUGUGUAGGCUGAGAAUGACCAAAAUACCCUUGACUGCUCACUGCCCUGUUCCAGCUUCGACCAAUACAAAUUUGCUAGUGUUAUUCGGAUUUUUGACCUAGAAAACCUUAAAAUUGGAUUCAGAUGUCUUCACCAAAGUUGUAGAUCUAUCUCUUAUCUUCAAAUGGGUUGAAGAAUCAUCCCAAUCCGAUCAUUGUAGCUCAAGUUAUAGCCGAAAUAUGAAAAUGUAUCAAAACUGUCAAAAUACACAAAAUCCAAGUAAAAAGUGAUAAAAACCUCAUUUAAUCACUUCAAAGUAUUUUUCACCAAUUAUAGCCAAAAUCAUUCAUUUUCUUCCAAUAAUAUACCCAAAGUGACUAAAAAUAAUAUAAAAUAUCAUACAAUUAUUACGUAAAUUAGUCACUUACCAAUAAAAUAAUUACCCGACCCGAUCCUCUUUCCCUUAAACGGGUUGCGAAUUUCUGCAGCCCAUUUUCCCCAUUUCCUCUGCCUGAGACCUUUGUAUUUGGAAGAGGAAGGCCUUGAUUGAGGUUAACUCUAUAGUUUAGCUAAACCAGUCUUUUUCUUGGGGUUGUUUUUCUCCACAUUAUUGCUCUCUUGACAGGAAUUUUUAGCUUCCGAUGCAAUAGCCAUAGUCACAGGCUAACCAGGUUGCCUUUUCAACUCCACAAUAGGGAGAAUAAUCUCCCUAAGAAAUCUCUUAGGCUUCUUUUCAAUCAGCCUUUCAUCAUCUGAUGAAUCAGUAUCAGUAGCAUCCGAAUCAUAACAAAAGACCCGAAUCUUCCUCACGGGUCUGGUGGGUUCAGCCAUGAUUUUUGGCCUUUUUUUAUGGUACUCUUGAUUCAGUAAGACUUAUCUUCGAGGCUCUGGCAUUUUUAUUUUCUUUUUCUUCAAUCACUCAACUCCAAAACCCUGAAUCAAAUACUUAGAAAAUCUCCAAGAAUGUGCUUGUAUCCCUGCAACAGAAUUAAACAAAAAUCAACUACCCAACAUAAUUUAAAUUCUUCCAAAAAAAAUAAAAGAAAAGGGGAUGUAUAUCAGGUAUGAGGCCCUCUAAAGAAUAAAAAAAGUGAUAAAAAUCACUUUAUGUGAAGUCCCCAAAACAUAUUACUCCAGAACAAGUCCUUUUGGGCCUCAAACGUAUUGAAACAGUUGGAAAAAGAAGAGAGAGAGCUCUGCUGGUUUGCAAAGAAGAGGGAUUUCUAAUUGGUGAUAGCUAGUAACAGAACAGCAGAGGAAACCGAAAUCCAGUAGAGCUUCUUCGGCAAAGCCCCAAUAUUCCCAAAACUCAAUUGGAAUCUUGCCAACAUAAAUCUCAGCACCCAACCCUAGGUUUAGAAUUGCGUCCUUCAUCAGUUCAACCUAGCAAUGAAGUGCCCGAAAUACCCCUGCUUAGUUGCUCAAUUAGUAGGUUAAUCGAAUUUACAUGGUGGCGCCGCCACUGCGUUCCUCAAUUGGUACCGCAAAAUAAGUAUAGGUAUCAAAGUAGCCAAAAAAAUUAUACAGGGACUAAAUUGACACUAUAAAAAAGUAUUGGGACGAAAUUGGCCAUUUUCCCUUUUAUUAGGAUACUAGUUUAUCUAUCUUUUACCACCUUUUGAAAUAGGUUGGUUAAUCUUAUUAGGAUGUAGACUUUGCUUAGGAGAAGUAGUUGUGGCAGAGAUAGGGAACGAAGCAAGCAACAAAACAUCAUCGUUGUCAUUCUUUUCUUUCAUGAAAAAGCCAGAUUAUCGCGAGACUCUUUGCUUUUCUCGUAAGAAGAAACGAGAAACAAUUCUUCUUUUUCUUUUCCACUGGACUUCAUCACAUAUUUGAAGAAUGGGCAUGAAAAUUACUUCUACUAAUUCCCGUGUGAUUUCUUCUGUGGAGAUGAACUAAGUUUUUUAUUCUAGUCAAGAAAUAACGGAGGAUUUGGUUUAACUAAAAUUAUGAGAUCAAAUUGAUUACAUUUAUUUCUUGUAUUUAGUGGUAUUGGUAUGUUCCCUGGUUUAAGUUCUUAUGCCUAUUAUGUUAUUUGAAUAUCAAGGGUCUGGUAUUUGAAUUAAUCUAAUAACCUAAAACUAAUUAGCACAAUUAAAUUCAUAAUUGUUUAAUUACUUUAAACUAGUGGUAACUAGCAUGAUUGGAUUUGUGUUAAGGGAACAUAUGGGCUAAUUUAAAAUAAACAAUAACCCUCGUAGUAUGUUAUUUGGUUAGAACAGGGUUUCUCUAAUUAUUAAAGCAAUUAAAAAAUUGAACUUUAAUGUCAUACCUAGGAUUAUUUCUUAAUUAGGACAGUGGUUAACGGUCGUACCAUAAUCACCAAUACAGUAAGGAGAAAUUGAUUGUCAUCGCUUGUUUGGCAAUUAUAACUUGUUUAUCAGUGAGUAAAUGAAAUUAUUAUUGGAUUAGUGAUUAAUAGAGUGAACCAUUUUUGAAGUUAUUUCUUGGCUAGAGUUUGUUUAUUAUUGAUUCAAUUUCAAUUAAUUAUAAUUUAGUCCUUUUUAUUUAAGUUGUUUAAUUAUUCCCAAUUCUAUAAAAAUUUCCCGUACUCUGGGCUCUAGAAGAAACGAAUUUUUUCCAGUUCCUGUGGAUUCGACCCUGCUCACGGCUAUAUACAAAAUUUAUAUUUUACUCAAGUAAAUAUUUAUUAUUGCACAGAUUCGACACCUGUCAUUGACUAAGCUCCAUUUCCACAAAUCCUGUCUCAUGUCCUUGAUCACUUUUAAUAUGUAAAACCAUAUGCAUGAUCCUAAUUCAAAAUAGUAAGGUACAGCAUAGAACAACUCAAUGGAAAGCUUAUGAUUUACCCAUUUAAACACUAGGAAAUUUUGCAAAAAAUUGAAAUUCAAAAAAAAUGCAAAACUUUGAACUAUGUUACUAACUUUACCAAAAUUUUUUGGUGCAAGUUAUGCCUAAAAAAUUCAGUGUCAUUUAAUUAAUUCAUAUGUGUAAUUUUUGGUUAUCAGAUGCGUGUGAACAUGUUAUUAUCUAAAUCCAUUAACUUUAAGUGCUGAAUUGAAUUAUCAAAUAAAACCUAAUAUUUAACAAUUCAACAACUUAACUUAAUGGAAUUCAAACUUCAGACUUCAAUUUUCAAAUUUUAAUUUUAUCAAACGCACCCUUCUUUUACCCAAAUUCUACCAAACAGAAUUUUUUCUACAUAUUAACAGCCUCACAAUUCACAAAGUCAUUUUAACAAUUGAAUCUAUUAAAUAAUGUCAAUCGGUUUGGAUUGUUGUGUGAUAUCAAAGGUGAAAAAAAUCACAUGUGUGCAAAAAAAAGAGGUGCAGAUUUUUCUUUUGGAAAAACGGAGAAUUGUAGUCUUAGUCUCGAAUUUUUAACAUAUGUGCUAAAUUAGUCUCUAAUGUUCUGACCAAAAUAAAUUUGGUUCUCAAAGUUUUUGGUAGUAGGUACACGCAACAAUGACGAAAACUCAACAAUGACUAACGGUCAAAAUUUGAUUGUUGUUAUUUAACAAUUUUGAUUUUGUACUUUCAGACCAUAAUGUUUGAAAUUUUAAUCAUUUGAGUUGCUUAAGUUUUCCAUAGUGGUAUUGAGGGUAUUAGAAAUAAGAUGCGAUUUACAACACAAUUGUCUUAAAUGGGUACUAGCAAUUCUAAUUAAACUUUUUAUUUUUUACUUCAUUUAUUCAUUGACGUGCGCGAGGUAUACAUAUAUAAUUAGCUCAUCCACAAUUAAGUUUUUCAUUUAUAAAUCCUAAAUGCCCCACACGCGAUUUAUCGCAAGUAUACGAAUCGUGAGCGAGUAUAGGGUAUUAAGGGUUGAUUCCACAGAGAAUAUUGCAAUUACCGGUGUUUCUCGAACUCCUUUAUUAUCUAGACUACCAUAAAUAAAAAAUUAAUGAAAAUAACACUAGAAAGCUCCUAGAGAUAUAGAAUUCCUUACUACUCUUGCAAGUGAAUACUAUUAUCUUGGUUAGUUAUGGCGUAAUUUCCUAAUGUAUGUGAAAUCUACUCUCGUGAGUGAAUCAACUAUACUUGUAACUAAAUCAUACCUACUCUCGUGGUUAUGAAUUUAUUACAAACUCAUUUCUUCAAUGAAACUACAUGAAACAAGUCACUAAAGCCACAUAGGUGCACCUCUACUCUCGUGAGUGUACUCCGUAGGUUUAUCACUUCUUUGAACUAGUGUUAAAUUCCAAUUCUCAUUGCAAAUUUAAUACCUUUAGAUAAUCACAUCUAAUGGCCGGUUAAUCACGAUUAGAAAAGCAAAAGUGACGAAUAACUUACUCAAAAUAAUAUCACCAAAUAACUAAGUAAACAUCAUAAACAAGAUAUAGAAAGUUCAUCCAUACUCUAGGCAUGAACUUUAGAAAAACAUGAAGAAAAACAAAGCCAAACUUGUAUUAUAGCUAAACAUGAAAUCAAAUACAAAAGAGAAAGUUAUAGGAGAGAUGUCACCCUUGUCACAUGAGCUAUAACUCUCCAUCUUUGCUCCUCCAAUCUUCAUCCAAAUCUAGAUACAAAUACAAGAAGGAUAAACUAUUCUACCUAUACUAUACUAAUGAACUAAGCAAAACUAGUGAAAGCUAUAUUUCUGGUAAGUUUCUCUAGCCUUCCAAAGUUUUUUUGAAUCUUGCAAGUCCAUGGCUAUAUAUAGAUGAAUGCAGUCAGCAAAUGAGGCUUGAAACAUCCCUUUUACAGCUGCUAAUUGGUUGUCAUACGUUCAUCCAUAGCUGUGAAUUAUUAAAGGAGAAAACAGGUUGUACCAGUGGAGAGCAGCUAUUUCUGACCAGAAUCUGGCUACUUCAACUGCUAUUUUCUCUAUGAUGGUGGCUGAAUUGGCUCUUGUCCAAAACAUAGAAGUUGUAGUACAUUGCAAUAGCUAUCCAAUGCUUCAAGAAUCAUCCAAAUUGGAGUUUAGUAGAUUGAGAUAUGACCAAAAUACCAAAACCUAGUCAGAGCUCUGUUUUCAACUUUGGACAGCAGUGUUGAACUUUGAUAUUUCGACCUUUUGACUGAGAAAACGGCCAAACUGGACUCUGACGUCUUCAUACCAAAUUUAGAUACAUCUCUUAACUUCAAAAUGGUUUAAGAAUCAUCCCAAUCCAAUGUUUGUAACUCAAGAUAUAGCCGAAAUACCAACAGCUGCCAAGGCUGACUUUUUGUUGCUUUUUUUUUUACCUUAAUUGCAUUUAUUCUUUUACACUUCAUAUUCUAUUUUUAUCACUUUAAUCUAUCAUUACACUCCAUUUGAUGAUUGAAUCAUUAAACCUACAAAAUAUGAAGUUUUUACCGUAAAAAUCCAUAAAAAUGUAAUUUUUGCCACUUAAACCAUAAAAUGCAUAUUUUCACUAGAAACUUAGUUUAUUAGCUAUAAAAUUAAAUAAACCACACCAAAACUAAUUAUUAAAGCACAUUAAAAAUAUGUAAAAUAUAUUAUUAUCGAAUAUCCCUGCACUUGAACCAUUGCUUGUCCUCAAGCAAUUAGAAAUACAAACCAACAAUGAUCCAACAUUUUGAAAAUAAACAUAUGUGCACCAUUCAACUUCAUUUUCUCUAAACAAGGUAAAUAACUAUUAUGCAAUCUUUCAUUAAUCCUCAAGUACUCAUAUUUUUUUUUUUAAUCCGGCUAACCUCGAACACGAGGGGGGACGCCACUCCCAAAUUUAUUCAAAAAUAGACACAAGAGAUGUUCUGUUUUGAGAUGUUCGCCAGAAGGGCUAAGACAACCGUACAUAAGGCAUUCGCAUCUUAUCUAGGCGGGCUAGCCCCUGUAUGUAGUCCGGGAGGGUGGAGGCCCCAAAGCUGUGAUCGACACCCGUGGAACUUGCUAGAUUUGCCAGGGCGUCAGCCACCCCGUUUGCCUCCCGAUAGACAUGAGAGAAGGUAACCUGGCGGCCCAGCGCUAAGGCUUGGAUGCGUGAGAUAGUCUUCCAUAGCUUCCAAGGUACUCGUCCAUUGUCAUUCACCAUAGCCAUCAGAACCUGAGAGUCCAUUUCAACUUGCAGAGAGUGGUAACCUGUGGAGAGCAACAUACCCUCCAGUAAUGCCGAGGCCUCCGCUUCCAUGUUUGUCCUUGAGCCCAAAAAAUAGGAGAAACCACGGAGGACAUUACCCCCCGAGUCACGAAACACACCUCCCACACCAGAUGAGCCUGGAUUCCCUAGAGAUGAGCCAUCAACAUUCAAUUUUACAAACCCCUCAGGUGGUGAUUCCCAAAGGACCCAGCGUGGGGCCAUCCGCUUCGGUGACGUCAGUCGGAGAAACAAGCCCGAGCGGACCAGCUCCCCGUCAUCCUGCGUCACUCGAGCGAAAGGCCGGACCUGGGACAAGUGAUGCAGCAGCGUUUGAAUAUUCCAGCAAACCUGAGUUGGGGUUAAAACAACGCCCUCAAACACCGCCAUGUUCCUAGCUUUCCAAAGGCCCCAACAGAUUAGCGACGGCAAUACCUUGCACAGCUUACCCCGUGCAGAGCCUGGAGGAUGACAUAGCCACCAUUGCUGUAAACGGGAGAUAGUGUCGGCCGUAGGCGACUGAGGAACCCACAUGGCCCUGGCGAAAAAACUCCAAACCUGAGAUGCUAGAACGCAUUCCGAGAAGACGUGAUCUUGAGACUCUCCAUUCAAGCAAAACGAGCACUUUGAGGGGAGUUGGAGGCCAAACCGCUGAAGGGCAUCAGGGAAAGGGAGAUACCGAUUGAGCAGCUUCCACAUAAAGACAGCAAUCUUGCAAGGAGCACUGGCACUCCAUACACACUUCCUAGAUCCAAGGCAAGCUCUUUUGGGCCGCAAAGCGUCCCAAGCUGAAGAAAUGGUGAAAUCGCCAGAAGAUGUGAGGGUCCAAGCUGGUUUAGCUCUGUCGUCUAACUCAAUUAAGCGGGUGGACUGCGUCACCAUAUCAGAAACGGACAGCAUUCGUCGCCAGACUCUGGAUGCUCCACAGACUACCCCAUUGUGCCUAUUUUAAAUAACCUCAAUAUCAAGUAAAGGAGAGCCAAUUAUACCACCAUUAUAACAAAUUCAAAUCGAUUUUUCAUCUUUACCCAAUUUCACAAGCAAGCAGCUCAUAUGGUCAAUAAUAAUGCUUCCUAAACUCAUGAUCAUCUUUUUAUUCUAUUUGAAAAGAUAUUUAUUCAUAUAACAUAUCUAAAUAUUAUUUAAGAUGUGAGACUGCCUUUUGACGCGAGAAUCGACAUUUUUAGAUGAAGAUCACCGGUUACUCAACACUUCACAUAUUCAAGUUGUUUUGCAUACUCUUAAUUCAAGUACCGUUUUAAGCGAAAAUCGACAUUUGUAGAUGAAGACUCCCGGUUACUAAGUACAAGAAUCAUUGGAGUAGAACAAAUCUUAUUUUCUUUUUUCUUCUUUUUUUCAUUUUUUCUCUUUUUUCUUUCCACUUUUUUUUUCUUUUUUUUAACAGCAAAGAUAAUAAUAAUUGUCUCAAAAGAAUAAUCAUGAGAAGAGUAUUGUACUUAUUGACCAUAUUUAUCACUUAAUUUAUAAAAUCAAAUAAGGAGAAGAAAUUUCAUUAAAUAUGCAAAAAAAUAGGCAUAAUUUUCUCCACUUUACAAGAUAUACUUUCCUACAAAUGCACAAAUUAUAAUCACAUAAUAGUUAUUUCCAAAUUAAAUUAGAAAAGAAGUUUCCAAAUCACAUAUAUUUACCUCAAAAAAUAGAAGGAAUUUGAACUACUAAUGGUAUGAAACUGGUUAUCCCUUUGAUAAAAUUAAAAAAAUUUAAAACUUUUUGGGGCAAAUUUGCAAAUUUGGACAAGAUUUUGAAAAAAUUUUGGAUUUAAACACAAGUCCAAUAUUUGUAACCAACAAGUCAAUCACAUACAAUGUAUAUAAUCUCAAUUCUUCCCCCCACACUUAACAUGCGCAUUGUCCUCAAUGUGUAAAAAGGAAAAUCAAGAUAAAGAAAAGUAAUACUCCCAUAUUGUUGCGAUCGAAAUGUCAAAGCAUGAAAUUCACGAACUAUUGUCUACUUAUCUCCAAUACUUCAUGCAUUUCAUUUGAUAACCAUUAGUAAUAUUACCCUAAAGAUGGAAAAUGAGGAACAAAUGGAAAACAACAAAAUAACUAAACACAUAAUUUAAACAUGAAAUUACACCAAAAUAAAAUAGCCAAAACAUUGGAUUACCUCCCAAUAAGCGCUUUUAUGUACAGUCGUUGGCUCGACUUUUUCACCUCAUUUCUCAAGGAGGCUUUGUUAAUGAAUAAUCCACCAAUUUUGGUCGUGGUGGAUCAUUAAAAGGUGGCUUAAUAGCAAAAGCCAUAUGUUCUAAUGAUAUGAGAGAUGGAAGAAGCAUACCUAUCUCAAGUGAGUCAUAGAUAUUACCUUGAAUAUGCACCACUUGAGAAUUCACCAAAGGAGUUGCCAUAAAGGUUUUUUAGGCAAUAAUACUUUUAAAACCUGUACUUUCAAUACACUCCUCAAGAGGGGUGAAAAAUAAGUCAUUAAAACCCAUCUCUUGAGGUUCAAAAUUAGCUCCAAAGGUGCUAUCAUGUGAAAUGGAUAUUUGCUCAUUGAAACUCGAAUUAGAUUCAUCAUUUUGAUCAAAAUAUAAUUCAUUUUCACUUGCAACAUGCUCACCAUUCAUGCUAGGGUCAUUUUGCAUAUCAUUAGAAAAAAUAACUUCACACAAAAUAUGUAAUUGUUCUUGUAUUCUACCAAAGUGAGAAGUUAAUUCAUUUAACACUUCUUCAACCCUAUCAAAAUGGUCGGAGGUUGCAUUUGCUAACUUUUCUAUUGCUAACUCCCAAGAUGGCUUAGAUUCAAAUUGGACACAUUUGGAUGGAUAAUCAUAAAAACAUGGAAAAUCACUAUAAGUACAUUGAUUAUCCAAAUCAUAAGCAUAAGAAUUGUCCCUAUUAGGACCAUAUUGAUCAAGAUAAGGAUUGCAAUGCCCAAAUUCAUUAUAAUAAUCCACAUUUUGUGCUUGCCUAUAUGUAUAAGUAGCAUGAUAACCUCCACACAAGUCACAAAUCAUAUGAUAAGAAUUAAAAGUAUCAACAUUCCUCUUGUGCUCAAGCAUAUUCAUAAUGGUGUCCAUUUGAAUUUUUAACUUUAUAACAUCAAAUUUAGCCUUUAAGCACCUCAAACCAUCUUUAAAUGACAUACCUUCGGUAAUUUCUUGGUUACCUCUAUUCAAGGAGUUUUGAGCGUAGUAACCAUCCAUUGCCGAUCUUCCACUUCUUAUGCAUUGCUCCCCCAUAUAUUCUACUCUCCUUGGUCCCCUAAACAUGUCUUCAAAGUAACUCAAAAACACGUUUAGUCAAGAGGAAUAGGUGACUCUAAACAAAAAAAAAAAAAUAACCAAAGACUCACAAAGACACUAAAACAAUACUUAAGACAUUAGACACAACAAUAACAACAAAAAUAAGUAAAAUAGUCUAAAUUAAUAAAAUUGCUGUUAGCACCAAUAUUGACAAAUCUUCCCCGGCAGCGGCGCCAAAAACUUGACGUGCGCGGGUAUACAUAUAUAAUUAACUCAUCCACAAUCAAGUUUUUCAUUUAUAAAUCCUAAAUACUCCACACAUGAUUUAUCGCAAGUAUACGAAUCGUGAGCGAGUAUAGGGUAUUAAGGGUCGAUCCCACAGAGAAAAUCGCAAUUACCGGUGUUUCUCGAACUCCAUUAUUAUCUAGACUACCAUAAAUAUAAAAUUAAUGAAAAUAACACUAGAAAGCUCCUAAAGAUAUGGAAUUCCUUACUACUCUUGCAAGUAAAGUUACUGGUUAAGUGAAUACUAUUAUCUUGGUUAGUUAUGGUAUAAUUUCCUAAUAUAUGUGAAACCUACUCUCGUGAGUGAAUCAACUAUACUUGUAACUAAAUCAUACCUACUCUCGUGGUUAUGAAUUUAUUACAAGCUCAUUUCUUCUAUGAAAUUACAUGAAACAAGUCACUAAAGCCACAUAGGUACACCUCUACUCUCGUGUGUGUAUUGCCUAGGUUUAUUACUUCUUUGAACUAGUGUUAAAUUUCAAUUUUCAUUGCAAACUUAAUACCUUUAGAUAAUCACAACUAAUGGCCGGUUAAUCAUGAUUAGAAAAGCAAAAGUGAUAAAUAACUUACUCAAAAUAAUAUCAUCAAAUAACUAAGUAAACAUCAUAAACAAGAUAUAGAAAGUUCAUCCAUACUCUAGGCAUGAACUUUAGAAAAACAAGAAGAAAAACAAAGCCAAACUUGUAUUAUAGCUAAACAUGAAAUCAAAUACAAAGGAGAAAGUUAUAGGAGAGAUGUCACCCUUGUCACAUGAGCUAUAACUCUCCAUCUUUGCUCCUCCAAUCUUCAUCCAAAUCUAGAUACAAAUACAAGAAGGAUAAACUACUCUACCUAUACUAUACUAAUGAACUAAGCAAAACUAGUGAAAGCUAUAUUUCUGGUAAGUUUCUCUAGCCUUCCAAAGUUUUUUUGAAUCUUGCAAGUCCAUGGCUAUAUAUAGAUGAAUGCAGUCAGCAAAUGAGGCUUGAAACAUCCCUUUUACAGCUGCUAAUUGGUUGUCAUACGUUCAUCCAUAGCUGUGAAUUAUUAAAGGAGAAAACAGGUUGUACCAGUGGAGAGCAGCUAUUUCUGACCAGAAUCUGGCUACUUCAACUGCUAUUUUCUCUAUGAUGGUGGCUGAAUUGGCUCUUGUCCAAAACAUAGAAGUUGUAGUACAUUGCAAUAGCUAUCCAAUGCUUCAAGAAUCAUCCAAAUUGGAGUUUAGUAGAUUGAGAUAUGACCAAAAUACCAAAACCUAGUCAGAGCUCUGUUUUCAACUUUGGACAGCAGUGUUGAACUUUGAUAUUUCGACCUUUUGACUGAGAAAACGGCCAAACUGGACUCUGACGUCUUCAUACCAAAUUUAGAUACAUCUCUUAACUUCAAAUUGGUUUAAGAAUCAUCUCAAUCCAAUGUUUGUAACUCAAGAUAUAGCCGAAAAACCAACAGCUGCCAAGGCUGACUUUUUGUUGCAUUCUUUUGACCUUAAUUGCAUUUAUUCUUUUACACUUCAUAUUCUAUUUUUAUCACUUUAAUCUAUCAUCAAUCAUCCAAAUAUCUUCUCAAUGCACUCCAUUUGAUGAUUGAAUCAUUAAACCUACAAAAUAUGAAGUUUUUACCGUAAAAAUCCAUAAAAAUGCAAUUUUUACCACUUAAACCAUAAAAUGCAUAUUUUCACUAGAAACUUAGUUUAUUAGCUUUAAAAUUAAAUAAAACACACCAAAAAUAAUUAUUAAAGCACACUAAAAAUAUGUAAAAUAUAUUCUUAUCAUUCAUGCCACUAAUGUCUCGUAUACUUCUUCCCUUUGGUAUAAUUGGUCUCAAAUUCGGUAUUAUAUAUGUAAUUAUUGUUUUAUUCUAUUAGUAAUUCAUUGAUAAUUAGCCCAUAAUGAUUAAAAACACUUGAUAUUAGUAUUUAUGUUUGCUAGUUUUUAUAACAAUUCCUAACUAUAACAAUUUGAGGCCUAUAUGCACAAGCCAUGCAAGAAGUAGCAUAAAUGAUAAUAAAUUUUAUAUUAAUACUAGAAUUUUCCUUUUUUAAAUUUUAUAUAUUAUGUAUAUAUUGUCAUUUGAUUGUAACUUAUUCAAAAAAAAUCUUUACGUUCAACGAUGUUAUUAUGUUGAUAUAAAGUGUUUUUUUUGAAAUUUUAUAGGAAUUUAGGAUGACAUUUGUCAUAUAUUUAAUUCAAUUCACAUCUUUUUUUUUUCAUUUUAAAACCUUUAACUAUAACUAGAAACUUAAGAGACCAUAUUGAUUGAAAUUUCAAACAUUAGGAGCUAAAAAUGUAAAGUUAAAUUCAAAAAACUUAGAGACCAGAUUUGUUUUGGUUGAUACAUUAGAAAACAAUUUGAUAUAUAGGUCAAACAUUGAGAAUCAAAUUUGUGUUUCUCUCUUUGGAAAUUUUUGAGUAGUAGUAAUAGAAAGAUUUAAAAUUCUUAAAGACAGAAUUUUUGGCAAAUUCACAUAUUCCUAAUAUCUAAUAAAAAACAUGUCAUAAUCAAAAUUACCAAAUUAACCUAUCCAACCAAGCAAGCCCCCACUCUAAUUAUCUGAUCCCCAAAUUCCCUUUCUUACUCAUGUUGAGAGGGAAAUGAAUUAGCACAAAAAUAUGAGGCAAUCCUUUUAGGACUACCAAUGGGGUCGAGUCAAUUUAAAUUCGGCACUGAGAAAAAGUCUAAUGAUCUUGACCUUUCAUUGAGUUGGGUUAAAAUUGGAUCUAAAUAUUAGUCCCGAAUUAAAUGUUAGUAGAGUUUGGAUCUUAUUAGGGUCAAACUCGAUAUAUGCUCCACCCUUUGAUAUGCAGCUAUAUAUAUAAUUAUACAUAAUAUAUUCAUAUUUUGAUAUAUAUAUAUCUAAAUAUAUAAUACUAAUGCUUAUGAGUUAUUUGUCAAAAUAUCUUACUAUAAGAUAAACAAAAGGCUAUAGUUACUGUAGCAGUCCCCUUUGCUGACACGUGGCACUUUAUGUGAAUUUUGAGCUUUCUCUUUUGCUUUCUUUAUGGAUUUGGCAUUGCUUUAAAUGUGCUCAAUGACCCAAAUUAGAUUGCAAUUUUCAUUUCUUUAUAAGGUUGAAUUAUUUUUAGUAGACUUUUCAAUCUCUAUAUUUUGAACAUAUAUAAUUCAAUUAGAAUUUAUAUUUAUUUCUAUUUACAUUAACAUUUCAACUUAUAUUUGAUAAAAUAACCUUAAGAUUUAAUUAUUUUUAUUCGAGUUUUCAACCUUAUCAUUUAAAUUUAGAUUUGUCAAAAUAAGUUAUCAUUUAAAGUUAAUGCAAAGCAAAAGAUUAUUUAAAAUUUAUUCUAUCCUAUAAUAAGGAACAAUAUUGUUAUUUCUACUCAAUGCAAUGUACAUUUUUCUGUGUCAAUUUUAUUUUCAUUUGUUCAUGUUCAAAUAUUUAGUAACAUUUGACUUUAUGUUUAUUCAUAUUUUUAUUGUCUGAAUUUUGAACUUUCUCUUUUGCUUUCUCUAUGGACUUGCAUUGCUUUAAAUGUGCUCAAUGAUCCAAAUUCAAUUGUAUUUACCAUUUCUUUAUAAGGUUGAAUUAUUUUGAGUAGGCUUUUCAAUCUCUAUAUUUUAAACAUAUAUAAUUCAACAAGAAUUUAUAUUUAUUACUAUUUACAUUAACAUUUCAACUUAUAUUUCACAAAUUAACUUGAGAUUUAAUUAUUUCUAUUCAAGUUUUCAACCUUAUUAUUUAAAAUUAUAUUUCUCAUAAUAAGUUAUCAUUUAAAGUUAAUGUAAAGCAAAUGAUUAUUUAAAAUUUAUUCUACCCUAUUACAAAGAACAAGAUUAUUAUUUUUGCUUAAUGCAAUGUGCAUUUUCUGUAUCAAUUUUAUUUUCAUUUGUUCAUGUUCAAAUAUUUAGUAACAUUUGACUUUAUGUUUAUUCAUGUUUUUAUUGUCAUUUAAAGUUAUACAAUUGAACUAACAUAUUGCCACUUAAUAUAUUCCAAGGAAAGAGAUUCCUGUGCUUUGUUAAGAAAGCAACUCCAAGAGAAAAAGCAAUCAAAGGAACAACUUUCAAGAUUGUCACAAGUUAUGAAGCUAAACAAGUCCCAGUUGGCCAGGAGACUUAAAUGAACCUUCACAAUGAUUAUGCAUAAAAUUAGUUUCCAACAAUAUAAUGCUUAUGUGCCUCAGAAUUGAACUACUUGUGUUUUAAUUUAAUUAUCUUGUAUCUAUUUAUUGUUUGUGUUAAUGUACUUCGACUUGGUUGCUUUGACUUGCUACCUACAUAUGCUUUAAUUCUGUUAUCUUGUAUUUGUCUAUCCUUUAUGUUAAUGUACUUCAAUUUAAUCUCUUUUGCCUUGAAAAGCAAAUUUACUAAUAAGCUAUAAAUCCAAUUCAUAUAUAGAUGUCCCUCUAUCAAACACAAAAAACUUCUACAAAAAUGCUAGCCAUUAUUAAUCCUAUUGUUUUUCAAUUUCUCUGCGUAUAUUUGCUGAACAACUUAUACAUAUAAUUUUAAAACCAAAAGUAUAUAAGUAUCUUAUUAAUUUGUACACUGAAUUAAAUUUGUUUAAUGAAAAAUGUAGACAAUUAUAAAUCUAGUGAAAUGACAAAAAAAAAUGUAUAUUUGAAAGCUAUCAUUAAAAGAGGAAAAAAAAGCAUUUUAAUGAAAUGUAAUAAAGACAUAUAUAUUUUUCUUAUCAAAUUUGCAUGCUAUACUUGGUGGUAAUUUCAGUUAGCAUUAAUGACUCAUAUUUUAACUAAAUAUUAAUGUAUUAAUGACUCAAAAGAAAAUUGACAAAAAAAAUGACAAAGUUCAUUUGUUCAAAUUUAAAUAUUGAUAAUUCAAUUUCUCUCCAUUUCAGUAAUAUACAUACGUUACGUAUACUUUCACACAUGACACUCUACUGACAAACAUUCCAUCAAAUUUUGCUAACCUUAAAAGCUUCAAGAUGGGCACUGGCUAUGCGUAACACCCUUACUAGUGUGUGUGCAUGUGUAUAUAUAUAUAUAUAUAUAUAUAAGGAAUAUUAAAUAUACAAAAUUAUGUCAAAAGAAUUAGAAGGACAAAUCUUGGUAUGAUCAAAUUGAGGACCUUUGAAGAUGUAUUAACCGUUGAUAAUGUUUUACUACUAUUUUCCAUGUACAUUGAAUUAAUUGGAUAUAUGAUUGUUGAAAAAUUCUUGGUUUUAUAUACUUAUUAAUGAACUGUUACUGGUUCCUAUAUAGUUUUAACGUUGUGGUUCUAAGGAUAUUAAAUUAGUUUAAAACUUAAUAAUUAUAGUGAUUAUAGUAAGGAAAUUAAGGAGUUAUAAGUGAGCUUGAGUUAAAUCAGAAUUAAACUUAUAAUCCGGAUAUUUUGUGAGUCAAGUAUGAGUUUUGAUGGGUUUUUACUGCAAGUGCAAGUUAAAUCCGAAUUUAUACCCGUUUGACUGCAAGUAUACAGGCCAAAAUCGUAAUGUAGGGUAUGUAUCGGGUCGAUCCCACGAGGAGCAACUUAAACAAUUACUAGAUCCCAAUUUACUCUAUUAUUUAGACUCACAAUAUAUUUGAGCAGAAAAUUCAGAGUUAAAUCUAACUACAAUUUUUUUACUAUCUAAAAUCCUUAGCUAGAUAAUUGCAAUAUCACAAUUGGAAAAACAUUCACCAAAUAUUUGAAUCUAGGGAUGUAGAUUCCACUUAUGACAUAAAUGAUCCAAAUGAAUGAACUUAACACUUGUUACUACUCUUAUUUAACCAGGGAUUUAUUUCCAAAAUUGCCAAAACUUCAUUCUCAUGAUAAAAUUGGUCUAAAACAGCUUAGUUUCCCUAAUCUCUUAGUGAAAACUGAAACUGCUCUUGUUCAUGCAUGAAAUGCAGAUUUAAUCCACUUGAGUGUAAUUCUAUUCUCAUGAAUUAACAACUCAAACUCCACUCAUGUUAUUCCAUUGUUUUUACCAUUUCUCAAUGAGUAAUAACAAUUAUAAACCUGUUAUUGGUGAUCAAACAACAACAAGUAAUCAAGCAUACACAAGUAGACAAGUCAAUACAAGAUACAACAAGUGUAAAUCACAUUCAAUUCACAUCACUUGGCCAUAAGUUUCAUCUACUCCUUAGAUAUAGAAAUUUAGCUACUCAUUGAUGAUAUCAUAAUCAAACUCAUAACUUCAUUAAUGGAAAACAUCUCAGUUUACAAGUACAAGAAAGAUAAAGAAAAGUUUAGCCAAGUAAUGGUGAAGCCCUCCAAGAAUCUCCUAUGUCUUGUACUAGAUGAUUACAAGAUGAAGCCUUCAAGUGUUUCUGCAAAAUUUACUAGCUAGAGAGAGUUUUGCUAUCAGAAAAUCUGGCUACGUAUCAUGUUUGACCUCCCCUUGUUUCUCUCCAUAAAACAGCUCAAAAGCUCCUUUUCCACUGGUCAAAUUUCCACCCUUUGAUUCCCAAAUCUGAAGUUUGUUAAGAUAGUUAAUAACCAAUGUUUUUGACUUGAAAAUAAGCUAUAUUGUCUGCCCUUUUGUCUUCUGAAGCAUGUGCACCGAAAUCCCUGGAAACUUAUAGCUGGAAAGUAGUCUGAACACGAGAAAUGGCUGAGCAAAUUGCAGAUUUUCGGCUACAUAACGCGACUACACAAAACGCAGCAUCAACUCGCGUUUUGUCAACUCGCAUUUUCAACUUGGCCUUUCUUCAACUGCAAUUUUCUCUAUGAUGAAGGCCGAACUAGCUUUUGUACAAAACAAAAAAGUUGUAACCCUUUAAGUUAGCUUUUCAAUGCUUCAAGAAUCAUCCAAAUCGAAGUUCUGUAGCCUGAGAUAUGGUCGAAUACUAUCACCUGGUCAAACCCCUGUUUCAAUUUCUGACCACAGAAUGCAGCUUCUGUUUCAAUUUCCGACCACAGAAUUAGAUUUUGAUGUCUUCAUACCAAUUAUAGGUCUCUUUCUUAGCUUUAAAAUGGUAUAAAGAUCACCUCAAUCCGAUAAGUGUAGCUCCAGAUAUAGUCGAAAUACCGAAGAGUGUCAAAACUGUCUUGAAUUGCAUUUCCUCACUUGAACGUUUUUCACUUCAUUUCUCUUUUAACCACUUGAAUUCAUCACCAAUUAAUUGUUUUUCACCUCACUUGACAUUCUUUGGUGAUUGAAUCAUUAAUCCUGCAAAAAAAUGAAGUUUUACCACUAAAAUCAAUACAAAUGCAAUAUUAGCCACUUUUACCAAAAAAUGUAUAUUUUUACCAAAACCUAGUUAUUUUAGUUAUAAAGCUAAAUAAUGAAACCAGAAUUAACUACUAAAAUGCACUAAAAAAUAUGUAAAAUAAACCCUUAUCAAAUACCCCCACACUUGAACCAUUGCUUGUCCUCAAGCAAUUCAGAAUUACAAAUAAACAGUGAUUCAAAGUAUUUGAAAAAUAACUAUAUGUGCUCAAGUCAACUUAAUUUCCUCAAAAUAGGGUAAAUAACCAUUAUGUGAUUUUUCUUUAAUCCUCAAGUACUUAUAAUAUCAAGUAAAAGGGAGCUAAAUAUACCAUAAUUAUGCUAAUUCAACUCAAUUUCUCAUUUGUAUCCAAUUUCACAAGCAAGCAACUCAUAUAAUCAAUAACGAUGCUAACUAAUCUCAUGAUGAAGUUCUUUUUUUUUAUAAAGAGGGAUUCAUUUUCUUUUUCUCUUUUCUUUCUUCUUUAUAUAUAUAUAUAUAUAUAUAUAUAUAUUAGAGCUAAACACUACUUAAGUUGUGAAAAAUGCCUUUUGAUGCGAAGAUCGACAUUUUUAGAUGAAGAUCGCCGGUUACUCAACAUUUCACAUAUUCAAGUUGUUUUUAAUACUCUUAAUUCAAGUACCGUUUUACGCGAAAGUCGACAUUUGUAGAUGAAGACUCCCGGUUACUAAGUACAAGAACCAUUGGAGUAGAAUAACUAUUAUUCUUCUUUUUUUCAUAUAUAUAUAAAUAAUAAAAUUCCCUCUAAAGAAUAAUUAUGAGAAGAGAAUAACACUUAUUGACCAUAUUACUUCCUUAACUUAUAAACUCAAAUAAGAAGAAGAAAUUUCAUCAAAUAUGCAAAAUAUAGGCAUAAAUUUCUCCACUUUACUAAAUAUACUUUCCUACAAAUGUAAAAAUUAUAAUCACAUAAUAGUUAUUUCCAAAUUAAUUGAGAAAAAGAAGUUUCAAAACCACUUAUAUUUAUUUCAAAAGGAUAUUUGACAAAAUUUUAUUUAUUUAUUAUGAUUAUUAUAUAUACAAGUAUAAGGUUUUGGAAAAAUUUUGACAGAAUUUCCCCUUAAAAGUGGACUAAAUUUCCUGCCAGCAAACCCAAGAUAAACAACAUUUAAGCCAACUACUUGUCCAACUUCAAACACAACUGAAAAAUCACAAGUACCACACAAUUUCUCCCCCACACUUAAAAUACACAUUGUCUUCAAUGUGUAAGGGAAAGAAAAGAAAAGAAAAGGAAUAAAAGUAGGAACAAGUUACUCCCCAGUUGAGAUGGAUGCGGUCCAGUUUAUCCUUGAAUCACGAGCCAUCGACCGAUCAACCAUCUACAAGCAACUAGCUACAAGUAACUGCCACAAGUUCCAAUAUUCAAAAUAGACACUUAAGUUAAACAUCCUACAAAUAAAAGAUGAACAAUAAAAAGCAAACAAGGAAGUAACAGAAAAGUCAUCCAAAGAGGCGGCCUCAAUCAUCCUGUUCAUUGUCAUCUUCAUCAUCAUCGAUGGGAGGUGGAUGUAGGCCUAGAUGAUCUUUAAUAUAGUCUAGGCGAGUAUCUAUUCUGGCUAAAUGAUGCUCAAGGUCAUCCAAGCGACCAAAGAGUCACUGCCAAUUGGUUUGUGGCAGAGGAUGAGGGGGUGUCGCAGUAGAAGGUCCAGCUUCCUCUCGACCAUGUCUAGCCUUCUGUCUCUACUCUUGAACAGGUCGAGGAAUCUCUCCCGUGCCAAUACCAAGUCGACGGAGAGUAGUAACCGAUAAUUCAGUUUUCGGUGGAACAUUCUCCCGCCGCAUGCCUUCCAACCGGACUUCAAAAAAUGGAAAGAUCAAAGUCAGUAUACGAGGAAAUGAUAAUUUGAAAGAAGUUGUUUUACGCCUCGCCGUAGACCAAAUGUGGCUAAUGAUGAUAUUCGGCAGGGAAAUUCGAGCAAAAAGAGAAUUCCGAUUAUGGAACAUGUAAUCAAGGAAGUAGAUGUCACUCUUGCGAACCUCUGUGUGCCCCGUCUUUUUGGGAAUAACAUUGUGAGCCAUCAUAUAACUAAGGAGACGAUGGCGAGGUUCGAAAAUAUUUGCCAAUAUCGUCUCCUUCCUCGUAGAGCGAAAAGGUUGGUACUCAAUGCCAAAUCUGGCCAUGGCCAAUGAUGGAUCUCACCUCCUAUUUGGGGGAACAAACUCCUUCUUCAAAUCAACUGGACGUCCGUCAUCUAUACAUCUCAAAAUAGCAGCCAAAUCUUGACGUGACAAGACGAUUCGUCGUCCACGCACCCACGACUCAACCAUUUCAUCACUGUGACGCGCCUUACUUUCAAUGUUGGCGUAAAACUCUCGCACCAAGUUGGAGUAGUAAUGGUCUGGUAGGGUGAGAAUCGGAGCCCACCCAAGCUAAGCAAAAGUUUCCGAGAUGCGAUACACCAUUUCUAUCUCUGGACUAAUGUGUAUCUCGAACAAGAACUCCAAAUUAGCAUGCUCCUCAUGCCACUCUUGAUUCCUGCGAUGAUUGAAUCUAGCACUGUCAAACAUAGAUCUCUCCGCUCCACGAGAGGUGCCCUCACCCGGCUGUUGGAUAACUGGUGGUGGUGAAGGUGACGUCUCCUCCCUCUCAUUACUACUAGAGGAGGAAUAUAUCACUCUGCUUCCCCUUCUCAUAGUACCUAAUAAAAAAAAUGCGAUUAGCCACAUGUACUAGGACACAGUUCAUAAUUUGGAAAUAAAUCUUGAAUUGAUCCAAAUAAUUGUCAAAUUUAUUUCUUAAAGAUAUAAAUCAUCUAAUAAUUUAAUUAUAGGACCAUACAAGAAGAGUCAUAUUUAAUGCCAAAAAUUUACCAAAAUCACCAAUUUAAGCAAGAUAUGUAACAAGUAUGACCCAAUCAGUGAAAAUAGCAUCAAUCAUGAUUAUAGCAAUGUAUAAUUAACAACAAUAAUGUGCAAUUAGCUAUAAUCAUGGUUAGGCCAAAAUUUAACUAAUUAUCCCACAAAAUUAGCCACAUUACUCACUAUACAUAAUGCACAUGCUAAAACAUCAUCCACUAGCCAUUAUUAACCAUAAUCAUUGAUCAUUAAUGGCUAAAAAAAUCUUAAUCCAACUUUCUAAUUUUAGCCUAAAUAUAGCAAUUAAAAAAAAUAAAAAUUAUUAAUCAUCAAAUCACUAUAUUUGAACAUGUAAUCAUGUAUAGAUAACCUUAAUAAGCAUCAAUGAGGUCAAAAACAUCAUCAUUCAUCAUAAAAAAUUCGAGAUUAAAAAAUGCCAGAAAGCUCAGGAAAUUGAAAAAAUGAACUUCUAAAAUACAAAGAUUUGAUGAAGAAACUUACCUCAAUCACGUAAAAAGAUAUUUGGUGAUACUAAAUAUGUGAAAAUCCCUAUGAAACAACCUUCAAAUGACCUCCAAUUGAAGAAAUUAGAGUUUAAGAACCCUAAUCUUCAAUCCCUUAAAAACCUAAUUUUAGGUGUUUUUCUUGGAUUUUAAUCGGUUAUAAAGGUUGUAUGAAGCUCAAUAUGUGUUGGAUUGAUGAUUUCUAGCAAGAUAAUGGAGUAAAAAUGAAGAUUGGUGAAUUGGGGUUGAGAGCAAGUAGAGAAACGCGACUGAAAUUUCCAGAGAAGAAGGAAAAAAUGAACUGAAAUCGCGUUUUUGGAAGCUAUAUUCGGACACAGAAAACGCGAGUAGAAACACGCCUUCAACUCGCGAUUCUGAAGUCGCGUUUUCUCCCAAAAGUUGCAGUAUUGAAAACGCGGUUCUGAGAGGAAACGCGACUCAAAGUCGCGUUUACCAUGGCGCGUUUUUUAUCUUGAGCCAGACGUGAAAACGCGAUUUCCUUCAAAAUGCGUUUUGAAGGCGCGUUUUCUGUUCUGCUAGUGCAGAAUUGAAAAUACGAUUCUGUACAAACACUACUUCUAAGCGCGUUUUCUUGAAAAACGCAUUUUCUGCUGCGAAUUUUAGCAGAAAUUCAUUUUUACAAAAUUUCAAAUGGUACCCCAAUCACUCAAAAUGCAUCAUAGAUCAUUUGUUUGCCAAAUUUAUCAAUGUGUGCACAUGUAAAACAAUGAAAACAUGCAUUUUACCCCUCUUUAACAGAUCACAUACACCUUUAACGCGAAUCAAGGGGUUGAGUUGCUUGAUCAAAGUUCACCUUUUUCACCUCAAAUGGUCAUCUUUGCUUCCAUAUGCCAACCCUAUAACGUAAAAACAACAAAUCAAAUAAAAUACAAGGAUUAAACACAAAAUCACUCCAAUUUAAUAUAUAUAACUUAAACAUUGGGUUGCCUUCCAAUUAGCGCUUUCGUUCAUAGUCGUUGGCUCGACUUACAGGUUCGGAUUAUUUUAGAACAUUAGGGAGCAAUUUUCUUUCACGGGUCGAAACUCCCGAGCCAAUCUACCAUGUGGUGAGUCAUGCAUUGAUCUCCAUAGUCCAAUUUCCUCAAAUGCCAAGGAGGAGUAUUAGACUUGUCAUAUAAAGGUUCGACUUCACCUUGGAGUGAAAUUUGCUUGUCUUUUUCGAGUUGGCUCAACUUUUCUCUACUUUCUUCAUGGAAUCACGAAUUUAUUAAGCCAACUUCCAUCCUUAUCUUCUCCUCCCUUGCUCCUACACCAUGAAAGUCAGUACCAAGGACAUUUAUAUAUGUAACUUCUUCGUUCCUUUCUUGGUUAACCUUGUCAUCACAUGGCAUAUUAGAAACAAGAGCAGUAGGCUCUAUACUCCCUUCUUUAUUACCCAAAUUGAAUUCUAAUUCCUCACCAUUAACCCGUAAUAAAAGCUUACCUUUUUCCACAUCAAUUAUAGUUCAUGCAGUAGCUAAAAACGGUCGUCCUAGAAUAAUUGGUAUUCUCACAUCUUCCGCAAUAUCUAAGACAACAAAAUUCACAGGUAUUAUAGAUUGUCUUAUCUUUAUGAGCACAUUUUCCAGAAUACCCAUUGGAUGUGUGAUUGACCGAUCCGCCAAUUGCAAUGUGAUAUUGGUAGCUUUUAGCUCUUGAAGUCCCCACCUCCGAGCAAUCGAUAGUGGCAAGAGUGACACACUUGCACCUAAAUCACAUAAAGCAUUAGAAAAAUGCAAUUGACCAAUUGUGCGAGGAAUAGAAAAGCUUCCCGGAUCUUUCAAUUUAGGAGGGAGUUUGUUUUUAAUCAGUGCACUACACUCUUCCGUUAAUACUAUCAUCUCAUUAUCUACAAGUUUUCUCUUUCUUGACAUGAUGUCUUUCAAGAAACGUGCAUAAGAGGGAAUCUGUGUUAUGGCAUCAAUGAAAGGAAUGUUUAUGUGUAAUUGUUUAAAUAUUUUGAAGAACUUUUCAAACUCCCGAUCCUGUCCAUAUUUCUUCAACCUUUGAGGAAAAGGAAUCACAUUAGAAUUUAACUGAGAAUUUAAUUUGGGAGGAAGUGCAUCAAUAUCAAUGACAACAUGAUCAUUUCGGCUUUCUUUCUCCCCUUCGAUUGCUUGCUCCUUGUCUUUUUCACCACCUGAAUUUUCAAAAUUAGGUCCCUUAACCGUUUUACCGCUUUUAAGAGCGAUUGCAUUGACAUGCUCUCUCGGAUUCACUUCGAUUUUACUCGGCAAUUCACCAGGGUUUCUGUUGUUGAUCAUAUUGGCAAUUUGACCAACCUGAACCUCCAAGUUUCUGUACAUCCCAGCCAAUUGGUCCAACCGCUCCUCAACUCGCUCGAAUCUAUCCGAAGUCACCUUAGCAAGUUUUUCCACUGCGAUCUCCCAACUUGGUUUAGUUUCAGCUUGUGGUUGCCUCGGUUGAAAUCCGGGCGGAUUAGUUGGCCUUUGUUGUUUGCCUUGAUCUUUCCAUCAAAAUUUUGGAUGAUUUCUCCACCCUGGAUUAUAGGUAUUGGAGUAUGGAUUGUUUUGGGGUGGACGGUUAUAAUUGUUGAGAUAUUGAACCUGUUCGCUGCUAGAACACAUAGAAUCAUCAUGGUCUCCUCCAUAGUUAGUACAACACGCAACAACUACUCCUUGGUUAGAACUAGAACCAACUUGCCCGUUAAACAUUUUAACCACAUUAUCCAUCUUUGCACUUAACAUAUUCAAGGUAUCUACUUCAAGCAUACCUGCGGUUCUCCUUGUAUUACCUCGUUCGUUAGCCCAUUGGUAAUUAUUAGCAGCCAUUUCUUCAAUCAAUUGUUGAGCUUCCUCGGCUGACUUUUCCAUUAACGCUCCUCCCGCUGCCGCAUCUACAUGCGUCUUUGGUGGAUAGGUGAGACCAUUGUAAAAUGUUUGGACUAUUAGCCAAUCAGGGAGACCAUGUUGAGGACAUCUUUGUUGUUAUUCCCGAUAGCACUCCCAAGUUUCGUACAAUGUCUCUCCUUCCUAUUGAGAGAAACUAGUUAUAUCCAUUCUAAGUUUAGCAGUUUUUCUAGGUGGAAAGAAUUUAUUAAGAAAAGCCUUAGCUAAUUCAGCCCAAGUAGUAAAAGUAUUUGGAGGAUGAGAUUGUAACCAAACCUUGCCCUUAUCCCUUAGCGAAAAUGAAAACAAUCGAAGUUUAAUUGCAUCAUCACUAACACCAUUAAACUUAAUUGUAUCACAGAUUUCAAGAAAUGUUGACAAAUGAGAAUUUGGAUCUUCGGUAGCAUUACCUCAACAUUGAGAUUGUUGAACCAUUUGAAUCAGUGAUGGUUCAAUCUCAAAAUUGUUAGCAUUUACCGUUGGUCUUGCGAUGCUAGUUUGAGAUCCUUGUAUCUCCGGUAAAGCAAAAUCUCGUAGAGCUCGUCUCUUUGAUUCGUUUUCCUCCAUUUCUUCCUCAAACGGUAACUCUAUCAAAAUUUCCUCUAUCGCUUGCCAAACCUCUUGUUCCUCUUGAUGCAGUAUAUGCCUCCUUUAUCUCCAUAGUGUCCUCUCAAUUUAUGGAUCUAAAGGUGCAACUUCUCGAGAUGCCUAGUGCAUGCACUACAAACAGAAAUACGAGAGAUUAUGCAGUUUUAAUUGUCAAAAACUGACUAUAAACUGCUCAACUAAUAAAAAUAAAGAUGUCUAAAUUAAUAGAGAUGAUUAGACUCUAAUAUUGCCGCUCCCCGGCACCAGCGCCAGAAACUUGACAGAUUUUUAUUACAAAUGCAAGUUAAAUCAGAAUUUAUACCCAUUUGACUGUAAGUAUAUAGGCCAAAAUCAUAAUGUAGGGUAUGUAUCGGGUCGAUCUCACGAGAAGCAACUUCAACAAUUACUAGAUCCUAAUUUACUCUAUUAUUUAGACUCACAAUAUAUUUGAGCAGAAAAUUCAGAGUUAAAUCUAACUACAAUUUUUUUACUAUCUAAAAUCCUUAGCUAGAUAAUUGCAAUAUCACAAUUGGAGAAACAUUCACCAAAUAUUUGAAUCUAGGGAUGUAGAUUCCACUUAUGACAUAAAUGAUCCAAAUGAAUGAACUUAACACUUGUUACUACUCUUAUUUAACCAGGGAUUUAUUUCCAAAAUUGCCAAAACUUCAUUCUCAUGAUAAAAUUGGUCUAAAACAGCUUAGUUUCCCUAAUCUCUUGGUGAAAACUGAAACUGCUCUUGUUCAUGCAUGAAAUGCAGAUUUAAUCCACUUGAGUGUAAUUCUAUUCUCAUGAAUUAACAACUCAAACUCCACUCAUGUUAUUCCAUUGUUUUUACCAUUUCUCAAUGAGUAAUAACAAUUAUAAACCUGCUAUUGGUGAUCAAACAACAACAAGUAAUCAAGCAUACACAAGUAGACAAGUCAAUACAAGAUACAACAAGUGUAAAUCACAUUCAAUUCAUAUCACUUGGCCAUAAGUUUCAUCUACUCCUUAGAUAUAGAAAUUUAGCUACUCAUUGAUGAUAUCAUAAUCAAACUCAUAACUUCAUUAAUGGAAAACAUCUCAGUUUACAAGUACAAGAAAGAUAAAGAAAAGUUUAGCCAAGUAAUGGUGAAGCCCUCCAAGAAUCUCCUAUGUCUUGUACUAGAUGAUUACAAGAUGAAGCCUCCAAGUGUUUCUGUAAAAUUUACUAGCUAGAGAAAGUUUUUCUAUCAGAAAAUCUGGCUACGUAUCAUGUUUGACCUCCCCUUGUUUCUCUCCAUAAAAACAGCUCAAAAGCUCCUUUUCCACUGGUCAAAUUUCCACCCUUUGAUUCCCAAAUCUGAAGUUUGUUAAGAUAGUCAAUAACCAAUGUUUUUGACUUGAAAAUAAGCCUAUUGUCUGCCCUUUUGUCUACUGAAGCACGUGCACCAAAAUCCCUGGCAACUUAUAGCUGGAAAGUAGUCUGAACACAAGAGAAAUGGCUGAGCAAAUUGCCGAUUUUCGGCUACAAACGUGACUACACAAAACGCGGCAUCAACUCGCGUUUUCAACUUGGCCUUGGUUCAACUACGAUUUUCUCUAUGAUGAAGGGCAAACUAGCUUUUGUACAAAACACAAACGUUGUAGCCCUUUAAGGUAGCUUUUCAAUGCUUCAGGAAUCAUCCAAAUCGAAGUUCUGUAGCCUGAGAUAUGGUCGAAAUACUAUCACCUGGUCAAACCCCUGUUUCAAUUUCCGACCACAGAAUGCAGCUUUUGUAUUUCGACUUUUUGUCCAUGAAAACAGUAGAAUUGGAUUUCGAUGUCUUCAUACCAAUUGUAGGUCUCUUUCUUAGCUUUAAAAUGGUACAAAGAUCACCUCAAUCCGAUAGGUGUAGCUCGAGAUAUAGUUGAAAUACCGAAGAAUGUCAAAACUGUCUUGAAUUGCAUUUCCUCACUUGAACGUUUUUCACUUCAUUUCUCUUUUACCCACUUGAAUUCAUCACCAAUUAACUAUUUUUCACCUCACUUGACAUUAUUUGGUGAUUGAAUCAUUAAUCCUGCAUAAAAAUGAAGUUUUUACCACUAAAAUCAAUGAAAAUGCAAUAUUAGCCACUUUUAUCAAAAAAUGUAUAUUUUUACCAAAAUCUAGUUAUUUUAGUUAUAAAACUAAAUAAUGAAACCAGAAUUAACUACUAAAAUGCACUAAAAAAUACGUAAAAUAAACCCUUAUCGAGUUUCAUAAUUAUCACUUCAAAUCUCAUAAUUCGAAAUCCAAAAGUGGUACUAACUAUAUAAGCCAAAUCUAUGUUUGUUAAACCUCACUUCAGAUGGCCCAAUGAAAAGCCUAAAUCCUUCGCUUUUCUGAUUUAAAUGAAAUCAAAUUUAAACCUAUGGUUUAGUACUCGUAUUCUUUUGUACCCAAACAGCCUUUUGACCUUUCAAAAAAUUACCAAAAAUACUACAAGUUAUCUUCUGCUUGAUUAGAAUUAUGUCAAGUAAUCAAGAGAGUCAAGUCACAUAAUCGAUUUUGUUGUCUAGGUUCUAUUUUUCUGUUUUAGUUUUUUUAUUCUAACUGCAAAAAAAGUUCCUAAUCGCAAUACUACUAUGAUUGAUCAUGGAAGUCUAUUGUUUGGAUUGCAUUUUCUGGAAAGGGUAUGUUGUAACACUUUUUUAGAUGUGAUUUAUAUGAAGUAAAAAGAUCACUGAAAAAUGUAUCAAGGAAAUAUUCCCAAAAAACAUGAGGUUUUUGUCUAGAGAAUGGCAAUCCAAAAAAAGCCAGUAUAUUGGCAUACUAUUGCACAUUGACCUCUUUCUACAAAUAUAUUAUUUUUUAUAACUUAAACUAUCCAAAAAAAAAGAUCUCUAAUCAAAAUAUUGAAUUGUUAUGUUCAAACUUGUUAUAAAACAAGAAAAAAAAAUGAAAAAGUUCAAUCUUUAAAAAUAUUACCUAACAGAACACAAACACGACUUGAAUUAACUUAUUUCAUUUUACAUACACAACAAGGUAUGUAAGAAAAUGUACUGCAAUUACAGGUAACAAAGACACCAAGCUGAUUUCUACACUUUACACCUCUUAGAUGCAAGCAGGUUUCCCAUUGAGAUAGUUCAGAUAUAUGAAAUUGGAUGAAUCAAUCAGAUCAUGUAUAAAAAAAAAAGAAAAAGAAAAAAGAAAAGAUGGUGAAGAAAUAUCAUGCAUGCUGAUUCUGCACAAGUUCAGUAGCAUAAGUAUAUAAAAGCCAUAGGCUAUUAUCUUCAAGAAUUACAUUUCAUUAAACUGCAAUUUCUCUACUAAUAAUCAUAUCAAACAAUUAUGUCAGAAUUGCUCCCAAACUCGAGUAUUCUGCCCCUAGACCAUCUGUUGUGCAAUCAAUUUCUGAUUAUCCUUAUGCUAAUUGUCACUCUUUUAACCAAGAUUUCAUAAACUAACACAACUAUCAAGAUAGAACCUGGUUAGCAAAAAAGUUGUAGAAAGAAGCAUUCAUCUAAGAUCAAAAGUGCUAAAAGUCAAUCAAAUUUUGUAAAAAAUUAAUGAAAAGAAAAAGUAAGUAAUGACAAUAGAUCACCACCAGCAAGAAAACAGUUUCGAUGAGAAAACAGUUUACAUAGCAUAGCCAGCAAGAAAAGAUUAUCUAUAUUUGACACAUAAUUCUCCUGUCUCCAUAGGAGGAUUCAGAAGGAUUCUCAUCUUUAAAAGUCAAUAGUUCGAUUGGUCGCAGAUAUUUCUGUUGUCAUGGAAUUCUUCAGGUUUCAAUCAGCAAUCAGGAUAUAAAAGUCUUCUAUACUUGCAACUGAUGGAAGUAGAAGAAUACAGAUAGUUAUUGAUGCAUAUGAAAAUAACAUGAGAUUUGGAGAAUAUGCAAGGUUGUCCACUGUAGGAGUGAUAUAUCAGAUCUCUAUGUUGGUAGUUUGAAAAGGAGAACUGGUACAAAAUAGUAUCCCCAUGGACGCAACGGUUUCUAAAUUUCUUCCUCCCUACUCCUGUUCUAAUUUUCUGCACCAAUUGUAUCCUAGAGCCCUAUUUAGUGCACAAAUUCAGCAACUCACUAUUCCAACAACACAGAGCAUGCUUCAAGCUUAAGACCCAUGCCCAGAUAACAAAGCUCUUCCCCAACUUUUGAAAUCCAUUAGAAGUACACUAAAAUAGCUUCUGACUUAUACAGUCUGCUGAUCAGUAAAAAUGUCCUGGACUCUUUUAACUAAUAGUCUUAAAAGCUGCAAACUCAUUCAUACAAAAUUUGAACACAAGCUUUUAACACUGAAUGUUAUUUGACAGUGGGGAAGAUAGGUUCAACUCUUACUAUCUCAUUGGUGUAUAUUCAAGGACAGGAAAAGAAAAUAACCACAUGCAAUGGAAGAUGAGAGUAAAAAGUCAGGAAGAAAGCCACAUAUGACACAAAGGUUUAGGACAUCACUUCCAAGACAAAGAUGCAUAACAAAUUCACCAAUGAAUAACUUAAAUAACUCCUUCACGGAUGGCCUAACAAACC
rnacentral:lncRNA from 1 species